GACCAGGAAAGACAAACUUAUGAACUUGCAAGCAUGGUAAUCAGAUCGACAUCCACACAAUGUCAAUAUGAACAUUGUCUUGAUACAACUUUAUUUGUAUUUUAUUUCAGAAUUUAAACAACUAGUUUGGGCGGGUCACACACGACGUUGUGUGACACUUUAUUUGUCACCGCUGCAUCGACAUAUCCAUCGACUAAACAACGGUGAUCCAACUAUAUAUUACUAGAGACCUUUCCUUAUCAGUAGGCACCAACUCCGGUGCCAACGCUGAAUGGCACACUAGUGGUGGUUCUAUACAAGGGCACAUUGACACGGCACAUCGUUGGCAGGGUACGGAGCGCAAUGGAAGUCAUCACCUCAAGCUGAGCUAUCUGGUGUGGAUGCAAAAAGGUACCCUGUGCCAAUUGUUGUUGUUGAGGUUGUUGCCCGAGUUGCUGCUGCGACUGCUGUUGGGGUUGGGAAACGCAUUGGCCCAACUAUUGCGGUUGCUGCUGCUGAGUUUGGAUGGAACCCUGAACCUGUUGUUGUUCUUGCAGGACGAUGGAGUAGAUGAUAGCACGGAUUGCCUCAUAGCGGGAUUGCUGGGGGAUUUGCGGCAACUGCUGGCAACAUUGUUGUUGCAUCACAUGGCAACUGCUCUGCUGCAACAUUUGCGACCUAGCAAGACUUUGUGGCAUUGCCACAGGGCUGCAUUGCUGCUGGAGGAAUACCUUGCAUGGGUUUAGUUGCUGCAAGAUAGAUGGAUGAACAAAUGGUAUUUGUUGUUGCGGUAGAACUGAUUGUUGUUGUUGCGAAAAUGGUGGUUGUUGCGGUAGUACUGGUUGUUGUUGUUGCGAAAAUGGUGGUUGUUGCUGUGAAAAUGGUGGUAGUUGUUGCUGCGAAAAUGAUGGUUGUUGCGGUAGAACUGGUUGUUGUUGCUGCAAAAAUGGUGGUUGUUGCUAUGAAAAUGGUGGUUGUUGCGAUAGAACUGGUUGUUGUUGCUGUGAAAAUGGUGGUUGUUGCUGUGAAAAUGGUGGUUGUUGUUGCUGUGAAUAUGGUGGUUGUUGUUGCUGCGAAAAUGGUGGUUGUUGUUGCUGCGAUAAUGGUGGUUGUUGUUGUUGCUGUGAACAUGGUUGCUGUUGUGGAAAUGGUUGUGGUUGUUGUUGGAUAGGUUGUUCUUGUUGUUGGUGCCAUAAUGUUUGUUGUGGUGGUAAUGGUUGUUGCUGCGAUGGUCUCUCCAAACCAGGGAUGUGGCUAUUCUCCAUUUGUGCAAUGGCACUUGUCGCCGCAACGGCGAGGAGGGCAAAGAUGAGGAAGGUCUUCAUGGUGGAUUGGUGUUAACUAGUGUUGCUUGGUUUUGAUGCUUGUGCUUGUGACGAUCUUUAUACUUCAUGCCUAUUUAUAGUAGCCCGGGCACCACCUUUUUCUUCUUUGCAUUAGCUUUAAUAAUUUUGUUUGGAUGCAAAAAUGAUUUUUGGUACAAUGUGUUAGGUUGCACUAGCUACACGCGUACUUUUGGAUUGAUCAUCAAAGUUGCUUUUUAGUUGUGCAUAUGAUCACACAUAAAGUACAGAAACCUUGAUGUUUGGUAUAUAUGACUCACCUUAUUCACUUUACAUGUCACACACUUAUCUGGAUAGUAUCACUUUUGCAACCGAGUUUGGAACCUUGUAUAGGCUGUCAUCCAUAAACAAGAAAGGCAAAACUUGUGUAGGACUAAGUGUAGAACUAACUUUGUAUUUUUCCUCUAAAAUGAUUAGAUGAACCGACGCCUAUAGAGCAUGACAUGACUCAUCGAAUUCCCUUUACAUGUAAAGGAUGGUAAUUGCUUACAAGCUACUCCUACUAGCAUAUAUCCGGUCCUAACUCUUGACACGUCAUCAUCAGUUUCGCCUAUUUUUUUAGAUAAAUCAUCAGUUUCAUCUAUUUGUGAAGGGUUUUUUUGGGGGAAAUGAUAGUUUUUUUAUGCUAGGGGGAUUUUUUUGGGGGGGGGGGAUGACGCUAGGGGGAAAUGAUAGAUGGGGCUGGAACAGAGGCCCCCAGCCUGGAGCGAGAGAUUAGGCCCAACAUAAGUGCCGUGUGUUAGGGCACCAAUUCGAUUUGGGCUAUAGUUCUCGUAGGCCCCAACGACACAAGCCCAGCCCACACUCCGCGGAUCUGCGUCCCUCCCUUCCUCGUCCUCCUCGCCGGCCGGACCGCUCGCCGUCGCAGCCUCUCCCGGACGCCCACCGCUCGCGGCCCCUCCACGUACCUCCGCGGCAGCGGAGACGUCAGCCUCCCUCCCACCCUCAACAUCCGGCCCCCCACCACCACCACCACCGCUCGACAAAAAAGGUCACUUUUGAAGCUCCUCCGUCGAUUGUGGGCCGUACGUCGACGGCAGCCACUCCGACCUCCCCAUCAACACAAGGUAUCGAUUUGUUUCGUCUGUCUCUUCCAACGAUUCAAUGCACAUAAAUCCGAGAGGCAGACCCAUCUCCAUGCUAGCUGCACGGAUUAGGAGGGUCAGGCAUCAGAAUUCAGCUGGGAAGCCUGACAGUAAUGUACAUUUGUGGCUUUAGUAGCUGAAUAUAACUAUGUGCUUUCUGAGAAUUUCACUUCAAAAGUUCCAAUAAUCAUCAAAUUUCCCCCUAUGCGCGCUAAGCAGGUGGACCAUAUAUUUCUCAUGUCGACGAACGAAAAAACAAAACUCCACAACUAGAAGUCUAUGAUAUUGACACGGAACCGUGCUGUAGGGUCGCAAGUAAAAAUAUGAAAAGCAUGCCUAAUAAGCGAGAUGACGCAGUUCCUGACCGCCCCGCUACGACUAUUGGUUCCAGCGUGGCGUUUGAAUUAUGCCGCGCUAGAUGUCUUUUGUCCGGCGAGGAACAAGUGGGGUCAAGCGUGCUUCGGCAAUUCCCGCCGUCAGAAGACUUCCUUGUAGUCCGGUGUAGAGGUGAGGUUGUGGGGAGAUACAUCGACUAGCACUACUAGGGAAAAGGCUAGCAGCAGCGCGGGUUUUAGAUGUAUCAGUAGUGCGGGUACCCGCGCUACUAAUACGGCGCUACAGCUAACUCAUAGCAGUAACGCGUGAGCACCCGCGCUACUGCUACACAAGUGUAGCAGCAGCGCGGUUAUGAGAAGCUCGCUACCGCUAGUAGCGCUAGCGCUCUUUGGCCGGACGCUCUACUGCUAUUGAGGCGCUGCUGCUAACUUUUGUACACUCGCUACUGGUAAUUUAAGUAGUUUUUUGGCAUAUUUGUUUUGUAUUUGAACCGGCUUUGUAGAAGAAUCUUUAGCACAUAGAAAUGUCAUCAUGAUACACAUACAAAUGCCUGCGAGACCACAAAUGUAAUCAUAGCAUGUACAUACAAAUAGUCUCUUCAUAAUCAUCAUCCAACACAAAGUGAUAUCUUGUCAUCAUCUCGAAAAUAGCAAUACAUGCAAGUCUCGAAUACUUGCAACUACAACAACGUCAUCCAUCUAAACAAAGGUAUACGCAAGAAGUGCUAUCACUAUGAGUGAGAGCGGAACCAUGCAGUACAUGAGGUGGCGGUUAUGAGUCCUCUCUUGCGCUAGCGUGAACCUCAAGUAACUAGCUUCUCCUUCUUGUCUGCUUUUGAAGCCUUUAUGGCUGGCGCCCGUGAACCCAUUCACUUGCGCCUGACACUCAUGCCACUCGUUGUACACCCCCGGAACCUUCCCUUUGUACACGACAUAGCAUUUCCAUCUCGCCAUCAAGAAACUAGGUACCUGUUAGAGAUGCAUGUUCAUGAAGAGGAUGUACAAUCAUAUAUAUGCAACAAAAUAUACUAGAGCAACACUAAGAAAGAAAGGUUAGCAACUAGAUGCAACAUAUACAUUACGCAAAUUAAUUAACUAGAGGUACGCAGGUCAUCGUACGCAAACUAACAAAGUAGCGUUACGCAAGUUUGGCAGGGACCAUGGACAUCACAAAGUUUCAUCGCUACAAAAAGUAUACAAGUUCAACCGACACAUAUCAUCAUCAUCGGCAUCAUAAAUCACUAGAAGUUCCAUCCUUCCAUAUCAUCGAGGACGAACCCUAGCUGCUUGAACGGCGUGAGGUCUAGACGUUGCAUGCCUAUGCGAGUUCGGACGUCAGCUCGCGAUAUAGGGCCGUGGUGGAACAUCCCCUUCUCAUCGACGACUUCUUUCAUGAUGAUCAUCGCAAUGUCGCUUUGGAUGCGAAAGAAGUCAUCUCUAAGUUUAUAAUUCGCUUCUCCAUGAGAUUCUAGCCACUUGUGGAUAUGAUCAUCAUUUCUGCUGUUAAUGCGAAGCUUUUGGUGAUCCGUGUUGAACUGAAUCAUGAGAUGGACGAUGUAGAAUCCAUCCUUCUUGCUUGGUUUUGGGACGUGGAUGCAGGAGAAGUUAGUUUUAUGCGCGAAACCCAUCUUCUUGUUCCUUUGUUUCCUGAUAUGCACGUGGCCACCUCUAAAGUUGAAGCCUUGGAGAGCAUCAUCUAGAAUAUUCAUUAUGUGGGUGUAGUCCUUUUUCUCGUAGUCUCUAGAAGGGUCAAAAUACACGGCGUGGGAGACUUGCGGGUAAAGAAUGAUAAGGACGGCGCGCCCGUUGCUGCGGGGAAAAGACACCUCAAAUUAUUCCCCAUAUGAGAGAGAAGGAAUGAUUGAAAUGUACGAAAGGGUUGUCCGGAACUGACUUACUUUGGAUGAUAAGGCACGAGGACAAUUUCCCGGUCCUUAUUCUGUACCAUGAAGUUUUGGAGGUACUCCCUAGCAGUUUCACGCUCAAAGUCGCCGAGACUCAAGAAAGACUCGUGCAUGUAGUACGGAUCCGCCACACAGAUUUGCGAGACUUCUUCACUCUUCACGACGGAGCUCAUAUGUAGCGCAAAAAGGCGGACGAUAGUAAAAUCAAGCCGCCUUGUUAGAAACAUCUCAAAGAUAUGGUCAAACCGCAGGAAGAACACCUCCGUGGGCCGUGUGUCGACGUAGCACUUCCCCUCAGGCACACGAGCUGCGUAUGUCGGAUAUCCUGGAUCCUUUGAGGCUAGUAGGCUUUUCUCAGUCGACAGCACGUGGUCGUGCAGUCUCCUGAGAUUCCCUGAUAGUGCCUCCAGCGGUUUCGGCGGUAGCAUCGGCUCGCCCGUGAGAUGGAACAUGACCGCACCUUUCACGGGUACACGCUCUUCAGAAUGCAUCGUCUGGCUGCUGUGUGCUCUGGCUUGUUUGGAGGCAGUUACCUUCCCCAAUCUCUUCCUCUCCUUUUUCUUGGGCACACCUUCCAGACCCUUCCUUAACCCCUGCCCAAGUGUUCCCGGGCUAAGUAUUGUACGACCCUCACGCCCGGCUAGUUGAGCCUGUGUUGAGGCGGCAUCUUCAGGCGUGUCCUGUGAGGAUUUCAUGAAGAGAGACUUUUUGCAUUCCAUGGUACGGCCCUGCCCGGGCAUAUCAUCCAUAUCCUCAUUAGCAAGCUGAUAGCCCGAUUCGUCAUAUGGUUGACUCAUCAUAUCUAUGUCACAGUCAUACGCGUUUGUAUUGAGGUAAUCCAUCGGGUCGACCUCCGUCUCAUCAUCCAUUCUCUGUUCUACAGGAGAAAUUACAUCAGCCAGUACUAUUGCACCCCCUUCAUCAUGUCGUCCGCCGCUCUCACACGGCACUACUACAGGAGCUGGUAAUUGCGUAGGUGGGGUGGUGGUCUCCGCACAUGCUUGCUGAUGUGUGGUAGUUAUUGGUGUGCUCUCGGCCGGCUCCAGACGAAUAAGAUUCUUCGGCCAUAGCAGCACCCAACCCUUGCAGCGUCCAAUCCGCGGCGGGGUCUCGUCGUCCGCUCCCACCUGCUGUACUGGAGGAGGCAAAUCCUCGUGCCCCGAUUUCACACUGGUCAAGCUAACCCUGAAGUGCCCAGCGGGGAUCGGCUGGUUGUGGAAUGUGCGUUGAGAGGGGUCCAUUAUCAUCCCCUUUCCCACGUCCACCUUCUGGCCUUUGAUCAAGUAGAGUAUGGUGCAUGGGGUUUCUUUCGCCUGCAAACACAUAUGUCUGUGGUGUAAAACAACCGAAAGGCAACAAAAAUGGAAUAUUAUAUAUAUAUAUAUGUUGGUGCGACAUGUAAUUACCGUGACGGCGUCGAGCUCAGCCAAAGACGAAGGCCCACCUAGCGCGCCUGAGACUGAGGACGGGCUGCUAUGAGCUGGAGCGGCUGCGAGAGGAGGCCCGGUUGCUUGAGCAAGUGAUGGUGCGAUGGUGUUGUUCAUGGAGUUGCUCGCGACGAAACUGGGCAUUGGGAAAUCAUGUACCGUCUUGUCUGGAUUUUCCUUCGCCCAGUUGAUGAUAACUGGAACCAAGUUAGUAGCGAAAUCAUUUCUGCAGGCAUUUACAGCUGCAUUGACUGCCUGCUGUAGCAACUCAUAUUUGUCCUUGGCUGCUUUUUUCGCGUCCUCGGCUGCUUUUUUCUCGACCGCAAGCUUCACCUUUGCGUCGAUGUCCGCCUAACUAAACUUCUUUUUCUGCUUCUUGGCCUCCGGGCCGUCGUUGUAAAACACCUUCCACGUGGCGCCGUCUCCAGCGCCGUGCACACGACCAUAUUGCGGCCGCUGGUCCAACGGGAGUCCCUUAAGUUCGUUCAAGGCCCAGUUGAGAGGUGUGUCCCACUUGGGCCUCAUCGGAGAAGUAGGGCUUUCGGCUGCAAGCCGGUGUUGCUUCUCCAGUAGUCUAAUCAAUUUCCUCGUGAUCUUGUCCGUGUAAAAAACCUUUUUCUCCUUGUCCCACUUGUAGCGGGCCCUGAUGAAGUCAUGCUCCAAGGGGUUGGUGAACUUCGCGAAGGGGUCUGGGAGACCCGCGGCUUCACGUUCCGCGUCCUCCUUAUCCCAUAUGGGCCUUUUACCGAGGUAGCCACGGCUUCCGAGGCGAUGCUUCCCCAUGUUCCGGAGCUGAAGGCUUUUGAAUUUCGCAGCCUUAGCCUUGGCUGCCUUGGUAGCGCAAGUGUCCUUGAACUUUUCGAACUCCUCUUCCGUAAGUGUCGGAUUUUCCUCCAGAAUCUUGGACAGGGGUUCAUCAGCCUCAAUAGCUCGUUUCACCCUCCCUUUCCAGGAGGCCAAAUCAUUGCUGAACAUGCCCAUGGCGUGAUUGUUAAUCUUUUUCAUCUUCGGAUCAUCCCACGGUUGUUCUAUGUUAUCAUCCCGGUCGGGGAACUUGAAUCUCUUCUGCAACUUCGUUAGGAGCAACUGCGUCAAAUGUUCUUUACUCCUUAAGUCAUCAUCGUUGAUGCUCGCGCAUUCCCGUAGGAUGCAUCCUACUUGGUUCCCAUAGCACUUGCGAGGUUCUUCCGGCUCUAACGGCUCAAACUUUCCAGGUGCCAUCUUUGUGAUCACAAGUCGUCCAAUCCCUAGUUUGUUAGGUUUUCGUAUCCUCUGCUUCUUAUGCUUCCUCUUUUCGGUAUCGGCAUCGGGGCCGGUACCUUCCCCGCCGGUCUCGGCGCCGCCAUCGGUGCCGGCGCCGUCGGUGCCGGCACCGUAGGUGUCGAUGUCGGCGUCAGUACCAUCAUCGAGGCCGACCUGCAAACCUUGCUUAGCAGUCAAAUAGUCGAGGUACUCUUGUUCACCCUCAUAAUCCAUCUCGUCUGCAUCUUGGUCAGAAGGCCCAGUUUCUUCGUUGUUCGACAUGUUUCCUAUGAUUAAGUGGCCUCAUUUAUUUCUAAAAGUAUGAAUAAAUGAGAAAUGACAUAAAAAGAAAUCUAUGUGCCAACACUCGAUAUGCCAACUAUGUAGCACAAAUCAUGCCUUUAUUCACGGGAAAUUUCGGCAUGACCUUUGCUAAAAAAUGGACAUAUCGAGCGCCUGAAAUUCACCGAAACGGAAAUGAAUCAACAUUCCUGCGCAACAUAGGCCACUCGGAUCAUUUUCCAAACAUGACAUGUCCAAAACAUGACAUAUGCACAUAUCACAUGUCCAGUUCAAAUUUCCAUAUAAAUUCAGCUAAUUCAUAACUAAAUAGAUAACCUAAUUAAUUAACAUGAAGANNNNNNNNNNNNNNNNNNNNNNNNNNNNNNNNNNNNNNNNNNNNNNNNNNNNNNNNNNNNNNNNNNNNNNNNNNNNNNNNNNNNNNNNNNNNNNNNNNNNNNNNNNNNNNNNNNNNNNNNNNNNNNNNNNNNNNNNNNNNNNNNNNNNNNNNNNNNNNNNNNNNNNNNNNNNNNNNNNNNNNNNNNNNNNNNNNNNNNNNNNNNNNNNNNNNNNNNNNNNNNNNNNNNNNNNNNGGGGGCGAGCGACAUGGUCGGGGGCGAGCACGCCGGAGUCGGGGUCGAGAGCGGGACAGGGGCGAGCGCCGGGGCUGGCACCGGCGCCGGCAGGGUCGGGGGCGAGCGCCGGGGCCGGGUCGGGCACGGCGGAGCGACGGGGGCCGGAGAGAGAGUGGGGAUUUGGGGGGAAAUGGCGGGAUGAAGCUGGGCGAGUGCGAAUUUUGGGUUAAGUGGACGUAGCAGUAGCGGGUUAUGUCAAAACGCGCUGCUACUAUAUUCUGUAGCGGCAGCGGUUUAUGAGAAACACGCUACUACUAUGGUGCGUAGCUGCAGCGCUUUAUGGGAAACUCGCUACUACUAUGGUGCGUAGCGGCAGCGGUUUAUGAGAAACACGCUACUACUAAGAUCUAGCAGCAGCGGUUUUGUGGAAACGCGCUGCUACUGCCGUCGCUACUGCCAGGUUUCCUUUUUCUUUUCCUUUAUUUUAUCCCACUUUUAUUUCCCGAGGGCAAUGAACGAAGGGAGGGCGAUAUAUAUUGCAUCAUUUGACGGUUAAAUAUGUAUGCAAAAUAGGAACAUAUAUAUUACACAUCAUUGGACCCAUGCAUAAUAAUGACUAAGUGUGUAUACAAAUUAAAUAGGAACAUAUAUAUAUUACACAUCAUUGGACCCAUAACAUACGUUUCCUCAGUGCUGACGUUUUCGUUUUUGAGUCAGCUUCUUUCCCUUCUUGUUCGUCGAAGAAUAAUUGAGCCCCUCAUUGUGACUUUGCCUUUUCCAUGGAGUACGAUUUUUCUUAGGUAAUGUAGUAUUGAUUCUUCUUUUGACGUAUACUUCAUCAUCAUCAUCAUCUUCCCUCAUUGGGUUGCUGUACUGAUCAUAGUCUUCCUCGUUGGCGACUCCAUCCAUUCCAAUGAUGUUCCUUUUGCCUCUCCUCACGACAACACGGCUGGGAUUGCGCGGGUCAGUUAUGAAGAAACAUUGUGUCACGUGCUUAGCGUGUACCCAUGGCUCGUUUUUUGCGAUAGCGUUCAUGGUAGCGCUCUUGGCGUCGGGUAUAGUCAUGGUAGUGAACAUCCGGCUUUCUCUUUCGACAUUCUUAGCCCAUCUGACACGGAACAUCAUCGUGCUGUGCAGUCCAGAGUAGUCAAGCUCCCAGAUCUCCUCGACCCUUCCAUAAAAUCGUUCAGUUGUGCCGUUGUCGCUGCCGGUCAUGCAUUCCAUCGUCACCCCUGAGUUCUGAUCAUCACUGUCCAUAUCUUUUGCCUCUGUGUAGAAUGUGUAUCCGUUGAUAUCAUAUGCCUGAUAGGUUACGAGGUUGGGCGAGGGGCCAUGUGCUAAGGCGUAUAUGAGCAAUCCGUCCUUAGAGCCCUCCUCCGGUGGAUUAGCAAUAAUAUGCUCUUUGAACCAAUGCAGGAAAGUGGAGUUGUGCUCUCUAGUAACUUCGGCGUCCGUCCUGCAUACCCCCCGGUCACGAUACUUCUUUGUGAUAAUUUCUUUGUGCAGUGCCACGAAAGGAUCUACCUCGUCUAGGUGUUGUAGCACUACCAAGUUUGCUCUGUCAAAGUCGCUGCGUCGAUCUGAGUAUGCCACGUGCAGUUCCCUGCGACCGUUGCAGUGACCAUCUCCUUUGAGCCUCCCAUCGUGCUUGUUAACGGGCAAACCAACACUAACACCAGGCGGCUGGUCUGCGCCAUAUAAAAAAUUCUCACAGAAAGAGAUGCACUCUUGUGCCAAAUAGCCCUGGACGAUGCUUCCAUCCGGACGGGACAUGUUACGAACGAAUCCUUUGAUGAUCCCAUUCAUCCACUCAAACGGGAUCAUGUUGUGCAGGAAUGACGGCCCCAGGUCUAUUAUGUCAUCCACAAUAUGGACACACAGAUGCACCAUCACGUCGAAGAACGCGGGCGGGAAGUACAUCUCAAGCUCAUUCAGUAUCACAACGAUCUCUUCCUGUAGCCUUUGGAGCUGCUUCACACUGAUCGACUUUCGAGAGAUGACAUCGAAAAAGUUGCAGAGACCAAUAAGCGUGUCACGGACGUGCUUGUCCAUUAUCCCUCUAAGGGCAACAGGUAGUAUCUGCGUCAUCAUCACAUGACAGUCAUGAGACUUCAUCCCGCUGAACCUUUUCUUGUCCGUGUCUAGAUAUCUGCUUAUCUUGCCACAGUAACCGGAACUAACUUUCACUCCGGUAAGGCACUUAAAGAAUUGAUUGAUCUCAGCCUGACUUAAGGUGAAGCAAGAGGGGGGGCAAUAAUCUUCUUUCUUUAAUUUCUUGCCCUUCUUCUCCCGUGCCUCUGUCUUCGUCUCUGUCUCGUCUGACAUUUUACGGGGCGGCAUCUGCAGAUCUUCCCUGAUUUUCAAAUCUUGCAAGUCUUUUCUUGCCUUCGGCCCAUCCUUGGUCUUAUCCGGCAUGUUCAUCAGUGUUGCGAGCAAGCUCUCAAGGACAUUCUUACAGAUAUGCAUUUGAUCAAGGCAAUGAGGUGUAUCGAGUUUGUGCCAGUACUCCAAGUCCCAGAACACGACCUCGUCUUCCAUACCUUCAGCAGCGGCUCCGGCGCCUUUCUCAUCGUCUUUCCCGGCGCGGGGCACUCAUUCCAGUUUUUCAAUAGCUCAUCGAUUUCGGCACCGCUCCGCUUACGUGGAGGUCCUCGAUGCUCAGCGUGACCAUUGAAUAGAUCUCCACGGUUUCUCCACGGGUCGUCCUGUUCAAGCCAUCUUCGAUGCCCCAUGUACAUGAUUUUCGCAGACCCGCCAUCUUUCCUUGACGUUAGCUGCUGAGACGUUGUAUCAUCCAUGCACCGCGUGCAUCCGCAAUAUCCAUGGCACACCUGGCCUGCCACAUAUCCGUAACCGAGAUAGUCCUGCACUGUCGUGAUCAGCGCGGCUCUCAUGUUGAAAUACUCACCUUUGCUGGCGUCCCAUGUCUUGGCCGGUGUUUUCCAUAACGUGUCUAACUCCUCUUGAAGUAGCCCCAGAUACAAAUUAAUAUUAUUUCCUGGUUGUUUCGGCCCUUGAAUAAGCAUGCUCAUGUGAAUGUACUUCGAUUUCAUACACAACCAGGGGGGGAGGUUGUACAUCCAUACAAACACGGGCCAUGUACUAUGGUUGGUGUUCUAGUUGCCAAAUGGAUUCAUGCCAUCGGUACACGCGCCGAGCACGAUGUUCCUUGCAUCACAUUCAAAAUACCGUUAGAAGCUGUUCAACGCUCUCCACUGGCUUCCAUCCUUCACGUGUCUCAGCUUCGGAUCAUCUCCAUCGUCGGGCUUCUUCCUCUCCGCGUGCCAGCGCAUUAGCUUUGCUUCCUUGGGAUCUACAAAAUACCUCUGAAGACGGGGAGUGAUCGGUAAGUACCAUACAACUUUCUGGGGACAUUUCUUCCCGGCCUUCUUGUAUCGAGAAGCAUUGCACACCGGACAGCUUGUUUUUUCCGCGUGCUCCUUCCGAUAAAUUAUGCAAUCGUUGAUGCAUGCAUGGUAUCUAACGUGUGGCAGAUCAAGAGGGCACACGAUCUUCUUGGCCUCAUCAACACUAGUAGGACAUAGAUUACCCGCGGGAAGAAUAUCCUUUAGGUACUUGAGAUGGUCAUCGAGGCUAGUGUCGGUCCAUUUGUUUUUAGCCUUCGUCUUCAGGAGUUGGAGCGUGAAACUCAACCGGGUCACCUCAGGAUUGCAACCAUCAUACAAUGGAGUGUUCGAGUCUACCACCAGUUGCUCCAGCUUAGCCUCCUCUCUAGAAGCAGCUCUCUCAGUACUCGUCUCCUUGCGAAGCAAUGCUUGAACAUGAGGGUCCCGCACAAUUGAACUUAGUACCGACGAACUCUGCUGCGUGGAGUCCAUGUCGUUCUCUCCGCCGCCAUGUCCGGCCCCUUCUCCUCCGCCAUGUCCGGCCACUUCUCCGCUGCCAUGUCCGGCCUCUUCCCCGCCGCCAUUAUCGAUCAUCUCUUCGUCUUGCCCCGUGUCAUCAUUGCCUGCCCCGUCGGCAUCCUCAACAUCUUCAUCCUCAUCUUCAAUUAUCCACCGAGUAUAGCCAUCCAUGAAACCAGUCAUGAGCAGGUGCGCUUCGACACGACCAUCGUCAUGGGGGUCGAGCCAAACUAUUCCUUUGCAUUUUCAACACGGACAUAAAACCUCUGUCCGGUUAUUUUCUUUCAUGUCUUGCACCGCCGACCGCAACCACCUGUCCACCAUUGUUCCACUGACCAUCGUCAACUCUGCACGGUAAUAAUAAAAAAAUUGAUUGUAAAAAUGCAUGCAUGCAUCAAAGUCAUAAAAAAAUUUGGCAUGACCUUCCCUAAAAAUAGGACAUAUAUGGAUCUAGAGUUUGCCCGAAAUUCGCCGAAACGAAAAUAAAUCGACAUUUCGGCAAAACAUAGGCAACUCAAAAGCACAAUUUGGCGGCGUCAACUCAUGCCACAGACACAAUUUCCACAAACAUAUCACACAUACACAUAAACACAUUUCCAUUUUGCAAAAGCAUGAAAUUUUCAUCACCUCUAUCUCGAUGGCCGGAGAUGAUGUUGUAGGGAGAUCAAAAGUGCACAAAGCUAUUCUUGACAAAGAUAGAUCUAGUUAGGGGGCAAAUAGGUCACUUAACUAAAUCCUACAUCUACCUAGCUACCUAAUUUGGAAGGAGACAACUUCAACUAGUGGAGGGGGAGGAAAAAGAGAAAGAAGAUGCAUUAAUUAAUGGAGGUGGUGUAGUUAUGUAGGAGUAAUGAAGAGAGAGAAGGUGGAUAGAGAANNNNNNNNNNNNNNNNNNNNNNNNNNNNNNNNNNNNNNNNNNNNNNNNNNNNNNNNNNNNNNNNNNNNNNNNNNNNNNNNNNNNNNNNNNNNNNNNNNNNNNNNNNNNNNNNNNNNNNNNNNNNNNNNNNNNNNNNNNNNNNNNNNNNNNNNNNNNNNNNNNNNNNNNNNNNNNNNNNNNNNNNNNNNNNNNNNNNNNNNNNNNNNNNNNNNNNNNNNNNNNNNNNNNNNNNNNNNNNNNNNNNNNNNNNNNNNNNNNNNNNNNNNNNNNNNNNNUGUGGUGGAGGGAAGAGAGGAGAGGGGGAGGUAGGGGGGAAGGGAAAAAAGGAAGGGGGAGGGGAGGGACGGGUUGGGGGUUGGUGGGGUUAGCAGUAGCGCGGGAGAUAAAACGCGCUGCUGCUAAGAACUUAGCAGCUGCGCGCUUUGCGGUAAGGCGCUACUGCUAACUGGGACAAAAAAUUGUGGCAAUUUGAAACUUACCAGCAGCGAUCUCGAGGAAACCGCGCUACUACUACGUACUUAGCAGUAGCGCUGUUAUUGCGACCGCGCUACUGCUACUUAGAGUUGGGGGAACACCGCCGGUCGAUAUUUGUAGCAGCGCGUUUCUUGUCGAGCGCGCUACUGCUAAAUCUUUAUCAGUAGCGAGUUUACGUAACCCGCGCUACAACUACUUAGCAGCAGCGCUCUAUUUUGAACCGCGCUGCUGCUAAGAUUCUGUGUAUAGGCUUUUCCCUAGUAGUGUAGGAAGGAAUGACCACAUGAAUGAGCAUACGUAUGAUGUGAUUAAGUCUCUCGAUUGGGUAUCUGGUGCCUUAUGUACGGUGUCUUCUUUUUGUCAAGCUAUGACAUCUUUCAGUUUGAGUGUCUGAUAUUAGGGUUGCAUACGUUUUGUUAUUCAGUUGCCUGUUGUGAACUCUACGGUUAUAUCAUCUCGAUGUGUGAGUCAAUGUGUUUGAACCAAUGUAGAGUUUCAUGUGAAUGUUACAAGUGUGAUUGAUAUGUUCAUGUUAUCCGCGGUUGCCUUGGUAAGAAACUGAAAGAGCAAACCGUUAUCGUGCUAGGACAAAAGUCAUCACUCAAUAUAAGUGCUUCUCUAGAACAGCCACACCUUGUGAAAGAAGAUGGCAAACACCCAAUCAUGUCUGGUUCGAUAUGGGCGUGGCUAUGGGUAGCUUAUAGCGACAUGGAAGCCAGCAUCGCUGGAAGAAACGCCCGGGUGGGCCGGCCUAGAGACAUUUCUUGAUAUCUACCCUUAGUUUUGUUUUUCUGCCCUUCUUUCUUUAUAUUUAUAUUUUUCCCGACAUGUUCACUACUUGAUGCUCAACUGGGAUCUCAUCCUUCACAAAUACGGAGAGCCAUUAUUGUUAGAGUUAAUCUUGACAUGUGUGUAUGUGCAUGUGUGCAUUGCAUGUUAGUGGUCUAGAGAUGGCCGGGUCGAUGCGUCUGUUCUGUGCUGGAGUGAGUCCAGCAGUUUGUUUUGGUCAGGUCGUGGUGGCUAGAGCCAUUCUAGGAGAGGAUCAAGUCAAGUUGUUAGCUGAACUCGGCUGGGUAGUGUUUGGCCGUUGAGGAUAGGCUGUACUAGUGGUGGGCAUGGCCGUGCAUAUAGCUAGCGAUUAGUUACACUAGUAGAAAACCACCCAUUAGUCCCGGUUCGUAAGGGCCUUUAGUCUCGGUUCAGGAACCGGGACUAAUGGGUCGUUACUAAUACCUCCACCCAUUAGCCCCGGUUCAAACACGAACCGGGACCAAUGUGCCUCCACGUGGCCCUGUGCGGCGAGCCCAGUCAGGGGGCCUUUGGUCCCGGCUGGUGGCUCCAACCGGGACCAAAAGGCAUCCACGCGUCUGCAUUCUAGUGGUUUCUGGUUUUUGUUUUUUUUUUGAAAGGAGGGGGGUUGGGGGUUUUGGGGAGUUAAUUUAGGUGUUUCGUAUAUUGUGUUAACUAGCUAAUUAAUAGAGAGAAGUGUCCUCUCUUAUGUCCGUGCUUGGUCGACGCUACGUAGUAUAUAUACAUAAGUAAUCGAGAGAACCAUUCAGUACAGAAGUUCGUCAUGCAUACCGAGAGAAGUGAUCGAUCGACCUCUCCUUCUCCGAGAGAUUGGUCGAACAACAAGUUUUUUACUGGCUACAUACAUGUACAAUAUGUAUAAGAUCUCUUAAUUACAAACCCAUAGCAUUUGAAAUCAACUUCCACAUGGUAUUCUCCGGCUUUACUGAUGACGUGUUCAAGAAAGAAUCCCGCUAAUUCCUCUUGAAUUGCUUUCAUGCGAUCUGGUUCUAGGAGUUCACCCCGCAUCUGCCACGUCUAAUUAAUUUGAAGAAGGGGGUUAAUUAAUACAUAUAUAUGAAUGAAACUCAACAGAAAAUGAUGGUGUAAUAAAAUGAAAUUGUGAAUAUUAUUGCUUACGCACUUCAUAUUGUCUUCUAGAGUAGCCCCGCUUGUUUCUCAAAGUUGCGUUGUGGAUGAACUCGCACACGUAGUAUCCACAAAAAUCAUUCCCUUCCUCCUGUCACAAGCACUUUACGAGAAACAGAGGUCAAUCAAACUGAUAAUGAAGCAUUAUAAAUGGCAUUGAUGAAAGUAUAGCUAUAGAAUCAACGGGAGAUGCACGCAACUAGCUAGCCAGUAGUACUUACUUUCGGGUAUACAUAUCGCAGCUCCUUCGGCAGUCCCGGAGCUUGUGCGGUGAACUGUUUCCGAACCCUGCAAGACAAAGAAAAUAAUUAUUAUUACUUGAGAUAUCAGGAAAUGAACAAAAAGUUGCCGAUAUGGUGCGAUAAUGAUCGAUUGAACUUACUUGCUGAGCAUUUCAGUCAUGUCCACAUAGGUGCUGGGAUCUUUCCGUCUCGAGUCUAAGACGGUUACUAGUCCACGCUCAAGCUUAAUCUCCAGAAGAAUAUAGUGGUACCUGCGCACGCGUGCAUAACUCAUCAAUUACAUUAACCUCGCUCGAGUAAUAAGGGAAACCGAAUAUGCACACGACAGUAACACUCACGGGCCGUUGUAAGGAAAGAGUAUGGUAUCUUUGUUUUGAUUUUUGAUCAACGAUUGUAGCAAGUUGUCCUCGGCCUCUUCGACGUUCUUUUCAACCAGAAAUACAUCUAUGAUAUUUGUGUUAAUGAACCCAAUAUCAUAAAUUUUUUGUUUUUUGCACUCGACGAUCUUCAAUCUGCAUAAUAUAUUGAGGAUAAUUAAUUAUAAAUACAUGCAAUGAAAGAUCCGAGCUAUAUAUAGAGACUUAAUGUCAGAAAUAGUACUUACAUGCAGUAGCAAAAGACCAUUAAUUUAUCGAGGGCCUUUUGAUUGAAGAACUCAAAGAACUCCUCAAAUGGAACACACAACAGAUCAUUUGAAAUGAGGUCGUGCUCCUCUUUAAUAUUCAAAUACAAACUGUUCGUCCCCUCAGACUCUCUGCAGGUUUUCAUGUACCAAUUAUGGAAUCUUCGCAUCAUUAUUGUCAGAGAUUUUUCAUCUUUGACGAGAGGCUUCCCGUACUCGUAUCUGAAUACGUCCACCUCCAUGAAAUCAGGAAGUGCAUCGUCAGGCAGGUAAUCUUCAAGAUUGCCAUAACCGGCCACCGUCCCCGGAGGAUUAGACACAUUGAGCGGGGGGCACGAUUGCUGUGCUUGUUCGCCGAGCUGGGCAAUUUUUUUCCCCUUUGCUCGUUGUUCUUUUGACCUUUUAUCAUUGACAGUAGUUCCCGACCGCUUGGCUUGGAGAUAUGUCUGUUCAGUAAUGCGCUCAUAGUUGGUUCUCGGCGGAGACUUUGGUGGUUUCCUCAGGGCAUCGAGAGUGCGCUUUGCUUUCACCGGAUCUACCUUCUCCUCCGGAGGUGGAUGUCUCUUUGCUUUCACCCCUUCAAAGAACUCCUUCACGUGGGCCUGCACGAUCGUAUUGUUUUCCUCCUUGGUCCUCUCGUACGGUAACUUCUCUAGAGGCUUUAGAGGUGGACCGUAUCUGUAUUGCCUCUCUCUUCUUGUGCUGCUAGACGCCGGAGCAGACGGAGCGGCUGUGGCGUCUGUCUUCUUCCGUGCUUGCUUAUGAGGCGGAGGAGAAGGACUACGACGCGCCGGAGCAGCCGGGGCGGCGGCGGGUCUCUUCCGCCCUUGCUGGCGAGGCGGAGAGGAGGAGGCGGAGUGCCGCCACAUGCCGGAGAAGGAGGCGGAGUGCCGCCAUGCGUGCCCUGAUCGUCACUCGCCGGAGGAGGAGGCGGUGGAGGAGGCGGAGUGCCGCCACGCGUGCCCUGAUCGUCACUCGCCGGAGGAGGACGCGGUGGAGGAGGCGGAGUGCCCUGACUCGCUGAAAGAGGAGGAGGAGGCGGAGGCGUCCAGUUCAGAAGGUUGAUGAGCUCCUUCUGCCAUAGGCAUGGAGUCUUCAGAGCAGAACCCAGCCUAGUCUCCCCUUCACCGGUAGUGUGCUCAAGCACGAGGUCCUCAAAUCCCUCCGUUAUUUCAUCCACCAUCACCUUAGCAAAUCCUUCUGGAAUUGGCUGGCAGUGAUAAGUUGUGCCGGGUCCACUAGGAUAAACUUGGCCAACAGCCGCCUUGACCUUCAAAUUCAUCCAUCACACAAUAAUGUGGCAAUUUUGAGACUCCGUGAUACCAUCCACGGGAUAGCUGGCAGGAGCCGUCAAGACAUGCUCCGGCUGAAGCAGCUCAGUGGAAGCCACGCUGCUUCUCUGCUGAGAUGGCGGGGUAGCUUCGGGGGAAGCUUCGGCAGGUCGUUUGUUGUGAUCUGCUGCUUCUUGUUCCUCUAGCCCCAUUACCCUUUCGUGCAGCGCCUGCAUUUGGUCCUGCUCCAGUUUCUUCCUCCUCUCGUAGGCUUUGUAAACGCCUGCGUCCAGAAAACCAACCUUCCACGGAAUGGAGCCUGGCGUGCCUCGUGUCCGUCCAGGGUGCUCGGGAUUCCCAAGGGCCAUUGUGAGCUCGUCCUUCUCCCUGUUUGGAAGGAACGUCCCUCGUUGUGCUGCAUCGAUAUAGUGUCGAAGGUUCUUGACUGGUGUUUGCAGUUGCUCGUCCGUCCACUGACGCUUCCCUGUUACAGGGUCCAAGGUUCCGCCAGCCCCGAAGACCCAAGUCCGGCAACGGUCUGGCCAGCGCAUUGUCUCUGGUUCGAUUCCUUUUUCAAGCAGAUCAUGCUCAGCCUUGGACCACUUAGGCCGGGCUUUGAGGUAGCCACCUGACUCCGUGCGAUGGUGAAGCUUCUUCUUCGCAGCAUUUUUCUUGUUUGUCUCCGACAUCGUCUUACUCUUUUCCGAUGUCUUGUGGGCCACAAAUGCGGGCCAGUGAUCUUUGAUCUUCUCAUAUUUGCUGAUGAAUUCUGGUGUCUUUUUUUUCUCGAGAAACUGGUUCAGCUCUUUCCUCCACCUCCUCAUUAGGCUUGCCAUCUUCUUAAGAGCACAAGACUUGAUUAAUUGCUCUUUAACUGGCUUCUCCGGAUCCUCCUCUGGCGGUAGGGUGAAAUUUGCCUUCAGCUCAGUCCAAAGAUCUUCUUUCUGCAUAUCAUUGACAUAAGACACCUCAGGGUCUUCAUCCUUAGCAGGCUUAUACCAUUGCUGGAUGCUGAUCGGGAUCUUGUCCCUAACAAGAACCCCGCACUGAGCAGAAAAUGCCUUCCUUGUCCGGAUGGGUUCAAUCGGUUCGCCGUCGGGCGCGAUUUCUAUGAUCUCAAACUUUUCAUCCGAGAUCAACUUUUUCUUCGGGCCUCGUCUCCUUACCGAAGUUGUGCUCGAUCCGGAGGGCUAGAAAUUAUAAGGAAGAAAGACGACAGUAAUUAAUAUGUGUACAUAUACCAAAACAAUGGAUGCAUCAAUUAACUAGUCAGCACGGGCUUAACUAAUAUAUAUAUACCUGGCCGGACUCGGUUCGGUGACCGGAGCAGUCAGCACGGUCUCCUUGUACCUCCAUUGUGUCACCGGAGCCAUCAUGAACAUAGUCCUCCUCUUGUACCGGCAUUAAUGGGUCGAAGCCAUCAUAAACAUAGCCCUCUUCUUCAUCCAGUCCUUCCAGCUGACCAUCGGUGUCGAUGAGAAAUGACGCAACAUCAUCACUUCCAUUUGCGAUUAUGUCCCCCAACAUCGCUUCUGUUUCUUCGUCUCGGGAGUGCUCCAUAGUUUCUGCAAAUAUUUACAACAUGUCAAUUAUUAUUCAAACAUGGUACAAAUGGAUAUAUAUAUAUAUAUAUAUAUAUAUAUAUAUAUAUAUAUAUGAAAAUGGAUUGGUACUCCUAGGAGUACAUACUCUCACCUACACCCGUCAUCGUUGGAAACAUUCAUCCCGCUAACUACUAAAAAAAGAGCUAACUAACUACGGAUAAAGCCUUUGGAUUUAAAAAUUAGUUGAACCGCUUCCUUUUUUUUCAGCUCUCGUAGGCGUGCCUUCCAGGGAUUCCAUUUGAAACGGCGUUCUCAUCUCUUGCCAGCACCCAUGAACAUAAAAAAACAGAGCAUCGGCUCGCCUCCGCCCCGCCGACUGACCGGAAGACUUGGUCGACAUGGCCGACGAUGAUCCCCGUGCUUCUUCCCUCGCAAACUAGGCUUCAACCACCACGUCCAUCAAUCAGAGGAAGAUUGAUUCAUCAUCUGUAGUUUGCGAGGGUACGUGCAAUUGAUGUUUCCCGAUUUUUCUGUUCGGCUACCACAACCGUGUUCAUGUUCCCGCUGACCCCUUGAUCCAUUCCUGUCCAGUAUGUCAUCGUCCGAGAAGAAAAUAGGACGGAGAUGAUUGAUCGGCCAGAUUGAUCGGCCAAGUCUACUAGUACCACUGGUGGAAAAAAGGCCUUUGGUCGCGGUUCGCAACUGCCAUUAGUCGCGGUUGCGCAACCGCGACCAAAUAAGCGCGACUAAAGCCCCCCACCUUUAGUCGCGGCUGCUUAAGAACCGCGACUAAAGGCCCGUCCAUGUGGGCGCCAGGCGGCCGUCGGGACGGAGGACCUUUAGUCGCGGUUCUUCUGGCCAACCGCGACUAAAGGCCGCCACAGGUUUAGGGUUUUAGCCCCCCCCCUAAACCUGUUUUCUGUUUAAUUUGUAUUGUUUUAUUUCUUUUGUGCUUUAUUUUAAUUUUGAAGGAGUUUCAUAUAUUCUACGGUACUACAUACAUGCAUAUGAAUGUACAAUUUCAAAUAAAUUUGAAAUUAGAACCAAAAAGAAUUCAAGAGGAAUAUACAAUAUAUAUUCAAUAUCAUCGGAUGACCAUAUACAAUUUUGAACAAGUUUCCAUACAUGAUUUAAUGCAUAUAAAGUUCUACGUCCUCGUAAUAGUGUUCUCCUUUAGGAUGGAGGACUUCCCUGCUGAACCAUCCAGCUAGUUCCUCUUGAAGUGGUCGGAAGCGAGCUUCUGGACUAAGCAUCCACCGGAGGUUAUUCCUCUGAGCAUUGGUAUCACUCGGAACCCGCUCAGAGGUGUAUCUCCGGAUCAUCUCACAGACAUAGUAUCCACAUAGAUUGGUCUCCGGUGGCUGAAUAUCCCCAGCAUUCUUAGCCACUGACCUUUUGAAUUCUAGCUCUUUUUUGAAUUCACCGACCUUUGUAUCUACGAACCGUCUCCAAACCCUACGAGGCAAAGAAAAUUAAAUGAACAAGAGAGUUAUUAGUUACUUGAUAUUAGGAAAUGAACGAAAUAGGCCGAUUGAUAUAGAGCGCAAAUGAAUGAAAAUAAUUACUUCUGCAGCAUUCUUCUCAUGCCGCCCCAAAGCUUUGGAUCCAUAUUCACAGAGUCGUGGACGAGACAUUCUGAGGUGUUAACUUUAAUUACUAGCAGAAUCCAGUGGAACCUGCGGACACGAUACAUGCACAGUACGUCAUGCAUAACUCAUCGAUUAGCCGGCCACAUACCAUGCAUGGAGUAAACAAAAGAGAAUGUGCUCAAGACACAAACACUCACCCAAAAUGGUAAGGAAAUAGAAUAUCACUUUUGAGUUCCUGCUUUGUAAGAAACUGCCACAGGUCUACCUCCACGUCGGCGGGGUGACGCUCCAACACAUGUCCAUUAACGAUGUGUGGGUCAAUGAACCCAACAUCAUGGAUGUUCCUUACUCUGCAUUCCUUAAUCUUCAUUCUGCAUGUAUAAUAGCGGACACAACAAUAUAGUUAGGACAUAUAUAUAGUGCAGGCAAUAUGAACGAGAUGGGGUAGAAAUUAAUAAAUCACUUACAGAACGUAGCAACUGAUGAUAGAUUUAUCGAGCUCGCGCAGAUUGAAAAGCUGGAACAAUUCACUCAGUUCAAUUUGUACAUAGUAAUGUUUGAAGUGAUGCUCAUGUCUAACUUCCGCAUAAAUAUAUUCUUUGGCGUUUUUAUUUUUUAUGUAACCCUUGUACCAUUUCAGCAGACCUUUCAUUUGUGGAGGUAGAUCCUUUUCCUGCGCAGGCUCGACGAGAGGCCCAUUCUUGACAUAUGUAAUUACUACCUCCUUCACUGGCGCCUCAUCAAGGCCUAACAGUUCACGAAGAGUAAUACCUAAGUUGGCCGCUUGUUCUAUGGCACUCGUUACAGUCAAUCCCUGUGCUGCCGCAGCUUGUAUGAUCUCGGGGGCAUCCGGACAGAAGGCUUCCACUAUAAGCGGGGCAAUCGAUUGUUUACUUUGUUCCCCGAGCUGGGCAACUUGUUUCCCGCUUUUUUUACUUUCGGCCUUCUCCCGCUCUUUGUUCUCCUUGAACAUGAGUGCCUGCCUGCGAAGUUCACGUGCAUAGUCGUUAGGCAGAUUCUUCGCGGCUUGGGACGGUGUGCUCAAAAAUGACUUAGCCCACUUGUUUUGCUCAUCAGAAAAUACUGGCUUGGGCUCGAGCUCUCUUUUCUUCUUGCAGUCCGCCUUCCAUUUCUCCAAAUCAGCAGCCGCGGCCGCGUCGACUUCCUCGGCACUACGUUCCCAAGGCCUUGUGGGGAGAGGCUUCAGUGAUGGCUCCGGUACCUUUGUGGUCUUAGGUACAUAAGGGUCCGGGUUAAUAAUCCAGGACUGCUUCUGCUUCUUUGCCGGAGGUGGAUUGGGGGGCGGCGUCUGAUCACCCGCCGGACGAGGACUGGGGGGCGGCGGCUGAUCACCCGCCGGACGUUGUGGACUGGGGGGCGGCGUCGGCUGACGUGACGGAGGUGUAGGUGAACCGCCACCACCACCACCACCACCACCACCGCCACCGCCACCACCACCACCGUAGGGGGGUGGACUUGUUGUCCUUGGCGCCUCGCCUGGAAACUUGAUAAACUUCUUUUGCCAUAGAAUGAAAUGGCGCUUGACAUCUCCAAGUCUUUUCUCCCCUUCAGGUGUAGCAAUGUCAAUCUCCAGGUCCUCAAACCCUUGGACUAUGUCCUCCACCGUGACACGAGCAUAGCCAUCUUGAAUGGGGUUGUUGUGGUGGAGUGCUCCAGGUAAACAUGGUAAAGCACUGCCGAUGGCUACCUUCAUGGACAUGUUCCCGAUAGGAUAAUACAGAUGACAUUCUUCUCCGCUGCUGGCUUCCGAGAUCUGCUGGAUGAUCUUCAUGCUGCACCCGAGCUGCAUCUCUUUCGGCUACUAGUACACUCAUGGUUUUCUUCAUCACAUCCAUUUCCGAUGCCAACCGCGCCACAACAUCUGCUUCCCGAUCCACCUUUCUCUUACGGCUUCUGUAACCGUACGGGUCAUCGUUCUGGGGGAACCCUAUUUUCCACGGAAUGUGCCCCAUGCCUCGUACACGUCCUCCGUGUUCAGGAUUCCCGAGGGAUUUUGUCAGCGCGUCGUUCUCUCUGUUGAACUUGAUCUUCCCCUGUUGAGCAUCCCUCAUUGCGUUAAUAAGGGCUUGGGUGGGUUUAAUUAAUUUGCCCCGGUAAACACACUCCCCUGUCUCCGGGUUCAGCGUUCCCCCAUGCCCGUACCACCAACUUUUGGCCCUUGGGUCCCAUCCCUCCGUACCUGCACGGAUUCCUCGCGCCCUCAGCUCGUUCUCCAUCUUCUCCAACCUAGGCACCCAAAUGCGAUACCCUCCUGGCCCCAUAACAUGAUUGUACUCCUUCUUAGCCGCAUUUUCCUUAUUUUUUCGAUAUUUGAAUGAACUGCUCCGAUUUCUUUUGCUUCACAAAUUCUGGCCAAUCAUGUUUCAGUUUCUCAUAUUGUCCUUUGAAAUCCGGAGUCUUGUUCUGCUUGACAAAGUCAUGGGCUAGAUUUUGCUUGAAUUUCCGGAAUGCGUCGGCCAUCUUAUGAAGAGCGAACUGUUUGACUAGCCUCCUCCUCUCCUUGUUUUCUUCAAUCUUGUUACCCUCCUCAUCGAAUUUGUUGUAUUCCGGAGGUAGAACGAAAUGUUCCAUAAGCUUCUUGAAGCAAUCUUUUUUUGUUCUCUUAUCGACAAAAGUGAAACCAUCAAUUCGUGCCUUCUUUGGCUCAUUCCACUCCUGGACGGUGAUCGAGACGUUGUCUCUAACAAUGGCUCCGCAUUGGCUGACAAACUUGGUGGCGUUCUUGCGGGGCUCCAGCGGCCUGCCGGUUGCACUGUCGACAACCUCGAUGGUGCAUGUUUCUCCUUGUUUCAUCGUCUUGGUUGCGCCACGCUUUGACGACGUACUCGAUUGUUUCGACGAUCCGGCCGAGGGCUAAAAUAAGAAAGAGUCGCGCGCGUUAGUACACACAUAUUUAUUCAAAUCAGUUAGUUUGUAUCACCAGAGGCUCAAUGUAUAUAUAUACCUCGGCGCCGGAGGUGGUUGCUACAUCCAUUUGAAGAUCGUCGUUUAUCGACGUUUGUUCGGCAUCAUCUUGCUGACGGCGCCCUUCAUCUUCACCGUCAAGGUUCAGAUAAGAAGAGAUAUCAUCUUCUUCUUCUCCGGUCGGCACAUAUAGAAUAUCGCCGUUUAUGAUGCCGAACAUAUGUGCUUCACCGUCCGGAUCAUAGUUGUCCAUAAUCGGGUCAGCUCUAUCGUCCGCCAUUAUGUCAGUCCUGAAAACAUGUAGUAAAAACAAAUUAAUUAAGUGAAGAAGGGGGGCGGUGGCGGUGGCGGUGGCGAAAGGGUGGUGGCAAAAGGAGGGGGCGAGGAAGGGGUGGGAGAGGGUGUCGCGGUAGAGCGCGAGACGGGGCGGCACGAACGUCAUUUUGUGAAGAAACUUUGCAAGCAAUUAAACAUUUGUCAAUGUUUGGUAAAAAAAAUACAGGUAGCGUCUGUUGCUCCUAAUGAUUGGAAACGGUUUCCAAUUGCCAACGAGGAUUUAGAUCGACUACUACUACUAGUUGCAUUGCUCCCCAUCGGGACGAUGUUGCUCCUAAUCCCCUCCUUUGGAAUCUAUAGUACUAGUGCAUACUAGCUGGCCGUUGACCGUUGUUGCUCAUCGCGUUUUCUCAAAGUCCACUGAUUUUGCUCAGGGCCAGUUCGGAGAUUUUGCUGGUCCACUGAUUUUGGAUCAACGCCGGGAUGGCAUGGGCGCUCGGCGAUGAUGCGAAGUAGACUUGCACAGGCAACGUGAUGUACAUGGAUGUGUCAGUACGGUACGCUCGGCGAUGCCACGGUAUGGAUGACUUCUCGAGUGGAGAUUGGAGAACCAAGUUCGCCGGUGAAACGUCGGCUCCUGAUCAGAUCUGGGGGUCGCGAACUAGCGAUUGGAUCUCGGAAGGGAGUUAGGAAAGCGAACAGACGUGCGUUCAAGGCUACAACUUUUUUUUUCAGGAUCUUGAAAACAGCUACGCGUUCAAGGCCCGGUCCUGAUUUUGCUCAUCUACCCGGGGCGGCGUUCGCACUGCGCGAGGGCCGACUCCGCGGGGUGCUGCCGCGUCGCCUCGUCGACGCUGAGCGAGUUGGCGAGGACCGUGUACAUGGUCGGCACGUCGCCGGCGGAGAGGGUCAUGCUGUCCCCGACCAGCGGCGGCCACGGACGGGGAGGGCGGCGGCGGUGACUGGGAAGGAAUGAUAGGAGAGGAAGGAAGGUCGCGUGGGGUUGAGGGCGGNNNNNNNNNNGGCGAGGAGGGACUCCUUGGCGGAGAGGCGCUCCGUCUCGCGGGCGUAGCUGGCAGCGGGCUCCCACGCCUGCGCGUACACGUCGUCCCGCCGUGCGUUCAAGGCUACAACUUUUUUUUUUAGGAUCUUGAAAACAACUACGCGUUCAAGGCCGGCCCGGUCCUGAUUUUGCUCAUCUACCCGGGGCGGCGUUCGCACUGCGCGAGGGCCGACUCCGCGGGGUGCUGCCGCGUCGCCUCGUCGACGCUGAGCGAGUUGGCGAGCACCGUGUACAUGGUCGGCACGUCGCCGGCGGAGAGGGUCAUGCUGUCCCCGACCAGCGGCGGCCACGGACGGGGAGGGCGGCGGCGGUGACUGGGAAGGAAUGAUCGGAGAGGAAGGAAGGUCGCGUGGGGUUGAGGGCGGGCGAGCGAGGCGGCAGUACCGAGGCUGGCCGGCGGCGCGCGCGCGGUGGGCGAGGGCGACGGCGGGCGGCGUCGAGGGCGAGGGCGACGGCGGGCGGCGUCGAGGGCGCGGCAGAGACGAACAGGCGAGAAACGGCGGGCGGCGUCGAGGGAGCCUUGUAUUUAUAGCCCCCCCNNNNNNNNNNNNNNNNNNNNNNNNNNNNNNNNNNNNNNNNNNNNNNNNNNNNNNNNNNNNNNNNNNNNNNNNNNNNNNNNNNNNNNNNNNNNNNNNNNNNNNNNNNNNNNNNNNNNNNNNNNNNNNNNNNNNNNNNNNNNNNNNNNNNNNNNNNNNNNNNNNNNNNNNNNNNNNNNNNNNNNNNNNNNNNNNNNNNNNNNNNNNNNNNNNNNNNNNNNNNNNNNNNNNNNNNNNNNNNNNNNNNNNNNNNNNNNNNNNNNNNNNNNNNNNNNNNNNNNNNNNNNNNNNNNNNNNNNNNNNNNNNNNNNNNNNNNNNNNNNNNNNNNNNNNNNNNNNNNNNNNNNNNNNNNNNNNNNNNNNNNNNNNNNNNNNNNNNNNNNNNNNNNNNNNNNNNNNNNNNNNNNNNNNNNNNNNNNNNNNNNNNNNNNNNNNNNNNNNNNNNNNNNNNNNNNNNNNNNNNNNNNNNNNNNNNNNNNNNNNNNNNNNNNNNNNNNNNNNNNNNNNNNNNNNNNNNNNNNNNNNNNNNNNNNNNNNNNNNNNNNNNNNNNNNNNNNNNNNNNNNNNNNNNNNNNNNNNNNNNNNNNNNNNNNNNNNNNNNNNNNNNNNNNNNNNNNNNNNNNNNNNNNNNNNNNNNNNNNNNNNNNNNNNNNNNNNNNNNNNNNNNNNNNNNNNNNNNNNNNNNNNNNNNNNNNNNNNNNNNNNNNNNNNNNNNNNNNNNNNNNNNNNNNNNNNNNNNNNNNNNNNNNNNNNNNNNNNNNNNNNNNNNNNNNNNNNNNNNNNNNNNNNNNNNNNNNNNNNNNNNNNNNNNNNNNNNNNNNNNNNNNNNNNNNNNNNNNNNNNNNNNNNNNNNNNNNNNNNNNNNNNNNNNNNNNNNNNNNNNNNNNNNNNNNNNNNNNNNNNNNNNNNNNNNNNNNNNNNNNNNNNNNNNNNNNNNNNNNNNNNNNNNNNNNNNNNNNNNNNNNNNNNNNNNNNNNNNNNNNNNNNNNNNNNNNNNNNNNNNNNNNNNNNNNNNNNNNNNNNNNNNNNNNNNNNNNNNNNNNNNNNNNNNNCGAGGAAGACCAAUCGGCUUAAGGUCAGGAACAAAGUCAACACAAAACUCAAUUACCUCCUCAUUUCCAUAGCCCUUGGCGAUGCUUCCUUCUGGCCUAGCACGGUUACGAACAUAUUUCUUUAAUACUCCCAUGAACCUCUCGAAGGGGAACAUAUUGUGUAGAAAUACAGGACCGAGAACGAAAAUCUCUUCGACUAGGUGAACCAGGAGGUGCGUCAUAAUAUUGAAGAAGGAUGGCGGGAACACCAACUCGAAACUGACAAGACAUUGGAUCACAUCGUUCUGUAACCAUGGUAGAACUUCUGGAUUGAUUACCUUCUGAGAGAUUGCAUUGAGGAAUGCACAUAGCUUCACAAUGGCUACUCGAACAUUUUCCGGCAGGAGCCCCCUCAAAGCAAUCGGAAGCAAUUGCGUCAUAAUCACGUGGCAGUCGUGAGACUUCAGGUUUUGGAACUUUUUCUCCGCCAUGUUUAUUAUUCCUUUUAUAUUGGACGAGAAUCCAGACGGGACCUUCAUACUGCUCAGGCAUUCAAAAAAGAUGACCUUCUCUUCUUUGGUCAGAGCGUAGCUGGCACGACCUUGAAACCAUUCCGGAUGCCGGUCAUCAGGGUCUUUCAAACGUUGCUGGUCCUGCCGUGCUUCCUUUGUAUCAUUUGUCUUCCCAUACACGCCCAAGAAGCUUAGGAGGUUCACGCAAAUAUUCUUCGUAACGUGCAUCACGUCGAUUGCAGAGCGGACAUCUAGGACUUUCCAAUAUUCUAGCUCCCAGAAUAUAGAUUUCUUCUUCCACAUGGCUGCGUUCCCGUCUGCUCCCUUCGGAACUGAUUGUCCGCCAGGACCCUUUCCAAAGAUGACUUUCAAAUCCUUGACCAUAUCAAAUACCUCAGCACCAGUGCAUUCCGCAGGCUUCGGCCGGUGAUCUGCCUUGCCGUUGUAAUGCUUGCCUUUCUUUCUUACUGGAUGAAUUUUCGGAAGAAAUCGAUGAUGCCCAAGGUACACGUUCUUCUUACAAUUUGGCAAAUGUACACUUUCAGUCUCAUGUAAGCAGUGCGUGCAUGCAUUGUAUCCCUUAUUUGACAGUCCCGAAAGGUUACUAAGAGCAGGCCAAUCGUUGAUGGUUACGAAAAGCAACGCUCGUAGGUCAAAUUCCUCUUGUUUGUGCUCAUCCCACACACGGACACCACCCCACAGCUGUAAAAGUUCAUCAACUAAUGGCCUUAGGUACACAUCGAUGUCGUUGCCGGGUUGCUUCGGACCUUGGAUGAGCACUGGCAUCAUAAUGAACUUCCGCUUCAUGCACAACCAAGAAGGAAGGUUGUAGAUGCAUAGAGUCACGGGCCAGGUGCUAUGGCUGGAGCUCUGCUCGCCAAAAGGAUUCAUGCCAUCCGUACUUAGAGCAAAUCUUAUGUUCCUUGCGUCAGCUGCAAAAUCUUUGAACCAUCUGUCGAUCUUUCUCCAUUGCGUUCCAUCUGCGGUGUGUCUCAACUCCCCGUCCGACUUACGGUCCUCUUUGUGCCAUCGCAACAACUUGGCAUGCUCUUUGUUCCUGAACAGACGUUUCAACCGUGGUAUUAUAGGAGCAUACCACAUCACCUUGGCGGGAACCCUCUUCCUGGGUUUCUGGCCCUCAACAUCGUCACCAGGGUCAUCGCCUCUGAUCUUAUAACGCAAUGCAGUGCAUAUCGGGCAUUCAUUCAAAUUCUCGUAUUCACCGCGGUAGAGGAUGCAGUCGUUGAUGCAUGCAUGUAUCUUCAGAACCUCUAAACCUAGAGGGCAGACAACCUUCUUUGCUUCGUACGUACUGGCGGGCAACUCGUUAUCCUUUGGAAACAUACUCUUCAACAUUUUCAGCAAGUUUUCAAAUGCCGAGUCAGCUACACCUGCCUCUGCCUUCCAUUUCAGCAAAUCCAGUGUGCAGCCCAGCUUUUUCAGACCAUCAUCGCAUCCGGGGUACAGCGCCUUUCUGUGAUCCUCUAACAUGCGAUCCAAAUUCUCCCUCUCCUUUUCAGUUUCGCAGCGUCUCCGUGCAUCAGCAAUGGUCCGACCAAGAUCAUCAACGGGAUCAUCACGUGCCUCUUCUUCACCUUCCCCUUCACCUUCAGCAUCCUCCAUGAAAGUAUCACCGAGAUGAGCAAGAUAGCUUUCAUCGAUGAAAUCAUCCCCUUCUUCAUCUUCUUCCAUUAUAACCCCUCUUUCUCCAUGCUUGGUCCAACAAUUAUAGCUUGGCAUGAAACCGUGCCGAAGCAGAUGCAUGUGAACAUCUCUUGAGGAAGAGUAACCCUUCUGAUUCUUACAGAUAACACAUGGACAGAUAACAAAAAACCCCUGCUUGUUCGCAUUAGCCACUACGAGGAAAUCUUUCAAACCCGUAGUGAACUCGCCGGAGAGUCGGUUACCGUACAUCCAUUGCCGAUUCAUCUGCAUUAUUAUAAUAUAAAAUAUAUAAUUAACCAUCAUGCAUUUGUUAAACUAACUAGCUACAAACAAUAUAAAUUAAACAAUGAACUGCACACAUGCAUAUUUUAUCAAUGACACAUCAAAGGUUCAUCAAGUUGCUAACCGCGAUCGAGGAGUGUGGCUCCAACACUUCAUGUCAUGUUUGUUUCAUGCUCUUGGGGCAUUUCAUCAAACACCUUAUGUGCAUAAGAGGAACCAAAAGCAAACCUACACCCACUUGUGAAGAGAAUGGCUCCAAAUGGCUAAGUGUUGGCUGCUGGAUGGGUAUAUAUAGGGGAGGGGCUUUAGUUGCGGUUGGCUUGGCAAACCGUGACUAAAGGUGCCCGAAGGCCUUUAGUCGCGGUUGUCCUGGCCAACCGCGACUAAAGACCCUCACGUGCGCCAGCUGGCCACCGAGCGCCCUGAGCCCAGGCCUUUGGUCGCGGUUCACCUCCAGAACCGCGACUAAAGGUCCCAUUAGUCGCGGUUCCUACAGCUUCGCGACUUAUGGGGCUGGACGGAAGCUUGUUUUUCCACCAGUGUACUAGGUAAGGUGUCGUUCCAGUCAAAUUGAUGAAUUCAUCUUUUGUUACCUUUGUUAUAGGAAUAUAGGCUGCAUUUAUUAGUCAUAUCGAGCUCUCAAGGAGUCAAGAUCUUGUUAACUUACUAAUAAUUUCUAUAUACCUGCAGCGUUAUGGCCUAUGGUGCAGGGCAAAGACAACAAGGACGACAUGCGGCGGCGACGUGGCCAUGGUGAAGCUACUUCGUCCGGCUACCCCAUGGUUGGCGUGUCUGCCGUCCUCUCAAUCUAUCACACGUACGUCCGGUGCAUGCAUGGUGUCGGGCCGAAGAGCACACAAAUCUACAUCCAGGCCCUGGGCACUAGCAACCGCUGAUGCACUUAGCCACUUACCAAUGUAUUCCUAUUGUACGUAUAUAAUAAAGUGGUUAGUACGUCGACGUAGAAAUAGUUAGUAGCUUGCUUUGCACUCACACAAUCGAGUCAUGAUUGUUACUGAUGAUCAAAAUUUUAUGUAUUUUUUAUGCCGGAUGGGUUUACUACUUCUUCUUCGGUUGUAUAUAAAGCUUCCAAAAAAUUAGUAUAUAAUCCUCCAGAAUAAAUCAGUAUAUAGUCCUCCAAAAAAAUGAGUAUAUACACUUUGUAACGCAGCAUAUACCCCAUAAAAAAUGUAGUAUAACGCUGCAGAAAUAAGACAUACUCCUUUUCUAGUUGCAUAUACCCAAUCACAAAACUACACUGAAAUAAUUAGUAGUACAUACUCCUUUUCUAUUUUGGAAAGGAACGUCCAUUUCCCUCUUCAACAAGUGCUUUAUUUUUCUAGGGGUAGCCUUGUGUUUUUACUGCCAUGCGACGACAUUACAAAAUGUAUUACACCCAUUAUUCAUCUAAUUUUUUAUAUACCCUUUUAUGCAUACUUUGAAUUUAUCACUCAUUUGGGCGACCAGCCCGCUCUCUCAUUGCAGCGACUCGACUCUCACAUAAAGCCAGUAUAUACUCACGUAAAAAAAAGCAGUAUAGACUCCCUUACUGAAAAAGAACUAUAUACUCCCCUACCAAAAAAAGUAGUAUAUGCUCCAUUACCAAAAAGGCAGUAUAUACUCAUAUACAAAAGGUGGUAUAUACUGUCUUCCCAAAGUAGUAUAUAUCUUUUUCCUUGCGUUAGAGAAGUAGUAUAACCAGAACAGAUAGUUCAUACUUGUGUGCUGAAAAAAGUAGUAUAUAAAUAUAUAUGUAAGAGUGAGUAUGGUAGAUAUGUAUCGGUCCUUACAAAAAAAAUCAACCACUGUUAUUGUUUAUUUGCACCGAACUAACCUUAUCUGUAUGCUAGGAUCCUUGAAUCUCUCAAUCUGUUGAUGCACAUGCAUGCGUCGGCCGGUGGAGCAAUUAGCAACUAGAUCUAAUAACUGCCAACCUGUUCAGUCCAUGGGAGUACAUACUCCUGGGAGUAUAAAAGAGGAGUCUAUAUAUAUAUAUAUAUAUAUAUAUAUAUACGGUGGCGCUAUUGUGUGCGUGAGCGCAGAUUUACUUAUCGUGCGCGCCGGUCAUUGCGUGCGCCACUCGUAUUCCUAAUGAUGGUAAAAUUCCUGGCAGAAAUAGUAAUAUAAUUUAAUUGGUUACUGCCUGCCACCACCACGGUAGCGAUUUAAUUGGUUAGGUCUACUAGUAAAAAUGCAUAGCAGAAAAAGUAAAAGAGCUAAAAGUAUUACUGUUGGAUGCAUCGGUCCCCGCUUCGACUGCCUACUAGUAAAACACCUCAUAAAAGUAGUAAUAGGAUUACCCUACACGCAUCAGCCCCUUGCCAUACUUGUGAACAGGUAAACUUCAUGUGAAGAAUAGUACUGGAUGGUAACUGUGUUACCAUAGAACGGACACUUGCUAUUAGCUAGCUACAUGGUAAUUUUAUUACCGCUAACUUUCAUCGGUUUAAUACCUAAUCAUGUUACCACUUAUUUUCUUAGUAGUAUUGGAUGGUAACUAUGUUACCACAUGACGAAAAAAUUGCUAUUAGCUAAUAGCUACACGGUAAUUGCAUUACCACUCAUGUGUAGAAGCAUGAUACACGGUCUUUUUUCCAAUUACGUUUGGUCGAAGACGCAAGGGUUUGCUAAUCGCUAAAGUGGGGUCGAAGCAGUAAUAAGUUUCCAACCGUUACCAUGUUUCUUAAGGUAUGUUACGUAUGGGCGCAAGACAUGUUCUUUAAUAGGAGCGGGACAACGGUUGCUUAGACGGAGAAUGGCGCGCAGUCUGGCCGGAGCGUAGAAUUAGACUUCUGCGCUCAGGCUUAGUUUAGCACGUCUAUAUAUAUAUAUAUAUAUAUAUAUAUAUAUAUACAUACAUGUUAGUGGCCUCGACGCUGCUUCUCUAGGGUUUGGGGUCGCCUCGACACAACGCUUCAAGGGUUUGGGGUGGCCUCGACGACAACGUUUUUUUAACUUGAUAAAUUUGGGUGGCCUCGAGAGAGUUAAUUUGUCGGGUAGGGGCGCGGCGGGAGGGGGUAGGAGACCAACAUCGUUUUCUCUCUAGGGUUUGGGUGUCCUCGAGAGUUAUCGGGGAGGGGGUAUCGGUACCACCCCCUAGCUCGUGUUGAAGUUUCUUCUUUCUCCUCUAUUCCUUUCUUUCUUCUUCUCCUCUUCUUUUUCUUCUUCUCCCUCGAGAAAGGAAAAUANNNNNNNNNNNNNNNNNNNNNNNNNNNNNNNNNNNNNNNNNNNNNNNNNNNNNNNNNNNNNNNNNNNNNNNNNNNNNNNNNNNNNNNNNNNNNNNNNNNNNNNNNNNNNNNNNNNNNNNNNNNNNNNNNNNNNNNNNNNNNNNNNNNNNNNNNNNNNNNNNNNNNNNNNNNNNNNNNNNNNNNNNNNNNNNNNNNNNNNNNNNNNNNNNNNNNNNNNNNNNNNNNNNNNNNNNNNNNNNNNNNNNNNNNNNNNNNNNNNNNNNNNNNNNNNNNNNNNNNNNNNNNNNNNNNNNNNNNNNNNNNNNNNNNNNNNNNNNNNNNNNNNNNNNNNNNNNNNNNNNNNNNNNNNNNNNNNNNNNNNNNNNNNNNNNNNNNNNNNNNNNNNNNNNNNNNNNNNNNNNNNNNNNNNNNNNNNNNNNNNNNNNNNNNNNNNNNNNNNNNNNNNNNNNNNNNNNNNNNNNNNNNNNNNNNNNNNNNNNNNNNNNNNNNNNNNNNNNNNNNNNNNNNNNNNNNNNNNNNNNNNNNNNNNNNNNNNNNNNNNNNNNNNNNNNNNNNNNNNNNNNNNNNNNNNNNNNNNNNNNNNNNNNNNNNNNNNNNNNNNNNNNNNNNNNNNNNNNNNNNNNNNNNNNNNNNNNNNNNNNNNNNNNNNNNNNNNNNNNNNNNNNNNNNNNNNNNNNNNNNNNNNNNNNNNNNNNNNNNNNNNNNNNNNNNNNNNNNNNNNNNNNNNNNNNNNNNNNNNNNNNNNNNNNNNNNNNNNNNNNNNNNNNNNNNNNNNNNNNNNNNNNNNNNNNNNNNNNNNNNNNNNNNNNNNNNNNNNNNNNNNNNNNNNNNNNNNNNNNNNNNNNNNNNNNNNNNNNNNNNNNNNNNNNNNNNNNNNNNNNNNNNNNNNNNNNNNNNNNNNNNNNNNNNNNNNNNNNNNNNNNNNNNNNNNNNNNNNNNNNNNNNNNNNNNNNNNNNNNNNNNNNNNNNNNNNNNNNNNNNNNNNNNNNNNNNNNNNNNNNNNNNNNNNNNNNNNNNNNNNNNNNNNNNNNNNNNNNNNNNNNNNNNNNNNNNNNNNNNNNNNNNNNNNNNNNNNUGAAAACACUUUUUUUUGUUUUCUUUCUUGCUUUAUUUAUUUUAUUUUGUUUCUACUUGCAAUAAAAUACUUAUUGUUGUUUUUUUGUUUUGUUUUCUGCAUUAUUUAUUUUCUUUUGUUUUUUGCUUUAUUUUUUAAUUCUUUUUGCUUUUAGUUUUAGGAAAAUUAUAAACUUUCUAUUAGUGCCAUUACUUUUCAAAUUUGAAAACACUUUUUUGUUUUUUAGUUUUCUUUCUUGCUUUAUUUAUUUUAUUUUGUUUCUACUUACAACAAAAUACUUAUUGUUGCUAUUUUUAAUUAUUACGAAGGCCAAACCAUAAGACAUUAAAGCAUUUCAAAUGAACUCUGAAAAAGUUGAAAGUUGGCAUGGUAUCAUAAAUUGACCCACACAUAGCAUGUGCAUGUACAAAACGGACAAUGUUAUCAUACUCGUCAGUUACAAAGUUGGCAUGGUAUCAUCAUAAUAGUUGCGGGAGAAAGUCUUCACUUUUUCUUCGCUUGUGUCAUUUGCUUAUUGCGCCGUAACCAUGGAUAAUCUUCAUCGUUUAUCAGGAUGCUGGGGUCAGCCUUGACUUUAAAGGGAGGAAUUUCAUGAAACUUUUCAUAAUCUUCAGACAUGUCUGUCUUGUCCUCCUCUCCCACGAUGUCCCUUUUUCCUGAAAGAACUAUGUGGCGCUUUGGCUCAUCGUAUGAUGUAUUCGCUUCCUUAUCUUUUCUCUUUCUUGGUCUGGUAGACAUGUCCAUCACAUAGAUAACCUGUGCCACAUCAUUGGCUAGGACGAACGGUUCGUCAGUGUACCCAAGAUUUUUCGGAUCCACUGUUGUCGUUCCGUACUGUGGGUCUACAUGUACCCCGCCUCCUGACAGAUUGACCCAUUUGCACUUAAACAAAGGGACCUUAAAAUCAUGUCCUUAGUCAAGUUCCCAUAUGUCCACUAUGUAACCAUAAUAUGUGUCCUUUCCCCUCUCGGUUGUUGCAUCAAAGCGGACACCGCUGUUUUGGUUGGUGCUCUUUUGAUCUUGGUUAAUCGUGUAAAAUGUCUUCCCAUUUAUCUCAUAUCCUUUCCAAAUCGUAACAGUCGAAGAUGGUCCCCUGGAUAACAAGUACAUCUCAUCACAAACAGCGUUGUCACCUCUGAUACGUGCUUCCAACCAACUGCUGAAAGUCCUGAUGUGUUCACAUGUAAUUCAGUCGUCGCACUGCUCCGGGUGUUUGGAGCGCAGACUGUUCUUGUGUUCAUCCACAUACGGGGUCACCAAGGUAGAGUUCUGUAGAACUGUGUAGUGUGCUUGAGACCAAGAAUAUCUGUCCCUGCAUAUUAUUGAGUCCCUUCCAAGCAUGCCUUUUCCAGUCAGUCUCCCCUCAUACCGCGAUUUAGGGAGACCUAUCUUCUUAUGGCCAGGAAUGAAGUCAACACAAAACCCGAUGACAUCCUCUGUUUGAUGGCCCAUGGAGAUGCUUCCUUCUGGCCUAGCGCGAUGAGGGACAUAUUUCUUUAGGACUCCCAUGAACCUCUCAAAGGGGUACAUAUUGUGUAGAAAUACGGGGCCCAAAAUGACAAUCUCGUCAACUAGAUGAACUAGGACGUGCGUCAUGAUAUUGAAGAAGGAUGGUGGGAACACCAGCUCGAAACUGACAAGACAUUGCACCACAUCACUCCUUAGCCUUGGUAUGAUUUCUGGAUCGAUCACCUUCUGAGAGAUUGCAUUGAGGAAUGCACAUAGCUUCACAAUGGCUAAUCGGACGUUUUCCGGUAGAAGCCCCCUCAAUGCAACCGGAAGCAGUUGUGUCAUAAUCACGUGGCAGUCAUGAGACUUUAGGUUCUGAAACUUUUUCUUUGCCAUAUUUAUUAUUCCUUUUAUAUUCGACGAGAAGCCAGUCGGGACCUUCAUACUAAGCAGGCAUUCAAAGAAGAUUUCCUUCUCUUCUUUGGUAAGAGCAUAGCUGGCAGGACCUUCAUACUGCUUUGGAGGCAUGCCGUCUUUUUCGUGCAAAUGUUGCAGGUCCUCCCGUGCCUCAGCUGUAUCUUUUGUCUUCCCAUACACGCCCAAGAAGCCUAGCAGGUUCACGCAAAGGUUCUUCGUCACGUGCAUCACGUCGAUCGAAGAGCGGACCUCUAGGUCUUUCUAGUAGGGUAGGUCCCAAAAUAUAGAUUUCUUCUUCCACAUGGGUGCGUGUCCCCCAACGUCACUCGGAACAGCUAGUCUGCCGGGACCCUUUCCAAAGAUUACGUGUAAAUCAUUGACCAUAGCAAGUACGUGACCACCGGUACGCAUGGCGGGCUUCUUCCGGUGAUCUGCCUCGCCUUUGAAAUGCUUGCCUUUCUUUCGACAUUGAUGGUUGGUCGGAAGAAAUCGACGAUGGCCCAGGUACACAUUCUUCCUACAGCUUGCCAGGUAUAUACUAACGGUGUCAAGUAAACAGUGCGUGCAUGCGUGGUAUCCCUUGUUUGUCUGUCCUAAAAGGUUACUGAGAGCAGGCCAAUCGUUGAUGGUCACGAACAGCAACGCCUUUAGGUUAAAUUUCUCCUGUUUGUGCUCAUCCCACGUACGUACACCGUUUCCAUUCCACAGCUGUAAAAGUUCUUCAACUAAUGGCCUUAGGUACACAUCAAUGUCAUUGCCGGGUUGCUUAGGGCCUUGGAUGAGAACUGGCAUCAUAAUGAACUUCCGCUUCAUGCACAUCCAAGGAGGAAGGUUAUACAUACAUAGAGUCACGGGCCAGGUGCUGUGAUUGCUGCUCUGCUCCCCGAAAGGAUUAAUGCCAUCCGCACUUAAAGCAAACCAUACGUUCCUUGGCUCACUUGCAAACUCAUCCCAGUACUUUCUCUCAUUUUUCUCCAUUGCGACCCGUCAGCGGGUGCUCUCAACUUCCCGUCUUUCUUACGGUCCUCACUAUGCCAUCGCAUCAACUUGGCAUGCUCUCCGUUUCUGAACAGACGUUUCAACCGUGGUAUUAUAGGAGCAUACCACAUCACCACUACUAGGGAAAAGCCUAUACAUAGAAUCUUACCAGCAGCGCUCUUCAAAAUACAACGCUACUGCUACUUAGCAGCAGCGCGUGUCUGCCAAACACGCUGCUGACUUGGAAGUAGCAGUAGCGGGUGCAUCGCAUACAGCGCUACUGCUAUAGUUGCCAUGACCUUGCCCCCCCCCCCCCNNNNNNNNNNNNNNNNNNNNNNNNNNNNNNNNNNNNNNNNNNNNNNNNNNNNNNNNNNNNNNNNNNNNNNNNNNNNNNNNNNNNNNNNNNNNNNNNNNNNNNNNNNNNNNNNNNNNNNNNNNNNNNNNNNNNNNNNNNNNNNNNNNNNNNNNNNNNNNNNNNNNNNNNNNNNNNNNNNNNNNNNNNNNNNNNNNNNNNNNNNNNNNNNNNNNNNNNNNNNNNNNNNNNNNNNNNNNGCAAACGCGCUACAACUAUCCCUACCUUAUCCCCAUGCGCACGACCGGCCCUCUCACUCACACUCUCACUCUCGCCCACGUCAACCGUCGUCGUCCGUCGCCGCCGCCGCCGCCUUCGUCCGUCCGCCGCCGAGGUACUCCCCUCCUUCCGUCCCUCCUCCAUCCUCCUUGCACAUCCUCCCUCCGCCUGUGGCCGCCCCUCCUUCCUCCGCCGCUGCCCUCCUCCCUCCGCCUGCGGCCGCCCCUCCUCCCUCCUCCGACGGCAGCCCUCCUCCCACCGCCCUCGACCUCGCUGCCCCUAGCUACCUCUCCGUCGCCCCCCACCCCUGCCACUAGUUAGUACUAGAUUUAGUAGUAGUAGAUGUUAAUUUAGGGUUAGCUAGUACUAGAUGUUGCUUAGUUAGUACUAGAUUUUUAGUAGUAGUAGUGGUAGUUGAACUACUUUAGUUGUAGUUGAACUAGUUUAGUAAGUAAAUUAAUAAACGAGUUGAACUAGUUGAAUUAAUAGAACUAAUCUAUUUUUAGUAAGAUAAUUAAUAUAACUAGUUGAACUACUUUAUUUUUAGAAAGAACUAAUUUUUUUCUAUUUAUAUUAAGUUUAUAUUUAGUAAGAACUAGUUGAAUUAAUAAAACUAGUUGAACAUGUCAUGUUUGUUGUUAGUGAUAACUUAUAUGGUUUCAGGUGACCUCCGUCGUCCCCGUCACCGACCCCCUCCGACAUCCCCGUCGUCGUCCCAGUCACCGACCCCCUCCGACAUCGAGGUGAGACCAGCCAAAUAUCCUUGUAUAUCUUGUGUUGUUGCUCAAAUUGGAUAUGUGGUUGCCCAAGUGGCCGUUCAUGUAGUUUACAUCUCCGAGUGGCCUAUGUUUUGCCGGAGUGUUGAUUAAUUUCCGUUCCGACAAAUUUCAGGCGCUCGAUAUGUCCUUUUUUAGCAAAGGUCAUGCCGGAUUUUGUCGUGAAUUCUGGUAUGACUUGUGCUAGAAUAUGUACAAGUUUAAUCUUUGAAUUAUGAUUGUAGGAAAUGUCGUACUCGGACGACGAAGGUCUCCCGGGGGAGUGUAGCUGGUGCCACGACGAUCGAGGUAUGUGCGAUAGGUUCGUUCGGCUGGACGAAGAUCGGCGCUUCAACAUUAAGCUCGAGGAGACCUUCGAUUGUGAAAUGGUACGCAACAACGACAAGUGUUUUUUCUCCAUUAAGCAUGACUUCAACUAUUUCAACGUCUAAUUUUCAUAUUUUACAAUUCGACUAGCUUAUCCCAUGCCAUGCAAGACGCUAUGUCUUGGAGAGGAUGGGUUUUGAAGACCAUGAAAAUUUCAAAACAAAGAAAAUACACCUAAGGACCCAUCAUGAUAUGGAUUUUGAAGUAAACCUGUGCAAUGCUCAGAGCGCAACCCAUUUUGGUUGCCAAAAUUGGGAAGCACUUUGCAAAAUGUAUGGUUUUUAUGAGGGUAUGAUUGUCACCAUGGAUCUUGGUGAUCCUGACAGUGAGGAAGACAAUAUGGACAUUUGGGUCCUUGUUGAUACGCUUCCGAUUGUACCGCUAUGUGACUUUCUCAAACAUAGUUAUUAACUAAUUUAUAUUGUUUAUUUCAAAAUAGUUGAUAGCUUAUUUCCAUUGACAGCUUAUUUUGAUUCUUCAAAGACUGUGCGGAAGAUGGUAGAUAAAACCCACUACACCGAAGGCACCCAAUUAACGUAUAAGGAGAAAAAUCAUCUGAUCGCAUUUUGUACUCUUCUUGAGAAUUACAAUGACUAUAAUCGAACUCCUCCAGAUUAUGGUGAAUAUGUGCCACUAGUGCAUGUGUUGAACAACGAUAACUUAUCUGGAGAUACCCUGGUAAGAUUUUUUACUAUUACGACAUCCGUGUAUUUUUUGCAUACUUCUAAAACUAGUACAUCAUUGCUAACUACGAAGUUAUUAUUAUGUUUUUCAACAGAAACUCCCGAUGGAUUGUGUGCCUCAUCUGAUGUCUCUGCAUGGUCGCCUCUCAGUUCUGAACAUACUGCCAGGUAAAUCUACAGAGCUCACCUAUGCAUAUCAGAUUUCUAAAACCCGUGAACACAUGAUCAUCAGAGAAUGGAAGAAAUGUAUGGACAUUCGCAAGGAGGUUCUUGGAAGUAACAUUCAGCGAAACGUAAGAAUGGGAGACAGGCUAAUCUCCAUUCUCCAUAAUGGAGAGUCAGGGGCUAUCUUGUUUUUUGUUAUUUUACCUUAGAAAAUGUAGUAGGUCUUAAUCGAAUGUAAUAGGUCCUAUGAGGUACAAUAUGUUUAUUAUGUGGUAAUGUGUUAGAGUUGAUAAUGAUGAUCUUGAGGAGGUGUUAUGUGAUGUCAAUGAUGAAAACGAUGAUAUUGAGGAGGUGUUAUAUGACAAUGAUGUAUUAUGAUGCUAAGUUGUUAAUGAUAUGAUGAUGAUGAUGAUAUUAUUAUAUCAUUGGGUGAAAGAACCGUGGAUUAGUUUCAAGUGGAUGGACAUCCACUUGAAACUAGUCCACGGUUCUUUCACCCCAUGAUGUAAUAACUCAUUAUGAUGUAAAAACAAUCUCUAAAUUCCUGUUGUAUGAAAACUUGUGUAAGGGUGUAUGAAUACAACAUGAAAAAGAAAAGAAAUAAAAUACUAAAUAAUAGUAGUAGCGCGGGUAAGGAGAAGCGCUACUACUAAUUACCAGUAGCGAUGUUCUAAAGAACCGCUGCUACUAAGUCAAUUUAGCAGUAGCGCGUGUCAAGACGCGCUAUUGCUAAGCAUUAGCUGUAGCGCCUUAUCAGUAGCGCUCCUGCCCGCGCUACUGAUAGGCCCAAAACCCGCGCUGCUGCUAGGCUUUUCCCUAGUAGUGCACCUUCGCAGGAACCCUCUUCCUGGGGGGCUCGCCGUCAACAUCACCAGGGUCAUCUCGUCUGAUCUUAUACCAUAAUGCACCGCAUACCAGGCAUGCGUUCAGAUCCUUAUAUGCACCGCGGUAGAGGAUGCAGUCAUUAGGGCAUGCAGGUAUCUUCUGCACCUCCAAUCCUAGAGGGCAUACGACCUUCUUUGCUGCGUAUGUACUGUCGGGCAAUUCGUUAUCCUUUGGAAGCUUCUUCUUCAAUAUUUUCAGUAGCUUCUCAAAUCCUUUGUCAGGCACAGCAUUCUCUUAAAGGAAAUAUGCCCUAGAGGCAAUAAUAAAGUUAUUAUUUAUUUCCUCAUAUCAUGAUAAAUGUUUAUUAUUCAUGCUAGAAUUGUAUUAACCGGAAACAUGAUACAUGUGUGAAUACAUAGACAAAACUAUAGUCACUAGUAUGCCUCUACUUGACUAGCUCAUUAAUCAAAGAUGGUUAUGUUUCCUGACCAUAGACAUGUGUUGUCAUUUGAUUAGUGGGAUCACAUCAUUAAGAGAAUGAUGUGAUUGACAUGACCCAUUCUGUUAGCCCAGCACUUGAUCGUUUAGUAUACUGCUAUUGCUUUCUUCAUGACUUAUACAAAGUUCCUGCAACUAUGAGAUUGUGCAACUCCCGUUUACCGGAAGAACACUUUGUGUGCUACCAAACAUCACAACGUAACUGGGUGAUUAUAAAGGUGCUCUACAGGUGUUUCCGAAGGUACAUGUUGGGUUGGCAUAAUUCGAGAUUAGGAUUUGUCACUCCGAUUGUCGGAGAGGUAUCUCUGGGCCCUCUCGGAAAUACUCAUCACAUAAGCCUUGCAAGCAUGUAACUAAUGAGUUAGUUAUGAGAUGACGUAUUACGAAACGAGUAAAGAGACUUGCCGGUAACGAGAUUGAACUAGGUAUUGGAUACCGACGAUCAAAUCUCGGGCAAGUAACAUACCGAUGACAAAGGGAACAAAGUAUGUUGUUAUGCGGUUUGACCGAUAAAGAUCUUCGUAGAAUAUGUAGGAACCAAUAUGGGCAUCCAGGUCCCGCUAUUGGUUAUUGACCGAGAAUGGUUUUAGGUCAUGACUACAUAGUUCUCAAACCCGUAGGGUCCGCACGCUUAACUUUUUGAUGAUAGUUUUAUUAUGAGUUUAUAAGUUUUGAUGUACCAAAGUUUGUUCGGAGUUCCGGAUGUGAUCACGGAUAUGAUGAGGAGUCUCGGAAUGCUUGAGCCAUAAAGAUUGAUAUAUUGGACGACUAUAUUCGGACACCGGAAAGGUUCCGGGAGUUUUCGGAGAAAACCGGAGUGCCCGGGGGGUUACCGAAACCCCCCGGGAGAGUUAAUGGGCCACAUGGGCCUAGGUGGGAAGAGAAAGGGGCGGCCAGGGUGAGCCGCGCGCCCCCUCUCCCUCUAGUCCGAAUUGGACUAGGAGGGGGGGCGGCGCCCCCUUUCCUUCCCCCCCUCUCUUCCUUCCUUCCCCCUCCUAGUAGGAGUAGGAAAGGAGGAAUCCUACUCCUACUAGGAGGAGGAUUCCUCCUCCCUUGCGCGCCCCAAGGGGCCGGCCGGCCUCCCCCUCCCUCCUUUAUAUACGGGGGCAGGGGGCACCCCAUAGACACACAAGUUGAUCUACGGAUCGUUCCUUAGCCGUGUGCGGUGCCCCCUUCCACCAUAUUCCACCUCGGUCAUAUCGUCGCGAAGCUUAGGCGAAGUCCUGCGCCGGUAGAACAUCAAGAUCGUCACCACGCCGUCGUGCUGACGGAACUCUCCCUCGACACUCGGCUGGAUCGGAGUUCGAGGGACGUCAUCGAGCUGAAUGUGUGCUGAACUCGGAGGCUCCGUACGUUCGGUUCUUGGAUCGGUCGGAUCGUGAAGACGUAUGACUACAUCAACCGCGUUGUCAUAACGCUUCCGCUUACGGUCUACGAGGGUACAUGGACAUACACUCUCCCCUCUCGUUGCUAUGUCAUCACCAUGAUCUUGCGUGUGCGUAGGAAAAUUUUGAAAUUACUACGUUCCCCGACAGUGGUAUCAGAGCCUAGGUUUUAUGCGUUGAUGUUAUAUGCACGAGUAGAACACAAGUGAGUUGUGGACGAUAUAAGUCAUACUGCCUACCAGUGUGUCAUACUUUGGUUCAGCGGUAUUGUGAGAUGAAGCGGCCCGGACCGACAUUACGGGUACGCUUACGCGAGACUAGUUUCACCGUUAUGAGCACUCGUGCUUAAAGGUGGCUGGCGGGUGUCUGUCUCUCUCACUUUAGUUGAACCGAGUGUGGCUACGCCCGGCCCUUGUGAAGGUUAAAACGGAGUCUAUUUGACAAACUAUCGUUGUGGUUUUGAUGCGUAGGUAAGAACGGUUCUUGCUAAGCCCGUAGCAUCCACGUAAAAUUUGCAACAACAAAGUAGAGGACGUCUAACUUGUUUUUGCAGGGCAUGUUGUGAUAUGAUAUGGUCAAGACGUGAUGCUAUAUUUUAUUGUAUGAGAUGAUCAUGUUUUGUAACCGAAGUUAUCGGCAACUGGCUGGAGCCAUAUGGUUGUCGCUUUAUUGUAUGAAAUGCAAACGCCCUGUAAUUGCUUUACUUUAUCUCUAAGCGGUAGCGAUAGUCGUAGAAGCAAUAGAUGGCGUAAACGACAACGAUGCUACGAUGGAGAUCAAGGUGUCGCGCCGGUGACGAUGGUGAUCAUGACGGUGCUUCGAAGAUGGAGAUCACAAGCACAAGAUGAUGAUGGCCAUAUCAUAUCACUUAUAUUGAUUGCAUGUGAUGUUUAUCCUUUAUGCAUCUUAUCUUGCUUUGAUUGACGGUAGCAUUUUAAGAUGAUCUCUCACUAAAAUUAUCAAGUAGUGUUCUCCCUGAGUAUGCACCGUUGCCAAAGUUCAUCGUGCCGAGACACCACGUGAUGAUCGGGUGUGAUAAGCUCUACGUCCAUCUACAACGGGUGCAAGCCAGUUUUGCACACGCAGAAUACUCAGGUUAAACUUGACGAGCCUAGCAUAUGCAGAUAUGGCCUCGGAACACAGAGACCGAAAGGUCGAGCGUGAAUCAUAUAGUAGAUAUGAUCAACAUAAUGAUGUUCACCAUUGAAAACUACUCCAUCUCACGUGAUGAUCGGUUAUGGUUUAGUUGAUUUGGAUCACGUGAUCACUUAGAUGACUAGAGAGAUGUCUGUCUAUGUGGGAGUUCUUAAGUAAUAUGAUUAAUUGAACUUAAAUUUAUCAUGAACUUAGUACCUGAUAGUAUCUUGCUUGUCUAUGUUUGUUUGUAGAUAGAUGGCUCGUGCUGUUGUUCCGUUGAAUUUUAAUGCGUUCCUUGAGAAAGCAAAGUUGAAAGAUGAUGGUAGCAAUUACACGGACUGGGUCCGUAACCUGAGGAUUAUCCUCAUUGUUGCACAGAAGAGUUACGUCCUGGAAGCACCGCUGGGUGCCAGGCCUGCUGCUGAUGCAACUGACGACGUUAAGAACGUCUGGCAGAGCAAAGCUGAUGACUACUCUAUAGUUCAGUGUGCCAUGCUUUACGGCUUAGAACCGGGUCUUCAACGACGUUUUGAACGUCAUGGAGCAUAUGAGAUGUUCCAGGAGUUGAAGUUAAUAUUUCAAGCAAAUGCCCGGAUUGAGAGAUAUGAAGUCUCCAAUAAGUUCUAUAGCUGCAAGAUGGAGGAGAAUAGUUCUGUCAGUGAACAUAUACUCAGAAUGUCUGGGUAUAACAAUCACUUGAUUCAACUGGGAGUUAAUCUUCCUGAUGAUAGUGUCAUUGACAGAAUUCUUCAAUCACUGCCACCAAGCUACAAGAGCUUUGUGAUGAACUAUAAUAUGCAAGGGAUGAACAAGACUAUUCCCGAGCUCUUCGCGAUGCUGAAAGCCGCAGAGGUAGAAAUCAAGAAGGAGCAUCAAGUGUUGAUGGUCAACAAGACCACUAGUUUCAAGAAGAAGGGCAAAGGAAAGAAGAAGGGGAACUUCAAAAAGAACGGCAAGCAAGUUGCUGCUCAAGAGAAGAAACCCAAGUCUGGACCUAAGCCUGAAACUGAGUGCUUCUACUGCAAGCAGACUGGUCACUGGAAGCGGAACUGCCCCAAGUAUUUGGCGGAUAAGAAGGAUGGCAAAGUAAACAAAGGUAUAUGUGAUAUACAUGUUAUUGAUGUGUACCUAACUAGAGCUCGUAGUAGCACCUGGGUAUUUGAUACUGGUUCUGUUGCUAAUAUUUGCAACUCGAAACAGGGACUACGGAAUAAGCGAGCACUGGCCAAGGACGAGGUGACGAUGCGCGUGGAAAACGGUUCCAAAGUCGAUGUGAUCGCGGUCGGCACGCUACCUCUACAUCUACCAUCGGGAUUAGUUUUAGACCUAAAUAAUUGUUAUUUGGUGCCAGCGUUGAGCAUGAACAUUAUAUCUGGAUCUUGUUUGAUGCAAGACGGUUAUUCAUUUAAAUCAGAGAAUAAUGGUUGUUCUAUUUAUAUGAGUAAUAUCUUUUAUGGUCAUGCACCCUUGAAGAGUGGUCUAUUUUUAUUGAAUCUCGAUAGUAGUGAUACACAUAUUCAUAUUGUAGAAGCCAAAAGAUGCAGAGUUGAUAAUGAUAGUGCAACUUAUUUGUGGCACUGCCGUUUGGGUCAUAUCGGUGUACAACGCAUGAAGAAACUCCAUACUGAUGGACUUCUGGAAUCACUUGAUUAUGAAUCACUUGGUACUUGCGAACCGUGCCUUAUGGGCAAGAUGACUAAAACACCGUUCUCCGGAACUAUGGAGAGAGCAACAGAUUUGUUGGAAAUCAUACAUACAGAUGUAUGUGGUCCGAUGAAUGUUGAGGCUCGUGGCGGAUAUCAUUAUUUUCUCACCUUCACUGAUGAUUUAAGCAGAUAUGGGUAUAUCUACUUAAUGAAGUACAAGUCUGAAACAUUUGAAAAGUUCAAAGAAUUUCAGAGUGAAGUAGAAAAUCAUCGUAACAAGAAAAUAAAGUUUCUACGAUCUGACCGUGGAGGAGAAUAUUUGAGUUACGAGUUUGGUUUACAUUUGAAACAAUGCGGAAUAGUUUCGCAACUCACGCCACCUGGAACACCACAACGAAAUGGUGUGUCCAAACGUCGUACUCGUACUUUACUUGAUAUGGUGCGAUCUAUGAUGUCUCUUACCGAUUUACCGCUAUCGUUUUGGGGUUAUGCUUUAGAGACGGCCGCAUUCACGUUAAAUAGGGCACCAUCAAAAUCCGUUGAGAUGACGCCUUAUGAACUGUGGUUUGGCAAGAAACCAAAGUUGUCGUUUCUUAAAGUUUGGGGCUGCGGUACUUAUGUGAAGAAACUUCAACCAGAUAAGCUCGAACCCAAAUCGGAGAAAUGUGUCUUCGUAGGAUACCCAAAGGAGACUAUUGGGUACACCUUCUAUCACAGAUCUGAAGGCAAGAUUUUCGUUGCUAAAUUCGGAUCCUUUCUAGAGAAGGAAUUUCUCUCGAAAGAAGUGAGUGGGAGGAAAGUAGAACUUGAUGAGAUAACUGUAUCUACUCCCUUAUUGGAAGGUAGUUCAUCACGAGAACUGGUUCCCAUGACAACUACACCAAUUAUUGAGGAAGCUAAUAAUAUUGAUCAUGAAACUUCAGAUCAAGUUUCUGCUGAACCUCGUAGGUCUACCAGAGUAAGAUCCGCACCAGAGUGGUACGGUAAUCCUAUUCUGGAAGUCAUGUUACUUGACCAUGAUGAACCUACGAACUAUGAGGAACCGAUGAUGAGCCCAGAUUCCGCAAAAUGGCUAGAGGCCAUGAAAUCUGAGAUGGGAUCCAUGGAUGAAAACAAAGUAUGGACUUUGGUUGACUUGCCCGAUGAUCGGCAAGCCAUUGAGAAUAAAUGGAUCUUUAAGAAGAAGACUGACGCUGAUGGUAAUGUUACUGUCUAUAAAGCUCGACUUGUUGCGAAAGGUUUUCGACAAGUUCAAGGGGUUGACUAUGAUGAGACUUUCUCACCCGUAGCGAUGCUUAAGUCUGUCCGAAUCAUGUUGGCUAUUGCUGCAUUUCAUGAUUAUGAAAUUUGGCAAAUGGAUGUCAAAACUGCAUUCUUGAAUGGAUUUCUAGAAGAAGAGUUGUAUAUGAUGCAGCCGGAAGGUUUUGUUGAUCCAAAAGGUGCUGACAAAGUGUGUAAGCUCCAAUGUUCCAUUUAUGGACUGGUGCAAGCAUCUCGGAGUUGGAAUAAACGUUUUGACAGUGUGAUCAAGGCAUAUGGUUUUAUACAGACUUUUGGAGAAGCCUGUAUUUACAAGAAAGUGAGUGGGAGCUCUGUAGCAUUUCUAGUUUUAUAUGUUGAUGACAUAUUAUUAAUUGGAAAUGAUAUAGAAUUUCUGGAGAGCAUAAAGGGAUACUUGAAUAAAAGUUUUUCAAUGAAAGACCUCGGUGAAGCUGCUUACAUAUUGGGCAUCAAGAUCUAUAGAGAUAGAUCAAGACGCUUAAUAGGACUUUCACAAAGCACAUACCUUGACAAAAUUUUGAAAAAGUUCAAAAUGGAUCAGGCAAAGAAAGGAUUCUUGCCUGUGCUACAAGGUGUGAAGUUGAGUCAAACUCAAUGCCCGACCACAUCAGAAGAUAGAGAGAAAAUGAAAAAUGUUCCCUAUGCUUCAGCCAUAGGCUCUAUCAUGUAUGCAAUGCUGUGUACCAGACUUGACGUAUGCUUAGCAAUAAGCUUGGCAGGAAGGUACCAAAGUAAUCCAGGAGUGGAUCACUGGACAGCGGUCAAGAACAUCCUUAAAUACCUGAAAAGGACUAAGGAUAUAUUUCUCGUAUAUGUAGGUGACAAAGAGCUCGUCGUAAAUGGUUACGUCGAUGCAAGCUUUGACACUGAUCCAGACGAUUCUAAAUCGCAAACCGGAUACGUGUUUAUAUUAAACGGUGGAGCUGUAAGUUGGUGCAGUUCUAAACAAAGCGUCGUGGCGGGAUCUACAUGUGAAGCGGAGUACAUAGCUGCUUCUGAAGCAGCAAAUGAAGGAGUCUGGAUGAAGGAGUUCAUUUCCGAUCUAGGUGUCAUACCUAGUGCAUCGGGACCAAUGAAGAUCUUCUGUGACAAUACAGGUGCAAUUGCUUUGGCAAAGGAAUCCAGAUUUCACAAGAGGACCAAGCACAUCACGAGACGCUUAAAUUCCAUUCGGGACCAAGUCCAAGUGGGAGACAUACAGAUUUGCAAGAUACAUACGGAUCUGAAUAUUGCAGACCCGUUGACUAAGCAUCUCUCACGAGCAAAACAUGAUCAGCACCAAGACUCCAUGGGUGUUAGAAUCAUUAUUGUGUAAUCUAGAUUAUUGACUCUAGUGCAAGUGGGAGACUAAAGGAAAUAUGCCCUAGAGGCAAUAAUAAAGUUAUUAUUUAUUUCCUCAUAUCAUGAUAAAUGUUUAUUAUUCAUGCUAGAAUUGUAUUAACCGGAAACAUGAUACAUGUGUGAAUACAUAGACAAAACUAUAGUCACUAGUAUGCCUCUACUUGACUAGCUCAUUAAUCAAAGAUGGUUAUGUUUCCUGACCAUAGACAUGUGUUGUCAUUUGAUUAGUGGGAUCACAUCAUUAAGAGAAUGAUGUGAUUGACAUGACCCAUUCUGUUAGCCUAGCACUUGAUCGUUUAGUAUACUGCUAUUGCUUUCUUCAUGACUUAUACAAAGUUCCUGCAACUAUGAGAUUGUGCAACUCCCGUUUACCAAAAGAACACUUUGUGUGCUACCAAACGUCACAACGUAACUGGGUGAUUAUAAAGGUUCUCUACAGGUGUUUCCGAAGGUACAUGUUGGGUUGGCAUAAUUCGAGAUUAGGAUUUGUCACUCCGAUUGUCGGAGAGGUAUCUUUGGGCCCUCUCGGUAAUACUCAUCACAUAAGCCUUGCAAGCAUGUAACUAAUGAGUUAGUUAUGAGAUGACGUAUUACGGAACGAGUAAAGAGACUUGCCGGUAACGAGAUUGAACUAGGUAUUGGAUACCAACGAUCAAAUCUCGGGCAAGUAACAUACCGAUGACAAAGGGAACAAAGUAUGUUGUUAUGCGGUUUGACCGAUAAAGAUCUUCAUAGAAUAUGUAGGAACCAAUAUGGGCAUCCAGGUCCCGCUAUUGGUUAUUGACCGAGAAUGGUUUUAGGUCAUGACUACAUAGUUCUCGAACCCGUAGGGUCCGCACGCUUAACGUUUCGAUGAUAGUUUUAUUAUGAGUUUAUAAGUUUUGAUGUACCGAAGUUUGUUCGGAGUCCCAGAUGUGAUCACAGACAUGACGAGGAGUCUUGGAAUGGUCGAGACAUAAAGAUUGAUAUAUUGGACGACUAUAUUCGGACACCGGAAAGGUUCCGGGAGUUUUCGGAGAAAACCGGAGUGCCGGGGGGGUUACCGGAACCCCCCGGGAGAGUUAAUGGGCCACAUGGGCCUAGGUGGGAAGAGAGAGGUGCGGCCAGGGUGGGCCGCGCGCCCCCUCUCCCUCUAGUUCGAAUUGGACUAGGAGGGGGGGCGGCGCCCCCCUUUCCUUCCCCCCCUCUCUUCCUUCCUUCCCCCUCCUAGUAGGAGUAGGAAAGGAGGAAUCCUACUCCUACUAGGAGGAGGAUUCCUCCUCCCUUGGAGCGCCCCAAGGGGCUGGCCGGCCUCCCCCUCCCUCCUUUAUAUACGAGGGCAGGGGGCACCCCAUAGACACACAAGUUGAACUACGGAUCGUUCCUUAGCCGUGUGCGGUGCCCCCUUCCACCAUAUUCCACCUCGGUCAUAUUGUCGCGAAGCUUAGGCGAAGCCCUGCGCCGGUAGAACAUCAAGAUCGUCACCACGCCGUCGUGCUGACGGAACUCUCCCUCGACACUCGGCUGGAUCGGAGUUCGAGGGACGUCAUCGAGCUGAACAUCUGCUGAACUCGGAGGCUCCGUACGUUAGGUGCUUGGAUCGGUCGGAUCGUGAAGACGUACGACUACAUCAACCGCGUUGUCAUAACGCUUCCGCUUACGGUCUACGAGGGUACGUGGACAUACACUCUCCCCUCUCGUUGCUAUUUCAUCACCAUGAUCUUGCUUGUGCGUAGGAAAAUUUUGAAAUUACUACGUUCCCCAACAUCUCUGCCUUCCACUGCAGCAAUUCCAGUACGGUACCGAGCUUUGUGUUGCCAUCUUCGCAAUUGGGGUACAACCCUUUUUUUUGGUCCUCUAGCAUGCGAUCGAACUUCAGCUUCUCCUUUUGACUUUUGCAUUGCGUCCUUGCAUCGACAAUGACCCGGCGGAGAUCAUCAUCAUCGGGCACAUCGUCUGGUUCCUCUUGAUCUUCAGCAGCUUCGCCUGUUGCAGCAUCAUCGUGCACAUCGUCUGGUUCCUCUUGAUCUUCAGGAGCAUCACCGUAUUCAGGGGCACAUAGUUGUCAUCGUACUCUUCUUCACCGUCUUCCAUCAUAACCCCUAUUUCUCCGUGCCUCAUCCAAACAUUAUAGUGUGGCAUGAAACCCUUGUAAAGCAGGUGGGUGUGGAGGAUUUUCCGGUCAGAGUAAGACUUCGUAUUCCCACAUAUAGGACAUGGACAACACAUAAAACCAUUCUGCUUGUUUGCCUCAGCCACUUCGAGAAAAUCAUGCACGCGCUUAAUGUACUCGGAGGUGUGUCUUGAACCGUACAUCCAUUGCCGGUUCAUCUGCGUGCAUUAUAUAAUGAAGUGACCAAAUUAAUAGAAGUUCAUCAUCACAUUAAAACCAAAGUACAUACAUAGUUCUCAUCUAACAACAUAAAGCUCUGCAGAGCAUCUAAAUUAAUUAAACCAUACACUGAAACUAUGUAAAACAUUUCAAUGCGAAAACAAAUGCAACCAUAAUCGCAACCAAUGUAACAACUGAUCCAACGGCAUAAUGAUACCAAGCCUCAGUAUGAAUGGCAUAUUUUCUAAUCUUUCUAAUCUUCAAGCGCAUUGCAUCCAUCUUGAUCUUGUGAUCAUCGACGACAUCCCCAACAUGCAACUCCAAUAUCAUCUUCUCCUCCUCAAUUUUUCUAAUUUUUUCCUUCAAGAAAUUGUUUUCUUCUUCAACUGAAUUUAACCUCUCGACAAUAGGGUCGGUUGGAAUUUCCGGUUCAACAACCUCCUAGAUAAAUAAAAUCUAUGUCACGUUGGUCGGCAUAAUUGUCAUAAACAAUAAAUGAACCAAUAGUUAUGAAAAGAUAAUAUAUACCACAUCCGAAUCAUAGACAGGACGAGGGCCGACGGGGGCGGAUACCAAAACCAUCGCACUAUAUAAGAUGCAAUAAUAAAAGUAAGAAAAUAAUACAAGUAUCUAUCUAAACAUACAAGUAAGAAUAUUUUUCCUUUCAGAAAGAAGAUAAGAACAAGAGGCUCACCACGGUGGUGCCGGCGAUGAGAUCGGCGCGGGUGAUCGACGACGAUGAAGACAAGGACGGGGCGUGACGGACCGCUAAACCUAGACAAAUAUUGAGGAAAAUGGAGCUUGGCGGUCGAGCUUGGAGGGGAGAAAGCUUAAGUAGUGUGGCUCGGGCAUUCCAUCGAACACCUCGUGUGCAUAGGAGGUGAGCUAGAGCACCACAAAGCUCUCCCCUCGCCGGCCACGAAAAACAGAGCACUGGGAGUGCUCUGCUCGCGAGCGGGGGGUAUAUAUAGGCACCACCAUUGGUCCCGGUUGGUCGCACGAACCGGGACUAAAGGUUGGCCUUUGGUCCCGGUUCGUGCCACCAACUGGGACCAAUGGUGGUGGGCCAGGAGCGAGGCCCAUUGGUCCCGGUUCGUCCCUCCAACCGGGACCAAAAGGUCCAGACAAACCGGGACCAAUGGCCCACGUGUUGGGUUUCGUAGUAAUUUCAAAAAAUUUCCUACGCACACGCAAGAUCAUGUGAUGCAUAGCAACGAGGGGAGAGUGUUGUCUACGUACCCAACGCAGACCGACUGCGGAAGCGAUGACACGACGUAGAGGAAGUAGUCGUACGUCUUCACGAUCCAACCGAUCAAGCACCGAAACUACGGCACCUCCGAGUUCGAGCACACGUUCAGCUCGAUGACGAUCCCCGGACUCCGAUCCAGCAAAGUGUCGGGGAAGAGUUCCGUCAGCACGACGGCGUGGUGACGAUCUUGAUGAACUACAGCAGCAGGGCUUCGCCUAAACUCCGCUACAGUAUUAUCGAGGUAUAUGGUGGCAGGGGCACCGCACACGGCUAAGGAAUAGAUCACGUGGAUCAACUUGUGUGUAUAGAGGUGCCCCCUGCCUCCGUAUAUAAAGGAGGAGAGGAGGGGAGGCUGGCCGGCCAAGGAGGGGAGGCGCAGGAGAGUCCUACUCCCUCUGGGAGUAGGAUUCCCCCCAAUCCUAGUCCAACUAGGAUUCCUCGGAGGGGAAGGGAGAGAGGGGGGCCGGCCACCUUCUCCUAGUCCUAAUAGGACUAGGGGAGGGGGAAGUGGCGCAGCCACCUUGGGCUGCCCCUUUCUCCUUUCCACUAAGGCCCAUGAAGGCCCAUAUGGCUCCCGGGGGGUUCCGGUAAUCCUCCCGGUACUCCGGUAAAAUCCCGAUUUCACCCGGAACACUUCCGAUGUCCAAACAUAGGCUUCCAAUAUAUCAAUCUUUAUGUCUCGACCGUUUCGAGACUCCUCGUCAUGUCCAUGAUCACAUCCGGGACUCCAAACAACCUUCGGUACAUCAAAAUGCAUAAACUCAUAAUGUAACUGUCAUCGUAACCUUAAGCGUGCGGACCCUACGGGUUCGAGAACAAUGUAGACAUGACCGAGACACGUCUCCGGUCAAUAACCAAUAGCGGGACCUGGAUGCCCAUAUUGGCUCCUACAUAUUCUACGAAGAUCUUUAUCGGUCAGACCGCAUAACAACAUACGUUGUUCCCUUUGUCAUCGGUACGUUACUUGCCCGAGAUUCGAUCGUCGGUAUCCAAUACCUAGUUCAAUCUCGUCACCGGCAAGUCUCUUUACUCGUUCUAUAAUGCAUCAUCCCGUAACCAACUCAUUGGUCACAUUGCUUGCAAGGCUUAUAAUGAUGUGCAUUACCGAGAGGGCCCAGAGAUACCUCUCCGACAAUCGGAGUGACAAAACCUAAUCUCGAAAUACGCCAACUCAACAUGUACCUUCGGAGACACCUGUAGUACUCCUUUAUAAUCACCCAGUUAAGUUGUGACGUUUGGUAGUACCCAAAGUGUUCCUCCGGUAAACGGGAGUUGCAUAAUCUCAUAGUUACAGGAACAUGUAUAAGUCAUGAAGAAAGCAAUAGCAACAUACUAAACGAUCAAGUGCUAAGCUAACGGAAUGGGUGAAGUCAAUCACAUCAUUCUCCUAAUGAUGUGACCCCGUUAAUCAAAUGACAACUCUUUUGUCCAUGGCUAGGAAACAUAACCAUCUUUGAUAAACGAGCUAGUCAAGUAGAGGCAUACUAGUGACACUAUGUUUGUCUAUGUAUUCACACAUGUAUUAUGUUUCUGGUUAAUACAAUUCUAGCAUGAAUAAUAAACAUUUAUCAUGAAAUAAGGAAAUAAAUAAUAACUUUAUUAUUGCCUCUAGGGCAUAUUUCCUUCAGUCUCCCACUUGCACUAGAGUCAAUAAUCUAGUUCACAUCGUCAUGUGAUUUAACAACAAUAUUCAUAUCUGUAUAUGAUUAACACCCAUAGUUCACAUUAUCAUGUGACCAACACCCAAAGGGUUUACUAGAGUAAAUAAUCUAGUUCACAUCUCUAUGUGAUUAACACCCAAAGAGUACUAAGGUGUGAUCAUGUUUUGCUCGUGAAAGAAGCUUAGUCAAUGGGUCUGUCACAUUCAGAGCCGUAUGCAUUUUGCAAAUAUUUUAUGUCUACAAUGCUCUGCACGGUGCUACUCUAGCAAUUGCUCCCACUUUCAAUAUGUAUCCAGAUUGAGACUUAGAGUCAUCUGGAUCGGUGUGAAAACUUGCACCGAGGUAACUUUUACGACGGGCUCUUUUAUCACCUCCAUAAUCGAGAAAUAUUUCCUUAGUCCUCACUAAGGAUAUUCUUGACCAAUGUCGAGUGAUCUACUCCUAGAUCACUAUUGUACUCCCUUGUCAAAUACUGAGCAAGGUAUACAAUAGUUCUGGUACAUAGCAUAGCAUACUUUAUAGAACCUAUGACUGAGGCAUAGGGAAUGACUUUUCAUUUUUUCUAUUUUCUGUUGUGGUCGGGAUUUGAGUCUUACUCAAUUUCAUACCUUUGCAACACAGGCAAGAACUCUUUCUUUGACUGUUCCAUUUUGAACUAUUUCAAAAUCUUGCCAAGGUAUGUACUCAUUGAAAAUCUUAUCAAGCGUCUUGAUCUAUCUCAAUAUAUCUUGAUGCUCAAUAUGUAAGUAGCUUUUACUGAGGUCUUUUCCUUUUAAAGAACUCCUUUAAAACACUCCUUUAUGCUUUGCAGAAAAAUUCUACAUCAUUUCUGAUCAACAAUAUGUCACUCGUAUAUACUAAUCAGAAAGGCUAUAGUGCUCCCACUCACUUUAUUGUAAAUACAGGCUUCUCAAAAAGUCUGUAUAAAACCAUAUGCUUUGAUCAACUCAUCAAAGCGUAUAUUCCAACUCCGAGAGGCUUGCACCAGUCCAUAGAUGGAUCGCUGGAGCUUGCACAUUUUUUUAGCACCUUUAGGAUUGACAAAACCUUCUGGUUGCAUCAUAUACAACUCUUCUUUAAUAAAUCCAUUAAGGAAUGCAGUUUUGAUAUCCAUUUGCCAGAUUUCAUAAAAUGUGGCAAUUGCUAACAUGAUUCAGACAGACUUAAGAAUCGAUACGAGUGAGAAAAUCUCAUCGUAUUCAACACCUUGAACUUGUUGAAAACCUUUCGCAACAAGUCGAGCUUGGUAGAUAGUAACACUACUAUCAGUGUCCGUCUUCCUCUUGAAGAUCCAUUCAUUUAACAUGGCUUGCUGAUCAUCGAGCAAGUCAAUCAAAGUCCAUACUUUGUUCUCAUACAUGGAUCAUAUCUCAGAUUUUAUGGCCUCGAGCCAUUUCGCGGAAUCUGGGCUCAUCAUCGCUUCUUCAUAGUUCGUAGGUUCAUCAUGAUCUAGUAUCAUGACUUCCAGAAUAGGAUUACCGUACCAUUCUGGUGCGGAUCUUACUCUGGUUGAUCUACGAGGUUCAUCAGUAUCUUGAUCUGAAGUUUCAUGAUCAUUAUCAUUGGCUUCCUCACUAACUGGUGUAGGUGUCACUGAAACAGUUUUCUGUGAUGAACUACUUUCCAGUAAGGGAGCAGGUACAGUUACCUCGUCAAGUUCUACUUUCCUCCCACUCACUUCUUUCGAGAGAAACUCCUUCUCUAGAAAGGAUCCAUUCUUAGCAACGAAUGUCUUGCCUUCGGAUCUGUGAUAGAAGGUGUACCCAAUAGUCUCCUUUGGGUAUCCUAUGAAGACACAUUUCUCCGAUUUGGGUUCGAGCUUAUCAGGUUGAAGCUUUUUCACAUAAGCAUCGCAGCCCCAAACUUUAAGAAACGACAACUUUGGUUUCUUGCCAAACCACAGUUCAUAAGGCGUCGUCUCAACGGAUUUUGAUGGUGCCCUAUUUAACGUGAAUGCGGCCGUCUCUAAAGCAUAUCCCCAAAAUGAUAGCGGUAAAUCAGUAAGAGACAUCAUAGAUCGCACCAUAUCUAGUAAAGUACGAUUACGAUGUUCGGACACACCAUUACGCUGUGGUGUUCCGGGUGGCGUGAGUUGCGAAACUAUUCCACAGUUUUUCAAAUGUACACCAAACUCGUAACUCAAAUAUUCUCCUCCACGAUCAGAUCGUAGAAACUUUAUUUUCUUGUUACGAUGAUUUUCAACUUCACUCUGAAAUUCUUUGAAAUUUUCAAAUGUUUCAGACUUAUGUUUCAUUAAGUAGAUAUACCCAUAUCUGCUUAAAUCAUCUGUGAAGGUGAGAAAAUAACGAUAUCCGCCACGAGCCUCAGUAUUCAUCGGGCCACAUACAUCGGUAUGUAUGAUUUCCAACAAAUCUGUUGCUCUCUCCAUAGUACCGGAGAACGGUGUUUUAGUCAUCUUGCCCAUGAGGCACGGUUCGCAAGUACCAAGUGAUUCAUAAUCAAGUGGUUCCAAAAGUCCAUCAGUAUGGAGUUUCUUCAUGCGCUUUAUACCGAUAUGACCUAAACGACAGUGCCACAAAUAAGUUGCACUUUCAUUAUCAACUCUGCAUCUUUUGGCUUCAACAUUAUGAAUAUGUGUAUUACUACUAUCGAGAUCCAACAAACCAUUUUCAUUGGGUGUAUGACCAUAGAAGGUUUUAUUCAUGUAAACAGAACAACAAUUAUUCUCUAACUUACAUGAAUAACCGUAUUGCAAUAAACAUGAUCAAAUCAUAUUCAUGCUCAACGCAAACACCAAAUAACACUUAUUUAGGUUUAACACUAAUCCCAAAAGUAUAGGGAGUGUGCGAUGAUGAUCAUAUCAAUCUUGGAACUAUUUCCAACACACAUCGUCACUUCACCCUUUAACUAGUCUCUGUUUAUUCUGCAACUCCCGUUUCGAGUUACUAAUCUUAGCAACUGAACUAAUAUCAAAUACUGAGGGGUUGCUAUAAACACUAGUAACGUACACAUCAAUAACAUGUAUAUCAAAUAUACUUAUGUUCACUUUGCCAUCCUUCUUAUCCGCCAAUCACUUGGGGUAGUACCUCUUCCAGUGACCAGUCUCUUUGAAGUAGAAGCACUUAGUCUCAGGCUUAGGACCAGACUUGGGUUUCUUCACUUGAGCAGCAACUUGCUUGCCGUUCUUCUUGAAGUUCCCUUUCUUUCCCUUUGCCCUUUUCUUGAAACUAGUGAUCUUGUUAACCAUCAACACUUGAUGCUCUUUCUUGAUUUCUACCUUCGUUGAUUUCAGCAUCAUGAAGAGCUUGGGAAUCGUUUUCGUCAUCCCUUGCAUACUAUAGUUCAUCACGAAGUUCUAGUAACUUAGUGAUGGUGACUAGAGAAUUCUGUCAAUCACUAUCUUACCUGGAAGAUUAACUCCCACUUGAUUCAAGCGAUUGAAAUACCCAGACAAUCUGAGCACAUGCUCACUAGUUGAGCGAUUCUCCUCCAUCUUUUAGCUAUAGAACUUGUUGGAGACUUCAUAUCUCUCAACUCGGGUAUUUGCUUGAAAUAUUAACUUCAAUUCCUGGAACAUCUCAUAUGGUCCAUGACGUUCAAAACGUCUUUGAAGUCCCGAUUCUAAGCCGUUAAGCAUGGUGCACUAAACUAUCAAGUAGUCAUCAUCUUGAGCUAGCCAGACGUUCAUAACUUCUGCAUCUGCUCCUGCAAUAGGUCUGUCACCUAGCGGUGCAUUAAGGACAUAAUUCUUCUGUGCAGCACUGAGGAUAAACCUCAGAUCACGGAUCGAAUCCGCAUCAUUGCUACUAACAUUUUUCAACACAAUAUUCUCUAGGAACAUAUCAAAAUAAACAUAUGAAAGCAACAACGCGAGCUAUUGAUCUACAACAUAAUUUGCAAAAUACUACUAGGACUAAGUUCAUGAUAAAUUAAAGUUCAAUUAAUCAUAUUACUUAAGAACUCCCACUUAGAUAGACAUCCCUCUAAUCCUCUAAGUGAUCACGUGAUCCAAAUCAACUAAACCAUGUCCGAUCAUCACGUGAGAUGGAGUAGUUUCAAUGGUGAACAUCACUAUGUUGAUCAUAUCUACUAUAUGAUUCACGCUCGACCUUUCGGUCUCUGUGUUCCGAGGCCAUAUCUGUAUAUGCUAGGCUCGUCAAGUAUAACCUGAGUAUUCCGCGCGUGCAACUGUUUUGCACCCGUUGUAUUUGAACGUAGAGCCUAUCACACCCGAUCAUCACGUGGUGUCUCAGCACGACGAACUUUGGCAACGGUGCAUACUCAGGGAGAACACUUCUUGAUAAUUUAGUGAGAGAUCAUCUUAUAAUGCUACCAUCAAUAAAAGCAAGAUAAGAUGCAUAAAAAGAUAAACAUCACAUGCAAUCAAUAUAAGUGAUAUGAUAUGGCCAUCAUCAUCGUGUGCUUGUGAUCUCCAUCUCCGAAGCACCGUCAUGAUCACCAUCGUCACCGGCGCGACACCUUGAUCUCCAUCGUAGCAUCGUUGUCGUCUCGCCAAUCUUAUGCUUCCACGACUAUCACUACUGUUUAGUAAUAAAGUAAAGCAUUACAUCGCGAUUGCAUUGCAUACAAUAAAGCGACAACCAUAUGGCUCCUGCCAGUUGCCGAUAACUCGGUUACAAAACAUGAUCAUCUCAUACAAUAAAAUUCAGCAUCAUGCCUUGACCAUAUCACAUCACAACAUGCCCUGCAAAAACAAGUUAGACGUCCUCUACUUUGUUGUUGCAUGUUUUACGUGGCUGCUACGGGCUUAAGUAAGAACCAAUCUCACCUACGCAUCAAAACCACAACGAUAGUUUGUCAAAUAGACUCCGUUUUAACCUUCUCAAGGACCGGGCGUAGCCAUACUCGGUUCAACUAAAGUUGGAGAGACAGUCGCCCGCAAGCCAUCCAUGUGCAAAGCACGUCGAGGGAACCGGUCUCGCGUAAGCGUACGCGUAAGGUUGGUCCAGGUCGUCUCGUCCAACAAUACCGCCGAACCAAAGUAUGACAUGCUGGUAGGCAGUAUGACUUGUAUCGUCCACAACUCACUUGUGUUCUACUCGUGCAUAUAACAUCAACAUAAAUAACCUAGGCUCGGAUGCCACUGUUGGGUUUCGUAGUAAUUUCAAAAAAUUUCCUACGCACACGCAAGAUCAUGUGAAGCAUAGCAACGAGGGGAGAGUGUUGUCUACGUACCCAACGCAGACCAACUGCGGAAGCGAUGACACGACGUAGAGGAAGUAGUCGUACGUCUUCACGAUCCAACCGAUCAAGCACCGAAACUACGGCACCUCCGAGUUCGAGCACACGUUCAGCUCGAUGACGAUCCCCGGACUCCGAUCCAGCAAAGUGUCGGGGAAGAGUUCCGUCAGCACGACGGCGUGGUGACGAUCUUGAUGAACUACAGCAGCAGGGCUUCGCCUAAACUCCACUACAGUAUUAUCGAGGUAUAUGGUGGCAGGGGGCACCGCACACGACUAAGGAAUAGAUCACGUGGAUCAACUUGUGUGUAUAGAGGUGCCCCCUGCCUCCGUAUAUAAAGGAGGAGAGGAGGGGAGGCUGGCCGGCCAAGGAGGGGAGGCGCAGGAGAGUCCUACUCCCUCUAGGAGUAGGAUUCCCCCCAAUCCUAGUCCAACUAGGAUUCCUCGGAGGGGAAGGGAGAGAGGGGGGCCCGCAGCCACCUUGGGCUGCCCCUUUCUCCUUUCCACUAAGGCCCAUGAAGGCCCAUAUGGCUCCCGGGGGGUUCCGGUAACCCUCCCGGUACUCCGGUAAAAUCCCGAUUUCACCCGGAACACUUCCGAUGUCCAAACAUAGGCUUCCAAUAUAUCAAUCUUUACGUCUUGACCAUUUUGAGACUCCUCGUCAUGUCCGUGAUCACAUCCGGGACUCCGAACAACCUUCGGUACAUCAAAAUGCAUAAACUCAUAAUGUAACUGUCAUCGUAACCUUAAGCGUGCGGACCCUACGGGUUCGAGAACAAUGUAGACAUGACCGAGACACGUCUCCGGUCAAUAACCAAUAGCGGGACCUGGAUGCCCAUAUUGGCUCCUACAUAUUCUACGAAGAUCUUUAUCGGUCAGACCGCAUAACAACAUACGUUGUUCCCUUUGUCAUCGGUAUGUUACUUGCCCGAGAUUCGAUCGUCGGUAUCCAAUACCUAGUUCAAUCUCGUCACCGGCAAGUCUCUUUACUCGUUCUAUAAUGCAUCAUCCCGUAACCAACUCAUUGGUCACAUUGCUUGCAAGGCUUAUAAUGAUGUGCAUUACCGAGAGGGCCCAGAGAUACCUCUCCGACAAUCGGAGUGACAAAACCUAAUCUCGAAAUACGCCAACUCAACAUGUACCUUCGGAGACACCUGUAGUACUCCUUUAUAAUCACCCAGUUACGUUGUGACGUUUGGUAGUACCCAAAGUGUUCCUCCGGUAAACGGGAGUUGCAUAAUCUCAUAGUUACAGAAACAUGUAUAAGUCAUGAAGAAAGCAAUAGCAACAUACUAAACGAUCAAGUGCUAAGCUAACGGAAUGGGUGAAGUCAAUCACAUCAUUCUCCUAAUGAUGCGACCCCGUUAAUCAAAUGACAACUCUUUUGUCCAUGGCUAGGAAACAUAACCAUCUUUGAUAAACGAGCUAGUCAAGUAGAGGCAUACUAGUGACACUAUGUUUGUCUAUGUAUUCACACAUGUAUUAUGUUUCCGGUUAAUACAAUUCUAGCAUGAAUAAUAAACAUUUAUCAUGAAAUAAGGAAAUAAAUAAUAACUUUAUUGUUGCCUCUAGGGCAUAUUUCCUUCACCACGUGGCCCGGCCGGCCCCCGGGGCUCAAGAACCAGGUCCAAUGCCCCCAUUGGUCCCGGUUUUGGAUUGAACCGGGACUAAUGGGCUGGACCGGCCUGGACCAUCGCCCCCUUUUCUACUAGUGUUAGUGCAUGGUGGUUAGUGAAGUUAGUGGAGCAUGGUGUGAGUGCGUGGGUCAUGGUUGAGUGCCAGACUUUGUAUAAAUUGUCAUUUGAGUCAAUGAGAAAAUGUAAGGCCGAGAGGGCCAGUGCAAAGAUGUAGCAUUUGUGGUAGCCAAGGGAGAUUAACUGGGCAAAGCUAUGUGUUCUUCCUUGGUCUAUGCGUGUGUGUGUUCUGUGUGUGUUCUCUCUCUGCGUCCUUGUGUUCAUGGGAGUGUUUUUGAGAGAAGCCAGAAGAGAGAGUUGUGAGAGGCAGCUCGAGGUAGAAGAAGGAGCGGUGCUGCUCCGAGAGGAGGCGGCGCCAACAAUUAUUGACGAAAGGGAUAUUAUAUUGCGCAAGGUAUAAUCAGACGCGUCGGGGAUGGAGCGACUACACACAUAUGGGAUCACAACUGGAUUAUGAGGGAAAGCUAUAAGAGGCCAAUAAAUAAGUUAGUGCAGAUCCCCCCUCAGAAACAUUUUAUGUAUACACGUUAACAUUUCCCAGAUAUAUGAUUAAUAUUUUUAGAAAACUUCUAUUUUUUAUGUGUACUUUUUAUACAUUUUGUAAUAUCAGAAAUAGUUUUUAUAGAAGGUUUAACAUUUUUCAAAUACAUGAUUACCUUUUUGUAAACUUAUAUUGUUUGACGUUUACUUUUUUCCAUAGACAUAGUGAGGGGUUAUAUCUAAGGAAUAGGCCCAAGUACAUGUAGGCACAACCAAAGGCCCAUGUUAAUCAAGGAUGUUCCACAAGACAAAUGGGAAAACACACCGGGGCUAAUGGAGCUACAAGGCCAAGGCAUCGGAUACAAGGGGAGAGUCAACUGUGUACAGUCAGAUUACACAACCCUUAACAGACAAGACUCAUCAGUUGGUCCACUAUAGGAAUCAGGUCAUUUGCCGUCAGCCGAGAACAGAUGCGAAGGCUUUGCCGUGAGCAAGUUGACGACAAACACAAUCAGCAAAGACUAUAUCAGCAAAGAGCUAAUUUGACGUCAACUUUUCAUCGCGCUGAUGACAAAGACUUUGCCGUCAAUUAAACUAUGUGUUUGUCGUCUGUAGAAAAAACACAAAUGGCAAAGAAAUUAAACAAAUGGUCAUUUUAUAAUAAUUUUUCGAAAUGUAUAUAGUGUAUUUUAAAAUGUUAAAUAUGUAUCAAGAAUUAUUUCAUAAAUAUACAGAAGAUGUACAACGUGUAUGAAAAUUAUGUAGACAUCAGAACAUAUUAUAGAAAUGUUAAUCUUGUAUUUAAAAAUGUUAAAUACACAUAAAUAAAAAUGUUUUUGAUGUACAUAAAAAAAUUGUACAUCGUGUGUGAACAAAGUAUGCAUUGAAAAAAAAAUCUUGUUGGAAAGAAAAUCUCGUGCUAUAUACGAAAAUGUAAAAGGUGUAUGAAAAUAAUUAGAUAUAUGCUUAACGAAAAAAAGGAAAGAAGGCGCAAAAAAAUCCGAUCAACACCAAGAUAGGAACAAGAAAACCUGAAGAAGACCAUUGAAAAAAAAGAAAAGAAUACAAGAAAGAGGAAAAAAAACAAAAAAAUGAAGAAGCUGAUGCAGAACAGGGAACUUGGUGAAAACGAAUAAAAAUUGAUGAAAACCGAGAAGAAAAACAAGAAAACUGAAGCAAAAAAAUAAUAAAAAUAUGUAAAAAAAUGAUGAAACAUUGCAAAACACUGAAAUACUAUGAAAACCAAAGGAAGAAAAGACUCAAAAAGAAGAACAUACAGCGAGCGAAUGAACAACAACUGAGUGAACGAGCGACCAUGCGAGAACACGUUAAUUGUCCGGCCCAUACUUGUGGACUCCAGAGGCGAGCCAGAAUAGGCGAGAUAUAGCUAUGACGAUUUGAUACCCUUCACAGCUUCACGAAUGCUAUAUCUCGCUCACAGCGAAAGUAUAUUUUGUCUGGCCUGAAGGUGCAAGAAUAGCAUCAGGUCGCUGUAAGGUUUGUGAUCCUACAAUGAGAGCUCCGAUAAGAUUAAAGUUCAUUUUUCUGACAACCUUUGGUCGUUCGUUCGCGCUCAGGUCGUCCGCUCACUCGAUUCCACGUACUAGUUUGGUUAUGUUGUUUUUUUCAUUUUGUUCUUUUUUUGUUUCUUCACUGGCUUUCUUUGGUUUUUAUAUCGGUUUUCUUUGUUUCCUUCACGUUUUAUUCCUGUUUUCCUUUUUACUGGUUUAUUUAUUCCUUUUUUUCUUUGUUUCUUUCUUGGUUUUCUUUGUUUUUCUUUCUUUUGAUGUCAAUCUUUUUACAUACGCAUUCAACAAUUUCCGUAUACAUCAGAAACAUUUUAUGUAUACACAUUAACAUUUCCCAGAUAUAUGAUUAAUAUUUUUGGAAAACCUCUAUUUUUUAUGUGUACUUUUUGAUACAUUUUGUAUAUAUCAGAAAUAUUUUUUUAGAAGGUUUAACAUUUUUUUAAAUACAUGAUUACCUUUUUGUAAACUUAUAUUGUUUGACGUUUAUUUUUUUCCAUAGACAUAGUGAGGGGUUAUAUCUAAGGAAUAGGCCCAAGUACAUAUAUGGCACAACCAAAGACCCAUGUUAAUCAAGGAUGUGGUCCACAAAACAAAUGGGGAAACACACGGGGGCCAAUGGAGCUACAAGGCCAAAGCAUCGGAUAUAAGGGGAGAAUAAGUGUGUACAGUCGGAUUACACAACACUUGACAGACAAGACUCAUUAGUUGGUCCACUAUAGGAAUCGAGUAAUUUGCCGUCAGCCGAGAACAGACUCGAAGUCUUUGCCGUCAGCAAGUUGAUGACAAACACAGUGAGCAAAGACUAUAUCGGCAAAGAGCUAAUUUGACGUUAACUUUUCAUCCGCUGAUGACAAAGACUUUGCCGUCAAUUAAACUAUGUGUUUGUCGUCUGUAGAAAAAACACAAAUGGCAAAGAAAAGCAUCUUUGCCAUCAGCAACUGAUUCACAUGUGUCGUCAGCCAGACUCGUCUUGUCACUAGCCUCAAACAUCACAGAUGGCAAAGAUUUUUUUUUAUUUUUAAAAUUCCGCGUCGACCACCCUAUCGCUCGUGCAGCCACCGCCUGGCCGCGCUCGCCUCCCUGCUCACAUGCCCUGCCAGCUUGCGCCGUUGCCAUCCGGCAGCGCUCGCCCGACCCUGCUCAUCGCCCGGCCGAGCUCGCCCGCCCUGCUCGGUCGCGUCGUCGGCAGCUGCCCUGCUUGCACACGUACCUGCCCAGCCUUGCUCAUACCGCCGGCCACCCUGCUCGCUAGAGAAAGGAAGGCGAGAGAGGAGGCUCGGGGGAGAAAGAAAAAACAAAGGAGAGAGAGAGGAUGCUACCACUGCCACAUCACCAAUACGCAUGAUCGAUCUGCAAGAUGUGCUCUCUCUUUUGCCGCCUCUGAUGGCAAAGUAUGUCUUUAUCGUCUAUAAUAAGAUUACAAACAGCAAAGUGAGCUCUUUGCCGUCUGUAAAAAAACGGACGACAAACAAACUUUGUUGUCAGCUGCCGACGGCAAAAAGUGCUCUUUACCGCAGCCUCGAUGAGAAGCUGAAGGCAAAGUGCCCCACAGACGGCAAAUUAGUUGAUUCCUGGGUGGUUAUGAGCAAGACAGGAGCAAUAACCCUAUCUACACUCGGUCAUCUGGAAGACAGGAGUAGUCGAACCAUCUAUAGUCGGCUACAUCUGAGGUUACCGUGACCCUUACGAUGCAUUCAUUAUCGCCGUUACUCAAUGGAGUAGUUAAAUACGUCAGUUAGCAAUAAUAAUAGCCACGAACAGUCAAUCAUGCAUGUGACCAUCAAUAGCAUUUAUACCAACCCAUUACGGCACUUCCUCCUAGCACACUCUAUAUAAGCCAGGAGUAGGACAUGAGAGUGAGGGAUGAACUCUCUCACAGUAUAACCUACGCCAAGAGCAGGAACACCACAUGAAUAGAGAUUACCUCCACCAACGUACUCCCAUCCGUUUUAUGUACCGAUCAAUGUAUAUAAUGGCUUCUACAUUCACAUCCCGUAGUAUUGUCAGGAUUAUAUCCACGACAGAAACUAUAUUUUGUUAUACAUCAAGAACAUUUUAUAUAUAAAUAUUUACAAUUUUUUAAAUACAUGAUUAAUAUUUUUUCAAACAUAUAUUUUGUAUGUCUCCUUUUCAUAAUCUUUGAUCCCUGGAAGUUUCAGAUUUUUUCCGAUUUGUUCUCAUUUUUUUAUGAAUUUACUGUUCAUGAGGGUGUAGGGGCACCCAGGAGCUGUUAGGCAUAAUAUUUCUGCUGUUGUUGUCAUCAUCAAGGGGAAUGAGAAGGGUUGAAGUUUUCGUUUUCUUUGAGGGGGAAAUCAGAGUUGGGGGCUGGAAGUGAGUGAUUAGGCCCAACAUAAGCGCUGUGUGUGUGUGUCUCGUCACGGGCACCAAAUUCGAACUGGGCUAUUGUUUUCUGAGAACCCAACGUCACAAGCCCAACCAACAGUCUGCCGAUCUGCAUCUUCCUCUCCUUGUCCAUCCUCCUCGUUGGCCGGACCGCCUCGAGCCACGGCCGCUCCCUGGCGCAGCGUCCUCCCCUUCCUCUCCACCCCCAAAUUCUCUUGUAUCCUCUUCUGAUCUCCUUCCUUACUUCCUCUCGCUGAUGGUCUCCACAAGAAGGUCUCCGAGCUCCUCGGAGGGUUCCGGCUGUACGUCGACGCAGCCUCUCCGACCUCCCCAUGAACAUGAGCUAUCGACCCUGAAAGCCUGUCUCUUCCAUGAUUCGAUUCACAUGAAUUCACGAGCCGCAUGAAUCAUGAAGGUCAUGGAGCAGAAUUCAGUCGUGUAGCCUGACAGUGAUGUACAUUUGUGGCUUUUCUGGCUAAAUAGCUCUGUACCCUAUGUGGAUGCCACUUCAAAUAAUCGUCAAAAUAAUUCUCCUGCACGCGUUAUACAAAUGGCGAAGAAGAAGUUCGCGUGGAACAUUUCGUUUCUUAUUGAUGUCCGAGAGAAAAGCUCCUAGGAAGUUCAUCCGCUCGGUGGAUUAUAAGUUUAAGUUUGUUACAACAUCCAAUCAUCCAUAUAAUCUCUGUGUUUCUUCUGUUUUCUACCAGUCAUAUAUCAUAUGUGCAUCAGAGGAAAAAUGCUUUCAGCAGUCAUGUUGGAGCGCGCAUACCAAGUUCCCACAUUGCAAAUAUGAUCCUAGCCAUUAAUAUGUUUCAUUCCACAUUUUCUUGAUCUAAUUUCUAAAUGAUUGGACAACCUGUUAUAGUCUUAUAGAAUUAUGAGCCGCCAAAUCCACAUUUCUCUUGGUCUAAUUUCUAAAUGAUAAUGUGCAGCAUCUAUCUCCUGGUGAACCUUUUUUUCUUGCGACUGUAUCUCCUGAUGAACCUAGUUUUCUCUAGGUAGCACAAUAAUUGUACUGGUUUGAUGUAAAGGACAUAAAUACAAGGGAAUAAAUUGGAAGCUUAUUUCAAAUUAACUAGCUAGUGGUGUUUGUGAAGUUCAAGAAAAAGCUGGUCUUUUUCUCGACAAAUAAUUUAACAUGCAAAGAAUCAAUAAAUGUAUUUGCAAGAAAGCAAACAUAAUUAACGAUAAAACUGGUUUAUUGUCACUGUAGACAACGGUAGUAGUUGGAACUAGAUACAAACCAAUAAAAAACAAGAUCUCAAAUCUCCAACCAAUAAAGAGUUCAACCCAAAUUUUACAGUAACACCAUUAUAUUCAAAUAGUGAUUAUUCCAACACAUGGAUAAUUAAUUAAGGCACCAGGUUGCCCUUGUGACUAGGAAAGACAAACUUAUGAACUUGCAAGCAUGGCAAUCAGAUCGACAUCCACACAAUGCCAAUAUGAACAUUGUCUUGAUACAACUUUAUUUUUAUUUUAUUUCAGAAUUUAAACAACUAGUAUGGGCGGGUCACACACGACAUUGUGUGACACUUUAUUUGUCACCGCUGCAUCGACAUAUCCAUCGACUAAACAACGGUGAUCCAACUAUAUAUUACUAGAGACCUUUCCUUAUUAGUAGGAACCAACUCCGGUGCCAACACCGAAUGGCACACUAGUGGUGGUUCUAUACAACGGCACAUUGACACGGCACAUCGUUGGCAGGGUACGGAGCGCAAUGGAAGUCAUCACCUCAAGCUGAGCUAUCUGGUGUGGCUGCAAAAAGGUACCUUGUGCCAAUUGUUGUUGUUGAGGUUGUUGCCCGAGUUGUUGUUGUGACUGCUGUUGGGGUUGGGAAACACAUUGGCCCAACUGUUGGGGUUGCUGCUGAGGAGUUUGGAUGGAACCCUGAACCUGUUGUUGUUCUUGCAGGAUGAUGGAGUAGAUGAUAGCACGGAUUGCCUCAUAGCGGGAUUGCUGGGGGAUUUGCGGCAACUGCUGGCAACAUUGUUGUUGCAUCACAUGGCAACUGCUCUGCUGCAACAUUUGCGACCUAGCAAGACUUUGUGGCAUUGCCACAGGGCUGCAUUGCUGCUGGAGGAAUACCUUGCAUGGGUUUAGCUGCUGCAAGAUAGAUGGAUGAACAAAUGGUAUUUGUUGUUGCGGUAGAACUAGUUGUUGUUGUUGCUGCGAAAAUGGUGGUUGUUGCGGUAGACUUGGUUGUUGUUGUUGCAAAAAUGGUGGUUGUUGCUGUAGUACUAUUUGUUGUUGUUGCGAAAACGGUGAUUGUUGCUGUGAAAAUGGUGGUAGUUGUUGCUGUGAAAAUGAUGGUUGUUGCGGUAGAACUGGUUGUUGUUGCUGCGAAAAUGGUGGUUGUUGUUGUGAAAAUGGUGGUUGUUGUUGCUGCGAAAAUGGUGGUUGUUGUUGUGAAAANNNNNNNNNNNNNNNNNNNNNNNNNNNNNNNNNNNNNNNNNNNNNNNNNNNNNNNNNNNNNNNNNNNNNNNNNNNNNNNNNNNNNNNNNNNNNNNNNNNNNNNNNNNNNNNNNNNNNNNNNNNNNNNNNNNNNNNNNNNNNNNNNNNNNNNNNNNNNNNNNNNNNNNNNNNNNNNNNNNNNNNNNNNNNNNNNNNNNNNNNNNNUGGUUGUUGUUGCUGCGAUAAUGGUUGUUGUUGUUGCUGCGAAAAUGGUGGUUGUUGUUGUGAAAAUGGUGGUUGUUGUUGCUGCGAUAAUGGUUGUUGUUGUUGUUGCUGUGAACAUGGUUGCUGUUGUGAAAAUGGUUGUGGUUGUUGUUGGAUGGGUUGUUGUUGUUGGUGGUGCGAUAAUGUUUGUUGUGGUGGUAAUGGUUGUUGCUGCGAUGGUCUCUCCAAACCAGGGAUGUGGCUAUUCUCCAUUUGUGCAAUGGCACUUGUCGCCACAAUGGCGAGGAGAGCAAAGAUGAGGAAGGUCUUCAUGGUGGAUUGGUGUUAACCAGUGUUGCUUGGUUUUGAUGCUUGUGCUUGUGAUGAUCUUUAUACUUCAUGCCUAUUUAUAGUAGCCCGGGCACCACCUCUUUUCUUCUUUGCAUUAGCUUUAAUAAUUCUGUUUGGAUGCAUCUAAAAUGAUUUUUGGUACAAUGUGUUAGGUUGCACUAGCUACACGCGUACUUUUGGAUUGAUCAUCAAAGUUGCUUUUUAGUUGUGCAUAUGAUCACACACAAAGUACAGAAACCUUGAUGUUUGGUACAUAUGACUCACCUUAUUCACUUUACAUGUCACACACUUAUCUGGAUAGUAUCACUUUUGCAACCGAGUUUGGAACCUUGUAUAGGCUGUCAUCCAUAAACAAGAAAGGCAAAACUUGUGUAGGACUAAGUUUGCAAUCGGAGGGUUCUUCUAGACUCGAUUUCUUUUCGUAAAACUAACUUUGUAUUUUUCCUCUAAGAUGAUAAGAUGAACCGACGCCUAUAGAGCAUGACAUGACUCAUCGAAUUCCCUUUACAUGUAAAGGAUGGUAAUUGCUUACAAGCUACUCCUACUAGCAUAUAUCCGGUUCCAAGCCUAGACACGUCAUCAUCAGUUUCGUCUAUUUUUUUAGAUAAAUCAUCAGUUCUAUCUAUUUGUGAAGGGUUUUUUUGGGGGGAAAUGAUAGUUUUUUUAUGCUAGGGGGGUUUUUUNNNNNNNNNNNNNNNNNNNNNNNNNNNNNNNNNNNNNNNNNNNNNNNNNNNNNNNNNNNNNNNNNNNNNNNNNNNNNNNNNNNNNNNNNNNNNNNNNNNNNNNNNNNNNNNNNNNNNNNNNNNNNNNNNNNNNNNNNNNNNNNNNNNNNNNNNNNNNNNNNNNNNNNNNNNNNNNNNNNNNNNNNNNNNNNNNNNNNNNNNNNNNNNNNNNNNNNNNNNNNNNNNNNNNNNNNNNNNNNNNNNNNNNNNNNNNNNNNNNNNNNNNNNNNNNNNNNNNNNNNNNNNNNNNNNNNNNNNNNNNNNNNNNNNNNNNNNNNNNNNNNNNNNNNNNNNNNNNNNNNNNNNNNNNNNNNNNNNNNNNNNNNNNNNNNNNNNNNNNNNNNNNNNNNNNNNNNNNNNNNNNNNNNNNNNNNNNNNNNNNNNNNNNNNNNNNNNNNNNNNNNNNNNNNNNNNNNNNNNNNNNNNNNNNNNNNNNNNNNNNNNNNNNNNNNNNNNNNNNNNNNNNNNNNNNNNNNNNNNNNNNNNNNNNNNNNNNNNNNNNNNNNNNNNNNNNNNNNNNNNNNNNNNNNNNNNNNNNNNNNNNNNNNNNNNNNNNNNNNNNNNNNNNNNNNNNNNGCCGCCACCGCUCGACAAAAAAGGUCACUUUUGUAGCUCCCCCGUCGAUUGCGGGCCGUACGUCGACGGCAGCCACUCCGACCUCCCCGUCAACACAAGGUAUCGAUCUGUUUCGUCUGUCUCUUCCAGCGAUUCAAUGCACAUAAAUCCGAGAGGCAGACCCAUCUCCAUGCUAGCUGCACGGAUCAGGAGGGUCAGGCAUCAGAAUUCAGCUGGGAAGCCUGACACUAAUGUACAUUUGUGGCUUUAGUAGCUGAAUAUAACUAUGUGUUUUCUGAGAAUUUCACUUCAAAAGUUCCAAUAAUCAUCAAAUUUCCGCCUAUGCGCGCUAAGCAGGUGGACCAUAUAUUUCUCAUGUCGACGAACGAAAAAACAAAACUCCACAACUAGAAGUCUAUGAUAUUGACACGGAACCGUGCUGUAGGGUCGCAAGUAAAAAUAUGAAAAGCAUGCCUAACACUACUAGGAAAAGGGCUAUAGAUGGAAUUGACACUAAUGACGCACCAGACAUGUGGUGCGCCAUUAGUAUAUACUAAUGGCGCACCAUCUUCUGAUGCGCCAUUAGUGUUGAAAUUACUAAUGGCGCACCCUGCCCACGGUGCGCCAUUAGUACCAAUUUUUUUUUGAACUAGUGCGCCUGUCCAAACAUACUAAUGGCGCAUCCGCUGGUGGUGCGCCAUUACUAGUUGUAACUAGUAAUGGUGCACCAGCCAGAGGGUGCGCCACUAAAGUUAUUUUUUUUAUUAUUGUUUUUAUUCCUUUUUUUGCAAAAGUACUAAUGGCGCACUCACACGCGGUGCGCCAUUACUAGUUCAAACUAGUAAUGGCGCACCGUGGCAGAGUGCGCCAUUAGUAUGUUUUUUUUUCAAAACUACUAAUGGCGCACCACCUGGUGGUGCGCCAUUAGUAACCUGGAUUACUAAUGGCGCAUUUGUUGCUGGUGCGCCAUUAGUAAGUGGGCAGCAACAAGAUAUUUUGGACAGCCUCUCCUCCCACACUCACUUUCUCCCCAUUUCAUUCUCUCCACCGCCUCCUCAUGUCUCGGGUGCCUCCUCUUUUUCACCUCAUUUCCACCAUAGAUUCAUUCAAAUUAAGUGGUUAAGUUACCUUGUUUUGCUAGGUAAGUAAGGGGGGAAGCUAUAUUUAUGUUGUUCUCCCUACAACAGUGUGCACAUGCACUUUUUAUGGCCUAGCUAGAUCUAUGUAUGUUCGUGGUGUUGCAUAUGUUUGUGGUGUUGCAUAUGUGUUUGUGUUUGAAGGUGUACCGGUAUUUGAAAUGCGAUAGUUGCCAAUAUUUUGCCGGAAUGUUGAUUCAUUUCCGUUUCGGCGAGAAUUUUGGCAUUAAGCAUUCUUUUUGGUCCUAUUUUUAGGGAAAGUCAUGCCAAAUUUUUUCUUGGUUCUAAAAUAUCGUUUUGCUCUACCCCGCAGGCGACCAUGGUCCGCACGAUGACCGAAGGCAUCGUGAAUAGGUUUUUGAGGUCCACGAAGGCCGAGAUGCUUCAAAAGAACGAGACGGAGAUAAGAUGUCCGUGUCGAAGAUGCAAGCUGAAUAGCCUUAUUGCGGACCCGGAUUCCGGGCAGGUGCGGGACCACCUGCUCUUGCGUGGUUUCAUGGAUGGCUGUCGGUGGCAAGGUGAUGAAGAUGACUACGAAGUCGUCCAUGGGGGCCGGGCAAGAAAUGAGGAAGGGCAGCAAGACAACCACCGCGGCUCGGGGGGGCGAGAAGAAGAAGAAUCCCCAGGAGAUGAUCACGACGGUGAUGUUGUACACAGUCAUCAUGUAGAAGAUGCAGGACAUGAUGAUGAUGCCGGCGGAGCAGACGACGCUGGACCAUCGAUGGGCUGGGUGCAGGACCCUCAUAUUCAAGAGCUGCUUCUCAAGCAGACGGAUAACGCAAGAGCUGCCGCCCGAGAGAAAGCCAAGAUGGAUCAACUUGAGUUAGACGCGGUUACUCCAUUGUAUGAAGGAUGCAGGCCCGAGGAUACCCGCCUGAAAGUAACACUCAUGGCUCUGGAGAUGAAGGUAAAACACAAAAUGACCGACGCAUGCUUCGACGAGAACAUGUCAUUCUGGCACGAACGUCUUCCCAAAGGGAACAAGUGCCCGACCAGUUUGGAGGAGGCGAAGAAAAUCGUGUGUCCUCUGGAUUUACCGCACGUGAAAUACCAUGUGUGCAUGAACAAUUGCAUCAUUUAUCGGGACGAGCACGCGGAGUCUACCAUAUGUCCGGUGUGCGGUGUCACUCGAUACAAGAAGGGGAAGAAAGCUCCUCGAAAAGUGGUGUGGUACUUUCCGAUCACUCCUCGUCUGCAGCGGUAUUUCGCGGACCCUAAGGUAGCAAAGCUCCUGCGUUGGCACGCGGAUAGGGAGGAGAAGAAGCGAGAAGAUGACGCAAAUGAUACGGAGAUAGAUAAAAAAGACAAGAUGCUGAGUCACCCUAAGGAUGCGAGCCAGUGGCAAGCGUUGAACUUCGAAUAACCAGAAUUUGGGAACGAUCCAAGGAACAUCGUGCUGGGCGCGAGCACCGGUGGAGUCAAUCCGUUUGGCAGCCAGAGAAGCACACAUAGCACCUGGCCUGUGUUUGUGUGGAUGUACAACCUUCCCCCCUGGUUGUGCAUGAAGAGGAAGUACAUUCACAUGAGUAUGCUAAUUGAAGGGCCGAAACAACCAGGGAACGACAUCAAUCUGUAUCUGGGGCUGCUGAAAGAGGAGCUUGACACGCUGUGGAAAACGCCCACCAAUACGUGGGACGCCGCAGAGAAAGAAUAUUUCCCUAUGAGAGCCGCACUGCUCACGACGGUGCACGACUAUCUCGGUUACGGAUAUCUUGCGGGGCAGGUAGUCCACGGAUUUUCUGGAUGCGUAAGGUGCAUGGAUGACACAACGUAUCGCCAGCUAGAUAGAGACGAUGACCCGUGGAGGAAACGCAAGGAUCUGUUCGAUGGUGAAACCAAACCCCGAAAACGCCCGUGUACGAGGAGCGGCGAGGAAAUAGACAAGCUGUUGAAAAAUCGGAAAGACUGCCCACUGCCGGGAAAGAAGCAAAAGGUGCCAGAGCCGGGAAAGAAGCGAAAGGCGCCAGAGCCGCUGCUGAAGCUAUGGAAAACGAGGUCUGUUUUCUGGGACUUGCCGUACUGGAAGAUCCACCGUGUGCCUCACAGCCUUGAUGUCAUGCAUAUCACGAAGAACGUGUGCGAGAGUCUGCUUGGUACCCUGCUCAACAUGCCAGAGAGGACCAAAGAUGGGCCGAAAGCGAGGGCAGACUUGAAAUCAAUGGGCAUCAGGCAGGAGCUUCACGCUAUAUAUGAUGAUGAUGAUGAUGAUGAUGAUGAUGAUGAGGCGAAGCAGGACACAGAAAGUCGUCGCAAAGGCAAAAAGGCCAAGAAGACCGGAAAUGACUACCCUCCCGCGUGCUUCACUCUAAGUCAGGAGGAGAUCGAGCAGUUUUUCACCUGCCUCCUAGGAGUAAAACUUCCUUACGGUUACGCGGGGAAGAUAAGCAGAUACCUAGACCCAGCGAAGCAGAAGUUCAGCGGGAUGAAGUCUCACGAUUGUCACAUGCUGAUGACGCAGAUACUUCCAGUUGCAAUCCGUGGGAUCAUGGACGCGCACGUCCGUGAAACGCUAUUUGGCCUAUGCAACUUCUUCGACGUCAUCUCUCAGAAGUCGAUUGGCAUGAGGCAACUCAGAAGGCUACAGGAAGAGAUCGUGGUGAUACUAUGCGAGCUUGAGAUGUACUUCCCGCCCGCAUUCUUCGAUGUUAUGGUGCAUCUGCUGGUCCAUAUAGUGGGGGAUAUCAUCCAACUCGGGCCGAUGUUCCUGCACAGCAUGAUGCCGUUCGAAAGGAUGAAUGGUGUCAUCAAAGGAUACGUUCGCAACAUGUCACGUCCAGAAGGAAGCAUAGCCAGGGGCUUUCUGACCGAAGAGUGCAUCUACUAGUGCGCGAAUUAUCUAGGCAUCGAGAACCCCGUUGGUCUGCCCGUCAACAGGCACCUCGGCAGGCUCGCUGGAUGGGGUCACCGUGAGGGUCGCCGCGAAAUGCAUGUCGACUUCGAGGGUCGACUCGCCGACUUUGAAAGAGCAAACCUAGUCGCGCUACAACACAUAGACGUGGUCGAUGCUUGGGUGGUAGAGCACAAAACCUUUAUUAAGAAGACGUACAAUGACCGAGGCCAACAGAGGACGGACGGAGAUAUACUCAAAGAGCACAACUCAUGUUUCACGCGUUGGUUCAAGCAGAAGCUUCUGUCGUACCCUUUACAUGAGGAUUCUUCCGCGGAAGAACAACUCAUAUUCGCCUUGUCACAGGGCGCCGAGCACAACCUGAUGACCUAUGAGGCGUACGAUAUCAACGGCUACACAUUCUACACCGAGGCCAAGGACAUGAAGAGCGAUGGUUAUCAGAACUCCGGGGUAACGAUGGAAUCCUACACCGGUAACGACAAGGACAGAUACUACGGAAGGAUCGAGGAGAUCUGGGAGCUGAGCUAUGCUGGAGAGAAGGUCCCGAUGUUCCGUGUCAGAUGGGCCAAGAACGUCAUAAAAGAAGACCGGUAUUUCACCACCAUGGUUAUACCCGGAGCCAAAUCCAAGACCGCGAGCGCAAACGUCACCGCGAAAAAUGAGCCAUGGGUACUGGCUUCCCAAGUGGACCAAUGCUUCUUCAUUACCGACCCGCCAAAGCCCAGUCGUGUUGUCGUGAGGAGAGGCAAAAGGAAGAUCAUCGGAAUGGAUGGAGUAGCCAAUGAGCAAGACUUCGACAAGUACGGCGACCCGAGGAUCGAACAUGACGACGAUGAUGAAGUAGCAGCAUACACCACAAGAAGAAGCAGGACCACCCUACCUAAAGGACGUCCGUUCCACAGAAGAACUCCAUUUGCGAAAAAGAAGGGCAAGAAGAUUGUGAACAGAUAGCUAGCUAAGAUCGAUUGUAUUUAAAUCGUAGCCUUCAUUUCUCGAUUGUAUUUCAUGGGUACUUUUUGAACUAUCAUGAAUAUUUUUAAAUUUAAUGGACACUCGAUCUCGAUCCCCCUCCAUCUCGAUCGCUAUCCCACCUCGCCAGAUCCGGUCCCCCUCGCCGCCAAGCACCCCCCCAGCCCACCGGCCGCCGCCGCCGACCCCCCGCACCCUCGAUUCCCCUACCCAACCGCCGCCGCCGACCCACCGCACCCCGCGCACCCUCCCCUGCUCCACCAGCAUUACUGUUUGAUGAUAUUUUUAAAAAAAUUAUUAUUGUCUUAUAAAAAAAUAUUACUGUUAUGAUUUAAACAAGUUUGAACAUAUUUAAACACAAAUAAGUAUCAAACAGGUUUUUAAAUGCUAAAAAAAAUUUGUGGAGCCUGGGAGUCGAACCCAGGACCUCCUGGUGUGAGAACUGGCUGCUGACCAGUCGAGCUAGUAGAGGGGACUUGAUGUGGAUCAAUUCUGGUGGUACAUAACCUGUUGGCUCGAGUUGAAAUAAAAAAAAUACUAAUGGCGCACCACGGUGAGGUGCGCCAUUAGUAUGGAUGUACUUAUGGCGCACCGAGGGGUGGUGCGCCAUUAGUAUUGUGCCCGAUCCCUUCCCUCUCCCCCUUCGCCCGAUCCCCCCUUCCCUCUCCCCCUUGCCAGUUCCCUCUCCCUCGAUCCACCGCCGCCGCCGCCGCUGCCCUGACCCACUGCGCCGCAGCCGCCCACGCGCCCCCGCCGCCUCCCUCUCCCCUUCCUCCCCCUCGAGCCCGCGCCGUCCGCCCAAACCUAACCCGACGCCGUCCGCCGCGCCCGCUCCACCGCCGCCGCCCUGCCUCUCCGCCCUCUCCCUCCCUCNNNNNNNNNNNNNNNNNNNNNNNNNNNNNNNNNNNNNNNNNNNNNNNNNNNNNNNNNNNNNNNNNNNNNNNNNNNNNNNNNNNNNNNNNNNNNNNNNNNNNNNNNNNNNNNNNNNNNNNNNNNNNNNNNNNNNNNNNNNNNNNNNNNNNNCGUCGCCCCGCCGCCCCGACACCACCGUCCGUCGCCCCGCCGCCCCGCCGCCCCUCUCGCAGCAAGGUAUGCGGCUGGUUCGUCCCCUGUCAUGGUUCUCUCUUCGUUUAUUUUCCUGAAAUCUCUGCUGUUCAUUGGCCGAUGAUGUCUUACAAGUAAAAUAUCUGGCAAACUUGUGCUGUAAACUGUACAUUGCUGAGGCUGUGGGCAACCUGUUCUUCUCUUUGCCAUACUAGUGCUUUUGUUCAUUGGCCGAUGAUGUCUCUGUUGGUUUACGUCCCCGGCAAAUUAGGUACCCGUGAACCAUUUAUAGGCCCAACUUUCUUACUCUCAAUGACCACAAUGUGCUUAUUUUGUUAGGAUUGUGCAUUUGCGCGAUUUGUGCAGUGCUUAUUUGUUGGCACCUCACCAGCUUUCAAAUUCAGCAUUUGUAACACAGUUCAAUUUGAUCUAAGGGCCUAUCUUGUCUCAUUUCCAACAUGUAAUAAACUUCCCCCGAGGCCAUAGAUGAGAAUACUUCUUUCAGUACAUUUUGCUGAUUUCUCACUGUUGAAUACUUCAUUUCUGUUUGCCUUUGGCCAAAGAUGCAUUCAGUUCUUUCUGCCCUUAGCGGUUUGAUUCAAGUUUGUCAGGUUCUGUUAACUAAAAAGGUUCAGAUUCAGAAACAUUGUUGGACUACUAGGAAGUUGGACUACUAGGAACAUGUUUAGAUUCAGGUUCUGUUAACUAAAAAAGUUCAGGUUCUGUUAACUAAAAAAGUUCAGAUUCAGAAACCUGUAAUUUCUACUUUUAUGCCUCUGUUACUCCAGUCAAAAUUUUAUGUUUGAUGCCCAUGGUAGUUGAGCUCUCACCUCACCUCACGCAACAUGCAUGAUGCCACAAUGUCUAGUAUGUACUGCCAAGCAACUGGCAAAUAAUUAUAACUUAGAAUAAAUAAAUCUGAUGUAAGAUAAGCAUGGCAUGAGCUUUAAUUAAAUAGCAUAAUACACGUUGGUAGUCCAUCUCUCUCAAAAAAAAUACAUGUUGGUAGCAGAAAAAAAUACAUGUUGGUAGCAGAAAUUUUUUUGAGCCCUUAUUAGCUACUCACACUAUUUGCCCCGCAGUUUCUCUGUCAUGGCUACCAAGUGAUUGACGGUGGGCUAGAAAAAUAAAACCACCAAACUAUCAGUAAAAGAUGUGAACCAACAUCUUUCAUUGUUAUGCAUAUCAAACACCAAGGGUUAUUUUCACUUAAAGUUUUAGAAUGGGUGCAUUACAAUUCAGUCUGAUAUCUAAUAAGACACUCUGGGCUGAUAUAAUUAUGGAACAGAACCAACCAUGAUAAAUAAAAGGUGAUGUUGUCUAUGCAUUACCAAAAAUGUAUCUUUGUGAACAAAUAAAUUGGUACCAACAGCAAUGCCAUCUUACUGUAGAAUUAGAAUACAUGGACAUGAUCAGCUCAGCUCCCAAACUGCCAUUCAUCACAUCAAUUUCCCCUUAUGUAACUCCAGUCAAAAUUUUAUGUUGGUCUACCUAGUAGAUGCCCAUGGUUUGAUUUUAUGUUUGUUCCUAUCAAUACAAAUGCUGAGCUAUGUUCCAUUUUUACUGUUCUUUGUGAUAGUUUUUGCAACUUUACUUCCCAUCUUAAGGCAAGCCCCAUUUUUACUGUUCUUUGUUAGCAGAGCUGCUUGUUUCUAAGAACUUUGAUACUAUUUGGAUCAAAGUUAAAUGAGCACAUAGAUGACAAAAAAAAGUUCAGAUUGUAAAAUGUUCAUUUUGCUGCUAGUGCCCAUUUUGAGUAAUUGCUUAGAGGGAUGAUCCUGUGUGAGCUGGUGGAGUGAUUUGUUUUCUACAUAAAGCUCUUUAGUCAGGCUGGUUUUCGUGAAAUACACAUGAAGCUUCACCAGCUCCUGUGGGUGUGGGAUCCAUGUGACAUGUGACAUUGCAUCCAUGUCCACCUGGGAUAAUGAUUUUGCAUGUACCCCGAGAGGCCCUUAAGUUUGCCGGAAUGUCGAUUAACUUCCGUUCCGGCAAAUUCGGGUACUCCAUAUGUCCUAUUUUCAGCAAAGGUCAUGCUGAAAUUUUCCGUGAAUUUUAGCAUGACUUUGCAAAAAAUAGGACAUAUGGGGUACUUGUGACUAAUGCAUGGGCCGGGGUAUCAUAGUAGUUAAUUAAGUAGGAUCAAGUGCCCCGGCGUACUUGUGACUGAUGCAUGGCUUUUAGGGUGCCUCGGUGUUGAUAAAAACCGAAAUGAUGAAAGCUUAGGCUUUUAGGGUGCCUCGGCGUCGAAAAACCCUCAAUGAUAAAAGCUUAGGUCUUAGGAUGCCUCGGUGUCGACAAACCCUAAAUGAUGAGACCAUGUCUUGUUCCUUGACAAUAACCAACUUUUUGACCAAACUUUGUUUCUAUUUAGAGAGAAACAUGGCCCACAACGAUGAGGCCGGGGGUUCGGGCGGCAAGGCAUUCUGGGAGCUGUCCCAGGAGAUGGAGGAACAACCUCACUUGUAUGAGGCCGCCGCCUUCCCCACCGAUCCUGAGACCACUGAUGGUGCCGCCGAGGAUGACCACACUGAUGCCACCACUGAUGGUGCCGCCGAGGAUGCCACCACUGAUGAUGGCAGCGCCCGCACAGAUGGCAGCCAACCGAAGAGGCAACGGAAGGACCGACGCCCGAUCGUGCUCCUCACCCUCAAGGAGGAAGUUACUGAAGUGGACUCCAACGGGUAUCCAACGGCGCCCGAACGAAUAGUCAAGGGGUACUCGCUUCAGCUCGGGUGCAUUGUCCGGAGCACCGUCUCGAUCAACACCGAGAACCUGAGGCAUCCUGACCGAGGGAAUUUGUGCCACCUCCUCUUCACGAAGCUGCACGAAUGAUACAAGUUCCCCGCUGAAUUUGCAAACAGAAGCCUCAAAGGGAAUAAAGUGAACAAUGCUGCCCUCACGAAGAUGAGCAAGGCCCUGUCUACUUGGAAAAGCAAUGUGAAGAAAAUGAUCGAUAAAGGUGAGAGUUAUCAGAAGAUCAAGGAGAAAAAUCCUUCGAUCACCAAAGAUGACUACAAUGACUUCAAGAUCAAUUGCUCGAGCACCGCAAGCUCCCAAUCAAGUGAGUGGGGGAAACAAAUGCGGGAGCUGAACAUAGGGGAACACACACUCGGUCCCGACGGUUACAGAGUGGCGGAGCCUAUAUGGGACAAGGAGGAGGCGGACCGUGCCGAGCAAGGCCUACCGCCCCUCUUCGAGAAAUACAGCGGUAACAAGCAGACCAGGAACUUUGUCAGGGCCCGGUACAAGAAGGACCCGAAAACAAAGGAGCUUACCACGGAUCCGAAGACCAGGCAGCUUGAGCUUGUUCUGGUAAGGAAUACACCCCCGCGUAAUUAGCUCCAUAUGGUUGCAUUCUAAUUAAUGAAGCCAAAUUUCUAAAUGGUUCACAUUCCUUCCGCAGGCGACUGAAAGCAGUAGCGCGGGGUCGACUAAGAGCAACCCUUGGGACACCACUCUAAAUAGGGCGAUGAAUGUAAUGAAGAAGAAGGAUAAGCUCAGUAAGCCGACGUCAGCUGGUCGUGUGGCCGGCAAAGGCUUGUCGACAAAAUGGGGGUCAUACUAUACCGCUGGUGUGCGGAAGGAGAAAAAGACCAGCUCGGAAAGCCAGGCGCGAGAGGAUCAAGAACUCAAGGAACAGGUGACGCGGAUUCCGGAGAUUGUCCAAGAGCAAGUGGAACAAUGACUCGGAGCGACGAUCACCGCCAUUGUGCCUACCUUGAUCUCGGGGUUGAGUGCGUGGAUUGCGGGCGGCCAACAGGGGCCGCCCCCGAUUCCUAGCUUCACGGCCAGCAACUCGCAUAAUGCGAUGGCGGGGCCAUUGGUGCCUCCGGCGGAGGCGGCAUUGGUGUCUCCGACGCCGGCACGGGAGCUUAAUGCACCCGGGUGUACGCCGGCCGGCACCUCUGCAGCAAGCGGCCCCUCCGUCAACUGCACGCCCGCCGUUGGCGGUGCGUCGACAUUAGCCGAGCUCGACGCCAUCAACACGGUAACUAAUUAAGCCUCUCUCGGCCGAGGACUUCAUCUCCUUGCCUUUGACUAGGCAUCCCUGACGCCCUACAUGUUUUCGCAGGGCGCCGCCGACGUUCCGUGCACUCUCCUCCACUUCGUGAACAACGAGUUGGUCGAUGUCGCCAAGGGCAAAAUCGUUCAACCGGCAACCCCUUGUUCCACGGUACCCAGAUGCCACCCAACUUGUUUAGGGUUCAACUGGUUCGGGUGUUGCCAGGCUGCGACGACUUGUUACCUCUGAUUCGACCCGUUGGGGCCGACGAUGAAGACGUGAUGACCCUCAGCGCCUGCCUGAGCUGGCCCCUAGUUUGGCCGAAGAGCCAGAUUCGUUUGGGGGCGGGGGACACCACCCCAAAGACAACACCGCCAGUCGUGCUGGUGCCAAGUCGGCCCCAUGGCAAGACCGCCGUAACGGUGCCGGACAUCCCUAUGCCACUGGAUCCAAACAUGCAUAUGGCACAGGAUCAGAAUGACGACGACAACGACGAUGAUACAUUUGGCAACGUCGAUCAGUACUUUGCCGAUCAUGGGUACGAUGGCGACUUCAUGGGGCCUCCUUCUCAAGAACCAAACCCAACAAAAGACGUGUGCGAUCUAGCUGGUACCGCAGAGAAGCCAAGUUGCAACAGGCGCCGUCUGGCGUUCAGCUCUCAGGAGACGCCUCCAGCUGCCGACUUCACCGAUCCUCAGAUAGGCGAGGUGCGAAAUAUUAUCAGCCCCAACACACUCAAGAAGGCGGUCUGUGAGCAGAACUCGGUCCCAUUACAGGAGAAGAAGAAGGCACGCAAAAGAAAGACUAAGAAGGGUGCGAGCCAGCCGGCACCGAGUACGAUCCGUGCUCAGGACGGGCCACCUUCACCGCAGGAUAUCUCGAGGAGGGUGCAUGUGGCGGGUAGGGCGAUGCUACCGACAAAUAUGCUCAAUGCUGCAACCGGUGCUAUGCGGAGUCUGCAUGACAGUGUUCUUGCUUUGGAGAAGCGGCGUCUCAGAGAGAAGGAUGUGGCAUACCCGGUUUUCGCGGCCAAGGUGCCAAAGGGCAAGGGCUUUGUGGAUAACUCCAUCGGGCGUACGAUCGUCCUGCGUUUUGAUGACAUCCACGCUAUGUUGAACCUUCAUCCGCUGCACUACACCUUCGUUCGGCUAUUUUCGCUGAGUAUGGAGAUGCGGAUCAUUCGCGACAAGACCCCGGACAUCGUGAUAGUCGACCCCUUCUACAUGCGUGCCAAGAUCUUGGGCAGCGCUGGGGACCGGCAAGUCGCGAGUUCUUACCUCGAAGGCAUCAUUCUGGCAAACCAAGAUAAGGAUAACUUCCUCGUGCCUUACUUUCCCGAGUAAGUCCUCCCCUCAACCGGCCCGUAACAUAUGAAUUCUUACAUUUCGAUCGUUUUUCUUUUAACAUUCCGUGUUUUUUGCAGUGACACACGUUGCACGCUCAUCCUCCUAAGCCCCAAAUAUUCCAUGGCCACAUAUUUCGACCCGGACUGUUAGUCGAACGUAGACUACACAAAUGUCAAGAAGGUUCUUGAUGAUGUUCUCCCCGGCUAUGCCAAAUCUGGAGGCACCUUCACCAGGCCUAAUCGUAAGUACGGCAAGCAUGUUUUCUCCCACAAUACGAUGUUCUACUGCGUCAAGCAGCCGCCUGGUGGUCAGAAGGGUGCCUACUACGCCAUCCAUCACAUGCGGGCGAUCGUACGGGACCAUCAUCAACUUCUGCUACCGAGUAAACUCAAAGAUUGGGCAAAGAGCGUGUCGGCAAUCGAGGACGCGGACCUCCGACAAGAAUUCUUUCGCAUCCAGUCGGAGUUUGCGGAAAUCAUCCAUCAAGAUGUCCUUCGUACCUCGGGGCAGUUCUACCUCAACAAUCAACCGUCCAAUAGUGACAUCGACAUAAUGCUACAAAUGCAGGCUGACAACGACCGUUAUUUCAUGACUCCCACGAUAGACGGCGGCUUCAUCCACGCUCCGGUCCCUUGAGUCGAGUCGAAAGCAGUGAUGCUGUGUCUAGUUCUGAAACAUCGAUUGGCUCAUGUUGUAAUUAAACUUUAAUGAACUUGUAGUAUGUCUCUUUGGUUUCGAGAGUCGUUCAACUUAGAUGUAAUCGAUGCUAUUAAUGUCUUGCUUUUCUCUUCCGAUUGUUCUGUUGCAUACUUAUAUAUUGCUUAUGUAUUGUCUGUGAAUUGGUACUAACGUUUCGUUUGGCUAGUGCAUAGCGAUGCCGACGUAUGUCGUGUACAAGGGUAAGGUUCCCGUAGUCUACGAUGACUGGGAGGAGUGUCGGAGACAGGUUCACCGAUUCAGCGGUAACAGUUACAAAGGGUACACCACUAGGGCCGAGGCCGAAUCUAGAUACGCCCGCUAUCUAGCGGGAGAGGGGAGGGAGCGUUGGAGGAACCGGAUGAAGACGAGUUUCAUCGUGAUGAUGCUCAUCGUGAUGACCGCAGCUCUCUUCUAUGUGAUGGUAGUUUAGAUGAUCGAUAUCGACUUGUAAUGUGAAGACAAACUCGCUACUCGCGGUCUCGAGACUUGUAAUAUAAUGUUCUAUCUUUGUUCGGUCUUUUUAAUUCGGAGACUAAUAUGAUGAAUUGUAUUCGGAGACUAAUAUGAUGAAUUGUAUUCAAAGACUAAUCUUCUAUUGUAUUCGAUGAAUCUGUUGUUGAUGUGUGCUGUCUAUAUUUUGUCAAAUUAUACAUUUUGUAACCUGUGCAAAAAACAGAAAAUAAAAAAUAAAAAAAACCUAAUAUUCAUACUAAUGACGCAUCACAUGAUAGUGCGCCAUUAGUAUGACAGUGCAUACUAAUGGCGCAUCACUGGGCAGUGCGCCAUUAGUAUGCCGCGGUUACUAAUGGCGCAUCCAGCGGUGGUGCGCCAUUAGUAUGCCAAAGCACCUGGGUAUACAUGGCCCCUGGGAGGCAUACUAAUGGCGCACCCUUGCCUAUACUAAUGGCGCACGCGCGGUGCGCCAUUAGUAUACCAGAUACUAAUGGCGCACCAGGUGGUGCGCCAUUAGUAAAAAUUACUAAUGGCGUGCUAUUAAUGGCGCACCACAGAUGCGCCAUUAAUGGCCAUUUUAGGUGCGCCAUUAGUAGGGGUUUUUCUAGUAGUGUAAUAAGCGAGAUGACGCAGUUCCUGACCGCCCCGCUACCACUACUGGUUCCAGCGUGGCGUUUGAAUUAUGCCGCGCUAGAUGCCUUUUGUCCAGCGAGGAACAAGUGGGGUCAAGCGUGCUUUGGCAAUUCCCGCCGUCAGAAGACUUCCUUGUAGUCCGGUGUAGAGGUGAGGUUGUAGGGAGAUGCAUCGACUAGGAAGGAGUGGCCACAUGAACGAGCAUAUGUAUGAUGUGAUUAAGUCUCUCGAUCGGGUAUCUGGUGCCUUACGUACGGUGUCUUAUUUUUGUCAAGCUAUGACAUCUUUCAGUUUGAGUGUCUGAUAUUAGGGUUGCAUACGUUUUGUUAUUCAGUUGCCUGUUGUCAACUCUAUGGUUAUAUCACCUCGAUGUGUGAGUCAAUGUGUUUGAACCAAUGUAGAGUUUCAUGUGAAUGUUACAAGUGUGAUUGAUAUCUUCAUGUUAUAACCGCAGUUGCCUUGGUAAGAAAUUGAAAGAGCAAACCGUUAUCGUGUUAGGAAAAAAGUCAUCGCUCAAUAUAAGUUGCUUCUCUAGAACAACCACACCUUUCCCUCAAAAAAAAGAACAACCACACCUUGUGAAAGAAGAUGGCAAACACCCAAUUAUGUCUGGUUAGAUAUGGGCAUGGCUAUGGGUAGCUUAUAGCGACACGGAAGCUAGCAUCGCCUGAAGAAACACCCGGAUGGGCCGGCCUAGAGACAAAUUUCUUCAUUUCUACCCUUAGUUUUGUUUUUCUGCCCUUUUUUCUUUAUAUUUUAUAUUUUUCCCGACAUGUUCACUACUUGAUGCUCAACUGGGAUCUCAUCUGAUGCGGAGCAUCCUAUGGACAUCACCAUGUCAAGAGUCCGUUCGGCAAGUGACACGUGUGACAUCUACUUCUCAUACAUAAAGGUGAAUCUUCUCCUUUACACGUGUUUACUUGACCCCUUCGAGGAUGGUAUACUACUUGACACUUCUCCCGUGUGCAUGCAUAGGUAUUGUCGGAGCUUCAUGGAUGUCGAGGAGGAGUGCAAGCGCCAAGGAAUGACUACACCGUCCGCGAGGGAAGCAUGGAAGAGAAGGAGGAAGAGAACCUGGCUACUCCAGAACGAGCGGUACUACUGCCCACUCCAAGCGGUACUACCGCCGAGGCCACCCAAGCGGCACUACCGCCCAGCAUCCGCCCUUCUACUGCUCAACCCGACAAACUCCAGUGAUCGAGCGGUGUAAGUCCGGUACUACUGCCCCUCCAAGCGGUACUACCGCUCAAGCGGUACUACCACCCAUGAGUCCGGUACUACCGCCCUGCCUCUGCCCAGCCGUGGGCCUUUGGCCUUGUAUCCCUCUCCCACUUACCCCUUCGUGGCUUAGACUAUAAAUAGGCCACCUCCACCUCCUUUCUAGGGUUAGCACAGAUUUAGCUCAUUUUGAGAUAGAGCUUUGCUCAUCCAUACGGAUCUACUCCUCGUGAGAGACCGCGACCUCUUCGGAGAAGAUCCAUCUUGGAUUCAAGACCCCCUCGUGGGAAGAUCCGUCUAGGAUACCAACAAGACCUCCUCUUGGAGAUGAACCUUACCUUGUAUCUUUCCCUUUGUUGUUCAUGUACCCUUGUGGAUCUUGUGUGUUUGAUUGUCUAGUGGAUGUGUGAUUGGACUUGUACUUGAGUGUUUCCCCUUGUGAUUUCUCUCCGUUCUUCCACGUGUUCUUCAUAGGGAUCCGCUCCAAACGUGAAAGAUCGGCCUCUAGGGUUCUAGCCUACAUCAUCUUGGAUCAGAGCAAGGUUGAUCACGGAUUUGGAGCCCCUACCCCUCUUUUUCUAGCCUUCUUUUGCUUGCUUUCGUCCUAAAAUCCCCACAAAAAAUAGCCCCAAUUUUUUUGUGAUUUGUUCGUUUGAUGAUUUUUUGUUGAUUUUGAUCCAUGGAUUUGCUUGGUUUUGAGUGGAUCUAGCAUCUCUCCAAGUUUCCCCACCUUCCAUCCACGAAAUCCAUCCAAUUUUGCCCCUGAAAUCAUCCUUUUCCGCCCCAAAUUCGCCCCGAUUUCGAUCUGUGAAUUUUCCCGACACGAGCGGUACUACCGCCCUCGAAGCGGUACUACCGCCCUCGAAGCGGUACUACCGCUGAGCACCACAAGCGGUACUACCACCCUCCCAAGCUAUGACGCCCGGAUAAUUAAGCUACAGUAAUCCCCUUCUAAUGGUGCCAUGUCAUCACAUUACUGUUGCUAAUCCUCGCUUGAUCCAAAUCUUAGUUCAAACUCAAAUUCAAAUUAAAGACCAAAAUUCAAAUUUCUCAAGCAUGCAAAAUAAAAUGUUCAAAGUGUGGCAAAUAAUCGCUGGAUAUUUGUCAUGUUGCAAACAACCUCUUUUGAAUUCUCAAAAUGCCCCUGGGAAUUAAUUUUUGGUCCAGUAGUAAAUUAAAUGGCAUUUGCAAAAUAAAGAAUUGUUUAUUUAACUCCAAUUGCCUCCAAACUUUAUGUGCCACUCCAAAAUAUUUGUGGCUCUGUCUAAGAUCGCCAAGGAAUUAAAAGGGCACUUCCCAUAUUUUCCCUAAGUAAAUAGUGUGCCCAAAAUAUUCUCUUAACCAUCUCUAUUUUUUUAAAUAAAAAAAGGCGAAGAAGAACUCCCCCGGGCCUCGGGCCACUCCCACUUACCAGCCCACCUAAGCCGGCCCACUCCCCCGCUCCCCUAGCCUAUAGGCCACGGCCGACCGAACCCUAACCCCGCAUGAUCCCCCCACUCCCCACUCCUCUCCCCUCUCGAUCCGAUCUGGAUCGGACCGAAACCGGCGCAAUUGGUCGAUCCAUGUAUAAAGUAAAAAUAACUAGGCCCAAUUGGUCGAUCCAUGACAGUUUUCGUGACGGUACUUCCACGUCUGUCAUGAGGGGGCUACCCUACUUGGCCCCAAAUGGAUCUUGCUAAUUGGUGACGGUUUCCGUGAUAGAUUUCUGGAACGUCACCAGAAAUCCGUCAUUGAUUAACAGAUUUCCGCACAAUCCCCCCACUCCCCACUCCUCUUCCCUCCUGAUCCGAUCUGGAUCGGACCGAAAUCGGCGCCGCGACGCCAACCGCCGUCGCUGGAGGCGUCCCCGACUCCACGCCGGGCCGCCCCGUCACUGGACCUCCUCCCCGUCGCCACUCGUCACUCGCUGGACCGCCUCGUCCCCACCAAUGCCGCCCCCACCCCAACGUCCCCGACGCCUUCGCCGUCGGCACCGCCCCAAUGUCGCCGCCACCCGACGCCGGCGCCCUCGACAUCGCCACCCCGAGCCCACUGCCACCCCUACGCUCCGCUAUGAGCCCCUCGCUGAUUCCCCCUCCUUCCCGUCGUCGUAGGUGGCUGCGCGCGUCGUUGGCCAUCGUGGCCGCGCUCCGGCCGUUCCCCAUCCGUGCGCUGGCCUCGCCUUCCUCGGAUUGCAAACAUUGAACUUUUCCCCUCGGGUUCAUCUAUCUGACAGACGUUCGGGACCAGAAAAACUUUCCCGGAUGUUUCCCCCUUCGCCAGUAUCACCUAGCACCGCGUUAGAACACUUCUAGCCCCGCUUAUUGUCUUGUUAUGCAUAUGUUUGCGUGUAUUUACUGUUUCUUCCCCCUCUUCUUCUCCGGUAGACCUCGAGACCGUUGCUGAUGCCCCUGUGGUCGACUACGUCGACGGCGACCCUCCUUGUCUGAGCAACGAGGCAAGCCCCCCCUUUGAUCAUCCCGAUAUCGCCCAUUCCAUUCUCUAAUGCUUGCACUAGAUUUUCUACUGUAUUUGAUUGCUCCUAUUCUGAUGCAUAGCAUGCUUUUCUACCUGCUGUUGUACCUUACCUGCUUAUCCUAAACUGCUUAGUAUAGGUUGGCUAGUGAUCCAUCAGUGACCCCCACCUUGUCUUUGUUGCCCCUGCUUCAUCAUUGACGACUCGAUCAACGUGAUCGACGACCGGAGCCUGACACCUCACAUCACAUCACGCCCCUUUUUGUUGCUCGACUCUGCAGAGUUACCAUCGAGUGCCGAGGGUGGAACCUCAUACAUCACUCCUUAUGAGAUCUCUGUAGUGUAGCUAUUCGGUCGUGGUCAUCGAGGGUGGUUCCUCCUUCACCAUUCCUAAUACGGCUCUGUCGUGCAACACCUCAAGUGUGAACCUCGAGGGUGGUUCCUCUUACGUUCACCUUGAUGAUUACAUCGAGUGGAAUCCACCGGGGGUGAUUCCUCGGAUUUUCCCCUUUAUGUCUGGACACACAGUUACCUUGACUUCACUUGAGACCGUUUUGAAAGCCGGGCAGGCCCGGAGAGCACCCGUGCGGUGUGACGGUGGCGGCUGGCUGUUUAGCGGUAUCACCCGGGAGGGGGUGAUAGCUCCGGACUUGUCCCGACAGCCGUCACUUCUUUUAAUAAUGCACUAACAGGUUUGGGUAUUUUUUCUAAGUUCACUAACCACGACGCUAGAAUAGUUAUGGGUCUCGAUGUUGCAGUAUCAGCCGAAGCUUUCUCAGACGUCCAGUUCAGCAUUGUGGCCGGGCCGAAUCAUGCCAUCCACUUCACGGGUGGUGCUGGUAUCCCCUUGCGCACAACGACCCAGAGUGCAACGGGCGAUGGGCCCAGACCCCGGAGUGCUUAGGAUGUAGACCGGCAGGGACCUCUCUGCUGAGCCUAGGUAGGGCAGCUACGUGUUGAUCUUCCGAGGCCGGGCAUUGACCCCAGAAAGGUGUGUCCUUCCAGAGUGAUCGAGCGUGUUGGGUAACGUGGUGCCCCCCUGCAGGGAAGAUUAUCUAUUAAUAGCCGUGUCCACGGUAACGGACGUUCAAACUUAUAUCUUGAUCUUAUACAACUACAAAUGGAUACUUGAGAUAUGUGGCUCCGGGAUUGCUUUCUCGCAGGGAGUCGAGGAAGGAUCUCUGGGCGUUGUUGUCACAACAUGCUUGUUAAUUAAACUGCUAUUCUUUACUCUUCUACAUGCUGCAAGAUGCUUGGAGCUACUUGAAGAUGCUAGUCUUCAUGAGGCUAGGCCUUCCCCUCUAUUCUGGCAUUCUGCAGUUCAGUCCACAGAUACAACCCUUCCAUUUGAUACCAAUGCAUACUUAGUAUAGAUCUGAUGCUUGCGAGUACUUUGGAUGAGUACUCACGGUUGCUUUGCUACCCCAUUUCCCCCUUCUUUCUUCUUUCCGGUUGACGCAACCAAAUGGUGGAUCCCUGGAGCCAGAUGCCAGCGCUGAUAGAUGCUACUAUGUGAAGAUCGCCGACGACCAGGAGUAGUUAGGAGGUCCCAAGCAGGAGGCCUUGCCUCUUCGAUCAUUGUUGCUUUUGUGCUAGCCUUCUUAAGGCAUCUUUGUUUAACUUAUGUCUGUACUCAGAUAUUGUUGCUUCCGCUGACUCUUGUGUAUCGAGCUAUGUAUUCAAGCCCUCGAGGCCCCUGGCUUGUAAUAUAAAGCUUGUAUUAUUUUGAUUUGUGUCUAUAGUUGUGUUGUGAUAUCUUCCCGUGAGUCCCUGAUCUUGAUCAUACACAUUUGCGUGCAUGAUUAGUGUACGAUUGAAUCGGGGACGUCACAAGUUGGUAUCAGAGCCGACUGUUUGUAGGAUCCCCCUUUCCAACUCCUUGGCUGAAGUUGAGUCUAGUCUUUGAAAAAAAUUGUUUUACUAACAUGGUUGUGUGGCUUACGGGCCCAUGUCGCCAUUGGGUGGUAUUAGGAUCUUUUACUCCUCGACCUUUACUCUGGGACUCUAAUCGCUCUUCUAUUCGGGUUAAAUGGUCUCGCAAACUAUAACUCUAGGUUCUCGUAAAUACUUUCUCCCGGAGAGCCCCUUCAUUCCAGAUGAUGGCCUGCUUCACCAGAUGAUUUCGAAGAUACCCUUCUGUAAUUUCCUGAGACUUUUGUACUCAUUGCUUUUGCAGUUCCCUACCUCUGAUAUAUCCUUACGGAUAACUUCAUACACUUGUCAUUCAUACAAUCAUUCCUAGUUGCUCUUGUUUUUACAAGAUACAUUGAAUUAUUCUCCGACUUUUAAGAAUCCCUUGCUUACUGCCCUGCAGUUCCUUGCCGCAUGAAUACCCCUACGGAUAAUUACUCGCACUUGCCGAGUAUCCGUUCGUCCAUAGUUGUUCAUGUGUUUCACAACAUUCUUUGGAAAGCUAUUUGAUCUUUUCAAAAAUCCUCAGUAGCCUAUUACUCUUGUUCCUCCUUACCUACUUACAGUAUGGUUACUUCCAUUUGUCUAGCAAUAUUCUUUAAAAUCCUUUGCGAUUGACAUCCUUACCCUAUUGUUUCAACAUGUGUGUGAAUGCACGCAAUCAUCAAUUGUUCCCUGGAAUUGUCCUUCUGGCUCAGACGUUACCCCGGACACGAGCUGGUGUUCGACAAAACAAACCUUGAUUGAUUUUGAAUCUAUGUCUAUACAACUUAAUUGUCUUUGAUCAGAGCCUCUGCUUUUGAUCCCCCAUUUUGAAAAUCAUAAUCCCCUUUGCAUUCGAGCAUAGAAUUAGUCAGUUGUUUCUAUAACCUGACCUCCUUGAAUUCUUUCUUCUUCUGGUUGAGUAUCGAUACUCACAUCAGAUCCAUUGUGGACCUCCAGGUCCUUUGUUGGUUUUUAUCCGACAGCAUCCUUCAUAUUCAGUAACCUUGUGAGCCUUUCCUCGAAUACACAAUGCCUUUGGUAAAUUGUAUCCCCCACUCUCGUCAACCAUACUCUGCUUCCGGGCUUGAGUUAUUUACUCGUGAAGUUUGUGGUAUAUGUUCCUAAUAUGUCCCUAUGGGUUGAAUCUAUGUCUUCCCUAAAUCUGUGUGAACCCUACGACUCAUACUCUACUGGUGUUAUGCCAGAUAAAAUCUCAACAGUACGGCUUCGUUGAAAAUGAGAAGUGAAUGAAAGGUUAUGCAUCGAAGAAGUGGGAGUCGACCUUGAGCCUUGUGUUCAUGCCCAUGGACACGAUGUGGAACUUAACAUGGAAGCUUCUUUUUAUAAUAAUAGCCCCCUAGCGAUAAGUACAUCUUGUAUCCAUGUGUGGUCCAUUGCAAUCGUGGUUCCGACCAUAUUGUUCUUGUUUGAUCCAUUUAUCGGACAAGUUAAAGUACUUGUCUUCUUCAAAUUGUUUCACAUGUUCAACCUCUACAUUGAUAUACCUUCGAGCAUUAUCCUCUGGUAUCUCGAGAAUAUCACGGAACUACAUAACUUCUUAUGAGUUCUUGAUCAACUAUUAUUUCUCACUGAUUCAAAUUUUUCACUAGUUGGGAGUUGUUAGACACUCGAGAAUACAGUUAACUGAUUCAAGUCUACGCUUUCCUUUCCAUUGUUCUGUUUAAUCUUUCUGGUAACCUAUCUUAUCUGAGAACUGAUAAUUCCCUGCUUAUGUAAACACCUCGGUGUACAAGCUCUGUCUGUAAGACCUUGUUACUAUUGUUGAGGACAUUCCGAUAGCUACCGAUGGACGAGAACUUUGCCUAUUGGUCCGCCUCAUCUUAACGAGCAGGAAAAUGGUUCUCUUUGUCCCUCUCCCUUGGUACCAACGUUGUUGCCAACAUAACUGACAAGUUGUCCUCUGACCUGCCUUGCUAUCAUGACCAUGCAAAAUGCUAGCGCCCUUCCUGCUUUUAACCCACAAGGUGGGCCUGAGGGAGUCCUGGACUAGGCGGUGUCCGGACAGCCGGACUAUCAUCGUCCGCCGGACUCCAAGACUACGAAGAUACAAGAUUGAAGACUCCGUCCCGUGUCUGGAUGGGACUUUCCUUGGCGUGGAAGGCAAGCUUGGAAAUACGGAUAUGUAGAUCUCCUACCAUUGUAACCGACUCUGUGUAACCCUAGCCUCCUCCGGUGUCUAUAUAAACCGGAGGGCUUUAGUCCGUAGGACACAACAUACAUUACAACAAUCAUACCAUAGGCUAGCUUUAGGGUUUAGCCUCCUUGAUCUCGUGGUAGAUCCACUCUUGUACUACCCAUAUCAUCAAUAUUAAUCAAGCAGGAUGUAGGGUUUUACCUCCAUCGAGAGGGCCCGAACCUGGGUAAAACAUCGUGUCCCUCGUCUCCGGUUACCAUCCGCCUAGACGCACAGUUCGGGACCCCCUACCUGAGAUCCGCCGAUUUUGACACCGACAUUGGUGCUUUUAUUGAGAGUUCCUCUGUGUCGUCACCAAUAGGCUCGAUGGCAUCUUCAACCAACAACGCUGUCCAGGGUGAGACUUUUCUCCCCGGACAGAUCUUUGUAUUCGGCGGCUUCGCACUGCGGGCUAAUUCGUUUGGCCAUCGGAGCAGAUCGAAAGCUACGCCCCUGGCCGUCAGGUCAGAUUCGGAAGUCUCAACUUCACGGCCGACGUCCGCGGAGACUUGAUCUUCGACGGGCUCGAGCCACAGCCAAGCGCGCCGCACUGUUACGAUGGGCAUGAUCUAGCUCUGUCGCCGAACAGUGCCUUGGUGGCCGCCCACGAAUCCGCUUCGGCCUUUAGUCCGGGGCCGAUCGCCCAGACCGAGGAACGGUGGAUGGACACCGCCUCGGGGGCUUCAACUUCCACGGCGAUGGAGCCGAACACUAAUCUUGUCCCUCGCAAAACUCGUGAUUCCGAGGUGCCGGACUCCUUGCCGGACUCCGAAGCUCCCACGCCCCUACCAACCGAAUCGGAUUGGGCGCCGGUUAUGGAAUUCACCGCCGCGGACAUCUUCCAAUACUCGCCUUUUGGCGACAUCCUGAAUUCGCUAAAGCAUCUCUCGUUAUCAGGAGAGCCCUGGCCGGACUAUGGCCAGGAUGGUUGGGAUACGGACGACGAAGAAAUUCAGAGCCCACCCACCACCCACUUUGUAGCCACUGUCGACGAUCUAACCGACAUGCUAGACUACGACUCCGAAGACAUCAACGCUAUGGACGACAAUGCCAGAGACGAACAGGAACCAGCGCCUACAGGGCACUGGAAGACCACCUCGUCAUAUGACAUAUACAUGGUGGAUACCCCAAAAGACGGGGACGGCGAAGAAACAGCGGAGGCAUAUUCUUUAAAGAAACAGCCCAAGCGCCGGCAUCAGCGGCGCUGCUCUAAAUCCCGCCACGGCAAGAAUGGAGAUUCCAGCACAGGAGAUAAUAAUACCCCAGAAAGUGCCGAAGAUAACCCCCUCCAGCAAGACUCAGCGCAGGAGGAUGCAGAAGCAAGCCCUCACGAGAAGGCGGCAGACAAAGAGGUUGAGGAUUACAACUAUAUGCCUCCCUCCGAAGACGAGGCAAGCCUCAACGAUGACGAAUUCGUCGUGCCCGAGGAUCCCGUCGAACAAGAGCGUUUUAAACGCAGGCUUAUGACCACGGCAAAUAGCCUAAAGAAAAAGCAGCAGCAGCUUCAAGCUGAUCAGGACCUGCUGGCCGAUCGAUGGACCGAGGUCCUCGCGGCCGAAGAGUAUAAACUCGAAUGCCCCUCCAAAAGCUAUCCAGGACGCAAGCUGCUCCCCCGAUUAGAGGAGGAAGCAUACAUACCUCCAUCACCAGCGCACGAUACGGCUGACCGACCACCCCGUGGUCGUGACAGAGAGGCAUCCAGGCCCCCAACCAAGACCGUACCCCGGCAUCGCUCGAAAAGUAUGAAGCCAAGAGGGAACGCGCCGGACUUGCGAGAUAUAUUGGAGGACAAAGCAAGGCAAUCCAGAUCCAUCUACGGAUCACGGGGGUGCCCCACGACCCAUGACGAAUACCGUCGCGCCGGAUACAAUAACCCCGGCCGGGCCGAACACAGCAGACAACGCUCUCUCGAGUUGCAUCGUGAUAUUGCUCAAUAUAGAGGCGCCGCACACCCGCUAUGCUUCACAGACGAAGUAAUGGAUCAUCAAAUCCCUGAAGGGUUUAAACCCGUAAACAUCGAAUCCUACGAUGGCACAACAGACCCUGCGGUUUGGAUCGAAGAUUACCUUCUCCACAUCCAUAUGGCCCGCGGCGACGAUCUACAUACCAUCAAGUACCUCCCACUCAAGCUUAAAGGACCAGCUCGGCAUUGGCUCAACAGCUUGCUCGCAGAGUCAAUUGGGUGUUGGGAAGACCUAGAAGCCGCAUUCCUUGAUAACUUCCAGGGCACGUAUGUGCGACCACCAGACGCCGAUGACCUAAGUCACAUCAUUCAGCAGCCAGACGAAUCGGCCAGACAAUUCUGGACACGGUUCUUGACAAAGAAAAAUCAAAUCGUCGACUGUCCGGAUGCAGAGGCCCUUGCAGCCUUCAAACAUAACACCCGCGACGAAUGGCUAGCCCGGCACCUGGGGCGGGAAAAGCCGAAAUCCAUGGCAGCCCUCACAUCAUUAAUGACCCGCUUUUGCGUGGGAGAGGAUAGCUGGCUAGCUCGCAGCAACAAUCUCCGUAAAAAUUCUGGCAGUCCAGACACCAAGAACAAUAAUGGCAGGUCACGUCGAAACAAAAACAAACGCCGCAUCAACGGCAAUGAUAAGGAGGAUACGGCAGUCAACGCCGGAUUCCGAGGCUCUAAACCCGGUCAACGGAAGAAGCCAUUCAAAAGAACCACUCCGGGUCCGUCUAAUUUGGACCGAAUACUCGACCGCUUAUGCCAGAUACAUGGCACCCCUGAAAAGCCAGCUAAUCACACUAAUAGAGACUGCUGGGUGUUCAAGCAGGCAGGUAAGUUAAUUGCCGAAAACAAUGACAAGGGGCUAAACAGCGAGGACGAGGAGGAGACCCGACCGCCGAACAAUAGAGGACAAAAGGGUUUUCCCCCACAAGUGCGGACGGUGAACAUGAUCUACGCGACCCAUAUACCCAAUUGGGAGAGGAAGCGUGCACUAAGGGACGUCUAUGCGAUGGAGCCAGUCGCCCCGAAGUACAAUCCAUGGUCCUCUUGUCCGAUCACUUUCGAUCGAAGAGACCAUCCGACCAGCAUACGCCAUGGCGGAUUCGCCGCAUUGGUUCUAGACACAAUCGUCGAUGGAUUUCACCUCACGAGAGUCCUGAUGGACGGCGGUAGUAGCCUGAACCUGCUUUAUCAGGACACAGUGUGCAAAAUGGGCAUAGACCCCUCAAGGAUUAAACCUACAAAGACAACCUUUAACAGUGUCAUACCAGGUGUGGAAGCCAACUGUACAGGCUCAGUCACACUGGAAGUGGUCUUCGGAUCCCCGGACAAUUUCCGGAGCGAGGAGUUAAUCUUCGACAUAGUCCCGUUUCGCAGCGGCUAUCACGCUCUGCUCGGACGAAUCGCGUUCGCAAAAUUCAACGCGGUGCCGCAUUGUGCAUACCUCAAGCUCAAGAUGCCAGGCCCUCAUGGAGUCAUCACGGUCAAUGGGAAUACGGAACGCUCCCUCCGAACGGAGGAACAUACAGCGGCUCUCACGGCAGAAGUACAGAGCAGCCUUUUAAGGCAAUUCUCGAGUCCGGCCAUUAAACGGCCGGAUACAUCAAAGCGCGCCCGAAGCAAUACCAACCAAGACCACCUGGCGUGAUCAGAGCACGCGUAGCAAUGCGGCCCCAACCCCCGCCCGCGCGUGAUUGCAAGAAUAACCCUCCGCGUACAUCAUUACGCUUUGGAGAUACCAUGGGCGCAGGGGAAGGGGCACGAUCACAACGGACCCAGAGUGCAGUUCGACCGCACCAGGGGCUCGCAAGUGUGCCCCCUUUUUUUUAUUGUUAUUUUCCCUCUUUGUGUACACAGGACUCCGUUAGCCAGAGGCCCUAUCCGGCGGUGAACCUGCCGAACUCAUGAUGCAAUAACCAGGGAAGAAAGAACGCUGCGACGAACACUCAGGUGGUCUCAAUUACAAGCAUUAAAUUCGAUUAUAUACACCAAGUCCGCAGCUUACCCUUGGAGGGGGACAUGUUUAAUUAGUCCAAAUCCCUUGCUUACCACACUAUUUGUAUCAGUCCGCACUCAUAGCAGACUUUCUUUCAUAAAUAAUGCAGCACCUUUUUGACUGCAAUUACAUUACCUUUUAUAUAUAUAUGCUCAUUACAUGACAUCUUGCACCCGUAUAUUUUGGUACGGCCUAAUACACCAGGGGCUUAUGUUCCCCACAUUAUGGUGUGAUAAGUCCGAACACUUUCGUAAGUGCAGCACCCCGAACUUAUAGCACUAUAUGAAUCGGCUCCGAAUCAUGUCUUGGGUCAAUAGUUGGGUUUGCCCGGCUCCCACGUUUUGGUGCCUUACGUUCCGUUCUGUCGGCUAAGGUGGCACUGGGAGAACCACUGCGAUUGCGCCCCGGUUGAGCCGGGCGAGCACCUCAGUGGAGAAAGCUAAAACUGACCGGCAUGAUAAGGCGAGAGACUGGUCGCUGUUCGAGAGGUUUUUUCGGGUCCUUAAAGACUCACGCCACUUCGAGCGAAGUUCCGGACCAUGUCUGACGAAGGCGUGGAUAGCGCCCCGGAUUCGGCCUUUCGGAUACCAGGGGCUUCGCCGAAAUUUAAAAUUAUAGAAUUCUAUGGCUAAGUGAGAGUGUUCAAGCAUUAUAAGUCCGGUCGCCUUGUUCGUUGUGUUGAGCACCUCCCUAGAUGGACCCAAAAAUGGGAAUAAGAGUGCUCAAGUUUAUCCCGAACACCCCAGCACUCGUGGCUCGGGGGCUGAAGCCAAUGACUUUCCAUCUCUCAGAUUUUAUAAACGGCCGCACAGAAGGUAAUAUUUUAAAUUAAAACAAGCGUUGCUCAUGGCGCAUCUGAACGAAGUUUUCAGCGCACAGGAUAAUACAUAGCGAGUUCACUCAAAGAUUACAUUUCUAGGGCACUCAUCCGCAAUAUCGCGGGCUCCCUUCAGGACAGUUUUAUAAUACAUUUCAGGCGUGCGAUACUCCUUGCCCGGCGGCGGUGGGUCUGUGAGAAGCUUCUCCGCAUCCAACCUGCCCCAAUGCACCUUUGUGCGGGCAAGGGCCCGACGAGCACCUUCAAUACAGGCGGAGCGCUUGAUGACCUCCACCCAGGGGCAUGCAUCCACCAGCCGCCGCACGAGGCCGAAGUAGCUACCAAGCAUGACCUGUUCAGGCCACAGCCGGACUAUAAGGCCCUUCAUGGCCUCUUCAGCUACCUUGUGGAGUUCGACCAGCUGCUUCAGCUGGUCGCUUGGGGGCACCGGAUGGCCUGCCUCAGCGUACUAAGACCAGAAGACCUUCUCCGUUGAGCUCCCCUCCUCGCCACGAUAGAAUGCGGCGGCAUCGGAGGCACUACACGGCAGAUCUGCAAACACCCCUGGAGAGCUCCGAAUGCGGGUAAUUGUCAGGUAGUUUACAUUAACAUGCUUGCUUUGCAUGAAAAAUGCCUUACCCGCCGCUAUCUUCUUUACAUCUUCAACCUCCUGAAGGGCCUUACGGGCCUCGGCCUUGGCGGACUUGGCACUUUCGAGAGCCGAGGCAAGCUCGGACUCUCGAGUCUUGGAGCCUCCUGCUUUUCUCGCUCCGCCCGUUCCGCGACCGCACUGCGUUCAGCCGCGGACACAGCCUCCUUCAGGGCUGCCACCUCGUUCGUGGCCCCUGCAAUACCCAUAUUAUCCUUGUUAAUUUUAUUGCAACCAAAAUCCUUUUCCGUAAGGUGACUAUUCAAAGCGGUGUUACUCACCUUCUUUGUCCUCGAGCUGCUUCUUGGCAGUGCCGAGCUCUUGCUCGGACCGCUCGAGAUCCUGCUUCAACACAUCGACCUCCGCCGUCAGUGCGGCAGAGGUCAGUAGCGCAGCCUGCAAACCCAUAUUGACAUAUUUUAAGCAACCCUGCGUAUAUCUUGUUAGAUCCUCAGUCCGGCUUUUCUUUCCGAACACCGAACUGAGCAUCAAGGGCUACUGUCUAUGCGGUAUUACAUUACAUAAUUUUAACUUCUUACCUCAAAGCCUGUUAGAAGGCUGCUGCAGGCUUCGGUCAGCCCGCUCUUGGCGAGCUAAACCUUUUGAAUCACCGCACUCAUGUUAGUGCGAUGUUUUUCCUCGAUGGAAGCGCCUUCAAGCGCCUCCAACAAGUUAUCCGGCGCCUCCGGUUGGACGGAGGUCGCCGGUGUCAAGGUCUUGCCCUUCUUUCGAAGGGGCCGCCCGCCGGACUCUAGAACCACUGCGGGUUCCGAUGUAGAGUCCGGCACAAAGUCUGGGAGGCAGCCUGACGACGCCUCCGGAGCCUCCUCCUGAUGGGUCCCUCUCUGGGAUCCCACCUCGGCGUCCCCGUCGGCGCGGGGGGUAGAGGCGGUCGGAAGUGAAUCCACAUCUAACGGGGCCAACGACCCGCUCGAUGAAGCGGGGAGAUCAUCAUCGGCCGGACUACGGACAGAACGCGGCAUUAGAAGGACACUACGCGACACGAAAGAAAUUGCAUAUCAUGGAUCCGGAUACUUACGAUCUUGUCGGACGCCUGGCCCUUGGAGGCCACUCAUCCUCGCCAACGGUGGUGUUGGCGAAACUGUCCGGGGGGAUAGUCCUCCCCCUCUUGGACCCUUCGGCCUCCCCUAUUGGGAAAGCCUUCCACUUCUUCUCUCCCUCCUCCGAGAGAGAGUCCUCUUCCUCCUCCUCGUCUUUGGGGGAGGAGUCCGCCUCGUCGUCGGACGCCUAAUUGCGGGAACUCUUUCGAGUCCCCGCGGCCACCUUCUUGGCCUUCUUCUCCGGCACCACGUGCGGUGCCGGAACCAGCAGCCCUGCUAAACGGGCGUUCUCUGGGUCUUCAGGCAUGGGAGCCGGGCUGAUGAGCUGCUUGGCCUUCUCCAUCCAUUCCUAUCAAAGGAAAAGAGAGAUUGAAACCCUCUUAGAAUCAGUUUAAUUACCACAAGUGUCCCGUAACGUGGUUGAAUCACUUACCUCGUCAGCCGGAUGCUGCGAGCGAAAUCCGUGAUCUUCCGUCGCGGAUGCGGGGGCUUCGGCGCCCUUAAACAGCACCCUCCAGGCGCCUUCGUAUGUCGUAUCGAAGAGCCCGCUCAGCGCCUGGUGCUGUUCCGGAUUGAACUCCCACAGAUUGAAUACCCGUUCUUGGCAUGGGAGAAUCCGGCGGAUGAGCAUGACUUGGACCACGUCGACGAGCCUGAGCUUAUUGCUCACCAGCUUCUGGAUGCAGGCUCGGAGUCCCGUCACCUCCUUCGGAUUUCCCCACAGCAAGCCCUUCUCUUUCCAGGAGGUGAACUGCGUGGGGACGCCAGAUCUAAACUCGGGGGCCGCCGCCCAUGUGGGCUUGCGCAGCUCGGUGAUGUAGAACCAACCCGAUUGCCACCCCUUGACGGAGUCCACGAAGGCCCCUUCGAGCCAAAGGACGUUGGGCAACUUACCCAACAUGGCGCCUCCGCAUUCCGCUUGCGUGCCCUUCACAACCUUCGGCCUCCCCUAUUGGGGAAGCCUUCCUCUUCUUCUCUCCCUCCUCCGGGAGAGAGUCCUCUUCCUCCUCCUCGUCUUCGGGGGAGGAGUCCGCCUCGUCGUCAGACGCCUGAUUGCGGGAACUCUUUCGAGUCCCCGCGGCCACCUUCUUGGACUUCUUCUCCGGCACCACGUGCGGUGCCGGAACCAGCAGCCCUGCUAAACGGGCGUUCUCUGGGUCUUCAGGCAUGGGAGCCGGGCUGAUGAGCUGCUUGGCCUUCUCCAUCCAUUCCUGUCAAAGGAAAAGAGAGAUUGAAACCCUCUUAGAAUCAGUUUAAUUACCACAAGUGUCCCAUAACGGGGUUGAAUCACUUACCUCGUCAACCGGAUGCUGCGAGCGAAAUCCGUGAUCUUCCGUCGCGGAUGCGGGUGCUUCGGCGCCCUUAAACAGCACCCUCCAGGCGCCUUCGUAUGUCGUAUCGAAGAGCCCGCUCAGCGCCUGGUGCUGUUCCGGAUUGAACUCCCACAGAUUGAAUGCCCGUUCUUGGCAUGGGAGAAUCCGGCGGAUGAGCAUGACUUGGACCACGUCGACGAGCCUGAGCUUAUUGCUCACCAGCUUCUGGAUGCAGGCUCGGAGUCCCGUCACCUCCUUCGGAUUGCCCCACAGCAAGCCCUUCUCUUUCCAGGAGGUGAACUGCGUGGGGACGCCAGAUCUAAACUCGGGGGCCGCCGCCCAUGUGGGCUUGCGCAGCUCGGUGAUGUAGAACCAACCCGAUUGCCACCCCUUGACGGAGUCCACGAAGGCCCCUUCGAGCCAAAGGACGUUGGGCAACUUACCCAACAUGGCGCCUCCGCAUUCCGCUUGCGUGCCCUUCACAACCUUCGGCUUGACGUUGAAGGUCUUGAGCCACAGGCCGAAGUGGGGCCGGAUGCAGAGGAAGGCCUUGCACACGACGAUAAACGCCGAGAUGUUGAGGAUGAAGUUCGGCGCCAGAUCGUGGAAAUCCAGGCCGUAGUAAAACAUGAUCCCCCGGACGAAUGGGUGGAGUGGAAAGCCCAGUCCGCGGAGGAAGUGGGGAAGGAAGACGACCCUCUCAUGGGGCCCAGGGGUAGGGAUGAGCUGCCCCUCGUCGGGCAGCCGAUGCGCGAUAUCGCCGGAAAGGUAUCCGGCGCUGCGAAGCUUGGUGAUAUGCUCCUCCUUAACGGUGGAGUCCAACCAUUUGCCUCCCGCUCCGGACAUAUUCGGAGAAGGUCGGGGCGAGAUGCGCGAGCUUGGGCGUUGGAGCUUGAGUGCACGGAGAUGGAUAAGCAAAGGAGGAAGAAGGCGUAGGUGAGAAGGUAAAUCCUUAUCCCUUAUAUAUAGGCGGACGAAAACUAUGCGUCCCCACCGGCCUGAUAAAACUCGCUUAUCUCCCAAGCGCCACCAUCAAUGGCGCGGUUGGGUUACCCACGUCCGUAUUGAUGGGAAUCCCGGAAUAAGGGGAACACAAUCUCUGCUUCGACAAGACGUGCCAAGGAAACCGCUUCGCUAAACGUGCUGAGGUGGUAUAGUAAAAAACGAUUCAAACAAAGGCUUGGUAGCGGUGUGAUGUCACGCCGCAUAAUACGUCAGCAGAUUGGACUGGUGUACAUUUUAUUCUCUCUACGGUGGAAUGUGGAAUUUAUUUUGCAGAGCCGGACACUAUCCUGGUGUUCAUGAUCUUCUCUGGAUUAUUCAAGGGAGGAACCCGCCUUGCAAUGCCGAACAUUAUGCGCGCCGGACUUAUCGUCAUUGAAGCCUGGUUCAGGGGCUACUGAGGGAGUCCUGGACUAGGGGGUGUCCGGACAGCCGGACUAUCAUCGUCCGCCGGACUCCAAGACUACGAAGAUACAAGAUUGAAGACUCCGUCCCGUGUCCAGAUGAGAUUUUCCUUGGCGUGGAAGGCAAGCUUGGCAAUACGGAUAUGUAGAUCUCCUACCAUUGUAACCGACUCUGUGUAACCCUAGCCUCCUCCGGUGUCUAUAUAAACCGGAGGGCUUUAGUCCGUAGGACACAACAUACAUUACAACAAUCAUACCAUAGGCUAGCUUUAGGGUUUAGCCUCCUUGAUCUCGUGGUAGAUCCACUCUUGUACUACCCAUAUCAUCAAUAUUAAUCAAGCAGGACGUAGGGUUUUACCUCCAUCGAGAGGGCCCGAACCUAGGUAAAACAUCGUGUCCCUCGUCUCCUGUUACCAUCCGCCUAGAUGCACAGUUCGGGACCCCCUACCCGAGAUCCGCCGGUUUUGACACCGACAGGGCCCAUAACCCACAGUUCCACAGGAUCGAAACCUGACUCAUGUACAUCCCUGUUUUUCAAAGUUGUUCCUCGCGCUUGGAUUCGUAUGUAAUUCACGAGCCACCUUCCUUGUGAUCUGUUCUGGUAUCAGAUGCAAUACUUAUUCCCAUUGCUCUAAACCCCUUUCACCUUCUUACCUUGCUCUCGAUGACUAUCCUGAAUUCCAACUCAAGAGAUGCCUCUAUGCCAUGUUGAGGUACCUAUCUUGUGUUGAGCUCCAUCCCUCCCGAGUCUUUCCCCCUUACUCACCCCUUAAAUCUCGAGACGAUAUUUCUUGUAGUGGAGGAGAAUUGUGACGCCCAAAUAAUUAAGCUACAGUAAUCCCCUUUUAAUGGUUCCAUGUCAUCACAUUACUAUUGCUAAUCCUCGCUUGAUCCAAAUCUUAGUUCAAACUAAUAUUCAAAUUAAAGACCAAAAUUCAAAUUUCUCAAGCAUGCAUAAUAAAAUGUUCAAAGUGUGGCAAAUAAUCCCUGGAUAUUUGUCAUGUUGGAAACAACCUCCUUAGAAUUUUCAAAAUGCCCCUGGGAGUUAAUUUUUGGUCAAGUAGUAAAUUAAAUGGCAUUUGCAAAACAAAUAAUUAUUUAUUUAACUCCAAUUGCCUCCUGUCGUGGGAAACGAACACCUAUGGGGCAGGGCCCCUUUUCGGUCUGGCAAGGGAGCGGAGGGCACACGAAGAGCAGAUCGAGGCGAAGCACGCGGGGGAAUUUUACCCAGCUUCGGAGCUCUCCGGAGAGAUAAAACUCCUACUGCUGCUUUGUGUUUCUAUUCUGUUCUUGCUCAAGAGUGUGGGUGUGUUGUAGUUUCGAAUGAGUCGAACCCCUUCUACGUGCGCAUGGGCCUCCUUUUUAUAGUCUAAAGGGGUCACCGACAGGUGGCAGCAUAGAGAGAGGGGUAAAAAAGUAAAAACGCGGGUUGGUACAACCGCUAUCAACAGUGCCCCCUACCUAACUCUGACAGCAGGGGACAAGGGCAUUUAAUGCCCAUCCGGUCGCCCAAACAGUGCAGGAAGUGACCGUUAGGGGCGCCACCAAUCGCCACGAUGGCCUCCUAGUCAUCUUCACUUGCCACCUCGCACCGCUUGGCUGCACAGCUACCCGCCACGUGCACCGGGAGCGAUCCUGCGGCGACACGUCAUCGGAUGCGCUGGAGCAUGGGCGCAGAGUUGUGGCUUUGCCGCGGCAAGCGCCUUGCCGCGGUCACUAUCUUGUUGCACCCGCAAGCUUGCCGCUCGCCGGGUCUUGGUUGGCCUUCCCGGCAAGAUCCUCCUGCCGGGGUCUUGUCCUUCCCGGCAAGCUUCUCUUGCCGGGGCUUCGUCUUCACAGUUAACACUUUGUUCUUGAAUGGCAGUAAAUAGGAAUGACGAAGGAUCUUGGCGGACGCCCGGCAAGCCUUGCCGCAGGACGCUGCGCCUGCCCGUGCACAAGUUCGGGGUACUAAGGUACCCCUACUUUAGUACACCGACUGGAGCCCCCGGGCCUGGGCCAUACACGGUGCUGAGCGCUGUUGGGCCAGGCCCAAAACAGGACACGGGCACGCGCGGCCUGGGUCCUAACUAAAUCCACUCCGUAUCCACCGCGUCCUCCCGUAACGGCACGCGUCAAUCGCGGCGUCGUGGGAGAGAUCGUGGGUGGAAGACGUUCGCGCGUAUCCACAGCCUGAUGGAGGGGUUUACCCUCCAUUUUAAGUUAAUGGAGGGCGAUCUCCUCUCCGUCAAGGUCUUCGGGUGCUUCGACACUCGGGCGAAGUGCUGCGUGGACAGCUCCUCCGAUAGCAAAGGCUCCCCCUCGAGCGAGAGCGACAAGGAGGAGAGCAACAGCGAUGAUGAGGGUAGCGGGCGGCGGGAUGGCGGGCCCGACUAGGUGUCGGGCGCCGCUUCGUGCGUCACCGGUGACCCCAUCAUCCGUGUCGCCGGCUCCUUGAACUCCCCGGGGUCGUCUCCUUGGGCGGCUGGCGUAGGGAGGCUGCGGAAGGGGAAGAGGGCUGGCGACAAGGCCGUCAAAUCGGAGUACGAGGGCGUAGUGCCCUCGACAGCGUGCUGACGUCCUGCCGCCCCAUCUUCGAGCCCCGCUUCCAGCGCCGCCAUCACCGUCCGGCCUUCGGACGGCCCCCGGGAUGUUCUCUUGGUGUCUUCGCCUAGGCGCCUCUUUUGCCCUUUUCGCCUCCUUGACCUACAUCCUGAAGAGAGGGACAGGAAAGGGAUUACGGGCAUCUUAUCUUUUUAAUUUGUAAGCCUUCGGGCCCUAGUCGCAUCUAAAACUUGUAACCCUCUCUUUCAUGUUUUUCAUCCUCUAUGGACUGUACCUGAGUGUGAUGUUUUUUUAAUGAAAAAGGGAUGCUUGCCGGGUUAUUUGUCUCAUGGGUUGAACCCACGCCAAGGAGCAAAUCCUUGGUAUCCCUCGGACAGGCAUUUCAUCUCCCGCCAACAGGCCCUGCCGCCUUCCCACGUCGCUCGACCUUUCUCACGCCUUUGACGGAGGCGGGAACGAGGUGGGUGCGGCCUCCUCAUUUCAUCCCUUUGCUGCUGUGACUACGACCAAACUUGGCCCCGGGAACGAGCCCCAGGGCCUAGAGUUGAGGGAGCACGGCAGUUUUCGGGAAGAAACGCGGUUUCGCAUUCCCCAGUCCAUAAGAGGAUGCAUGAUGAGGGACGAAAGACUUAUCUGAUAUCGCAGCCCCCGGCAACUCUGGCUUGCCGUGGAUGAAUCUUGGUACUCGCAGCCCCCAGCAACACUGGCUUGCCGGGGCCCAGGUGCCGGCGCGCCCUUCUUCUCCUUUCCUUGUCGCUGUUAUUUCAGUUAUGAGAACAAUUUAGUCAGUGCCGCAAUAAGUUACUCUUGUAAUAUAACUUUAUUCUGGGCAAUGCUUGUUAUGUUACAUCCUUUAUUUGAUUCCAUUCCUUGUAUGUUUGUACCCUUACGCUUUUACGGAACUUGCCGGUGCAAACACGCUUGCCACGAGCGCUGAGUGCAAAACAUCAGCAGCCUUCUAGCGGUGUUGCCUCCGGCAAGAAACCUUGUCGGGGCUAGUCGCAGCACACUUUCAUUGUUGAGCGGACUCAAAACAAAGUAAGGGUGCAACUUAACCACGAGCCGGUUCCUCUGCGCACAGGUUUUCCAUACAAGGCAUGGUCGUUCAAGGAAUAUAACUUAAAAAUUUAAAACUGACUGUGCUUAAACUUCGGCAACUUAGCUUUUUUGUUGUUUGUGUCCNNNNNNNNNNNNNNNNNNNNNNNNNNNNNNNNNNNNNNNNNNNNNNNNNNNNNNNNNNNNNNNNNNNNNNNNNNNNNNNNNNNNNNNNNNNNNNNNNNNNNNNNNNNNNNNNNNNNNNNNNNNNNNNNNNNNNNNNNNNNNNNNNNNNNNNNNNNNNNNNNNNNNNNNNNNNNNNNNNNNNNNNNNNNNNNNNNNNNNNNNNNNNNNNNNNNNNNNNNNNNNNNNNNNNNNNNNNNNNNNNNNNNNNNNNNNNNNNNNNNNNNNNNNNNNNNNNNNNNNNNNNNNNNNNNNNNNNNNNNUGUGGGCGCAGGAAUCUUCUCUUUGAGAAAAAGGAAGAAGAGAAAAUAAAGUUAUGGAGCCUUAAGGCUUGUUAUUGCUUACCGGGGGCAAGUUCUGCACAAAGUGUCAGUGUAUACAUGCUAAAAAGAAAAAGGCAUGAAUUUUGACAAUAUGUACUAAACAUAUGAUCUUUAUUUAUGCACGGGAUCUGCGCCCGGCUUUGUACAAAGGGUUACAUGCAACAACGGCAAGGCUUGUACAAAAGGUGGUUGCCAGGACAGCAGGUUCCGGCAACCGCGCCUUAUGGGUAAAACUUACGAAGAUGAUCUAUGUUCUAGGAGUUGCUCACCGGAAUGCCAUCUUCGGUCUCAAGGCGGACAGCGCCAGGCCUAGUGACUCGCUUUACCCGAUAAGGGCCUUCCCACUUCGGCGUCAACUUGUUGGAAUUCUUGGCAGAUUGAACGCGCCGAAGAACAAGGUCACCUUCCUCGAAGCUUCUGGCAUUAACUUCGCGGCUAUGGUAGCGGCGCAAAGCUUGCUGGUAGCGAGCAGCUCGUACAGCAGCCUGAAGACGAUCCUCCUCGAGGAGCAGCGCGUCAUCUUGCCGCAGCUGCUCUUGCUCAAGCUCAUCAUAAGCGAGCACUCGAGGCGAUCCGUAUACGAGUUCUGUGGGGAGAACUGCCUCUGCUCCAUAGACAAGAGCAAAAGGUGUCUGGCCAGUGGCUCGAUUUGGCGUCGUCCUGAUCGACCAAAGAACCACCUGUAGCUCCUCGAUCCAAUUUCUUCCGCACUUGUGCAGCCUGUCGAAAGUUCUGGUCUUGAGCCCACGCAGCACUUCAGCGUUUGCCCUCUCCGCUUGACCGUUGCUUCUCGGGUGAGCAACAGAAGCGAAGCAGAUCUUGGCGCCAAGAUCUUGGACGUACUGCAUGAAGGUGCAGCUCGUGAAUUGUGUGUUGUUGUCGGUGAUGAUCCUAUUAGGGACUCCGGAACGGCAAACAAUUGACCUGAAGAACUUGACUGUUGACUGUGCUGUCACCUUCCUCACUGGCUCCACCUCCGGCCACUUCGUGAACUUGUCGAUGGCCACGUACAAGUACUCGAAGCCCCCGACAGCUCGGGGAAAAGGGCCAAGGAUAUCAAGCCCCCAGACUGAAAAUGGCCAGGAUAAAGGGAUUGUUUGGAGAGCUUGAGCUGGUUGAUGAAUCUGUUUGGAGUGGAACUGGCACGCUUCACACUUGGUUACUUGUGCAGUCGCAUCCUGGAGGGCUGUUGGCCAAAAGCAACCUUGCCGGAAGGCUUUACUGGCAAGUGCUCUUGCGCCAAUGUGGUGGCCACAUAUGCCUCCAUGUAUCUCCGCCAACAGCUCUUGUCCUUCUUCCCGGGAAAUGCACUUCAAUUUCACUCCGUUGAAUCUUCUUCUGUACAGUAUGUCAUCGACAAACUGAUACAUACUUGAUUGUCGGGCUACUUUCUCUGCUUCUUCUUGCUCUUCGGGAAGUUCUCCUGUUUGAAGGAAAUGGACGAUCUGCUGUGCCCAUGCCGGAGCUUGUGGCUCGACGACAAGGACUAAAGGCGCAAAUGCUGCUGCGGGAACAUCCGCUUCUACGGCAAGAAUAUGAGAUCCUGCCGGAGCGUGAUGCUCCCCGGCAAGCGUGCCGGGGCACAGCUUGUCGGGAGCGUCUGCUUCAACGAAACAAACCCUAGGGCUUGUCGGAGCAGACUGCUCCUCAGCACUUUCUAUGUUGAUCCUGGGGACCUUCUUGGCGGCGGCUUCGGGGAGCUCUGCCGGAAAGUAGUCGCCAGUAACCAACUUUCUCUUCUUGCUCUGUCCAGUUGAUGGUGUUACAGAUGGCUGAGUCAGCUUGAGCACAAAAAUACCUGGUUCCACAGGUAACUUGAGUGCGGUGCACUUUGACAGGCCGUCUGCAAUGUCAUUCUGAGCUCUUGGAACAUGUUCCAUCUGCAGGCCGUCAAAAUGCUCUUCCAGCUUCCUCACUUCAUCAAUGUAGGCCUCCAUCAGCGGACUCUGAUAAUCUGUGUUAACUUGGCGGACGACAAGCUGUGAGUCACCCCUGACAAUAAGCUUCUUGAUCCCAAGUUCUGUCGUGAUCCUGAGUCCGGCAAGCAGGCCCUCAUAUUCUGCAGUAUUGUUUGUUGCUUGCUCCUUGGGAAAGUGCAUUUGGAUCAUGUACUUGAGGUGCUCUCCGGUGGGUGCGACAAGUAACACACCCGCACCGGCGCCUUGCAGCGAGAAAGCACCAUCAAAGUACAUGAUCCAUUCCCUGUUUGCUUCCUUGACGGGGAUCCUCGUCUCCGGAGUUUCUUCAUCUGGUGUUGGCGUCCACUCCACUAUGAAUUCUGCCAAUGCUCGGCUCUGGAUAGUUGAAGUACUUUCAAACUUGAGGCCAAAGCUUGACAGUUCCAGUGCCCACUCGACAAUCCUGCCUGUUGCUUCUGGAUUUUGCAAUAUCCUCUUCAACGGAAAGCGAGUGACAACUGUGAUCUGAUGUGCUUGAAAAUAAUGGCGCAGCUUCCUCGAGGCCAUGAGAAGGCCGAAAAGCAACUUUUGCACUCCAGAGUAUCUUGAUCUAGCCACCUGCAGAAGGGAGCUGACAAAAUAAACUGGGUGCUGCACCAUCUUCUUUUGUUUCUCUGCCUGCGGCUGCACAGACUCAUCCUUGUCGGGACCAGAGCUUGACGGAGAAGCCCCCUGCUUGUCGCUGGACUCGCUUGCCGCGGCCGCUGGCUCAUCAUCUGCCUCCCUCUCUGCUACUAACGCAGCACUAACCACUUGAUUGGUUGCUGCUAGAUACAGCAGCAACUUCUCUUGCGGCUUAGGUGCGACAAGUACUGGAGUGGAGGAUAGGUAUCUCUUCAAGUCCUGUAGCGCAGCCUCCGCUUCUGGAGUCCAUUUCAUUGGACCUGCCUUUUUCAAAAUUUUGAAAAACGGCAGGGCGCGCUCAGCAGACUUAGAGAUGAACCUACUGAGAGCAGCAACGCAGCCGGCAAGCCUUCGCACAUCCUUGAGGCGCUUCGGGGCUUCAAUCUGCUCGAUGGCCUUGAUCUUGUCGGGGUUGGCUUCGAUCCCCCUCUGGGACACGAAGAACCCGAGAAGCUUGCCGGAAGGAACUCCAAACACGCACUUCUCAGGGUUCAACUUGAGAUUGAUCUUGCGCAGAUUUGCAAAAGUCUCAUCCAAAUCUUGGAUCAAAGUUUCUCUAUCUUUGCUCUUGACCACUAUAUCAUCCAUGUAUGCUUCUACAUUCCUGUGCAGCUGUGGCUCAAAAGCAUGACUGACUAGUCUUGCAAACGUUGAACCAGCAUUCUUUAGUCUGAAAGGCAUUCAUACAAAGCAGUACGUGCCACAUGGAGUAAUGAAUGCGGUGUUCUCUUCAUCCUCUUUUGCCAUGAAAAUCUGAUGGUAUCCUGAGUAUGCAUCAAGAAAUGAAAGCAGAUCACAUCCUGCCGUGGAGUCGACAAUCCGGUCAAUGCGCGGCAAGGGAAAUGGAUCUUUGGGACAAGCUUUAUUAACAUCCGUGAAGUCAAUACAAAGCCUCCACUUCCCAUUCACCUUGCGCACAAUUACUGGAUUGGCUAACCACGUUGGAUGGAGUACUCCUCGGACGAGGCCUGUUGCUUCCAACUUCUUGAUCUCUUCUGCUAUGAACUCUUGGCGUUCCGCCGCUUGCUUCUUGACUCUCUACUUGACGGGCCGCGCGUGAGGACAGACGGCAAGGUGGUGCUCAAUUACUUUCCUGGGAACACCGGGGAUGUCAGAUGGUUGCCAUGCAAACACAUUGACAUUCGCCCGCAGGAAAGCAACGAGCGCGCUUUCCUAUUUAGGGUCAAGCGUGGCACUGAUGGUGAAGGUACCACUAGUGCCGUCCUCCUUGGCGGCCACUUUCUUGGUAUCAGGUGUCGCUAUCUUUGCCCUCUUGCACUUGCCGGUGGAGCUCGAUGGUGCGUCCUCGACGGUAGCACAGCACUCCGAAGAGGUGCGCUUGCCGGAGUGGGCAUCAGAGCUACUCUUGCCGGACUUGGUCUUCUUCUUCUUCCCCCCGGGAGCUUCAGCGGCAAGUGGUUUGUGCUCUGCUGCGGCUGCUGCUUCCUGGUAGAUCUUGUCGGUGCAGAUAAGCGCAUCCUUCUUGUCGCCUUGGACAGAAAUGACGCUUAUCGGACCGGGCAUCUUGACCACGUUGUAAGCAUAAUGAGAGGCUGCCAUGAACUUGGAAAGCGCUGGACGGCCGAGUAUCCCAUUGUAGGGCAACGGGAAAUCAGCAACAUCAAAUGUGACUCUCUCUGUCCUGAAGUUCAGUUUGCUGCCAAAUGUCACUGGUAGUGUAAUCUUCCCCUUGGGCUUGCUCCUUCCCGGGUUGAUUCCUUGAAAGGUACCAGUUUCUUCGAGCUCGCUGUCGGGGAUCUGGAGCUUGUUGAGCACCGCGGAAGAGAUCAGAUUUAGGCCGGCCCCACCGUCAACCAACAUCUUCGUGACCUUGAGGUUGCGGAUGGUUGGCGAAACCAACAUCGGCAAGCACCCGACCGCAGUGAUGCGAUCAGGGUGAUCCUCAACAUCAAAGACGAUGGGCGUACUGGACCACUUCAGGGGCUUGCGCGAUUCGACUGAUGGUUCAGCUGCAUUUACCUCCCGCACCCACUGCUUGAGUUGGCGGUGCGAGGUGUGCAGAGAAGCACCGCCGUCAACGCACAAAACCUCUGUUGCCUUCUGAAACUCUUGCUCGUCGGUCUCAUCCUCGUCCAUCUCAUCAUCCUCAUCUUCAUCUUCGUCCUUGUCACGGCCACGGGGAGGUCUGUCUCCUUGCCGCUGCUUGGCCUUGCCGCGGCGCCCUCCCCGGGCGGGACGCUUCUUGCCGGAUCCUCCGCCACCUUCCUGGGCCUUCUCCUUGUCGCGACGCUCGUAUUCAGCUUUCUGUAGUUCUGCCAUUUGCUCAACCUUCUUGCAUGCUUGGAGGUCAUGGCCCUUGGUGCGAUGGAUCUUGCAGUACUGCUUGCCGGAACAAUCCUGCUUGUCGGCGGCCACCACAGCCUCGCCGGAGUCACCAGCUUUGGCCUUGUCGGCGCCGCCUCCGUUGCCGGACUGCUCAACAACUAGCACAUCCUUAGCCUUUCUCUUUCUAUUAUUCCGCCUCCGGUUCUUCUUUGCCGGAGGGACGUCCUCAUUGUCCGAUCCUUCUGCUCCUGCAUUCUCUCCGGGAAGUUUCCUCCCCUCUUCAGCUCGUGCACACUUGUCAGCCAGAGCAUAUAGCUCGCUGACAUCUCUAAUCUUGCACAUCGCCAUCUCCUCCCUCAUCCUGCGGUUACGCACGUUCUGAUGGAAUGCGCUGAUAACCGCGGCAGGGUGGACGUCUGGGAUGUUGCGCUGCACCUGGCUGAAUCUCUGUAUGUACUUGCGCAGGGGUUCUCCUUCUUUCUGGGCGAGCAGAUGAAGAUUGCUCUCCUGACCAUGGGGUUUGUGGCCGCCUGUGAAGGCGCCGACAAACUGAUGGCACAGGUCCGCCCACGAAGAGAUGGAGUUGUCCGGCAAGUGCAUGAGCCAAGAUCUGACGUUGGGCUUGAGCACCAGCGGGAAGUAGUUGGCGAGGAUCUUCUCGUCGCGCCCCCCGGCAGCCUGCACCGCGAUGGUGUAGACGCUGAGGAACUCUGAUGGAUGUAUCCUGCCAUCGUACUUCUCGGGUAUGUCCGGCUUGAAGUUCUUGGUACUGGGCCACUGGACUUGCCGCAGCUCACGGGUGAACGCAGGGUAACCUGCCGCGUACGGCAAGUCGCCUGGUUCCCCUGGCGCAUGCAUAUCGACAGUGGGCCCAGCGCACUGGUCAGAUUAAUGUCGCGCUUCUCUUCUGCGCUCGAUGCGAGUACGAGCGUCUCUGUGUCGUCGUUCUUGGAGAACUUGGCGUUGAUCGCGGCGAGCUCGCGGGUCCGACGACGCGGUGGAGUCGGUGUCGAGGUUGGAACGGCGAGUUGGCGAUCAUGGCCUUCGGGGCGGGGAGUGCACGGUGGUGGCACCCCCAGCGGUCUUGUCGGUGUCGGCUUGCGCCCGGGCGUCUUGCCGGGGCUUUCGAUGUGCUCGGUUGCCGGGGCUUGUCGCCGUUGGCGAAGCCGAUGAGGCUUUGGAUGGUGAUCCUCCAGUCGUCGAUCUUGUCUGGCGCUGGAGGGUAAUCUAGAAGCAGCUGGGCUCGGGCCAGCGCUUCCUCUGGAGUCUUGGGCGGCGGUGGCGAGCGACGCGAGGUGCGGGAUAUGCUCAAACUUCUAACAGUGUUAGAAGGAGCAACAUCUCGCCCAGGCGACCGUACUUCGCUCGUGCCAGCGUGUUGACGUGUAUGUUGGCCUUGAGCGUCCCGCGAUCCGCCGGCUUGGCCUUGUUCCAACACGAGCACGGUGCUAGGAGUACCGUGGCAUUGCCGAUCUUGCACCUCCUGGGAGGGGUACGGUGGAUGUACAGACGCUGAAGCUUGCGGGGCCUUGUCCUCGGACCUGGUGACGAUGUGAGUCCCCCCGUCGGCGCCCGCUCCUCCGCCGGCGUCCACCCCACCACCCGUUUGCUCCGGUGGCGGUAGGAUAGUCGCAAACGGAGUGGCCACCUCCGAAGCCUUCUUCUUCGGUGGCAUGUCGAUGAAGAUGUUGAUGUAGCGCGCAGAUGCCGGAUCAGGUACGCACAACCUCGACGCCCACCUACCUGGCGCGCCAAAGAUGUCGUGGGAAACGAACACCUAUGGGGCAGGGCCCCUUUUCGGUCCAGCAAGGGAGCGGAGGGCGCACGAAGAGCAGAUCGAGGCGGAGCACGCGGGGGAAUUUUACCCAGCUUCGGAGCUCUCCGGAGAGAUAAAACUCCUACUGCUGCUUUGUGUUUCUAUUCUGUUCUUGCUCAAGAGCGUGGGUGUGUUGUAGUUUUGAAUGUGUCGAACCCCUUCUACGUGUGCAUGGGCCUCCUUUUUAUAGUCUAAAGGGGUCAGCGACAGGUGGCAGCGUAGAGAGAGGGGUAAAAAAGUAAAAACGCGGGUUGGUACAACCGCUAUCAACAGUGGCCCCUACCUAACUCUGACGGCAGGGGACAAGGGCAUUUAAUGCCCGUCCGGUCGCCCAAACAGUGCAGGAAGCGACCGUUAGGGGCGCCACCGAUCGCCAUGAUGGCCUCCUAGUCAUCUUCACUUGCCACCUCGCACCGCUUGGCUGCACAGCUACCCGCCACGUGCACCGGGAGCGAUCCUGCGGCGACACGUCGUCGGAUGCGCUGGAGCGUGGGCGCAGAGUUGUGGCUUCGCUGUAGCAAGCGCCUUGCCGCGGUCACUAUCUUGUCGCACCCGCAAGCUUGCCGCUCGCCGGGUCUUGGUUGGCCUUCCCGGCAAGCUCCUCUUGCCGGGGUCUUGUCCUUCCCGGCAAGCUUCUCUUGUCGGGGCUUCGUCUUCACAGUUAACACUUUGUUCUUGAAUGGCAGUAAAUAGGAAUGACGAAGGAUCUUGGCGGACGCCCGGCAAGCCUUGCCGCAGGACGCUGCGACUGCCCGUGCACAAGUUCGGGGUACUAAGGUACCCCUACUUUAGUACACCGACACCUCCAAACUUUAUGUGGCACUGCAAAAUAUUUGUGGCUCUGUCUAAGAUUGCCAAGGAAUUAAAAGGGGAACUUAACAUAUUUUUCCUAAGUAAAUAGUGUGCCCAAAAUAUUCUCUUAACCAUCUCUGUUUUUUUUAAUAAAAAAAGGCGAAUAAGAACUCGCCCGGGCCUCGGCCUACUCCCACUUACCAGCCCACCUAAGCCGGCCCACUCCCCCGCUCCCAUGGCCUAUAGGCCAUGCUCAACCGAACCCUAACCCCGCACGAUCCCCCCACUCCCCACUUCUCUCCCCUCCCGAUCCAAUCUGGAUCGGACCGAAACUGGCGCCCCGACGCCAACCGCCGUCGCUGGAGGCAUCCCCGACUCCACGCUGGGCCACCCCAUCACCUGACCUCCUCCCCGUCGUCGCUCGUCACUCGCUGGACCGCCUCGUCCCCACCAACGCCGCCCCGAGCCCAACGUCCCUGUCGUCGUCGCCGUCGGCAUCGCCCCGAUGUCGCCACCACCCGACGCCGGCGCCCUCGACAUCGCCACCCCGAGCCCACUGCCACCCCUACGCUCCACUGUGAGCCCCUCGCCGAUUCCCCCUCCUUCCUGUCAUCGUAGGUGGCCGCAUGCGCUGUUGGCCACCGUGGCCGCGCUCCGGCCGUUCCCCAUCCGUGUGCUAGCCUCGCCUUCCCCGGCUGCGGCCACCAGCCUCCUCGUCGCGCUCCCGCCUUCGCCCACACCUGCCCCUGUACGCCCAGCCGCUGCUGCUCGCCGGAUCCGCAUGUUCGCCCCCUAGCUUCGUCUCCGGCCGUCGAGUCCGCACCCGAUGCCGGCGCCCCAGCGCGUCCAUGCGCCCGUACGGGCGGGCGCCCACGCCCAUGCCCCUCCGCCCGUUAGCCCGCCCCGCUAAGGCCUGGGCACCUAACCAAGGGGCCCCACGCCCCUGUGUAAUAAAAAAGAUUUAAAAAAAAUAAAUAUAAAUAUAAUUAGUUAAUUAGUUAAUUAAUUGUAUAGUUAAUUAACUAACUUAAUUAACCUUGCUUAGUUAGCCUAAUGAACUAGUUUAGUUAAUUUAAAUCUGUUAGAUAGGUCUAUGAGAGAACGACCCCACAUGUCAGUUUAACCAGUCAACACUCUUUUGACUGCUGACAUCAUGAUGACGUCAGGCUGACAUCAUAAUUCCAAUUUUGAAUUAAUAAUAAUUUCAGAAUAUUAUUAAAACUUUGAAAAAUCAUAGAAAAUAAACCGUAUCUCGGAUGGAAGUUGCUUGGAACGACGAGACAAAUCCGAAUGCGCAGUUCGUUCAUCUGUCACGCGUCCCUAGCAUAGCAAACGUUGAACUUUUCCCCUCCGGUUCAUCUGUCUGAUAGACGUCCGGAACCGGGAAAACUUUCCCGGAUGUUUCCCCCUUCGCCAGUAUCACCUAGCACCUCGUUAGAACACUUCUAGCCCCGCUUAUUGUCUUGUUAUGCAUAUGUUUGCGUGUAUUUACUGUUUCUUCCCCCUCUUCUUCUCCGGUAGACCUCGAGACCGCUGAUGAUGCCCCUGUGAUCGACUACGUCGACGACGACCCUCCUUGUUUGAGCAACCAGGCAAGCCCACCCUUUGAUCAUCCCGAUAUCGCCCAUUCCAUUCUCUCAUGCUUGCACUAGAUUUUGCUACUGUAUUUGACUGCUCCUAUUCUGAUGCAUAGCCUGCUUUUGUACCUGCUAUUGUAACUUACCUGCUUAUCCUAAAUUUCUUAGUACAGGUUGGCUAGUGAUCCAUCAGUGACCCCCACCUUGUCUUUGUUGCCCCUGCUUCAUCAUCGACGACUCGAUCAACGUGAUCGACGACCGGAGCCUGACACCUCACAUCACAUCACGCCCCUUUUUCUUGCUCGACUCUGCAGAGUUACCAUCGAGUGCCGAGGGUGGAACCUCAUACAUCGCUCCUGAUGAGAUCUCUGUAGUGUAGCUAUUCGGUCGUGGUCAUCGAGGGUGGUUCCUCCUUCACCAUUCCUAAUACGGCUCUGUCGUGCAACACCUCAAGUGUGAACCUCGAGGGUGGUUCCUCUUACGUUCACCUUGAUGAUUACAUCAACUGGAAUCCACCGGGGGUGAUUCCUCGGAUUUUCCCCUUGAUGUCUGGACACAUAGUUACCUUGAUACUUGAGACCGUUGUGAAAGCCGGGCGAGCCCGGAGAGCACCCGUGCGAUGUGACGGUGGCGGCUGGCUGUUUAGCGGUAUCACCCGGGAGGGGUGAUAGCUCCGGACUUGUCCCGACAUCCGUCACUUCUUUUAAUAAUGCACUAACACGUUUGUGUAUUUGUUCUGAGUUGGCCUCUGGCCUUUACGCACUAACCACCACGCGAGAAUAGUUAUGGGCCUCGACGUUGCAGUAUCUUUCGAAGCUUUGUCAGACGUCCAGUUCAGCAUUGUGGCCGGGCCGGAUCGUGCCAUCCACUUCACCGGUGGUGCUGGUAUCCCCUUGUGCACAACGACCCGGAGUGCAAUGGGCGAUGGGCCCAGACCCCGGAGUGCUUAGGAUGUAGACCGGCGGGGACCUCUCUACUGAGCCUAGGUAGGGCUGCGACGUGUUGAUCUUCCGAGGCUGGGCAUUGACCCCAGAAAGGUGUGUCCGGCCAGAGUGAUCGAGCGUGUUGGGUAACGUGGUGCGCCCCUGCAGGGAAGAUUAUCUAUUAAUAGCCGUGUCCAUGGUAACGUACCUUCAGACUUAUAUCUUGAUCUUAUACAACUACAAAUGGAUACUUGAGAUAUGUGGCUCCGGGAUUGCUUUCUCGCAGGGAGUCGAGGAAGGAUCUCUGGGCGUUGUUGUUAAAACAUGCUUGUUAAUUAAACUGCUAUUCUUUACUCUUCUACAUGCUGCAAGAUGCUUGGAGCUGCUUGAAGAUGCUAGUCUUUGUUUGGCUAGGCCUUCCCCUCUAUUCUGGCAUUCUGCAAUUCAGUCCACAGAUACAACCCUUCCAUUUGAUACCAAUGCAUACUUAGUAUAGAUCUGAUGCUUGCGAGUACUUUGGAUGUGUACUCGCGGUUGCUUUGCUACCCCUUUUCCCCCUUCUUUCUUCUUUCCGGUUGACGCAACCAUAUGGUGGAUCCUUGGAGCCAGAUGCCACCGCCGAUGGAUGCUAGUACGUGAAGAUCGCCGACGACCAGGAGUAGUUAGGAGGUCCUAGGCAGGAGGCCUUGCCUCUUCGAUCGUUGUUGCUUUUGUGCUAGCCUUCUUAAGGCAUCCUUAUUUAACUUAUGUCUGUACUCAGCUAUUGUUGCUUCCGCUAACUCUUGUGUAUCGAGCUAUGUAUUCGAGCUCUCGAGGCCCCUGGCUUGUAAUAUAAAGCUUGUAUUAUUUUGAUUUGUGUCUAGAGUUGUGUUGUGAUAUCUUCCCGUGAGUCCCUGAUCUUGAUCGUACAUAUUGGCGUGCAUGAUUAGUGUACGAUUGAAUCAGGGGCGUCACACAAGCGGUACUACUGCCCCACCCAGUUUCAGCAUUUCGAGUUUCACCGUUUUGCCCAUAACUUCCACAUCCGGAGUCCGAUUUUUGCAUUUUUUAGCUCGUUGAGUAGCUAUUGACAUCCCCCAUCCAUCUAUAUAGGUUCCAACACCAUUUGACUCCAUCAAAUUUUCCAAAAUUUGGAAAGUUUGCCUAGGCCGUCCACCAUAUCAUCUGCAUAGCCACCACCGACCACCGCAACCUAACCCAUUUUGUUCCCCUUAGCAUUUGAGGUUGUUUGAGUUGUGGCUUGUGUCUCCUAAGGUGUUUCGGCUACUUAGGGAUGGUAACUUCAACUCCAACACGUGUAUAGCCCAUCAUUCCACUUCCGCAUUGCCGAGUGCAAACCACCACCUCUUUCCACUACCACCAUUUGACAUUUACCUUUGUAGAUUUUGAGUUUGCGAUUUUUCCGUUUCCUAGGGUGUUUUGGCUAACUAGGAAUGGGUCGACAUCAGCAACAUCGCCUCUCAUCAUCGCCAAGGACGGUAACCUCGAUGACACCAUUGUAUAUUCCCUUGCCAUUGCAUUGAUAACCCCUAGCCCAUUUUGCGUCACUUGCCUAUCGAGACUAGCCGUUUGAGUAUUGCCGGCAACGUGACUUGUGCACAUUAGUGAUCAUACUUCCCAUAGCAUCAUACCAUAUCAUCGUGGUGCAUAUAUUGGUAGCAUAUCUUGCGUCACAAGUUUGUUGCCGCAUAUACACAAUUGCUAUCUUGGUUUGUGCAUUAUGCAGAAGUGGCCAUACAAAAAAGAGAAAUAAAGCUUUUAAGCAAAAGAAAGAGAGAAAAGAAGCUUGUAAGCAAGUGCCAUAGCAUCAUACCAUAUUGCACAUAAGAUUGUCAUAUCCGAUCAUCUUGGAUCAUCUUGAGAGAACAUCGGGAACCAUACAUACAUAGCAUACUUGGGAUAGAAAGUAUAUCCAUUUGGCAUCUUGUAGGUUGUGCACAAGUGUCCUAUCCGCCUAUUGAGCAAUCGUGCUAGCGUCUCUCUUGAGUUGUGCAACACGAGCGUUUUCUGUGGAUUCCACAUUUUGUGCUCAUUGCUUGGUUGCACGACCCCAUUUAUCUAUCCGUGUGUGUGUUUCCGUGUGUCAUUCUUUGCUAUUGGUCUACUUGUUUCACUUGCAAAUUUGUGAAUCUCUUUCAACAUUAUUGACUCUUGCUAACAUUUUGCAUCAAAUUUUUGUGCCACUAUCCUCACCGAGCUCCACCAUAAGCUUUACUUGAUAGGUGUGAGUGAACAAGUCCGGUACCAAUUCCACUAUUCUUUCAUUUCACAUUGAGUUAAACGGGAUACAUCCUCAACUUUGGGAAAGGUAACUUCCUAUUGUUUAUCUCAUUUCCUACUGGCAUUUCACCUUCGGUCUACAACAACAACGACGAGUUCGAUGCCACGAACAACUCCAACGACGCCAAGAUGCAAGCUCAAAUGGAGGAGAUCAAAGCCCUCAUCAAGUCCUACAAGCAAUCUUCCUCAUCUUCGAGAAGACACUCACGUGCACAUGUUUCCGAGCUACCAUCUCCGGUAAGAUCACAUCAGCAUCGACACCAUCACCAACAAGAACGUGAAGGUCAAGAGCUCAACACCAACUACCGCUCAACGACUUCACCAUCUCCCUUGGCAUCUUCGCCAAGCGACUUCAAGGCAUCUUUGAGUACGGAUAUACGGCAUCUUCGCCAACAAGAACCUCAAGGCUACGCUCAAGAGAAGCUCCCCAAGCUCAAGUCCACGACUUCCAUGAGCUACUACGACCUCGACACCGACCACAAGAUUCCUUUCUAUGGAACUCAAGAACCCGAGGAGUACCUCGAGUGGGAGCGUUUGAUGGACGACUACCUCAAGCUACAUCAAGUCCCUUCCGAAGAUCAAGUGAAGUGCGCCACAAGAAACUUCCACGACUACGCCUCGACAUGGUGGCUUCACACACCUUCGGAGAGCUACGAGAUGAGUUAGCCCAAGACGAAGAGAGCUUUGCAGCGAGAGCUCGUGCCUCCAACCUACAUGGAACAACUUCGACGCCAAUUGGAGAACACCAUCCAAGGAUCCAAGUCCAUCGACGCGUACUUCAAGGAGAUGAAGAAUGCCUUGCGACGAGACGGCGUGGAUGACCCCAUUUCGAUGAAGUUCCACUUCAUGAUGCGAUUGAACAACGACAUCUCCAAGACUAUCUUCCUCGAGAACUACAAGUCCCUGGACAACUACUACAUUGGUGCUCUCAAGGCGGAACAAGAACUCAUGAAAGCCAAGGCUUCUCCACCCCAAGCACACUUCGCGGCGACCAAGCUGUACGACAAGCAUGAGGCUAGUACCACCAUGAUGUCCAAGCCCGACGAGCUCCAAGACAAUGCUCCCAAGUUCGACUUCACCGCCAUCCCUCUUUGUGGCAUUGAUGACGCCGAGUCUACCUUGACUCUUUUUCAAGACGGUGCGGCGACGAGUACGACUACGGAGACCUUCAAGGACCAAGCUUUGGAGGCGAGCGACAAGGUGGCGAGCAAGGAUGGUGUUUCCAUCUUUGGAGGCGAGAGUGAUGAUGUGCCAUCUUCGUCCUUCAUCCACGGCGACGAUGACGAGAUGAUCGAGCAUGGGAUUUUCCCUUCGGUCAUGGAGGAGAGUGAUGAUGUGCCAUCUUCGGCCUUCAUCCACGGAGACGACGACGAGAUGGUUGAGCAUGGGAUUCUCCCUUCGACCACGGUGACGUAUGAUGACUUGAGUGACUUUUGCCACCAUAUUGAGAGUGAGAGUGACUUCACCACUAGCCCCAUAUAUGACGAGUUGCCCCAAUUCCUAUGUGAGGAGAGCCACAACCCCCACCACUUGAGUGAGAUGAGUGACUCCACCAUAUGCGACUUUGAGUGCACCUAUUUUGAGGGAGUGAGUGAACCACCACAUAGAGAGAGUGUGAUAGUUGAUAGGUCUCGUGAGGCCAUUUGCAUUUCUAACAACUUGACCUCUACCUCUAUUGUGUCUUCUCAUUUGGUGCUAGGUCCCAUUUAUGAUGACGCGCCGAUCCUCGACGACUUCGUCCUCCCUUUGGACAAGACGAUGGCCAUGGUGGAAUAUGAUGCACCCCCCACAUGGUUCCAUCAAGAUGAAGAUGACCACCAUUUGGUCUUUCCCACCUCACCUACACCACUUGAGUGGAAUGAAAAAGGUAACAUAGGUGAAGGUGAUGCUCUAGUCCCACUAGUGGACAUUCUUGACAUUGAUUGCUUGCAUGAUGUUGAUCCACCUAGUACCAUGCUUCAUGCUAGUAUGAUUUCCCCAUGUGAUGAUUUGGCCAUUUAUGAUGAGUAUGAUGAUUCUCAUGUGGAGUCUCUUAGUUGUGAUGUCAUGUUACAUAGGAUUUCUUGUGACAAUUCUUUAGGUCACAUCAUGUUUGAUAAUCCGCUUGACUUGUCGUAUGCUAUGCAUGACAUUCACCAUAUGUCAUAUUUGCAAUCUCAUUGUAGUGACUAUGCAUAUGCCAUUCAAAUUAACCCAAUUUGCACUUAUGGCAUAGAUGACAAGCCCAUGGUUAUUGGGAUUUGUUUUUCUUGUGAUGAUAUUGAUAUGGUCCCUUUGCAUCAUUUAUCUCAUAUGCCAUGUCAUGCCCACCUAGCUUCGGAUAUGCAUUGUUUUGGAUGUUGUCCAUUUUCUCCAUAUGAUGUUUCCAAUCUUGCUCAUGAGGAGACCCCCAUAGUUCCCUCAUACAUGUUAGGAGAUUUUGAUCCAUCCCAUCCAUUGCAUGAUCCCAACAAUUGUGUGCACCAUAUGCUCCCCAUGAAUAAACAUGCUAUUGAUGUGCCAUAUACUUGCAUUCUCAAUUUGUGUCCCCAUCGUGUCAUACAUAAUAACUAUUCUUUCAUGAUGGAUGACAUGUUCUUAUACCAUGCAUCAAAUUUCGUUGAGCGAUGCUUAUCUUGUGCUAACUCACACGUGCACAUACACAUCAUGAUGGAUGAUGUGUACAUUUACCACACACACAAUUUAUUUGGUUUGUGUCUCUUUUGUGUAGGUACCCAGGAAUACUUGUCAACCUCGCAAUCCCACGAGUUGACAAAACGAGCUCUAGAGAGCAACGAUGAUUUGGGAUCCCAUGGAUUGUCUUUCCCACCGCUCUCUUCGCGCAAAGACUUAGCGCAUUUCUUCUACAUGGCCCUCACUUGGCUAUGGGUUGUUUUCCAUUACAUAUUAUAUGCCCAUCUUGCCAUGUUCACUUUGCAUGAUAUGCCCAUUCCCAUGCAUUUGUGACCCAUACUUUGCUUUACACAUGAUGAUUGACUCUCAUACUUUUAUGUGUAUUUGCAAGCUUGGUGGAGAUAUUGCUUGUUGUUUCCCUAUUCCAUUUUUGACCCACCCCUAUGAUGAUACUAUGAUCUUGCUUUGUGUUCGUGCUUGUGAUAUGUCAUGUGCAUUGUCUAUCCCUAUUAUUUGCUCACAUGACAUGAUUGCCAUGAUUUACUCUGGUGUGUUGCAUCUUCGCUCCACUAGUUUGCACCACAUGAUUGAUAUGCUUGCUUGUAUUGCAUCCCCCAUGAUUCAUACUUGCUCAUUUCAUGCGAUUGAUGACAACCAUUUCCAUACUUUGCACGUGAUUGCUAUAGCUUCUUGUCACAUAUCUACAUAUGUUGCCUCUCUCAUGCUAGAUCACUUGCCAUGUAUUUAGUGCAACAAUGCUCUUAUUCUUGCUCAUGAGAUUGCCCCCAUAGCAUUCUCACAUAUGAUUGGAGUUGACAUAAUUCUUGUGAAGCAUGCUUGCCUUCCUUCUUUGCACCAUAUGCCUAGUGCCAUGAAUAUUGCCAUUGUUGCAUCAUAUUGUUCAUGCACUUGUGCUACUAAAGGUUAUGUGCAAGAGAUGAGAACCAUCAUGAUGGAUGAUGUGUUUCUCUACCAUGCGCAUAUACUCUUUGUUUUGUUGUGUGCAUGUGUAGGAUACUUGGACUUCGUCUCGACUUCCACUUCAUGUGAGUUGACCAUUCAAGCUCUUAAGAGCGAGCCUCACACAUUCUACCACUACUCGCUUCUACACCGCAUUUGCUUGCGCUUCGGCAUUGUGAAGAAUGCACAAGGACAUGCCUUCAAGGUGACAUCUUUCUUGAGCAUGGAUAUUGCGGAUCAUACUACUUGUGUAGCUUGCACUGUGAGACUUAUUGGUCAUCUUGGACCACUUGAUUGCGCACUUGCUAGAGAUCUUGCUUUGACUUGCCAUUUUCACAUUCCCAUGCAUCAUGAUAUAUAUGCCUUGUGUGUUGCAUCCAAUUCUUGGAUUACUAUCACAACCUAGCUAGUCCAUGCAUUAGAGUGUUGCAUCAUGUCUACCUUUUAUCAGAAACUUGAAUUGGGGAAGACAGAACCCCCCAGAACCCCUCUGAAUUCAACUAGUGCUUACUAAAAAUAUUUUCAAUGAACCUGAAAUGCCCUUCUAAAAAGUUCACCCUCUUUGUCUUGGGUUAGAACCUCUGGCAAAAUUGGUGCACAAUUUUCUAGGUCAACAAAAGGCCAUUGAAUUAAAUCAUAUCUACUUUGAGUUUGGGCAUUUAAACUAUAUAAAAUAUUUCAAAUGCUCAAAUAACUCCAAACUAAAAUGUUCCAUACUGGAUAUAUUCCAACUAGGGACCAUGUGCAGUUUGGUGAUUUUUGGAGUUGCCUAAGUAUUUUUAGAAAUGCAACAAACUUACAGAAACAAUUAAAAACAGAAACAAAUGGGAAAAACCCUUACCUGGCCGAACCAAGCCCCAGCCCAGCUGGCCGGCCCAGCACUGUGCUGGCCCAUGCCAGCCAGCUGCUUCGCCGUCGCCACGCAGGCACAGAGCUGACGCCGGCAAGCGUGAGCUCGCAACGGCGCCAGCUGCUUGCCGCCCGCGCCCCCGAGCACCUGGGUGAGCUCCACGUCGCCGCCCCGACCCCGUGGACACCUCAUUCGCCCCCUGCCUCUCUCCCUCGCUCUCCCGCACCAUGGCCGACGCACCCGCCGCCGCACCCCCGACGUAGUCGCGCCCUCCGUCGUCCUCGUGCUGCACCACCGUGUCCCUUCGCUCCGCCGUCAUCGACUACAUCGAGUAGGCCGAGCCCCGAGCGCUCGCUGGCCCUGUUUCAUCUUCUUCGAGCUCGUCUUCACCGAGCACCGCCACAGAUCCCCUUCGCCGUCGCCGCCGUACCAGCUCGUCCCCGACCUUGCCGACCACUCCGUUGUGACCGCCGUGAGCUCAGCCACCUCCCCAUCCUCCCCGUUUGCCUUCUCGUGCACCGUAGCAACCGCAUGGAGCUUCAUCGCACGCACCACCGACGAGCUCGUCGCCGACGUGCCUCCGGCCAUCCACCGUCCACACCACGGUGUCUAACAUGCUCACCGCAUCGUGUAGAGUCUAACGCCCCACUCCACGCGCCUCGCCGUGCCCCGUAGCCAUGGGUCCAUUUUCAUCCGACUCCGGCGACCGCCGUGGUCGUCGCCGGCGACGUUCCUGGCCACCUCGACCUCAACCACCACCACCAAACGCCGCGACUUGUUCCCGGCUACACGUAGAUGGUCUCCGUCGUCCAUUUGGUCGCCAGAACAUGCUAACCCACUUCCUCCGCCGCGUCUGGCCUCGCCGGCGGCUAGACACCGGCAUGUUUGACCCGUUGACAUUCACUGGGUGGGCCAGGUUGACUCCCCUGAGUCUAUGACAAGUGCCCCCCCCUCUGCUAAUUAACCUAGUUUAGCUCUUACUAAAAUCAGUUAGUUUAAAUAAGUGCUGACAUGCGGGACCCACUGGUCAGUUUGACCUGAACGACCCCUUUGACCACUGACGUCACCCUGAUGCACUGCUGACGCAAUAACCAAUUUCUGGAUUUAUUGUUAUAUAGGAAAUUCCAGAAAUUGUUGCAAACUUCAAAAAUUCAUAGAAAUUAAUCUGUAACUCCAAAUGCAAAGAUUUAUAUAUGAAUUUUGAUCAGAAAAAUUCAAUCUAUCCAUUGGUAAUGGUUUCAUGCAUGUCAGAACAAGUUAACCUUGCUGUUUAAUCAAAACAAGUUAAUGCACUAAUAUGACUAUGUUAAAUGAACUACCAUUUGCAUCUUUGAUUCAAAUGAGUUCAUACCUUUCUGUUCUAGCUUGCAUUAGGCCAGGACACAUUCAUGUUGCCAUGUCAUAGCAUGCAUCAUAUUGUUGUAUAUCGUCAUGUGUUGUUCAUGUUCGGUGUGUUUUCGUGAUAGGUUCUGCCUCCGAGGAUAACCCCGAAUAUCCGUCUGAAGGGCUGUAUCCUACUACCACUACAUCAGGCAAGCAACCCAUUGAUCAUUCCGAUACAAACCCAUGUUCUUGCCUCUGCUCUUGUUUACUGCAUUAAGACAAUGCGAUUCAAACUUUUGUGUGUUGUGGUAGUUGAACCCACUUCCUUUGCAUGACCUGUCAUUGCCACAGUAACUAGAUGAAACUCAGUAGCAUGUGUAGGAGUUGAUUGAGCCAUAUCUGUGUUACCUACCAUGCUAUGCUUGCUAUGCUUAGAGUUGUGUCAGGUCUGGCUCAUUGGGAUGAUGAACUAGAGUGAAAGGUUGUGUCGGUAAUGAAGUGUUGAACACGAUUUGGUAAAGGUAUCGAUGAGAGGCCAUGUAGGAGUACAUGGUGGGUUGUUUCAUUGAGGCCGUCCUUAAGCACUGAGAUCUGUGUGUGUGAUUUAAGAUUCAGCUACUACCACGCAUUGGGCCCGAAACCAAUGGACCCUCUCGACUUAUUAACCACUCUUGUCCUCUGUCCGGGAGUUGCAAGUAGUUUUUGGUGUUUGUAGCAUGAUGGGGGCCGCACGCAGUGCUGACCUUAGGGGUGGGUUGGGUUGCGGUAGGCAUGUGGCACGGUGUAUCGAUUCGCCCGUUUGGUGUCUCGGGAACCAUGUUCACAUCAUUCGGGGCCGUUAGUGGAAACCUCGGCCGGACUCCCUGCGGAUGGAACCCGAAUAGGCGAUAAACCUGGACUAGGGACUCGUGUGUUUAGUCAGGCCGUGGCCGACACCCUCGCUGGGCUUCCGCUUGAGGCUUGCCGAGUACACGUCAUGUAGCGGUGAUAAGUGGUGAGAGCGUGUGUGAAGAAGUACACCCCUGCAGGGUAUAAAACUAUUCGAAUAGCCGCGUCCGCGGUAAAGGACUACUUGGUCACCUAUGCAGUUCAUAGACAAGUAAAUGGAUACUUCUAAAAGCCUCAAGUUAAGUGUGAGUACCGAGGAUGGCCCUCUCGUAGGUUGACAAGAGAGGAUCCUCGGUGGAGUAUUGUGUUGGUGAGUAGUGGACUCGUGUGCGACAAAUGUUUUGCAAGUUGUGUCUAUCGUAGAAUAGCUUAGCCAAGAGUCAAAGCUGGCUUGCUGCAAUAACUCCACUACCUUCUUGAGAAUGUGCAUGUAUGAUAGGAUUCUGUUGUAAGACUUGCUGAGUACCUCUGUACUCAUGUUUGCUUAAAUGUUUUCAGACGACAACACCAACCCCUCCGAUGGGUUCUACGUAGACCUCGACGUUGACGAGUGACUAACCACCCAAGUGGUGAUCCGAGACUUGUGAAGGGCCGAUGUAGAUAGAAAGGCUUCGUCAAGCCCUCUUUCUUUCUAGUGUCUGUACUCAGACUAGUUGCUUCCGCAUGUGCUUGUAUGCUUGUAUGACUUGAGUCUCAGGUCAUGUGACCCCUAUCUGUAUGAACAUGUUAUGUAUGGCUCCUUGGAGCCACUUAAAUAAAGUACUUUGAGUUGUAGAGUUUUGUUGUGAUGCCAUGUUGUAUGUACUCAUAUCGGGCAUAUUGUGUGUAUGUUUGAAAUGCUUGGUAUGAGUGGGAUCCGACAAUCUAGUUGUUUAUCCUUGGCAGCCUCUCAUAUGGGGAAAUGUAGUCUAGUGCUUCCUGAGCGAUAGUAGUCCGCUACAGCCCGGUUCACCGGAGUCCUGCUAGCCCAGUACUACAGCUCUGGACACUUGACUGGACAGCAUGUGUUUCACUUCGUUCCUGUGUCUGUCCCUUUGCGGAAAUGUCACGCGGUGGCAUUCGGAGUCCUGCCUAGCCUGCUACAGCCCGGGUUACUGUUGGGAAACGUAGUAAUUUCAAAAUUUUCCUACGCACACACAAGAUCAUGGUGAUGGCAUAGCAACGAGAGGGGAGAGUGUUCGUCCACGUACCCUCGUAGACCGUAAGCGGAAGCGUUAGCACAACGCGGUUGAUGUAGUCGUACGUCUUCACGAUCCGACUAAUCCAAGCACUGAACGUACGUGGCCUCCGAGUUCAGCACACGUUCAGCUCGAUGAUGAUCUCCGGCCUCCAAUCCAGCGAAGCUCCGGAGAUGAGUUCCGUCAGCACGACAGCAUGGUGACGAUGAUGAUGUUCUACCUGCGCAGGGCUUCGCCUAAAAUCCGCGACGAUAUGACUGAGGUGGAAUAUGGUGGAGGGGGGCACCGCACACGGCUAAGGAACGAUCCAUAGAUCAACUUGUGUGUCUAUGGGGUGCCCCCCCCCCCCCGCCCCUGUAUAUAAAGGAGAAAGGGGGAGGCCGGCCGGCCCCUUGGGCGCGCCAAGGGAGGAGGAAUNNNNNNNNNNNNNNNNNNNNNNNNNNNNNNNNNNNNNNNNNNNNNNNNNNNNNNNNNNNNNNNNNNNNNNNNNNNNNNNNNNNNNNNNNNNNNNNNNNNNNNNNNNNNNNNNNNNNNNNNNNNNNNNNNNNNNNNNNNNNNNNNNNNNNNNNNNNNNNNNNNNNNNNNNNNNNNNNNNNNNNNNNNNNNNNNNNNNNNNNNNNNNNNNNNNNNNNNNNNNNNNNNNNNNNNNNNNNNNNNNNNNNNNNNNNNNNNNNNNNNNNNNNNNNNNNNNNNNNNNNNNNNNNNNNNNNNNNNNNNNNNNNNNNNNNNNNNNNNNNNNNNNNNNNNNNNNNNNNNNNNNNNNNNNNNNNNNNNNUCCGGUUUUCUCCGAAAUCACCCGGAACAAUUUCGGUGUCCGAAUAUAGUCGUCCAAUAUAUCAAUCUUUAUGACUCGACCAUUUCGAGAUUCCUCGUCAUGUCCGUGAUGACAUCCGGGACUCCGAACAAACUUCGGUACAUCAAAACUUAUAAACUCAUAAUAAAACUGUCAUCGUAACGUUAAGCGUGCGGACCCUACGGGUUCGAGAACUAUGUAGACAUGACCUAGAACCAUUCUUGGUCAAUAACCAAUAGCGGGACCUAGAUGCCCAUAUUGGUUCCUACAUAUUCUACGAAGAUCUUUAUCGGUCAAACCGCAUAACAACAUACGUUGUUCCCUUUGUCAUCGAUAUGUUACUUGCCCGAGAUUUGAUCGUCGGUAUCCAAUACCUAGUGCAAUCUCGUUACUGGCAAGUCUCUUUACUCGUUCCGUAAUACAUCAUCUCAUAACUAACUUAUUAGUUACAAUGCUUGCAAGGCUUAGGUGAUGAGUAUUACCAAGAGGACCCAGAGAUACCUCUCCGACAAUCGGAGUGACAAAACCUAAUCCCGAAUUAUGCCAACUCAACAUGUACCUUCGGAAACACCUAUAGAGCACCUUUAUAAUCACCCAGUUACGUUGUGACGUUUGGUAGCACACAAAGUGUUCUUCCGGUAAACGGGAGUUGCACAAUCUCAUAGUUGCAGGAACUUGUAUAAGUCAUGAAGAAAGCAAUAGCAGUAUACUAAACGAUCAAGUGCUAGGCUAACGGAAUGGGUCAUGUCAAUCACAUCAUUCUCCUAAUGAUGUGAUCCCGUCAAUCAAAUGACAACUCUUUUGUCCAUGGUUAGGAAACAUAACCAUCUUUGAUAAACGAGCUAGUCAAGUAGAGGCAUACUAGUGACACUAUGUUUGUCUAUGUAUUCACACAUGUAUCAUGUUUCCGGUUAAUAUAAUUCUAGCAUGAAUAAUAAACAUUUAUCAUGAUAUGAGGAAAUAAAUAAUAACUUUAUUAUUGCCUCUAUGGCAUAUUUCCUUCAGUCUCCCACUUGCACUAGAGUCAAUAAUCUAGAUUACAUGGUAAUGAUUUUGACACCCAUGGAGUCUUGGUGCUGAUCAUGUUUUGCUCGUGAGAGAGGCUUAGUCAACGGGUCUGCAACAUUCAGAUCCGUAUGUAUCUUGCAAAUCUCUAUGUCUCCCACUUGGACUUGGUCCCGAAUGGAAUUGAAGCGUCUCUUGAUGUGUUUGGUCCUCUUGUGAAAUUUGGAUUCCUUUGCCAAGGCAAUUGCACCAGUAUUGUCACAGAAGAUGUUCAUUGGUCCCGAUGCACUAGGUAUGACACCUAGAUCGGAAAUGAGAUCCUUCAUCCAGACUCCUUCAUUUGCUGCUUCUGAAGCAGCUAUGUACUCCGCUUCACAUGUAGAUCCCGCCACGAUGCUUUGUUUAGAACUGCACCAACUUACAGCUCCACCGUUUAAUAAAAACACGUAUCUGGUUUGCGAUUUAGAAUCGUCCGGAUCAGUGUCAAAGCUUGCAUCGACGUAACCGUUUACGACUAGCUCUUUGUCACCUCCAUAUAUGAGAAACAUAUCCUUAGUCCUUUUCAGGUAUUUCAGGAUGUUCUUGACCGCUGUCCAGUGAUCCACUCCUGGAUUACUUUGGUACCUUCCUGCCAAGCUUAUUGCUAAGCAUACGUCAGGCCUGGUACACAGCAUUGCAUACAUGAUAGAGCCUAUGGCUGAAGCAUAGGGAACAUUUUUCAUUUUCUCUCUAUCUUCUGCUGUGGUCGGGCAUUGAGUUUGACUCAACUUCACACCUUGUAGCACAGGUAAGAAUCCUUUCUUUGCCUGAUCCAUUUUGAACUUUUUCAAAAAAAAUUCAAGGUAUGUGCUUUGUGAAAGUCCUAUUAAGCGUCUUGAUCUAUCUCUAUAGAUCUUGAUGAGUAAUAUGUAAGCAGCUUCACCGAGGUCUUUCAUUGAAAAACUUUUAUUCAAGUAUCCCUUUAUGCUAUGCAGAAAUUCUAUAUCAUUUCCAAUUAAUAAUAUGGCAUCUACAUAUAAAAUUAGAAAUGCUACAGAGCUCCCACUCACUUUCUUGUAAAUACAGGCUUCUCCAAAUGUCUGUAUAAAACCAUAUGCUUUGAUCACACUAUCAAAGCGUUUAUUCCAACUCCGAAAUGCUUGCACCAGUCCAUAAAUGGAACGCUGGAGCUUGCAUACUUUGUCAGCACCUUUUGGAUCAACAAAACCUUCCGGCUGCAUCAUAUACAACUCUUCUUCUAGAAAUCCAUUCAAGAAUGCAGUCUUGACAUCCAUAUGCCAAAUUUCAUAAUCAUGAAAUGCAGCAAUAGCUAACAUGAUUCGGACAGACUUAAGCAUCGCUACGGGUGAGAAAGUCUCAUCGUAGUCAACCCCUUGAACUUGUCGAAAACCUUUUGCAACAAGUCGAGCUUUAUAGACAGUUACAUUACCAUCAGCGUCAGUCUUCUUCUUAAAGAUCCAUUUAUUCUCAAUGGCUUGCCAAUCAUCGGGCAAGUCAACCAAAGUCCAUACUUUGUUUUCAUACAUGGAUCCCAUCUCAGAUUUCAUGGCUUCUAGCCAUUUUGCGGAAUCUGGGCUCAUCAUCGCUUCCUCAUAGUUCGUAGGUUCACCAUGGUCAAGUAACAUGACUUCCAGAAUAGGAUUACCAUACAACUCUAGUGCGGAUCUUACUCUGGUAGACCUACGAGGUUCAGUAGAAACUUGAACUCCUCACUAAUUGGUGUAGUUGUCACAGGAACCGGUUCUCGUGAUGAACUACUUUCCAAUAAGGGAGUAGAUACAGUUAUCUCAUCAAGUUCUACUUUCCUCCCACUCACUUCUUUCGAGAGAAACUCCUUCUCUAGAAAGGAUCCAUUCUUAGCAACGAAUGUCUUGCCUUCAGAUCUGUGAUAGAAGGUGUACCCAACAGUCUCUUUUGGGUAUCCUAUGAAAACACAUUUCUCCGAUUUGGGUUCGAGCUUAUCUGGUUGAAGUUUCUUCACAUAAGCAUCGCAGCCCCAAACUUUAAGAAACGACAACUUUGGUUUCUUGCCAAACCACAGUUCAUAAGGCGUCGUCUCAACGGAUUUUGAUGGUGCCCUAUUUAACGUGAAUGCGGCCGUCUCUAAAGCAUAACCCCAAAACGAUAGCAGUAAAUCAGUAAGAGACAUCAUAGAUCGCACCAUAUCAAGUAAAGUACGAUUAUGACGUUCGGACACACCAUUUCGUUGUGGUGUUCCGGGUGGCGUGAGUUGCGAAACUAUUCCACAUUGUUUCAAGUGUAGGCCAAACUCGUAACUCAAAUAUUCUCCUCCACGAUCAGAUCGUAGAAACUUUAUUUUCUUGUUACGAUGAUUUUCCACUUCACUCUGAAAUUCUUUGAACUUUUCAAAUGUUUCAGACUUGUGUUUCAUCAAGUAGAUAUACCCAUAUCUGCUCAAAUCAUCUGUGAAGGUGAGAAAAUAACGAUACCCGCCGCGAGCCUCAACAUUCAUUGGGCCACAAACAUCAGUAUGUAUGAUUUCCAACAAAUUAGUUGCUCGCUCCAUAGUUCCGGAGAAUGGCGUUUUAGUCAUCUUGCCCAUAAGGCACAGUUCGCAAGUACCAAGUGAUUCAUAAUCAAGUGAUUCCAAAAGUCCAUCAGUAUGGAGUUUCUUCAUGCGUUUUACACCGAUAUGACCCAAAAGGCAGUGCCACAAGUAAGUUGCACUAUCGUUAUCAACUCUGCAUCUUUUGGUUUCAACACUAUGAACAUGUGUAUCACUACUAUCGAGAUUUAAUAAAAAUAAACCACUCUUCAAGGGUGCAUGACCAUAAAAGAUAUUACUCAUAUAAAUAGAACAACCAUUAUUCUUUGAUUUAAAUGAAUAACCGUCUCGCAUCAAACAAGAUCCAGAUAUAAUGUUCAUGCUUAACGCUGGCACCAAAUAACAAUUAUUCAGGUCUAAAACUAAUCCCGAAGGUAGAUGUAGAGGUAGCGUGCCGACCGCGAUCACAUCGACUUUGGAACCGUUUCCCACGCGCAUCGUCACCUCGUCCUUGGCCAGUGCUCGCUUAUUCCGUAGUCCCUAUUUCGAGUUGCAAAUAUUAGCAACAGAACCAGUAUCAAAUUCCCAGGUGCUACUACGAGCUCUAGUUAGGUACACAUCAAUAACAUGUAUAUCACAUGUAGCUUUGUUUACUUUGCCAUCCUUCUUAUCCGCCAAAUACUUGGGGCAGUUCCGCUUCCAGUGACCAGUCUGCUUGCAGUAGAAGCACUCAGUUUCAGGCUUAGGUCCAGACUUGGGUUUCUUCUCUUGAGCAGCAACUUGCUUGCUGUUCUUCUUGAAGUUCCCCUUCUUCUUCCCUUUGCCCUUUUUCUUGAAACUAGUGGUCUUGUUGACCAUCAACACUUGAUGCUCCUUCUUGAUUUCUACCUCCGCAGCUUUUAGCAUUGCGAAGAGCUCGGGAAUAGUCUUGUUCAUCCCUUGCAUAUUAUAGUUCAUCACAAAGCUCUUGUAUCUUGGUGGCAGUGAUUGGAGAACUCUGUCAAUGACGCUAUCAUCCGGAAGAUUAACUCCCAGUUGAAUCAAGUGAUUAUUAUACCCAGACAUUUUGAGUAUAUGCUCACUGACAGAACUAUUCUCCUCCAUCUUGCAGCUGUAGAACUUAUUGGAGACUUCAUAUCUCUCAAUCCGGGCAUUUGCUUGAAAUAUUAACUUCAACUCCUGGAACAUCUCAUAUGCUCCAUGACGUUCAAAACGUCGUUGAAGGCCCGGUUCUAAGCCGUAAAGCAUGGCACACUGAACUAUAGAGUAGUCAUCAGCUUUGCUCUGCCAGACGUUCUUAACGUCGUCAGUUGCAUCAGCAGCAAGCCUGGCACCCAGCGGUGCUUCCAGGACGUAACUUUUCUGUGCAGCAAUGAGGAUAAUCCUCAGGUUACGGACCCAGUCCGUGUAAUUGCUACCAUCAUCUUUCAACUUUUCUUUCUCAAGGAACGCAUUAAAAUUCAACGGAACAACAGCACGAGCCAUCUAUCUACAAACAAACAUAGACAAGCAAAAUACUAUCAGGUACUAAGUUCAUGAUAAAUUUUAAGUUCAAUUAAUCAUAUUACUUAAGAACUCCCACUUAGACAGACAUCUCUCUAGUCAUCUAAGUGAUUACGUGAUCCAAAUCAACUAAACCAUAACCGAUCAUCAUGUGAGAUGGAGUAGUUUUCACUGGUGAACAUCACUAUGUUGAUCAUAUCUACUAUAUGAUUCAUGCUCGACCUUUCGGUCUCCGUGUUCCGAGGCCAUAUCUGCAUAUGCUAGGCUCGUCAAGUUUAACCUGAGUAUUCUGCGUGUGCAAAACUGGCUUGUACCCGUUGUAGAUGGACGUAGAGCUUAUCACACCCUAUCAUCACGUGGUGUCUGGGCACGACAAACUUUGGCAAUGGUGCAUACUCAGGGAGAACACUUCUUGAUAAUUUUUGUGAGAGAUCAUCUUAAAAUGCUACCGUCAAUCAAAGCAAGAUAAGAUGCAUAAAGGAUAAACAUCACAUGCAAUCAAUAUAAGUGAUAUGAUAUGGCCCUCAUCAUCUUGUGCUUGUGAUCUCCAUCUUUGAAGCACCAUCGUGAUCACCAUCGUCACCGGCGCGACACCUUGAUCUCCAUCGUAGCAUCGUUGUCGUUACGCCAUCUAUUGCUUCUACGACUAUCUAUACCGCUUAGUGAUAAAGUAAAGCAAUUACAGGGUGUUUGCAUUUCAUACAAUAAAGCGACAACCAUAUGGCUCCUGCCAGUUGCCGAUAACUUCGGUUACAAAACAUGAUCAUCUCAUACAAUAAAAUAUAUCAUCACGUCUUGACCAUAUCACAUCACAACAUGCCCUGAAAAACAAGUUAGACGUCCUCUACUUUGUUGUUGCAAGUUUUACGUGGCUGCUAUGGGCUUAGCAAGAACUGUUCUUACCUACGCAUCAAAACCACAACGAUAGUUCGUCAAGUUGGUGCUGUUUUAACCUUCGCAAGGACCGGGCGUAGCCACACUCGAUUCAGCUAAAGUGAGAGAGACAGACACCCGCCAGCCACCUUUAAGCACGAGUGCUCGUAACGGUGAAACCAGUCUCACGUAAGCGUACGCGUAAUGUCGGUCCGGGCCGCUUCAUCUCACAAUACCGCCGAACCAAAGUAUGAAAUGCUGGUAAGCAGUAUGACUUGUAUCGCCCACAACUCACUUGUGUUCUACUCGUGCAUAUAACAUCAACGCAUAAAACCUAGGCUCGGAUGCCACUGUUGGGAAACGUAGUAAUUUCAAAAUUUUCCUACGCACACGCAAGAUCAUGGUGAUGGCAUAGCAACGAGAGAGGAGAGUGUUCGUCCAUGUACCCUCGUAGACCGUAAGCGGAAGCGUUAGCACAACGCGGUUGAUGUAGUUGUACGUCUUCACGAUCCGACCGAUCCAAGCACCGAACGUACGGGGCCUCCGAGUUCAGCACACGUUCAGCUCGAUGACGAUCUCCGGCCUCCGAUCCAGUGAAGCUCCGGAGAUGAGUUCCGUCAGCACGACGGCGUGGUGACGAUGAUGAUGUUCUACCGGCACAGGGCUUCGCCUAAACUCCGCGACAAUAUGACCGAGGUGGAAUAUGGUGGAGGGGGGGCACCGCACACGGCUAAGGAACGAUCCGUAGAUCAACUUGUGUGUCUAUGGGGUGCCCCCCGCCCCUGUAUAUAAAGGAGCAAGGGGGAGAGGCCGGCCGGCCCCUUGGGCGCGCCAAGGGAGGAGGAAUCCUCCUCCUAGUAGGAGUAGGACUCCUCCUUUCCUACUCCUACUAGGAGGGGGAAGGAAGGAGGAGAGGGGGAAGGAAAGGGGGGGCGCCGCCCCCCUCGUAGUCCAAUUCGGACCAGAGGGGGGGAGGGGGCGUGCGGCCCAUGCUGGCCGCCCCUCUCUCCUUUCCCCUAAGGCCCAUAAGGCCCAAUACUCUCCCGGGGGGUUCCGGUAACCCCCGGCACUCCGGUUUUCUCCGAAAUCACCCGGAACAAUUCCGGUGUCCGAAUAUAGUCGUCCAAUAUAUCAAUCUUUAUGUCUCGACCAUUUCGAGAUUCCUCGUCAUGUCCGUGAUGACAUCCGGGACUCCGAACAAACUUCGGUACAUCAAAAGAUAUAAACUCAUAAUAAAACUGUCAUCGUAACGUUAAGCGUGCGGACCCUACAGGUUCGAGAACUAUGUAGACAUGACCUAGAACCAUUCUCGGUCAAUAACCAAUAGCGGGACCUGGAUGCCCAUAUUGGUUCCUACAUAUUCUACGAAGAUCUUUAUCGGUCAAACCGCAUAACAACAUACGUUGUUCCCUUUGUCAUGGGUACGUUACUUGCCCGAGAUUUGAUCGUCGGUAUCCAAUACCUAGUUCAAUCUCGUUACUGGCAAGUCUCUUUACUCGUUCCGUAAUAUAUCAUCUCAUAACUAACUUAUUAGUUACAAUGCUUGCAAGGCUUAGGUGAUGAGUAUUACCGAGAGGGCCCAGAGAUACCUCUCCGACAAUCGGAGUGACAAAACCUAAUCUCGAAUUAUGCCAACUCAACAUGUACCUUCGGAAACACCUGUAGAGCACCUUUAUAAUCACCCAGUUACGUUGUGACGUUUGGUAGCACACAAAGUGUUCUUCCGGUAAACGGGAGUUGCACAAUCUCAUAGUUGCAGGAACUUGUAUAAGUCAUGAAGAAAGCAAUAGCAGUAUACUAAACGAUCAAGUGCUAGGCUAACGGAAUGGGUCAUGUCAAUCACAUCAUUCUCCUAAUGAUGUGAUCCCGUCAAUCAAAUGACAACUCUUUUGUCCAUGGUUAGGAAACAUAACCAUCUUUGAUAAACGAGCUAGUCAAGUAGAGGCAUACUACUGACACUAUGUUUGUCUAUGUAUUCACACAUGUAUCAUGUUUCCGGUUAAUAUAAUUCUAGCAUGAAUAAUAAACAUUUAUCAUGAUAUGAGGAAAUAAAUAAUAACUUUAUUAUUGCCUCUAGGGCAUAUUUCCUUCAGUUACCGGAGUCCUGUUAGCCCAGUGUUACAGCCCGGAUGUAUACGUUGAUGACCGACAUGCUCGAUGUGACUCAUGUAUGCCUGUCCCCAUAGGUUAGCGCCGCUUUGGGUUCAUGACUAGCCAUGUCAGCCCGGGUUCUCUGUCAUAUGGAUGCUAGCGACACUAUCAUAUACGUGAGCCAAAAGGCGCAAACAGUCCCGGCCAUGGUAAGGCGACACCCGUGGGAUUACCGUGCGUGAGGCCGCAAAGUGAUAUGAGGUGUUACCGGCUAGAUCAAUGUGACUUGGAAUCAUGGUCCAGACAGCAUUGGCAUCAGAGCCGGACUGCCUGUAGGUUCCUAAGCCAAACUGGUCGAUGUCGAGUCUAGAAAUGCUUUAGUUAUAUGUAGGGGAAUUUAUUGUGGGAGGAAACGUAAGGCUCUUUUUACCCCUUUACCUUAUGCCCUCUGAUCUGUGUCAUCCUCUUCUCAUUCUACGUGGGUUAAGGACUAGGCUCUCUUCUCUCUAUCAGGUUCACGUGUUACUAAUCCGUAGUAACUUAUAGGAUUGUUGGUUACCAGUCUCAGUACAGUUCCUACUACUUUAGUAUGUUAUCAGUUGAACCUGAACCUUGAUAUGAUGUUGUUGAGUGGUUUUGCAAUCCGUUGUGAAUGUCUCAAAUCUGCUCCUGAGCAUUUACAGCUGUUAUGUUGUCCAAUUUUCCCUAGGAAUUCUAAUGUCUUUGCAUUGUGGUUGUGCUUUCAGAUGGCCACUCGCGCUCAGAACCAAGUGGUUCGCCUGACGCGGUGCCUCAAUGUGCCCGGUCAUACUGCUAUGUUAGUCCGGGUCAUGAUCGAGACAGGUUACCGUUGGUAUCCCGAAUACAUUGCCGAAGAGCAAUUCCAAGACUUUAAUCAAAGCCAAUACUUCUGCACUGUCAGGAUAUUUCCUUCAUAUCCUGGAUCCACCGAGCCCCUUCACUGCUCCUAUGGACUCGGGGUCACCAUUGAGAUGGCUGUACAGGAUGCGGCCUAUUCUAUGAUGACCAUCAUGCGAGUCAGGACUGGUCUGCUUCGGAACACCGACUUCCGUUAUAUGCCAGCAUCGCUCCCAGGAGCGCAAGGGUAUCUCCAGGCUAUCUAUGCUGAUUCCACCCAUGAGGACUCACUAACUCGCACCAUUGCGGAGAUGCUCGAGGAUAAGGACCGAGAGAAUCAGGCCUUGAGGUUGGAGCUUUUCAACACCUGCGCCGAUCAUUGGGCCACUUUGACUCGGUUUGCACCGGCUGUGCAAGCUGGAUGUAUGGAUAUGAGGGAUCUGUUUCCUGUGAGAUCUGCUCUGCCAGACAUGGUGGAUUGGCGUGAUGUGGGAGGCAUCAUCCCACCCCGUGGUCCCCGUAGGCCAUCGUUUGUUGGUCCAAGACCUCAUCCUAGCCCCUAUGGUCCACAGGCUCCUCAGGACCGUCUGUUCCCGGAUGAUCACGUUGAGCUUCCAAGCUAUGGAGGGGACUUCUAUGAGGACUACUACGGAGCUGUCUGAGUUAGUAGUAGUAUCUUUAGUAUUGUAAUAGUUGUAAUUCCAUCGUCCUGCGUGACCUGUGGAAUAUGACUUAGUGUGUAUCAGUUCCGGAGGUGUAGAAAAAUAAUGUAUCGGAGCUUGGAAUGCCUCCGAUGAGAUGUAACUUCUUCCACCGUAGUUGUACUAUAGUCGGGCUUGUACUAAACUAUGUAUGGUGUGUAUGACUGUUGGUGCAUAUAUGGCAGUUUCUGUAUUACCAUGUCAUACAGAUGAACAUCUCUGCAUUCCUUGUUAUCCAUUACAUUCUGCACUUCCUUGUCCAGAUUUGCCAUCCUUGUCUAAAGCGAUGUCUUGUUUUCCUAGGAUGGUCAACACCCGUAACAACCCUGCUACUCCGGAGCAGGGUGAAGCCAGUGCAGCUAGGAAUGAAAAUCUGCCUCAACCACCUUCUCUGGUCGAAGUUAUGCUGGAGGCAGAGCGAAAUAAGCGUGAGACCAAUCGCUUGCUGGAGCGGAUUGAGCAGAAUACCGCACGCCAGCCGAGGAACGACCUGGUGUCACUUAAUGACUUUGUCAAGCUGUAUCCACCGAAGUUUAAACAUUCCGUCGAGCCCCUUGAUGCGGAUGAAUGGCUUCGCAGCAUUACCCACAAGCUACGUUCUGUCAAUGUGGCCGAAGCUGAUAAGGUUAACUUUGCUACCUAUCACCUCGAAGGCCCUGCUAGCCUUUGGUGGGAAAACUUUGAGGCUAUGCGCCCGGUCGGCCAAAUUACUACUUGGGCUGAAUUCAGUAUGGAGCAUCACAUUCCGGAAGGUCUUAUGGAUCGCAAGCGUGAAGAGUUCUGCAACUUCACCCAGGGUAGACUGACUGUGGAUGCAUACAGUCGCGAGUUUGGAUAUCUAGCACGAUAUGCUCCUAAAGAGGUAUCCACCGACGCCAAGAAGCAGGCAAGGUUCCGCAAGGGACUUAGCCCCGAGCUUCGUCGUGAUCUUCGUCUGCACGAGUGCACCUCCUUCCAGAAGUUAGUCAACAAGGCCAUCAGUGCUGAGACAGGGCAGUCGGACUUUGAAGCUUCACGCAAGCACUCCCGUGACUUUGGACUUCAUCCGGCUGUGCAUCUCAGAAGCGCCGGGUCUGGAUUCCAAGCACUGCUCUGCCACCCAGGUUCACCCCGAGGCCAUCCUUUGACGCGCCUCGCCCCAACCAAUAGUAUACACCGCCCAAGGCCUAUGGUGGCCCCACUGCUAAUGCUACUCCAUGCCCCAAUGUGAUAACUUGUUUCAAGUGUGGGGAGACGGGUCACUACAUUCGUGAGUGUCCCCAAAACAACCCCAACCAGAUUGGAAAGUCUGUUGGCCGUGGCAAGCCAGCAGGAAAGGUGCUCUACGCCAAGCCAGCCACCACUGCCCGUGGCCAUGUCAACUAUGUCUCAGCAGAGGAGACUCAUGAGGAUCCCAACGUCGUUCUCGGUACGCUUCUUGUUAAUUGCCACCCGGCAACCAUUCUCUUUGAUACUGGAGCAUCUCAUUCAUUUAUAUCUGAAAGCUAUGCUCGAUUGCACAACACCACAUUUUGUGACAUGCCCACCUCCAUGGUAAUUCAAACCCCUGGUUCUAAGUGGCAAACCUCUAAAAUCAGCCAUGGAAAUGAAAUCCUUGUCGACAGAUUAGUCUUCCUUGCAUCACUAAUAGCUCUCAAGUCCUCGGACAUAAACAUCAUCUUGGGUAUGGACUGGAUGUCAGCCCAUUACGCUAAGAUCGAUUGCUCCACUAGAACUGUUCAACUCACCCACCCUUCGGGCAAGACAGCCAAUGUUUUGACCCGAGUGUCUAAGCGUCAGCUUUACUCUUUAAAUGCCAACCCCCUUCCAGACCUUGAAGAUAUUCCGGUAGUCCGUGACUUCCCGGAUGUCUUUCCAGAGGAACUGUCAGGUGUUCCACCUAACAGAGAUGUCAAGUUCGUGAUAGACCUUGUUCCAGGAACCAUGCCAACAUCUAGGAGACCUUAUAAGAUGGCACCCCUAGAACUAGCUGAGCUUAAGAAACAACUCGAUGAGUCCUUGCAAAAGGGUUUCAUCCAUCCUAGCUCUUCUCCAUGGGCUUGCCCCGUCCUUUUCGUCAAGAAGAAGGAUGGAACGGAUCGGAUGGUUGUAGAUUACCGGCCAGUCAACUUGGUCACUAUCAAGAACAAGUAUCCGCUCCCCAAGAUCAACGACCUGUAUGAUCAGCUCGCUGGAUCCUCAGUCUUUUCUAAAAUGGAUUUGAGGUUGGGCUACCAUCAAAUCAAAAUUAAGAACGGGGACAUUCCUAAAACGGCCUUUGUUACUCGAUAUGGCCAAUACGAGUACACCGUCAUGUCCUUCGGUCUAACCAAUGCCCCAGCCACCUUCUCUCGGUUAUUGAACUCGAUCUUCAUGGAGUAUUUUGAUAAAUUCGUCGUGGUUUACCUUGAUGAUAUACUCAUCUACUCCAAGAAUGAAGAAGAACAUGCCGAACAUCUAAGGCUAGUGUUGAUGAAACUUUGAGAGCAUUGUCUUUAUGCCAAAUUCUCUAGGUGUGAGUUUUGGUUGCCAGAAGUAACCUAUCUAGGACAUGUAAUCUCUGGUAAGGGCAUUGCUGUCAAUCCCAAGCGAGUUCAAGCCAUCCUUGACUGGACUCCACCUGAAACGGUCAAGCAAGUUCAGAGUUUUGUUGGUUUAGCGAGCUAUUGCCGCUGCUUCAUCGAGAAUUUCUCCAAGGUUGCUAAGCCUCUAACCGAACUCCUCAAGAAAGAUAAAAAGUUCGAAUGGACGCCAUAGUGCGAGUUCAGUUUUCAGGAACUGAAAAGACGCCUGACAUCUGCUCCUGUACUUGUUCCACCAGAUUUCUCUAAGGACUUCGUUAUCUACUGCGACGCCUCGCGACAAGGACUAGGUUGCAUACUCAUGCAAGAUCGUCAUGUGAUUGCCUACGCUUCUCGACAGCUGCGUCCACAUGAGGAUAACUAUCCCACACAUGAUCUACAGCUUGCAGCAGUGGUCCAUGCACUCAAAACCUGGCGACAUUACCUUCUCGGUAAUCGUUGCGAGAUUUACACCGAUCACCAAAGUCUGAAAUACAUCUUCACCAAACCGGAUUUGAAUCUCAGACAAAGACGUUGGGUCGAGUUGAUUACGGAUUACGAUCUAGGAAUAACCUACACCCCAGGAAAAGCCAAUGUCAUGGCUGAUGCAUUAAGCCGUAAAUCUUAUUGUAACAACCUGAUGUUACAACAAAGCCAACCAUUUCUCCACGAGGAAUUUCGUAAGCUUAACCUUCACAUCGUUCCUCGAGGUUUUCUUUCCACCCUGGUGGCGAAACCUACCCUUACGGAUCAGAUCAUCAAGGCACAGAAGGUAGAUCCGGGAAUAUCCCGUAUCAAGAGAAACAUCAAAAGGGAGUUGGACUGUUUCUCCAUAGAUGAUCAAGGUGUUGUGUUCUUUGGAGGCCAUCUAGUGGUUCCCAAGGUAUGCAACCUGAGGCGAUUGAUCCUUAAGGAAGCUCAUGAAUCCCCUCUCACUAUUCAUCCCAGUAGUACUAAAAUGUAUCAAGACCUACGCCAGAGGUUUUGGUGGACUAGGAUGAAGAGAGAAAUCGCUCAAUACAUUACCAAUUGCGACGUCUGUCGUCGAGUUAAAGAAGAGCAUCAACGACCUGCUGGCACCCUGCAACCUUUGGAAAUUCCCGAAUGGAAAUGGGAUAAAAUCGGUAUGGAUUUCAUUACCGGGUUUCCCAGGACCAAGAGGGGGAAUAAUGCUAUCUUCGUUGUUGUCGAUCGUCUUUCCAAAGUAGCCCACUUCCUACACGUUCGUGAGAGUUUAACCGCUAGCCAGCUAGCUGACUUAUACAUCUCCCGAAUAGUGUCUCUUCAUGGUGUUCCAUUGGAGACUAACUCAGACCGUGGAAGUCUCUUCACCUCUCGAUUUCGGGAAAGUUUCCAAAAUGCGAUGGGAACUCGUCUUUCUUUUAGCACCGCUUUCCAUCCUCAAUCAAGUGGUCAAGUAGAACGAGUCAAUCAAAUUCUAGAGGAUAUGCUUCGAGCUUCUGUCAUCUCUUUUGGUAUGAAUUGGGAGAAGUGCCUUCCAUUCGCUGAGUUCGCUUAUAACAAUAGUUAUCAAGCUAGCUUGGACAAAGCUCCUUUCAAAGUUCUCUAUGGAUGAAAAUGUCGAACACCUCUUAACUGGUCAGAAACCGGGUAAAGACAACUCUUUGGCCCGGAUAUGAUCCAGGAAGCAGAGGAGCAGGUUCACGUUAUUCGUGAGAAAUUGAAAACAGCCCAAUCUCAUCAAAAGAGCCAAUAUGACCGCAAACAUACACUAGUAGAAAAGGGGCCAAUGGUCCAGGCCGGUCCAGCCCAUUAGUCCCGGUUCAAUCCAGAACCGGGACCAAUGGGGGCAUUGGACCCGGUUCGUGAGCCCUGGGGGCCGGCCGGGCCACGUGGGCCAUUGGUCCCGGUUCGUCCUGACCUUUCGGUCCCGGUUGGUGGGACGAACCGGGACCAAUGGGCCUCGCUCCUGGCCCACCAACAUUGGUCCCGGUUGGUGGCUUGAACCGGGACCAAAGGCGUCCCUUUAGUCCCGGUUCAAGUCACCAACCGGGACCAAUUAGUUGCCUAUAUAUACCCCUCGCCUGCGAGCAGAGCACUCCCAGUGCUCUGUUUUUCGUGGCUGGCGAGGGGAGAGCUUUGUGGUGCUCUAGCUCACGUCCUAUGCACACAAGGUGUUCGAUGGAAUGCCCGAGCCACACUACUUAAGCUUUCUCCUCUCCAAGCUCGACCUCCAAGCUCCAUUUUCCUUCAUAUUUGUCUAGGUUUAGCGGUUCGUCACGUCCCGUCCCCAUCUUCACCACCGUUGAUCGCCCGCGCCGAUCUCGUCGCCGGCACCACCGUGGUGAGCCUCUUGUUCUUAUCUUCUUUCUGAAAGGAAAAAAAAUUCUUACUUGUAUGUUUAUAUAGAUACUUGUAUAAUUUUCUUACUUUUAUUAUUGCAUCUUAUAUAGUGCGAUGGUUUUGGUAUCCGCCCCCGUCGGCCCUCGUCCUGUCUAUGAUUCAGAUGUGGUAUAUAUAUAUUAUCUUUUCAUAACUAGUGGUUCAUUUAUUGUUUAUGACAAUUAUGCCGACCAACGUGACAUAGAUUUUAUUUAUCUAGGAGGUUGUUGAACCGGAAAUUCCAACCGACCCUAUUGUCGAGAGGUUAAAUUUAGUUGAAGAAAACAAUUUGUUGAAGGGAAAAAUUAGAAAAAUUGAGGAGGAGAAGAUGAUAUUGGAGUUGCAUGUUGCGGAUGUCAUCGAUGAUCACAAGAUCAAGAUGGAUGCAAUGCGCUUGAAGAUUAGAAAGAUUAGAAAAUAUGCCAUUCAUACCGAGGCUUGGUAUCAUUAUGUCGUUGGAUCAGUUGUUACAUUGGUUGCGAUUAUGAUCGUAUUUGUUUUCGCAUUGAAAUGUUUUACAUAGUUUCAGUGUAUGGUUUAAUUAAUUUAGAUGCCCUGCAGAGCUUUAUGUUGUUAGAUGAGAACUAUGUAUGUACUUUGGUUUUAAUGUGAUGAUGAACUUCUAUUAAUUUCGUCACUUAAUUAUCUAUUCAUGAUGUUCUGUAAUGAUUUUUGACACACUUAAUUAUAUAUAAUGCACGCAGAUGAACCGGCAAUGGAUGUACGGUUCAAGACACACCUCCGAGUACAUUAAGGGCGUGCAUGAUUUUCUCGAAGUGCCUGAGGCAACAAGAAGAAUGGUUUUAUGUGUUGUCCAUGCCCUAUAUGUGGGAAUACGAAGUCUUACUCUGACUGGAAAAUCCUCCACACCCACCUUCUUUACAAGGGUUUCAUGCCACACUAUAAUGUUUGGACGAGGCACGGAGAAAUAGGGGUUAUGAUGGAAGACGGCGAAGAAGAAGAGUACGAUGACAACUAUGUGCCCCCUGAAUACGGUGAUGCUACUGAAGAUCAAGAGGAACCAGACGAUGUGCCCGAUGAUGAUGAUCUCCGCCGGGUCAUUGUCGAUGCAAGGACGCAAUGCGAAAGUCAAAAGGAGAAGCUGAAGUUCGAUCGCAUGUUAGAGGACCACAAAAAAGGGUUGUACCCCAAUUGUGAAGAUGGCAACACAAAGCUCGGUACCGUACUGGAAUUGCUGCAGUGGAAGGCAGAGAAUGUUGUGCCUGACAAAGGAUUUGAGAAGCUACUGAAAAUAUUGAAGAAGAAGCUUCCAAAGGAUAACGAAUUGCCCGACAGUACAUACACAGCAAAGAAGUUCGUAUGCCCUCUAGGAUUGGAGGUGCAGAAGAUACAUGCAUGCCCUAAUGACUGCAUCCUCUACCGCGGUGCGUACAAGGAUCUGAACGCAUGCCCGGUAUGCGGUGCAUUACGGUAUAAGAUCAGACGAGAUGACCCUGGUGAUGUUGACGGCGAGCCCCCCAGGAAGAGGGUUCCUGCGAAGGUGAUGUGGUAUGCUCCCAUAAUACCACGGUUGAAACGUCUGUUCAGAAACGGAGAGCAUGCCAAGUUGAUGCGAUGGCACAGUGAGGACCGUAAGAAAGACGGGAAGUUGAGAGCACCCGCUGACGGGUCGCAGUGGAGAAAAAUCGAGGGAAAGUACUGGGAUGAGUUUGCAAGUGAGCCAAGGAACGUAUGGUUUGCUUUAAGCGCGGAUGGCAUUAAUCCUUUCGGGGAGCAGAGCAGCAAUCACAGCACCUGGCCCGUGACUCUAUGUAUGUAUAACCUUCCUCCUUUGAUGUGCAUGAAGCAGAAGUUCAUUAUGAUGCCAGUUCUCAUCCAAGGCCCUAAGCAACCCGGCGACGACAUUGAUGUGUACCUAAGGCCAUUAGUUGAAGAACUUUUAUAGCUGUGGAAUGGAAAUAGUGUACGUACGUGGGAUGAGCACAAACAGGAGGAAUUUAACCUAAAGGCGUUGCUGUUCGUGACCAUCAACAAUUGGCCCGCUCUCAGUAACCUUUCAGGACAGACAAACAAGGGAUACCACGCAUGCACGCACUGUUUACUUGACACCGAUAGUAUAUACCUAGCAAGUUGUAGGAAGAAUGUGUACCUGGGCCAUCAUCGAUUUCUUUCGACCAACCAUCAAUGUUGAAAGAAAGGCAAGCAUUUCAAAGGCGAGGCAGAUCACCGGAAGAAGCCCUCCAUGCGUACUGGUAUCACGUACUUGCUAUGGUAGUGAUUUACACGUAAUCUUUGGAAAGUGUCCCGGCGGACUAGCUGUUCCGAAUGACGCUGAGAAUCACGCACCCAUGUGGAAGAAGAAAUCUAUAUUUUGGGACCUACCCUACUAGAAAGACCUAGAGGUCCGCUCUUCGAUCGACGUGAUGCACGUGACGAAGAACCUUUGCGUGAACCUGCUAGGCUUCUUGGGCAUGUAUGGGAAGACAAAAGAUACAACUGAGGCACGGGAGGACCUGCAACGCUUGCACGAAAAAGUGGGCAUGCCUCCGAAGCAGUAUGAAGGUCCUGCCAGCUACGCUCUUACGAAAGAAGAGAAAUAAAUCUUCUUUGAAUGCCUGCUCAGUAUGAAGGUCCCGACUGGCUUCUCUUCGAAUAUAAAGGGAAUAAUAAAUAUGCCAGACAAAAAGUUCUAGAACCUAAAGUCUCAUGACUGCCACGUGAUUAUGACGCAACUGCUUCCGGUUGCAUUGAGGGGGCUUCUACCGGAAAACGUCCGAUUAGCCAUUGUGAACCUAUGUGCAUUCCUCAAUGCAAUCUCUCAGAAGGUGAUCGAUCCAGAAAUCAUACCAAGGCUAAGGACUGAUGUGGUGCAAUGUCUUGUCAGUUUCGAGCUGGUGUUCCCACCAUCCUUCUUCAAUAUCAUGACGCACGUCCUAGUUCAUCUAGUUGACGAGAUUGUCAUUCUGGGCCCCGUAUUUCUACACAAUAUGUACUUCUUUGAGAGGUUCAUGGGAGUCCUAAAGAAAUAUGUCUGUAACCGCGCUAGGCCAAAAGGAAGCAUCUCCAUGGGCUAUCAAACAGAGGAUGUCAUCGGGUUUUGUGUUGACUUCAUUCCUGGCCUUAAGAAUAUAGGUCUCCCUAAAUCGCGGUAUGAGGGGAGACUGACUGGAAAAGGCACGCUUGGAAGGGACUCAAUUAUAUGCAGGGACGGAUAUUCUUGGUCUCAAGCACACUACACAGUUCUACAGAACUCUACCUUGGUGACCCCGUAUGUCGAUGAACACAAGAACAGUCUGCGCUCCAAACACCCGGAGCAGUGCGACGACUAGAUUACAUGUGAACACAUCAGGACUUUCAGUAGUUGGUUGGAAGCACAUAUCAGAGGUGACAACACUGUUUGUGAUGAGUUGUACUUGUUGUCCAGGGGACCAUCUUUGACUGUAUUGAUUUGGAAAGGAUACGAGAUAAAUGGGAAUACAUUUUACACGAUUGACCAAGAUCAAAAGAGCACCAACCAAAACAGCGGUGUCCGCUUUGAUGAAACAACCGAGAGGGGAAAGGACACAUAUUGUGGUUACAUAGUGGACAUAUGGGAACUUGACUACGGACACGAUUUUAAGGUCCCUUUGUUUAAGUGCAAAUGGGUCAAUCUGUCAGGUGGCAGGGUACAGGUAGACCCACAGUACGGAAUGACAAUAGUGGAUCUGGAAAAUCUUGGAUACACUGACGAACUGUUCGUCCUAGCCAAUGAUGUGGCACAGGUUAUCUAUGUGAAGGACAUGUCUACCAGACCAAGAAAGAGAAAAGAUAAGGAAGCGAAUACAUCAUACGAUGAGCCAAAGUGCCACAUAGUUCUUUCAGGAAAAAGGGACAUCGUGGGAGUGGAGGACAAGACAGACAUGUCUGAAGAUUAUGAAAAGUUUCAUGAAAUUCCUCCCUUUAAUGUCAAGGCUGACCCCAGCAUCCUGAUAGACGAUGAAGAUUAUCCAUGGUUACGGCGCAAUAAGCAAAUGACACAAGCGAAGAAAAAGUGAAGACUUUCUCCCGCAACUAUUAUGAUGAUACCAUGCCAAAUUUGUAACUGACGAGUAUGAUACCAUUGUCCGUUUUGUACAUGCACAUGCUAUGUGGGUCAAUUUAUGAUACCAUGCCAACUUUCAACUUUUUCAGAGUUCAUUUGAAAUGCUUUAAUGUCUUAUGGUUCGGCCCUCGUAAUGAUUAAAAAUAGCAACAAUAAGUAUUUUGUUGUAAGUAGAAACAAAAUAAAAUAAAUAAAGCAAGAAAGAAAACAAAAAAAACAAAAAAAGUGUUUUCAAAUUUGAAAACUAAUGGUACUAACAGAAAGUUUAUAAUUUUCCUAAAACUAAAAGCAAAAAGAAUUGAAAAAUAAAGCAAAAAACAAAAGACAAUAAAUAAUGCAGAAAUCAAAACAAAAAACAACAAUAAGUAUUUUGUUGUAUGUAGAAACAAAACAAAAUAAAUAAAGCAAGAAAGAAAACAAAAAAACAAAAAAAGUGUUUUCAAAUUUGAAAACUAGGGCACUAACAGAAAGUUUAUAAUUUUCCUAAAACUAAAAGCAAAAAGAAUUAAAAAAUAAAGCAAAAAACAAAAGAAAAUAAAUAAUGCGGAAAACAAAACAAAAAAACUGGAAAAAAAAUAAAAUAGCAAAAAUAAGUAAAGAAAACAAAAAAAUGCCUCCUACUGGGCCCCCACGGCCUGAAUACGACUAGAAACCCUACUAUGGGCCAGGAUUCAGGCCCGCAGUAGGCCCAGAAGGCCCAUCAGGCAAAGCAAUAGCAAGUAGGCCCGAAAGCCUGCGGUGGAGAGGAGCUCGAGAGGGGUGCGGCAGUGGGGCUUAUAAACCACUGCACGCCCCUCUCAACUAGCGAGGUGGGACUAAACUUUGGCCCCGACGCGGGAAGCACAGGGGCCUUUGGUCCCGGUUGGUGGCACCAACCGGGACUAAAGGGGGGGGCAUUGGUACCGGUUCGUGGCACCAACCGGUACCAAAGGCCGCCGCUUCCCGCCCUUUGGGCUGCCGAAAAGGAGGCCUUUGGUCCUAGUUGGUGGCACUAACCGGGACUAAAGGGUGCAUUAGUCCCGGUUGAUUUCACGAACCGGGACCAAUGCCUUUGCUAUAUAAGCAAACACUUUGCAAAAUUUCAGAAUCCCAUCGCCAGUUGCCCCCGACGACGCCGACCCUCCUCGACGCUGCCAGGCUGCUCCACCUCGCCGUCGUCGCCGCCACCGCCAAGCCGUCGCCUCCCCGAGCCCGCGCCAUCCUCGUCGCCGGCCUCCCUGAGCCCGCGCCGUCCUCGUCGCCGGUCUCCUCGAGCCCGCUCCCCGUCCCGCCCCCGCGCGCCGCCGCCCCGAGCCCCUGCCCCGUCCUGCCCCCAUGCGCNNNNNNNNNNNNNNNNNNNNNNNNNNNNNNNNNNNNNNNNNNNNNNNNNNNNNNNNNNNNNNNNNNNNNNNNNNNNNNNNNNNNNNNNNNNNNNNNNNNNNNNNNNNNNNNNNNNNNNNNNNNNNNNNNNNNNNNNNNNNNNNNNNNNNNNNNNNNNNNNNNNNNNNNNNNNNNNNNNNNNNNNNNNNNNNNNNNNNNNNNNNNNNNNNNNNNNNNNNNNNNNNNNNNNNNNNNNNNNNNNNNNNNNNNNNNNNNNNNNNNNNNNNNNNNNNNNNNNNNNNNNNNNNNNNNNNNNNNNNNNNNNNNNNNNNNNNNNNNNNNNNNNNNNNNNNNNNNNNNNNNNNNNNNNNNNNNNNNNNNNNNNNNNNNNNNNNNNNNNNNNNNNNNNNNNNNNNNNNNNNNNNNNNNNNNNNNNNNNNNNNNNNNNNNNNNNNNNNNNNNNNNNNNNNNNNNNNNNNNNNNNNNNNNNNNNNNNNNNNNNNNNNNNNNNNNNNNNNNNNNNNNNNNNNNNNNNNNNNNNNNNNNNNNNNNNNNNNNNNNNNNNNNNNNNNNNNNNNNNNNNNNNNNNNNNNNNNNNNNNNNNNNNNNNNNNNNNNNNNNNNNNNNNNNNNNNNNNNNNNNNNNNNNNNNNNNNNNNNNNNNNNNNNNNNNNNNNNNNNNNNNNNNNNNNNNNNNNNNNNNNNNNNNNNNNNNNNNNNNNNNNNNNNNNNCGCUGCAUUGGCUCUGUUUUUUUUUCAUUUUUAUUAGUUUAAUUAUUUUUUUGUUCAUAUAUAUAUAUAUAUAUAUAAUGUAUAUGUGUAUGUAUGUGGCUAUAUAUGUGUAUGUAGAUGUUCAAAAAUUAUUCAGAGCACGUUUUUAUUCAUAUAUGUAUUUUUUGUUCAUAUGUGUAUUAAUGUUUUCAUAUAUGCAAAAGAUAGAUUUUUAGAAAAGUUAGGGUUUUUUUUUCUAUUCAUAGAUUUUUUUGGUGAUAUUAAUUAUUGUAGAAUAUGCAAAUGUUUGUAUAUUCAUAUGAACAAUGCAUUAGGCAAAACCUUUGUUUUUUUUGAAAUUUUUUAUUUGAACAUUUUUUAAAAACAAGCAAUACUAAAAGAAUGAGAGGAAAAAGGAAAAUAAGAAGAGGAAGAAAGGAGAAGAAGAGGAGAGGAAGAAGAGGAGAAAUAAAUAAGAAGAGGAAAAAAGAAGAGGGGAAGAAGAAAGGAAUAGAGGAGAAGAAGAAAAAUAGAAAUUUUCUAUUUUUCUUCUUCUCCUCUAUUCCUUUCUUCUUCUCCUCUUUAUUUUCUUCUUUUUUUUCUUCUUCCUUCUUCCUCUUUUCUUCCUUUUCCUUAUUUUCCUUUCUCGAGGGAGAAGAAGAAAAAGAAGAGUAAAAGAAGAAGAAAGGAAUAGAGGAGAAAGAAGAAACUUCAACACAAGGGGGGGUUACCGAUACCCCCUCCCCGAUAACAUUAUUUUCCCAUGUAUAUGUAUGUCGCGUCAUUGUCGAUAUAACCCCCUCGAGAUAACUUCGACAUGAGGGGCGGUCGAUAUAUAUACCCCCUCUCGACCGUGAUAACUUAUACAACGGCAGCACCCCCCUCGGCCCUCUCGCUCGACCAAAACUCUUGAGGACACCCAAACCCUAGAGAGAAAACGAUGUUGGUCUCCUACCCCCUCCCGCCGCGCCCCUACCCGACAUAUUAACUCUCUCGAGGCCACCCAAAUUUACCAAGUUAAAAGAGCGUUGUCGUCGAGGCCACCCCAAACCCUUGAAGCGUUGUGUCGAGGAGACCCCAAACCCUAGAGAAGCAGCGUCGAGGCCACUAACAUGGAUCGAUCCAUCUGUAAUAAUAAUUGACAUGGUGUAAAUAUUUGCAGAAACUAUGGAGCACUCCCGAGACGAAGAAACAGAAGCGAUGUUGGGGGACAUUAUCGCACAAGGAAGUGAUGAAGUUGCGUCAUUUCUCAACGACACCGAUGGUCAGGAACGACUGGGUGAAGAAGAGGGCUAUGUUCAUGAUGGCUUCGACCCAUUAAUGCCGGUACAAGAAGAGGACUAUGUUCAUGAUGGCUCUGGUGACACAAUGGAGGUACAAGAAGGAGACCGUGCUGACUGCUCCGGUGACCGAACCGAGUCCGGCCAGGUAUAUAUAUAUAUAUUAGUUAAGCCCGUGCUGACUAGUUAAUUGAUGCAUCCAUUGUUUUGGUAUAUGUACACAUAUUAAUUACUCUCGUCUUUCUUCCUUAUAAUUUCUAGCCCUCCGGAUCGAGCACAACUUCGGUAAGAAGACGAAGCCCGAAGAAAAAGUUGAGCUCGGAUGAAAAGUUUGAGAUCAUAGAAAUCGCGCCCGACGGCGAACCGAUUGAACCCAUCCGGACAAGGAAGGCAUUUUCUGCUCAGUGCGGGGUUCUUGUUAGGGACAAGAUCCCGAUCAGCAUCCAUCAAUGGUAUAAGCCUAAGGAGGAAGACCCCGAGGUGUCUUAUGUCAAUGAUAUGCAGAAAGAAGAUCUUUGGACUGAGCUAAAGGCAAAUUUCACCCUACCGCUAGAGGAGGAUCCGGAGAAGCCAGUUAUAGAGCAAUUAAUCAAUUCUUGUGCUCUUAAGAAGAUGGCAACCCUAAUGAGGAGGUGGAGGAAAGAGGUGAACCAGUUUGUCGAGAAAGAUAAGACACCAGAAUUCAUCGGCAAAUAUGAGAAGAUCAAAGAUCACUGGCCCGCAUUUGUGGCCCACAAGACAUCGGAAAAGAGUAAGAAGAUGUCGGCAACAAACAAGAAAAAUUCUGCAAAGAAGAAGCUUCACCAUCGCACGGGGUCAGGUGGCUACCUCAAAGCCCGGCCUAAGUGGUCCAAGGCUGAGCAUGAUCUGCUUGAAAAAGGGAUCGAACCAGAGACAAUGUACUGGCCAGACCGUUGUCGGACUUGGUUCUUCGGGGCUGGCGGAACCUUGGACCCUGUAACAGGGAAGUGCCAGUGGACGGAUGAGCAACUACAAAUACCAGUCAAGAAACUUCGACACUAUAUCGAUGCAGCGUAGCGAGGGACGCUCCUUCCAAACAGGGAGAAGGACGAGCUCACAAUGGCCCUUGGGAAUCCUGAGCACCCUGGAUGGACACGAGGCACGCCAGGCUCCAUUCCAUGGAAGGUUGGUCUUCCGCACACAGGGGGUUACAAAACCCACGAGAGGAGGAAGAAACUGGAGCAGGACCAAAUGCAGGCGCUGCACGAAAGGGUAAUGGGGCUAGAGGAACGAGAAGCAGCAGAUCGCAGCAAACGACAUGCCGAAGCUUCCCCCGAAGCUACCUCGCCAUCUCAGCGGAGAAGCAGCGUGGCUUCCACCGAGCUGCUUCAGCCGGAGCAUGUCUUGACGUCUCCUGCCAGCUAUCCCGUGGAUGGUAUCACGGAGUCUCAAAGUUGCCACAUUAUGACGCAAUGUAUGAAUUUGAAGGUCAAGGCGGCUGUUGGCCAAGUUUAUCCUAGUGGACCCGGCACAACUUAUCACUGCCAGCCGAUUCCAGAAGGAUUUGCUAAGGUGAUGGUGGAUGAAAUAACGGAGGGAUUUGAGGACCUCCUGCUUGAGCACCCUACCGGUGAAGGGGAGACUAGGCUGGGUUCUGCUCUGAAGACUCCAUGCCUAUGGCGGAAGGAGCUCAUCAACCUUCCGAACUGGACGCCUCCGCCUCCUCCUCCUCCUCCGGCGAGUCAGGGCACUCCGCCUCCUCCACCGCCUCCUCCUCCGGCGAGUGAUGAUCAGGGCACACGUGGCAGCACUCCGCCUCCUUCUCCGCCUGCGCCGGCGCGCCCGAGCAGCCAGCCUCCUCCUUCUCCGCCUCGUCAGCAAGGGCGAAAGAGACCCGCCGCUGCUCCGGCUGCUCCGGCGCGUCGUAAUCCUUCUCCUCCGCCUCACAAAAAGCAAGCAAAGAAGACAUCCACUCCGUCUGCUCUGUCGGUGUCUAGCAGUACAGCCAAAGGCGGGAAGAAAUACAGAUUUGGUCCUUCUCCGAAGACUCCAGAGAAGUUACCGUACGAGAGGACCGAGGAGGAAAACGCGGAGAUCACGCAGAACGAACUGGAUGGCUGGUUUGCAGGGUUGAAAGCAAAGAGACAUCCACCUCCGGAGGAGAAGGUAGAUCCGGUGAAAGUGAAGCGCACUCUGGCUGCCCUGAGGAAACCGGCAAAGUCUCCGCCGAGAACCAACUAUGAGCGCAUUACUGAACAGACAUAUCUCCAAGCGGAGCAGUCGGGAAGUACUGUCAGACAUCAAAGAGCAAAAGAACGAGCAGCUGCGAAAAAAGUUGACCAGCUCGGCGAACAACCAAACCAAUCGUGCCCCCCGCUCAAUGUGUCUAGCGGCAACAUCGUCGCUAAUGUUCCGGGGAUCAUGGACGGUUAUGGCAAUCCACAAUAUUACCUGCCUGACGAUGCACUUCCUGAAUUCAUGAUGGUGGAAGAACGCAGAUACGAGUACGGGAAGCCUCUCAUCAAAGAUGUAAAAUCUCUAACAACGAUGAUGCGAAGAUUCCAUACUUGGUACAUGAAAACCUGCAGAGAGUCUGGGGGGACGAAUAGUUUGUAUCUACACAUUAAAGAGGAGCACGACCUCGUUGGAACUGAUCUGUUGUGUGUUCCAUUUGAGGAGUUCUUCGCGUUCUUCAAUCAAAUAGCCCUCGAUAAAUUAACGGUCUUUUGCUACUGCCUGUAAGUACUAUUUCUGUCAUUAAGUCUCUAUAUAUAGCUUGGCUUUCAUUACAUGUAUUUAUAAUUAAUUAUCCUCAAUAUAUUAUGCAGAUUGAAGAUCGUCGAGUGCAAAAAAAUGAAAUCUAUGAUAUUGGGUUCAUUAACACAAAUAUCAUAGAUGUAUUUCUGGUUGAAAAGCACAUCGAAGAGGCCGAGGACAACUUGCUACGAUCAUUGAUCAAAAAUCAAAACAAAGAUACCAUACUCUUUCCUUACAACACCAAGUGAGUGUUACUGAUCAUUUGCAUAUUCGGUUUCCCUUAUUACUCGAGCGAGGUUAUAGUAAUGUAAUUGAUGAGUUAUGCAUGUGUGCGCAGGUACCACUAUAUUCUUCUGGAGAUUAAGCUUGAGCGUGGACUAGUAACCGUCUUAGACUCGAGACGGAAAGAUCCCAGCACCUAUGCGGACAUGACUGAAAUGCUCAGCAAGUAAGUUCAAUCGAUCAUUAUCGCACCAUAGCGGCAACUUUUUGUUCAUUUCCUGAUAUCUCAAGUAAUAAUAAUUAUUUUCUUUGUCUUGCAGGGUUUGGAAACAGUUCACCACAGUAGCUCGGGGACUGCCGAAGGAGCUGCGAUAUAUAUACCCGAAAGUAAGUACUACUGGCUAGCUAGUUGUGUGCAUCUCCUGUUGAUUCUAUAGCUAUACUUUCAUCACAUUUAUAAUGCUUCAUUAUCAGUUUGAUAGACCUCUAUUUCUCGUAAAGUGCUUGUGGUAGGAACAAGGGAAUGAUUUCUAUAGAUACUACGUGUGCGAGUUCAUCUACAACGCGACUUUGAAAAAUAAGCGGGGCUACUCUCAAAGACAAUAUGAAGUGCGUAAGCAAUUAAUAAUAUUCACAAUUUCUGUUGAGUUUCAUUCAUAUAUAUAUAUAUAUAUAUAUAUAUAUAUAUAUAUGUAUUAAUUAACCCCCUUCUUCAAAUUAGACGUGGCAGAUGCGGAAUGAACUCCUAGAACCAGAUCGCAUGAAAGGAAUUCAAGAGGAAUUGGCGGGAUUCUUUCUUGACCACGUCAUCAAUAAAGCCGGAGAAUACCAUGUGGAACUUGAUUUCAAAUGCUAGGGGACUGUAAUUGAGAGAUCUUAUAUAUUGUACAUGUUGUAUGUAGCCAGUAGCGUCGGACAUACAUGAUACAAAAACUUGUUGUUUGACCAAUCUCUCGGAGAAGGAGACGUCGAUCGAUCACUUCUCUCGGUAUGCAUGACGAACUUCUGUACUUAAUGGUUUCCUUCAUUUUCUUACUAGCUAGCGUGUCGAGAGCCUCUCUAUGUAUAGUACGUAGCGUCGACCAAGCACGGACAUAAGAGAGGACACUUCUCUCUAUUAAUUAGCUAGCUAACACAAUAUAUGAAACACCUAAAUUAACCCCCAAAACCNNNNNNNNNNNNNNNNNNNNNNNNNNNNNNNNNNNNNNNNNNNNNNNNNNNNNNNNNNNNNNNNNNNNNNNNNNNNNNNNNNNNNNNNNNNNNNNNNNNNNNNNNNNNNNNNNNNNNNNNNNNNNNNNNNNNNNNNNNNNNNNNNNNNNNNNNNNNNNNNNNNNNNNNNNNNNNNNNNNNNNNNNNNNNNNNNNNNNNNNNNNNNNNNNNNNNNNNNNNNNNNNNNNNNNNNNNNNNNNNNNNNNNNNNNNNNNNNNNNNNNNNNNNNNNNNNNNNNNNNNNNNNNNNNNNNNNNNNNNNNNNNNNNNNNNNNNNNNNNNNNNNNNNNNNNNNNNNNNNNNNNNNNNNNNNNNNNNNNNNNNNNNNNNNNNNNNNNNNNNNNNNNNNNNNNNNNNNNNNNNNNNCCCCCUGCCUGGGCUCGGCGCGUGGAUGCCUUUUGGUCCCGGUUGGUGCCACCAACCGGGACCAAAGGCCCCCCUGCCUGGGCUCGGCGCACAGGCCACGUGGAGGACCAUCUAUCCCGGUUCGUGUUACAACCGGGACUAAAGGGGGGAGGUAUUAGUAACGACCCAUUAGUCCCGGUUCAUGAACCGGGAGUAAAGGCCCUCACGAACCGGGACUAAUAGGUGUUUGUCUACUAGUGAUAAGCCUAUGACUUAUGAAGUUGGUGAGAAGGCUUACCUUCGGGUUACACCUUUAAAGGGAACCCAUCGAUUCGGUAUCAAGGGCAAGUUGGCCCCUUGUUACAUUGGACCCUUUUGCAUUCUUGCCAAACGAGGGGAAGUUGCCUACCAGUUGGAACUACCUCCACAUCUUUCUAGAGUUCAUGAUGUCUUCCACGUCUCUCAACUCAGGCAUUGCUUCUCGAAUCAUAUCCGCGAAGUAGACCAUGAAACGCGUGAUCUCCAAGAAAAUCUCACUUAUCGAGAAUAUCCAAUUCGCAUCCUUGAUCAAGCCGAGCGUACCACUCGACGCCAGAAUAUCAAGUUUCUCAAGGUUCAAUGGUCACACCACUCCGAUCAAGAAGCAACUUGGGAAAGGGAGGAUCAUCUACGACUUGAGUAUCCCACCUUCUUCCCGAUAGACCCUAAAUCUCGGGAUGAGAUUCUUUUGAGUGGGGGUGAGUUGUCACAACCUAGCUAGUCCAUGCAUUAGAGUGUUGCAUCAUGUCUACCUUUUAUCAGAAACUUGAAUUGGGGAAGACAGAACCCCCCCAGAACCCCUCUAAAUUCAACUAGUGCUUACUAAAAAUAUUUUCAAUGAACCUGAAAUGCCCUUCUAAAAAGUUCACCCUCUUUGUCUUGGGUUAGAACCUCUGGCAAAAUUGGUGCACAAUUUUCUAGGUCAACAGAAGGCCAUUGAAUUAAAUCAUAUCUACUUUGAGUUUGGGCAUUUAAACUAUAUAAAAUAUUUCAAAUGCUCAAAUAACUCCAAACUAAAAUGUUCCAUACUGGAUAUAUUCCAACUAGCGACCAUGUGCAGUUUGGUGAUUUUUGGAGUUGCCUAAGUAUUUUUAGAAAUGCAACAAACUUACAGAAACAAUUAAAAACAGAAACAAAUGGGGAAAAAACCCUUACCUGGCCGAACCAAGCCCCAGCCCAGCUGGCCGGCCCAGCACUGUGCUGGCCCAUGCCAGCCAGCUGCUUUGCCAUCGCCACGCAGGCACAGAGCUGACGCCAGCGAGUGUGAGCUCGCCACGGCGCCAACUGCUUGCCGCCCGCGCCACCGAGCACCUGGGUGAGCUCCACGUCGCCACCCCGACCCCGUGGACACCUCAUUCGCCCCCCUGCCUCUUCCCUCGCUCUCCCGCACCAUGGCCGACGCACCCGUCGCCGCACCGCCGACGUAGUCGCGCCCUCCAUCGUCCCCGUGCUGCACCACCGUGUCCCUUCGCUCCGUCGUCAUCAACUACAUCGAGCAGGCCGAGCCCCGAGCGCUCGUGGGCCUUGCUUCGUCUUCUUUGACCUCAUCUUCACCGAGCACCACCGCAGAUCCCCUUCGCCGUCGCCGCUGCACCAGCUCGUCCCCGACCUCGCCGACCACUCCGUUGUGACCGCCGUGAGCUCAGCCACCUCCCCAUCCUCCCCGUUUGCCUUCUCGUGCACCGUAGCAGCCGCAUGGAGCUUCAUCGCACGCACCACCGCCGAGCUCGUCGCCGACGUGCCUCCGGCCAUCCACCGUCCACACCACGGUAUCUAACAUGCUCAUUGCAUCGCGUAGAGUCUAACGCCCCACUCCACGCGCCUCGCCGUGCCCCGUAGCCACGGGUCAAUUUUCACCCGACUCCGGCGACCGUCGCGGUCGUCGCUGCCGACGUUCCUGGCCACCUCGACCUCAACCACCACCACCAAACGCCGCGGCUUGUUCCUGGCUACACGUAGAUGGUCUUCGCCGUCCAUUUGGUCGCCGGAACGUGCUAACCCACUUCCUCUGCCGCAUCUGGCCUCGCCAGCGGCUAGACGCCGGCGUGUUUGACCCGUUGACGUUGACUGGGUGGGCCAGGUUGACUCCCCUGAGUCUAUGACAAGUGGGCCCCCCCCUCUGCUAAUUAACCUAGUUUAGUUCUUACUAAAAUCAGUUAGUUUAAAUAAGUGCUGACAUGCGGGACCCACUGGUCAGUUUGACCUGAACGACCCCUUUGACCAUUGACGUCACCCUGAUGCACUGCUGACGCAAUAACCAAUUUCUGGAUUUAUUGUUAUAUAGGAAAUUCCAGAAAUUGUUGCAAACUUCAAAAAUUCAUAGAAAUUAAUCUGUAACUCCAAAUGCAAAGAUUUAUAUAUGAAUUUCGAUCAAAAAAAUUCAAUAUAUCCAUUGGUAAUGGUUUCAUGCAUGUCAGAACAAGUUAACCUUGUUGUUUAAUCAAAACAAGUUAAUGCACUAAUAUGACUAUGUUAAAUGAACUACCAUUUGCAUCUUUGAUUCAAAUGAGUUCAUACCUUUCUGUUCUAGCUUGCAUUAGGCCAGGACACAUUCAUGUUGCCAUGUCAUAGCAUGCAUCAUAUUGUUGCAUAUCGUCAUGUGUGGUUCAUGUUCGGUGUGUUUUCGUGAUAGGUUCUGCCUCCGAGGAUAACCCCGAAUAUCCGUCUGAAGGGCAGUAUCCUACUACCACUACAUCAGGCAAGCAACCCAUUGAUCAUUCUGAUACAAACCCAUGUUCUCGCCUCUGCUCUUGUUUACUGCAUUAAGAUAACGCGAUUCAAACUGUUGUGUGUUGUGGUAGUUGAACCCACUUCCUUUGCAUGACCUGUCAUUGCCACGGUAACUAGAUGAAACCCACUAGCAUGUGUAGGAGUUGAUUGAGCCAUAUCUGUGUUACCUACCAUGCUAUGCUUGCUAUGCUUAGAGUUGUGUCAGGUCUGGCUCAUCAGGAUGAUGAACUAGAGUGAAAGGUUGUGUCGGUAACGAGAGUGAAGUGUUGAACACGAUUUGGUAAAGGUAUCGAUGAGAGGCCAUGUAGGAGUACAUGGUGGGUUGUUUCAUUGAGGCCGUCCUUAAGCACUGAGAUCUGUGUGUGUGAUUUAAGAUUCAGCUACUACCACGCAUUGGGCCCAAAACCAAUGGACCCUCUCGACUUAUUAACCACUCUUGUCCUCAGUCCGGGAGUUGCAAGUAGUUUCUGGUGUUUGUAGCAUGCUGGGGGCCGCACGCAGCGCUGACCUUAGGGGUGGGUUGUGUUGCGGUAGGCACGUGGCACGGUGUAUCGAUUCGCCCGUUUGGUGUCUCGGGAACCCUGUUCACAUCGUUCGGGGCCGUUAGUGGAAACCUCGGCCGGACUCCCUGCGGAUGGAACCCAAAUAGGCGAUAAACCUGGACUAGGGACUCGUGUGUUUAGUCAGGCCAUGGCCGACACCCUUGCUGGGCUUCCGCUUGAAGGUUGCCGAGUACACGUCAUGUAGUGGCGAUAAGUGGUGAGAGCGUGUGUGAAGAAGUACACCCCUGCAGGGUACAAAACUAUUCGAAUAGCCGCGUCCACGGUAAAGGACUACUUGGUCACCUAUACAGUUCAUAGACAAGUAAAUGGAUACUUCUAAAAGCCUCAAGAUAAGUGUGAGUGCCGCGGAUGGCCCUGUCGUAGGUUGACGAGAGAGGAUCCACGGUGGAGUAUUGUGUUGGUGAGUAGUGGACUCGUGUGCGACAAAUGUUUUGCAAGUUGUGUCUAUCGUUGGAUAGCUUAGCCAAGAGUCAAAGCUGGCUUGCUGCAAUAACUCCACUACCUUCUUGAGAAUGUGCAUGUAUGAUAGGAUUCUGUUGUAAGACUUGCUGAGUACCUCUGUACUCAUGUUUGCUUAAUUAAUGUUUUCAGACGACAACACCAACCCCUCCGAUGGGUUCUACGUAGACCUCGACGUUGACGAGUGACUAGCCACCCAAGUGGUGAUCCAAGACUUGUGAAGGGCCGAUGUAGAUAGAAAGGCUUCAUCAAGCCCUCUUUCUUUCUAGUGUCUGUACUCAGACUAGUUGCUUCCGCAUGUGCUUGUAUGCUUGUAUGACUUGAGUGUCAGGUCAUGUGACCCCUAUCUGUAUGAACAUGUUAUGUAUGGCUCCUCGGAGCCACUUAAAUAAAGUACUUUGAGUUGUAGAGUUUUGUUGUGAUGCCAUGUUGUAUGUACUCAUAUCGGGCAUAUUGUGUGUAUGUUUGAAAUGCUUGGUAUGAGUGGGAUCCGACAAUCUAGUUGUUUAUCCUUGGCAGCCUCUCAUAUGGGGAAAUGUAGUCUAGUGCUUCUUGAGCGAUAGUAGUCCGCUACAGCCCGGUUCACCGGAGUCCUGCUAGCCCAGUACUACUGCUCUGGACACUUGACUGGCCGGCAUGUGUUUCACUUUGUUCCUGUGUCUGUCCCUUCGGGGAAAUGUCAAGCGGUGGCAUCCGGAGUCCUGCCUAGCCUGCUACAGCCCGGGUUACCGGAGUCCUGUUAGCCCAGCGUUACAUCCCGGAUGUAUACGUUGAUGACCAACAUGCUCGAUGUGAUUCAUGUAUGCAUGUCCCCAUAGGUUAGCGCCGCUUGGGUUCACGACUAGCCAUGUCGGCCCGGGUUCUCAGUCAUGUGGAUGCUAGCGACACUAUCAUAUACGUGAGCCAAAAGGCGCAAACGGUCUCGGGCCAUGGUAAGGCGCCACCCGUGGGAUUACCGUGCGUGAGGCCGCAAAGUGAUAUGAGGUGUUACCGGCUGGAUCAAUGUGACUUGGAAUCGGGGUCCUGACAAUUACUUGCUCCUAUCAUAUGUUUGGUUGCAACAAUGUCACUUCUUCACAUAUGCCAUGUCCCAUUGCUUGUCUCAUGCUUGACUUCAUUGCCUCACACAUGAUGAACAAUUGCUCUUUAUAUUGUGUUGAGUGUUACACUAUAUUCACUACAUCCUAUGCACGUUAUGUUUGGAUUGUCUUGCACUUGACCCAUGUGUUUAGACACUUCAUUUUAUUUGGUGUUGUGAAUCCUUCCUAUGCCUACCAUAGACCUUUCAUUGAGCAAUUUGUGAAUGCUUGCUAUGACCUCGAGGUAGAUGCUUAUGCUCUUGUCACACAUAUUUGCAUCUCUACCUCACAUUUACAUGCUUGUUCCCAUGAUAUUUUUGCUUGUGCUCGAUUGAUAUGCUUACAUGCCAUGUCACAAUCCUUUGUCACACCCUAUGCUAUGCUUGAUGACAACACUUGUUUGGUGAAUCACCUCUUGAAUGCUUGGUUUUGCACGAACGCAAACCACAUUUGUUUUUCCACGGGUUUGUUCUAUUUGCUCCUUUUGAAGGAAUCACAAGAUGGUGCGACACUGGAGAGUGCCCACUUCGAGCUACUAGACGAUGAGUGCUUGGUGAUCGACCACUUCGAUAUGGCACCGCCAUCUCUUUCCUAUGGUGAUUUGGUUUUCGAUCCGAGGUCGAAUCCUUCUCAAGGGGGAGGGGAUGAUGCGGAGCAUCCUAUGGACAUCACCAUGUCAAGAGUCCAUUCGGCAAGUGACACGUGCGACAUCUACUUCUCAUACAUAAAGGUGAAUCUUCUCCUUUACACGUGUUCACUUGACCCCUUCGAGGAUGGUAUACUACUUGACACUUCUCCCGUGUGCAUGCAUAGGUAUUGUCAGAGCUUUACGGAUGUCGAGGAGUGCAAGCGCCAAGGAACGACUACACCGUCCGCGAGGGAAGCAUGGAAGAGAAGGAGGAAGAGAACCUGGUGUUGGGGAACGUAGUAAUUUCAAAAUUUUCCUACGCACAUGCAAGAUCAUGGUGAUGAUAUAGCAACGAGGGGAGAGUGUUGUCUACGUACCCUCGUAGACCGAAGCGGAAGCGUUGACGCAGCGUAGAGGAAGUAGUCCUACGUCCUCCCGGUCCGACCGAUCCAAGCACCGUUACUCCGGCACCUCUGAGUUCUUGACACACGUACAGCUCGAUGACGCACCCUCGAUCUCCAAUCCAGUAGAGGCUCCAAGGGGGAGUUCCGUCAGCACGACGGCGUGGUGACUAUCUUGAUGUUCUCCUGUCGCAGGGCUUCGCCUAAGCACCGCUACAAUAUGACCGAGGUGUAAUAUCGUGGAGGGGGGCACCGCACACGGCUAAGGAACGAUCAAUGAUCAACUUGUGUGUUCUAGGGUGCCCCCUACCCCCGUAUAUAAAGGAGGGAGGGAGGAGGUGGCCGACCCAAGGAGGGGGCGCGCCAUGGGAGGAGGAAACCUACUCCAAGUAGGUUUCCCCUCUUUUUCCUUAUCUUAUUUGGAGGGGGAAGGAAGGAGUACUAGUAGUAGGAAGGAGUACUAGUAGUAGGAAAGGAAGAGGGGGAAGGAGAAAGGAAAGGGGGGGCCGGCCCCCCUCCCCAAUUCGGAUUGGGCUUGGGGGGGCGCGCCCCCCUCCCUUGCUCCUUCUCCCUUCCUCCUACAUGGGCCCAAUAAGGCCCAUAUACCUCCCGGGGGGGUUUCGGUAACCUCCCGGAGCUCCAAACUCUUCCGGAACCUUUCCGGUGUCCAAAUAUAUCCGUCCAAUAUAUCGAUCUUUAUGUAUCGACCAUUUCGAGACUCCUCGUCAUGUCCGUGAUCAUAUCCGGGACUCCGAACAAACUUCGGUACAUCAAAAUACAUAAACUCAUAAUAUAACUGUCAUCGAAACCUUAAGCGUGCGGACCCUACGGUUCGAGAACGAUGUAGACAUGACCGAGACAUGUCUCUGGUCAAUAACCAAUAGCGGGACCUGGAUGCCCAUAUUGGUUCCUACAUAUUCUACGAAGAUCUUUAUCGGUCAAACCGCAUAACAGCAUACGUUGUUCCCUUUGUCAUUGGUAUGUUACUUGUCCGAGAUUUGAUCGUCGGUAUCCAAUACCUAGUUCAAUCUCGUUACCGACAAGUCUCUUUACUCGUUCUGUAAUACUUCAUCUCAUAACUAACUCAUUAGUUAUAUGCUUGCAAGGCUUAUGUGAUGAGCAUUACCGAGAGGGCCCAGAGAUACCUCUCCGACAAUCGGAGUGACAAAACCUAAUCUCGAAUUAUGCUAACUCAACAUGUACCUUCGGAGACACCUGUAGUACUCCUUUAUAAUCACCCAGUUACGUUGUGACGUUUGGUAGUACCCAAAGUGUUCCUCCGAUAAACGGGAGUUACACAAUUCUCAUAGUUACAGGAACAUGUAUAAGUCAUGAAGGAAGCAAUAGCAGAAUACUAAACGAUCAAGUGCUAAGCUAACGGGAUGGGUCAUGUCAAUCACAUCAUUCUCCUAAUGAUGUGAUCCCAUUAAUCAAAUGACAACACAUGUCUAUGGUUAGGAAACAUAACCAUCUUUGACUAAUGAGCUAGUCAAGUAGAGGCAUACUAGUGACUAUAUGUUUGUCUAUGUAUUCACACAUGUAUCAUGUUUCCGGUUAAUACAAUUCUAGCAUGAAUAAUAAACAUUUAUCAUGAUAUGAGGAAAUAAAUAAUAACUUUAUUAUUGCCUCUAGGGCAUAUUUCCUUCAGUCUCCCACUUGCACUAGAGUCAAUAAUCUAGUUCACAUCGCCAUGUGAUUUAACACCAAUAUUCAUAUCUGUAUAUGAUUAACACCCAUAGUUCACAUCAUCAUGUGACCAACAUCCAAAGUGUUUACUAGAGUCAAUAAUCUAGUUCACAUCGCUAUGUGAUUAACACCCAAAGAGUACUAAGGUGUGAUCAUGUUUUGCUCGUGAGAGAAGCUCAGUCAACGGGUCUGUCACAUUCAGAGCCAUAUGUAUUUUGCAAAUAUUCUAUGUCUACAAUGCUCUGCACGGAGCUACUCUAGCUAAUCGCUCCCACUUUCAAUAUGUAUCCAGAUUGAGACUUAGAGUCAUCUGGAUCGGUGUGAAAACUUGCACCGAGAUAACUUUUACGACGGGCUCUUUUAUCACCUCCAUAAUCGAGAAAUAUUUCCUUAGUCCUCACUAAGGAUAUUCUUGACCAAUGUCCAGUGAUCUACUCCUAGAUCACUAUUGUACUCCCUUGUCAAAUACAGAGCAAGGUAUACAAUAGGUCUGGUACAUAGCAUGGCAUACUUUAUAGAACCUAUGACUGAGGCAUAGGGAAUGACUUUUCAUUCUCUUUCUAUUUUCUGCUGUGGUCGGGAUUUGAGUCUUACUCAAUUUCAUACCUUUGCAACACAGGCAAGAACUCUUUCUUUGACUGUUCCAUUUUGAACUACUUCAAAAUCUUGUCAAGGUAUGUACUCAUUGAAAAUCUUAUCAAGCGUCUUGAUCUAUCUCAAUAGAUCUUGAUGCUCAAUAUGUAUGUAGUUUUACUGAGGUCUUUCUUUGAAAAAACUCUUAUUCAAGUAUCCUUUAAUGCUUUGCAGAAUAAUUCUACAUUAUUUCCGAUCAGCAAUAUGUCAUUCACAUAUACUUAUCAGAAAUGCUGUAGUGCUCCCACUCACUUUCUUGUAAAUACAGGCUUCACCGCAAGUCUGUAUAAUACUAUAUGCUUUGAUCAACUUAUCAAAGCGUAUAUUCCAACUCUGAGAUGCUUGCACCAGUCCAUAGAUGGAUUGCUGGAGCUUGCACAUUUUGUUAGCACCUUUAGGAUUGACAAAACCUUCUGGUUGUAUCAUAUACAACUCUUCUUUAAUAAAUUCAUUAAGGAAUGUAGUUUUGACAUCCAUUUGCCAAAUUUCAUAAAAUGUGGCAAUUGCUAACAUGAUUCGGACAAACUUUUAAGCAUCGAUACGAGUAAGAAAAUCUCAUCGUAUUCAACACCUUGAACUUUGUCAAAAACCUUUUUUCGACAAGUCUAGCUUUGUAGAUAGUAACACUACUAUCAACGUCCGUCUUCCUCUUGAAGAUCCAUUUAUUCUUAAUGACUCACUGAUCAUCGGGCAAGUCAAUCAAAGUCUACACUUUGUUCUCAUACAUGGAUCAUAUCUCAGAUUUCAUGGCCCCAAGCCAUUUCGUGGAAUCUGGGCUCAUCAUCGCUUCCUCAUAGUUCGUAGGUUCAUCAUGGUCUAGUAACAUGACUUCCAGAACAUGAUUACCGUACCACUCUGGUGCGGAUCUUACUCUGGAAGACCUACGAGGUUUGGUAGCAACUUGAUCUGAAGUUUGAUGAUCAUCAUCAUUAACUUCCUCACUAAUUGGUGUAGGAAUCACUGGAACUGAUUUCUGUGAUGAACUACUUUCCAAUAAGGGAGAAGGUACAAUUACCUCAUCAAGUUUUACUCUCCUCCCACUCACUUCUUUCGAGAGAAACUCCUUCUCUGGAAAGGAUCCAUUUUAGCAACGAAUGUCUUGCCUUCGGAUCUGUGAUAGAAGGUGUACCCAACAAUUUCCUUUGGGUAUUCUAUGAAGACGCACUUCUCCGAUUUGGGUUCGAGCUUAUCAGGAUGAAACUUUUUCACAUAAGCAUCGCAGCCCCAAACUUUAAGAAACAACAGCUUAGGUUUACUGCUAAACCAUAGUUCAUACGGUGUCGUCUCAACGGAUUUAAAUGGUGCCCUAUUUUAAAACGUGAAUGCAGCUGUCUCUAAUGCAUAACCCCAAAACGAUAGUGGUAAAGAGACAUCAUAGAUCGCACCAUAUCAAAUAAAGUGCGGUUACGACGUUCGGACACACCAUAACGAUGUGGUGUUCCAGGUGGUGUGAGCUGUGAAACUAUUCCACAUUGUUUUAAUUGAAGACCAAACUCGUAACUCAAAUAUUUGUCUCCGCUAUCAGAUCGCAGAAACUUUAUUUUCUUGUUACGAUGAUUUUUCCACUUCACUCUGAAAUUCUUUGAACCUUUCAACUAUUUCAGACUUAUGUUUCAUCAAGUAGAUAUACCCAUAUCUGCUCAAAUCAUCUUGUGAAGGUCAGAAAAUAACGAUACUUGCCACGAGCCUCAACACUCAUUGGAUCGCAUACAUCGGUAUGUAUUAUUUCCAAUAAGUCAGUAGCUUGUUCCAUUAUUCCGGAGAACGGAGUUUUAGUCAUCUUGCCCAAAAGGCACGGUCCGCAAGCAUCAAAUGAUUCAUAACCAAGUGAUUCCGAAAAUCCAUCUUUAUGGAGUUUCUUCAUGCGCUUUACACCGAUAUGACCCAAACGGCAGUGCCACAAAUAAGUUGCACUAUCAUUAUUAACUUUGCAUCUUUUGGCUUCAAUAUUAUGAAUGUGUGUAUCACACGAUCGAGAUCCAACAAACCAUUUUCAUUGGGUGUAUAACCAUAGAAAGUUUUAUUCAUGAAAACAGAACAACAAUUAUUCUCUAACUUACAUGAAUAACCGUAUUGCAAUAAACAUGAUCAAAUCAUAUUCAUUCUCAACGCAAACACCAAAUAACACUUAUUUAGGUUUAACACUAAUCCCGGAAGUAUAGGGAGUGUGCGAUGAUGAUCAUAUCAAUCUUGGAACUAUUUCCAACACACAUCGUCACUACACUCUUAACUAGUCUCUGUUUAUUCUGCAACUCCCGUUUCGAGUUACUAAUCUUAGCAACCGAACAAGUAUCAAAUACUUAGGGGCUACUAUAAACACUAGUAUGGAACACAUCAAUAAUCUGUAUAUCAAAUAUACCCUUGUUCACUUUGCCAUCCUUCUUAUCAACCAAAUAUUCAGGGCAUUUCCGCUUCCAGUGACCAUUUCCUUUGCAGUGUAAACACUCAGUUUCAGGCUAUGGUCCAGCUUUGGGCUUGUCUUUCCACUUGAAGUUCCCUUUCUUUCCCUUUGCCCUUCUCUUGAAACUAGUGGUCUUGUCAAUCAUCAACACUUGAUGCUCUUUCUUGAUUUCUACCUUCGUCGAUUUCAACAUCACGAAGAGCUCGGGAAUCAUUUUUUCGUCAUCCCUUGCAUACUAUAGUUCAUCACGAAGUUCUAGUAACUUAGUGAUGGUGACUAGAGAAUUCUGUCAAUCACUAUCUUAUCUGGAAGAUUAACUCCCACUUGAUUCAAGCGAUUGAAGUACCCAGACAAUCUGAGCACAUGCUCACUAGUUGAGCGAUUCUCCUCCAUCUUUUAGCUAUAGAACUUGUUGGAGACUUCAUAUCUCUCAACUCGGGUAUUUGCUUGAAAUAUUAACUUCAAUUCCUGGAACAUCUCAUAUGGUCCAUGAUGUUCAAAACAUCUUUGAAGUCCCGAUUCUAAGCCGUUAAGCAUGGUGCACAAAACUAUCAAGUAGUCAUCAUAUUGAGCUAGCCAAACGUUCAUAACGUCUACAUUUGCUCCUGCAUUAGGUCUUUCACCUAGCGGUGCAUUAAGGACAUAAUUCUUCUGUGCAGCAAUGAGGAUAAACCUCAGAUCACGGAUCCAAUCCGCAUCAUUGCUACUAACAUCUUUCAACACAGUUUUCUCUAGGAACAUAUCAAAAUAAACAUAUGAAAGCAACAACGCGAGCUAUUGAUCUAUAACACAAUUUGCAAAAUACUACCAGGACUAAGUUCAUGAUAAAUUAAAGUUCAAUUAAUCAUAUUACUAAAGAACUCCCACUUAGACAGACAUCUCUCUAGUCAUCUAAGUGAUCACGUGAUCCAAAUCAACUAAACCAUGUCCGAUCAUCACGUGAGAUGGAGUAGUUUCAAUGGUGAACAUCGCUAUGUUGAUCAUAUCUACUAUAUGAUUCACGCUCGACCUUUCGGUCUCCGUGUUCCGAGGCCAUAUCUGUAUAUGCUAGGCUCGUCAAGUAUAACCUGAGUAUUCCGCAUGUGCAACUGUUUUGCACCCGUUGUAUUUGAACGUAGAGCCUAUCACACCCGAUCAUCACGUGGUGUCUCAGCACGAAGAACUUUCGCAACGGUGCAUACUCAGGGAGAACACUUCUUGAUAAUUAGUGAUAGAUCAUCUUAAAAUGCUACCGUCAAUCAAAGCAAGAUAAGAUGCAUAAAGGAUAAACAUCACAUGCAAUCAAUAUAAGUGAUAUGAUAUGGCCAUCAUCAUCUUGUGCUUGUGAUCUCCAUCUCCGAAGCACCGUCGUGAUCACCAUCGUCACCGGCGCGACACCUUGAUCUCCAUCGUAGCAUCGUUGUCGAUUACGCCAUCUAUUGCUUCUACGACUAUCGCUACCGCUUAGUGAUAAAGUAAAGCAAUUACAGGGCGUUUCCAUUUCAUACAAUAAAGUGACAACCAUAUGGCUCCUGCCAGUUGCCGAUAACUUCGGUUACAAAACAUGAUCAUCUCAUACAAUAAAAUAUAGCAUCACGUCUUGGCCAUAUCACAUCACAACAUGCCCUGCAAAAACAAGUUAGACGUCCUCUACUUUGUUGUUGCAAAUUUUACGUGGCUGCUACGGGCUUAGCAAGAACCGUUCUUACCUACGCAUCAAAACCACAACGAUAGUUUGUCAAAUAGACUCCGUUUUAACCUUCACAAGGACCGGGCGUAGCCACACUCGGUUCAACUAAAGUUGGAGAAACAGACACCCGCCAGUCACCUGUGUGCAAAGCAUGGCGGUAAAACCAGUCUCGCGUAAGCGUACGCGUAAUGUCGGUCCGGGCCGCUUCAUCCAACAAUACCGCUGAACCAAAGUAUAACAUGCUGGUAGGCAGUAUGACUUAUAUCGUCCACAACUCACUUGUGGUCUACUCGUGCAUAUAACAUCAACGAAUAAAACCUAGGCUCUGAUGCCACUGUUGGGGAACGUAGUAAUUUCAAAAUUUUCCUACGCACAUGCAAGAUCAUGGUGAUGAUAUAGCAACGAGGGGAGAGUGUUGUCUACGUACCCUCGUAGACCGAAGCGGAAGCGUUGACGCAACGUAGAGGAAGUAGUCGUACGUCCUCCCGGUUCGACCGAUCCAAGCACCGUUACUCCGGCACCUCCGAGUUCUUGACACACGUACAGCUCGAUGACGCACCCUCGAUCUCCAAUCCAGUAGAGGCUCCGAGGGGGAGUUCCGUCAGCACAACAGCGUGGUGACUAUAUUGAUGUUCUCCUGUCGCAGGGCUUCGCCUAAGCACCGCUACAAUAUGACCGAGGUGUAAUAUCGUGGAGGGGGGCACCGCACACGGCUAAGGAACGAUCAAUGAUCAACUUGUGUGUUCUAGGGUGCCCCCCUACCCCCGUAUAUAAAGGAGGGAGGGAGGAGGUGGCCGGCCCAAGGAGGGGGCGCGCCAUGGGAGGAGGAAACCUACUCCAAGUAGGUUUCCCCUCUUUUUCCUUAUCUUAUUUGGAGGGGGAAGGAAGGAGUACUAGUAGUAGGAAGGAGUACUAGUAGUAGGAAAGGAAGAGGGGGAAGGAGAAAGGAAAGGGGGGGCCGGCCCCCUCCCCAAUUCGGAUUGGGCUUGGGGGGGCGCGCCCCCCUCCCUUGCUCCUUCUCCCUUCCUCCUACAUGGGCCCAAUAAGGCCCAUAUACCUCCCGGGGGGUUCCGGUAACCUCCCGAAGCUCCAAACUCUUCCGGAACCUUUCCGGUGUCCAAAUAUAUCCGUCCAAUAUAUCAAUCUUUAUGUCUCGACCAUUUCGAGACUCCUCGUCAUGUCCGUGAUCACAUCCGGGACUCCGAACAAACUUUGGUACAUCAAAAUACAUAAACUCAUAAUAUAACUAUCAUCGAAAACUUAAGCGUGCGGACCCUACGGUUCGAGAACGAUGUAGACAUGACCGAGACAUGUCUCUGGUCAAUAACCAAUAGUGGGACCUGGAUGCCCAUAUUGGUUCCUACAUAUUCUACGAAGAUCUUUAUCGGUCAAACCGCAUAACAGCAUACGUUGUUCCCUUUGUCAUCGGUAUGUUACUUGUCCGAGAUUUGAUCGUCGGUAUCCAAUACCUAGUUCAAUCUCGUUACCGACAAGUCUCUUUACUCAUUCUGUAAUACUUCAUCUCAUAACUAACUCAUUAGUUAUAUGCUUGCAAGGCUUAUGUGAUGAGCAUUACCGAGAGGGCCCAGAGAUACCCCUCCGACAAUCGGAGUGACAAAACCUAAUCUCGAAUUAUGCUAACUCAACAUGUACCUUCGGAGACACCUGUAGUACUCCUUGAUAAUCACCCAGUUACGUUGUGACGUUUGGUAGUACCCAAAGUGUUCCUCCGGUAAACGGGAGUUACACAAUUCUCAUAGUUACAGGAACAUGUAUAAGUCAUGAAGGAAGCAAUAGCAGAAUACUAAACGAUCAAGUGCUAAGCUAACGGGAUGGGUCAUGUCAAUCACAUCAUUCUCCUAAUGAUGUGAUCCCAUUAAUCAAAUGACAACACAUGUCUAUGGUUAGGAAACAUAAUCAUCUUUGACUAAUGAGCUAGUCAAGUAGAGGCAUACUAGUGACUAUAUGUUUGUCUAUGUAUUCACACAUGUAUCAUGUUUCCGGUUAAUACAAUUCUAGCAUGAAUAAUAAACAUUUAUCAUGAUAUGAGGAAAUAAAUAAUAACUUUAUUAUUGCCUCUAGGGCAUAUUUCCUUCACCUGGCCGCUCCAGAACGAGCGGUACUACCGCCCACUCCAAGCGGUACUACCGCUGAGGCCACCCAAGAGGCACUACCGCCCAGCAUCCGCCCUACUACCGCUCAACCCGACAAACUCCAGUGAUCGAGCGGUAUAAGCCCGGUACUACCGCCCCUCCAAGCGGUACUACCGCUCAAGCGGUACUACCACCCAUGAGUCCGGUACUACCGCCCUGCUUGUGAGCAGCCGCGGGCCUUUGGCCUUGUAUCCCUCUCCCACUUACCCCUUCGUGGCUUAGACUAUAAAUAGACCACCUCCACCUCCUUUCUAGGGUUAGAACAGAUUGAGCUUAUUUUGAGAUAGAGCUUUACUCAUCCAUACGGAUCUACUCCUCGUGAGAGACUGCGGCCUCUUCGGAGAAGAUCGAUCUUGGAUUCAAGACCCCUCGUGGGAAGAUCCGUCUAGGAUCAUCAAGACCUCCUCUUGGAGAUGAACCUUACCUUGUAUCUUUCCCUUUGUUGUUCAUGUACCCUUGUGGAUCUUGUGUGUUUGAUUGUCUAGUGGAUGUGUGAUUGGACUUGUUCUUGAGUGUUUCCCCUUGUGAUUUCUCUCCGUUCUUCCCUGUGUUCUUCGUGUUCUUCGUGGGGAUCCACUCCAAACGUGAAAAAUCGGCCUCUAGGGUUCUACCCUACAUCAUCAUCCUUCAAAAAUAUGGAGGGCCAUUAUUGACGGAAGGGAUAUUAUAUGGCGCAAGGUAUAAUCAGACGCAUCGGGGAUGGAGCGACUACACACAUAUGGGAUCACAACUGGAUUAUGAUGGAAAGCUAUAAGAGGCCAAUAACUAAGUUAGUGCAGAACCCCCCUCAGAAACAUUUUAUGUAUACACGUUAACAUUUCCCAGAUAUAUGAUUAAUAUUUUUGGAAAACUUCUAUUUUUUAUGUGUACUUUUUUAUACAUUUUGUAAUAUCAGAAAUAGUUUUUAUAGAAGGUUUAACAUUUUUCAAAUACAUGAUUACCUUUUUGUAAACUUAUAUUGUUUGACGUUUACUUUUUUUCAUAGACAUAGUGAGGGGUUAUAUCUAAGGAAUAGGCCCAAGUACAUGUAUGGCACAACCAAAUGCCCAUGUUAAUCAAGGAUGUUCCACAAGACAAAUGGGGAAACACACCAAGGCCAAUGGAGCUACAAGGCCAAGGCAUCGGAUACAAGGGGAGAGUCAACUAUGUACAGUCGGAUUACACAGCCCUUAACAGACAAGACUCAUCAGUUGGUCCACUAUUGGAAUCAGGUCAUUUGCCGUCAGCCCAGAAUAGACGCGAAGACUUUGCCGUGAGCAAGUUGACGACAAACACAAUCAGCAAAGACUAUAUCGGCAGAGAGCUAAUUUGACGUCAACUUUUCAUCGCGCUGAUGACAAAGACUUUGCCGUCAAUUAAACUAUGUGUUUGUAGUCUGUAGAGAAAACACAAACGGCAAAGAAAUUAAAAAAAUGGUCAUUUUAAAAUAAUUUUUAGAAAUCUAUAUACUGUUUUUUAAAAUGUUUAAUAUGUACCAAGAAUUAUUUCGUAAGUAUACAAAAGAUGUAUAACGUGUAUGAAAAUUACGUAGACAUCAGAACAUAUUAUAGAAAUGUUAAUCUUGUAUUUAAAAAUUUUAAAUACACAUGCAUAAAAAUGUUUUUGAUGUACAUAAAAAAAUUGUACAUAGUGUGUGAACAAAGUAUGCAUUGAAAAAACAAAAAUCUUGUUGGAAAAAAAUCUCGUGUUGUAUACGAAAAUGUAAAAGGUGUAUGAAAAUAAUUAGAUAUAUGUUUAAUGAAAAAAGGAAAGAAGGCGCAAAAAAUCCGAUUAACACCAAGAUAGGAACAAGAAAACCUGAAGAAGACCAUUGAAAAAAAGAAAUGAAUACAAGAAAGAGGAAGAAAAACAAAAAAAAUGAAGAAGCUGAUGCAGAACAGGGAACUUAGUGAAAACGAAUAAAAAUUGAUGAAAACCGAGAAGAAAAACAAGAAAACUGAAGCAAAAAUUAAGAAAAAUAUGUAAAAAAAAUGAUGAAACAUUGCGAAACAGUGAAAUACUAUGAAAACCAAAGGAAAAAAAGACUCAAAAAUAAGAACGUACAGCAAGCGAAUGAACAACAACUGAGUGAACGAGCGAACAUGCGAGAAUACGUUAAUUGUCUGGCCCAUACUUGUGGAUUCCAGAGGCGAGCCAGAAUAGGCGAGAUAUAGCUAUGACGAUUUGAUACCCUUCAUAGCUUCACGAAUGCUAUAUCUCGCUCACAGCGAAAGUAUUUUUUGUCUGGCCUGAAGGUGAAAGAAUAGCAUCAGGUCGCUGUAAGUUUUGUGAUCCUACAAUCAGAGCUCGAUAAGAUUAAAAUUCAUGUUUCUGACAACCAGUCAUUCGCUCACUCAAUUCCACGUACUAGUUUGGUUAGGUUUUUUUUUCAUUUUUUUCUGUUUUUUAUUUCUUCACUGGCUUUCUUUGGUUUUUUUAUCGGUUUUCUUUGUUUCCUUCACGUUUUACUCUUUCUUUUCCUUUUUACUGGUUUAUCUAUUCCUUUUUUCUUUGUUUCUUUCUUGGUUUUCUUUGUUUUUUCUUUCUUUUGAUGUCAACCUUUUUACAUACACAUUCAACAAUUUUCGUAUACAUCAGAAACAUUUUAUGUAUACACGUUAACAAUUCCCAGGUACAUGAUUAAUAUUUUUGGAAAACUUCUAUUUUUUAUGUGUACUUUUUGAUACAUUUUGUAUAUAUCAGAAAUAUUUUUUAUAGAAGGUUUAACAUUUUUUAAAUACAUGAUUACCUUUUUGUAAACUUAUAUUGUUUGACGUUUACUUUUUUUCAUAGACAUAGUGAGGGGUUAUAUCUAAGGAAUAGGCCCAAGUACAUAUAUGGCCCAAGUACAUUUAAUCAAGGAUGUAGUCCACAAGACAAAUGGGGAAACAGACGGGGGCCAAUGGAGCUACAAGGCCAAAGCAUCGGAUACAAGGGGAGAAUCUACAGUCGGAUUACACAACCCUUGACAGACAAGACUCAUUAGUUGGUCCGCUAUAGGAAUCGGGUAAUUUGCCGUCAGCCGAGAACAUACUCAAAGACUUUGCCGUCAGCAAGUUGAUGACAACUUUUCAUCACGUUGAUGACAAAGACUUUGCCGUCAAUUAAACUAUGUGUUUAUCGUCUAUAGAAAAAACACAAACGGCAAAGGAAAGCACCUUUGCCAUCAGCGGCUAAUCUGCAUGUGUCUUCAACAAGACUCGUCUUGUCACUAGCCUCAAACAUCACAGAUGGAAAAGAAAUUUUUUAUUUUAAAAAAUCUGCGUCGACCACCCUACUUCGCACAUGUAGCCACCGCCUGGCCGCGCUCGCUGAUCACCCACAAGUGUAGGGGAUCUAUCGUAGUCCUUUCGAUAAGUAAGAGUGUCGAACCGAACGAGGAGUAGAAGGAAAUGACAAGCGGUUUUUAGUAAGGUAUUCUCUGCAAGCACUGAAAUUAUCGGUAACAGAUAGUUUUGUGAUAAGGUAAUUCGUAACGGGUAACAAGUAACAACAGUAAAUAAAGUGCAGCAAGGUGGCACAAUCCUUUUUGUAGCAAACGACAAGCCUGGACAAAUUCUUAUAUGAAGGAAAACGCUCCCGAGGACACAUGGGAAUUAUCGUCAAGCUAGUUUUCAUCACGCUCAUAUGAUUCACGUUCAUUACUUUGAUAAUUUAAUAUGUGGAUGGACCGGUGCUUGGAUACUGCUCUUUCUUGGAUAAGCAUCCCACUUAUGAUUAACCCCUAUUGCAAGCAUCCGCAACUCAAAAGAAAUAUUAAGGUAAACCUAAUCAUAGCAUGAAACAUUGACACGGCACAUUAUAAAGAGUUCAACCCAAAUUUUGUAGUAACACUAUUAUAUUUAAAUAGUGAUUAUUCCAACACAUGGAUAAUUAAUUAAGGCACCAGGUUGCGCUUGUGACCAGGAAAGACAAACUUAUGAACUUGCAAGCAUGACAAUCAGAUCGACAUCCACACAAUGUCAAUAUGAACAUUGUCUUGAUACAACUUUAUUUGUAUUUUAUUUCAGAAUUUAAACAACUAGUUUGGGCGGGUCACACACGACGUUGUGUGACACUUUAUUUGUCACCGCUGCAUCGACAUAUCCAUCGACUAAACAACGGUGAUCCAACUAUAUAUUACUAGAGACCUUUCCUUAUCAGUAGGCACCAACUCCAGUGCCAACGCCAAAUGGCACACUAGUGGUGGUCCUAUACAACGGCACAUUGACACGGCACAUCAUUGGCAGGGUACGGAGCGCAAUGGAAGUCAUCACCUCAAGCUGAGCUAUCUGGUGUGGCUGCAAAAAGGUACCCUGUGCCAAUUGUUGUUGUUGAGGUUGUUGCCCGAGUUGCUGCUGUGACUGCUGUUGGGGUUGGGAAACGCAUUGGCCCAACUGUUGCGGUUGCUGCUGCUGAGUUUGGAUGGAACCCCGAACCUGUUGUUGUUCUUGCAGGACGAUGGAGUAGAUGAUAGCACGGAUUGCCUCAUAGCGGGAUUGCUGGGGGAUUUGCGGCAACUGCUGGCAACAUUGUUGUUGCAUCACAUGGCAACUACUCUGCUGCAACAUUUGCGACCUAGCAAGACUUUGUGGCAUUGCCACAGGGCUGCAUUGCUGCUGGAGGAAUACCUUGCAUGGGUUCAGCUGCUGCAAGAUAGAUGGAUGAACAAAUGGUAUUUGUUGUUGCGGUAGAACUAGUUGUUGUUGUUGUUGCGAAAAUGAUGGUUGUUGUGGUAGAAUUGGUUGUUGUUGUUGUUGUUGCGAAAAUGGUGGUUGUUGCGGUAGUACUGGUUGUUGUUGUUGUGAAAACGGUGGUUGUUGUUGUGAAAAUGGUGGUAGUUGUUGCUGCGAAAAUGAUGGCUGUUGCGGUAGAACUGGUUGUUGUUGCUGCGAAAAUGGUGGUUGUUGCUGUGAAAAUGGUGGUUGUUGUUGCUGUGAAAAUGGUGGUUGUUGUUGCUGCGAUAAUGGUUGUUGUUGUUGUUGUUGUUGUUGUUGUUGUUGUUGUUGUUGUUGUUGUUGUUGUUGUUGUUGUUGUUGUUGUGAACAUGGUUGCUGUUGUGGAAAUUGUUGUGGUUGUUGUUGGAUGGGUUGUUGUGGUUGUUGGUGCGAUAAUGUUUGUUGUGGUGGUAAUGGUUGUUGCUGCGAUGGUCUCUCCAAACCAGGGAUGUGGCUAUUCUCCAUUUGUGCAAUGGCACUUGUCGCCGCAACGGCGAGGAGGGCAAAGAUGAGGAAGGUCUUCAUGGUGGACUAGUGUUAACUAGUAUUUCCUGGUUUUGAUGCUUGUGUUUGUGAUGAUCUUUAUACUUCAUGCCUAUUUAUAGUAGCCAGGGCACCACCUCUUUUCUUCUUUGCAUUAGCUUUAAUAAUUCUGUUUGGAUGCAUCUAAAAUGAUUUUUGAUACAGUGUGUUAGGUUGCACUAGCUACACGCAUACUUUUGGAUUGAUCAUCAAAGUUUCUUUUUAGUUGUGCAUAUGAUCAUACACAAAGUAUAGAAAUCCUGAUGCUUGCUAAAGAUGACUUGCCUUAUUCACUUUACAUGUCACACACUUAUCUGUAUAGUAUCACUUUUGCAACCGAGUUUGGAACCUUGUAUAGGUUGUCAGCCAUAAACAAGAAAGGCAAAACUUGUGUAGGACUAAGUUGCAAUCGUGUGUGGGCUGUUAAGAUAUGCUCGAUUGUUAAAGCCUUGCGUCUGGAGGGUUCUUCUAGACUCGGUUGCUUUUCAUAAAACUAACUUUGUAUUUUCCUCUAAGAUGAUAAGAUGAAAUGACGCCUGUAGAGCAUGACAUGACUCAUUGAAUUCCCUUUACACGUAAAGGAUGGUAAUUGCUUACAAGCUACUCCUACUAGCAUAUAUCCGGUCCUAACUCUAGACACGUCAUCACCAGUUCCAUCUUUUUUUUUUAGAUAAAUCAUCAGUUCCGUGUUUUUUUUUUUUGAGACAAUCAGUUCCAUCUAUGUUUUUUUUUGAGAGAAAUAGUUCCAUCUAUGGGUGAAGGAUUUUUUUGGGGGCAAAUGAUAGAUGGGGCUGGAACAGAGGCCCCAGCCUGGAACGAGAGAUUAGGCCCAACGUAAGCGAUGUGUGUGUUAGGGCACCAAAUUCGAACUGGGCUAUAGUUUUCGGAGGCCCCAACGUCAGAAGCCCAGCCCACACUCCGCCGAUCUGCGUCGUCUUCGUCUCCCCUUCCCCGUCCUCCUCGCCGGCCGGAUCGCUCGCCGGCGCACGACGUCUCCCGGACCCCACCGCCCGCGGCCGCUCCACGUACGCGCGCGGCGGCGGAGGCGUCGGCCUCCCUCCCACCCUCCGCAUCCGGCCCCCCACCACCACCGCCACCGCCACCGCUCGAGGUACCCACUCGUUCCCCUUCCCAUUCCUCCCUACCCUCAACCUCUCUCGUAUCCUCUUCUAACAGCUCUUUUUACUUCCGUUGCAGAUGGUCUCUGAGCUCCCCCGUCGGCUGCGCGCCGUAGGCCUCCCCUCCCGGUCGACACAAGGUAUCGAUCCUGUCCGUCCGUCUCUUCCAGCGAUUCGAUUCACAUGAAUUCGAGAGGCGUGCCCAUCUCCAUGCUAGCUGCGUGGAUCAGGAGGGUCAGGAAGCAGAAUUCAGAUGCCUGACAGUGACAUACUACUACAUUUGUGGCUUUGGAAGCUGAGCAACUCCGUGCUUUAUGUGGAUGUCACUUCAAGUAAUCAUCAAAUUUCCGCCUACGCGCGCUACCCAGGUGGAGUGGAGGAGAAGCAGUUGGCAUGGGCAUUCCGUUUCUCUCCCAUGUCUGAGAAGAAAGUUCGUCUCCGGUGCAGCGAUAUCCAAGUUAGUUACAGCAUCCAGUCAUCUAUAUAAUCUCAGUGUUUAUUCUGUUUUGUACUGUCGUAUUUCAUAUGUGCAUCAGAGCAAAUGUGCUUUCUAGAGGCAUGUUGCAGCUGGCCGAGUCCCAGAUCUCGUUUCAUGUAUAUGGCCAUAGGCAGCGAUCAAUAAAAGGGUACUGGAAUUGAUCUUCUAACGUCACUGUUGUUUCUAGCUCCCUGUCUUUGUUUUUGUUGCUUCCGUCGUAUGGUUGCAAAGUUAGGCUUCAUCUGAUUUUAGUUAGUUAAUCUGAUCUCGUUAACCUGAUAAAGAGAAUUCCACCCUGCCCUUUAUUCCGCUCUUCACUGUCUCACAAUAAGGGAACAUAUUAAGCUCACCAAAUUGUGUCCCUCAAAAAUAAAAAAUAAACUCACCAAAUUGUAUCACAGGAGAUUGUCAAGUUGUGUUUUAUCAUAUCAGUAUAGUAAGUGUAUCAUUUGUCCAUAUCAACAAGGGAUAGUCAUCUGCCAGCUUAUUAUGCUCAUCUCUGAGCUCGAUCAUGCCCUUCAAUGUUAGUUAGAGGUGUCAUUAAAACAGGACAAGAAAUUAACCACUUUCCACCGGGUCUUCUCUCUUGAGCAGGAAGCAUGUGAUGCAUUCAAGAUUCGAUGAAUUCACGAAAACCAAUAUCGUGGUCCUCCCUGUGCAGCAGGUACCUGAGAUGAAUUGUAUUUUGUAAGUGCUCUGUAUGCGUGCUGUCAGCCGGCAGUGGAGGUAAUUGUUUAAUUUGCAUUCCUGCAACUUCUUGUAUUUGUAAAGAAAAUUCUUACUAUUUGCUGAGUGCACAGCCAUUGCAUUGUCACUUUUGAAAAACCGCAUUGGAUGUACUGAGAUAAAUAAUAGUAUAAUCUCUACUUGCAUACUACGAACGAGAAAUCUUCAUUCUGACUUGCAAUAAGGGAGUUUGUUUAGCUGUGCCUUAUUAGGAAAUGAAGAUACCCCCAGCUGUUAACGUGGUAUCCAAGCUAUCCUUAUUAUAUGUCAGCUCAAAAGGAAUGCCAAGUGCCGAGCUGUUGUGAGAGUUGAUGGUUGUGAUUGGUUACCAAAAAUCAAAGUCACCCACUCAAGAGAGAAAGUCAAUGCUCACGUUGGCUUCCAUUUUUCUCACACGCAAACCAAACACAUCUUGCUCACACCAUUAUCUUCUCCAUUUUGCACUGUGCUUGUGCUAAUCUGUGUAGUAUUGUUGGCAAUUUGGGAUAUGUUGGUCUCGCCAGGAGGCCUGUGCUAAUCUGUGCUAUUUCUGAAAAUAUGCUCCCCUAAUCUCCAAUUAUAUUAUGCGUAAAACCAAAAAGGUCAGACUUCUUGAGAACAUGCCAGUGCUGAUUUGUGUUUUUCCUGCUGAUAUGCACUUUAGUAUAUCAAAAUGUACACUUAAUUAGAUGUUUUAAUUUUAAAGUCACAGUUAGAGAGAGGGACAGUGCACCAACCAGCUGGUGCAAACGAAUGACCUGUGUGACGACCUGAGCGUAUUCUUGAAAAAGAAACCCGAAAUACCACCUAGAUCCAUCCACCAUUAUUGCCAGUGUUAAAAAAAAAUACAGGCGUCUUCUGGGCUCUAAAAGCCAUUUCUGGGUCUUAUCUCUUGAAGAAGCAUUUGAUGCAUUUAAGAUUCAACCAAUUAAGAAAACCAAUGUUCUGGCCUUCCAUCCGUGGCAGGAACUCAGAGAUGAAUUGUCUUUUGCACAAGUAUGCUGACACACGUCUAGUCAGUCGAGGUAAUUUUUGGAUUUGCAUUCCUGUGACCUCUGGUAUUUGGAAAAAGUAAAUCAUAUUUGCUAAGUUCACAGCCAAUGGAGCGAAAAUUUUGAAAAACUGCUUUGGAUUUACUGGCAUAAAUAUCUAGAGAGAAUUCCUUAUUAGACACUCCCUUAAAAUCAUGUUCCUUAUUUGACACUAGAAAAAAUUUCUUCCCUAUAUGACCUAUAGUCUUAAUUUCUUUCCCUAUAUGACACUCUAGUGCAUUUUGUUCACGUGAAAAGACCAUUUUACCCAUAUGUAUAAUGUGACCGCAAAUAUGUACAAGAUAAUAGUUGUUCCAAAAAAAUCAGUCGAGUUAUCCAUAUGUGACAUCAUAUAUGCUGGUAUUGUCAUGUCAGUCGAUUUACUAUUGUGCUAAGAAAUCAUGACCGAGGCCUUCGAUGGUUCAUGUGCUAAUUGACCUCAGCUAGUUGUCUAUACGUAUUUGUGUACAUAUACGUGGCCAGCUUGCCGGCCGGAGCGUAGAUAUUUAAAUACGUACGCGCACCCUGACGAUCAAGCGAAUACAUGUAUUCUAGCUUCGUAUGACCCGGUUCAUAUACAUACGUAUGUUGGCUGCACCGAACCGGGCCUACAUUCGUGCUAGCACGCAACUUCCUUCCAUACUUGCAAAUACGUGCACAUGCACUAAUGGCAUGCACGUAGGCGAUCACGGAAGCACACACAAAAAUGCUUAAAAAAUUCAUUCAUUUUUAAGAAUGCAUUUUAGUGUUAAAGCACACGUACAAAAGUACGUCAAACAAUCACACUCACAAACCAUACCGCAUGAACUAGACCCACAGCUGAAUACGUUCUAAAUACAUUGGAUGCAUGCGCUCAGGUAUACAGAAUACACAUGCAUCCCAAAAAAGACCAACGGAGGAGAUAACAUGUUCAGCUGUGCUCACUCUUAGAAACGAUUUUUUCCUAAUUAGGCUCAAUGCUACAUAUUUCUGGUCACAUUAUGUACAGGGGCAAAAAGGUCUUUUCACGUGUACAAAAUGAACUAGAGUGUCAUAUAGGGAAAGAAAUUAAGACUAUAAGUCAUAUAGGGAAGAAAUUUUUUCCCGUGUCAAAUAAGGAACACAAUUUUAAGAGAAUGUCAAAUAAGGAAUUCUCUCAAAUAUCUAAUACAAUGACCCACUUGCAGAAUUCAGCUGCGUAGCCUGACAGUGAUGUACGUACAUUUGUGGCUUUGCUAGCUGAGUAACUCUGUGCUUUAUGUGGAUGCCACUUCAAAUAAGCAUCAAAUUUGUGCCUAUGCGUGCUAUGCAGGUGGACGAGAAGCAGUUGGCAUGGACAUUCCUUUUCUCUCUGAUGUCUGGCAAGAAAGUCCGUCUUCUGUGCAGCGAUAUCCAUGUUAGUUACAAUAUCCAAUCAUCUCUAUAAUUAUAAUCUCAGUGUUUAUUCUGUUUUGUAUUGUCGUAUUUCAUAUGUGCAUCAGAGGAAAUGUGCUUUCUAGCUAGAGGCAUGUUGCAGCUGGCCGAGUCGCAGAUCUCAUUUAUAUGGCCAUAGGCGGUGACCAAUACAAGGGCACUGGAAUUUAUCUUCGAAUGCCACUGUUGUUCUAGCUCUUUGUCUUUACUUUUGUUGCUUCUGUUGUAUGGCUGCAAAGUUAGGCUUCAUCUGAUUUUAGUUAGUCAAGCGAUCUCGUUAAGAUGAUAAAAAGAAUUCCACACGAUGACACGACCCUUUAUUCCGCUCUUCACCGUCUCACAAUAACGGAACAUAUUAAGCUCAACAAAUCGUAUCCCUCAAAAAUAAAAAAGCUCACCAAAUUGUAUCGCAUACUCAUACAUAUCUUUCAUCGUCAAAUAACAGGAGAUUGUCAAGUUGUGUUUUAUCAUAUCAGUAUAUUAAGUGUAUCUUUUGUCCAUAUGAGCAAGGGAUAAUCAUCUGCCAGCUUAUUAUAUGCUCAUCUCUGAGAUCGAUCAUACCUCUUCAAUCUUAUUAGAGGUGUCAUUAAGAAAUGACAAGAAAUUAACUACUUGCCACCGGGUCUUCUCUCUUCAGCAGGAAGCAUGUGAUGCAUUCAAGAUUCACGAAAACCAAUAUUGUGGUCCUCCCUAUGCAGCAGGUACUUGUGAUGAAUUGUAUUUUGUAAGUGCACUGUAUGUGUGCUGUCAGCCAGCAGUGGAGGUAAUUGUUUAGCUUGCAUUCCUGCAACUUCUUGUAUCUGGAAAGGACACUCUUACUAUUUGCUGAGUUCACCGCCAAUGUAUCUUCACUUUGGAAAAACUGCAUUCGAUGUACCCACAUAAAUAUAUAAUAUAAUGAUGAUCUAAUAGCAAAUUAUAUGGCCAUAGGCAGUGAUGAUCAAUAAAAGGGCACUGGAAUUUAUCUUCUAAUGUAUACGUCACUAUUUUUUUAGCUCUCUGUCUUCAUUUUUGCUUCCUCUGUUGUAUGGUUAAAAAGUUAGGUUUCAGCUGAUUUUAGUUAGUUAUAAGCGGAUCUCGUUAAGCUCUUUAUCUUUAUUUUUGCUGCCUCCGUUGUAUGGUUAAAAAUUUAGGUUACAUCUGAUUUUAGUUUGUUAGGCGGAUCGCGUUAAACUGAUAAGAACUCCGUAUAGUCCUUUAUUCUGGUCUUCACUGCCUCAAAAUAACAGAACCUAUUAAGUGUCGAAAUUGUAUCUCACAAUCAUACAUAUCUUUCAUCGUUGAAUAACACAAAUUAUCAUAUCAGUACAAAAGUAUAUAUCGUUUGUCCAUAUGCACAAGAGAUAAUCAUCUGCCAGCUGAUUAUUCUUAUCUUUGAGAUCCGAUCCUGUACUCAAUGUUAAUUAGGGGUGUCAUUAAAAAAGACAAGAAAAUAACCACUUGCCCUCGGGUCUUCUCUUGUCAGCAGAAAGCAUGUGAUGCAUUCAAGUUUCAAUGAAUUCACGAAAACCAAUAUUGUGGUCCUCGAGAUGAAUUGUAUUUUGUAGGUGUACUGUAUGUGUGCUGUCACCCGUCAGUUGAGGUAAUUGUUUAAUUUGCAUUCCUGCAACCUCUUGUAUGUAUUCGGAAAGAAAAUUCUUACUAUUUUCCGAGUUCACAGCCAAUCCAUUAUCACUUCCGAAAAACUGCAUUGGAUCUACUGACGUAAAUAUAUAAUAGAGUGAUCUACUUGCAAUAUUAAGAACGAGAAAUCUUCAUUCUGACUUGCAAUAAGAGGGGUUAGUCUAGCUUUUUCCUGCUAAUAAAUGAAGGUACCCAUUACUGUCACCAGUUAAUGUGGUAUGCUAGUUGUCCUUAUUAUAUAUCAGCCCCAAAAAAGAAUGCCCAGUGCUGAGCUAUUGCAAGAUCGGAUAGUUUGUGAUUGGUUCCCAGAAAUCAAGCUCAUGCACUUGGCUCCCAGAAAGUCAACACUCACGUUCGCUUCCAGUUUCCUGACCAGCAAGACGUGCUUCUGCUAAUGUAGGCUUGUGCUCCAAAAUUCCCCAUCAAGCUGGCUCCUGCUCCCCCGAAUCCUACCCCCACCCAUCCAAAAGCUUCAAGAUCUCACAGAAAUCUCACAACUUCCGUUCGUCGGAGUAGAGCCUUCAAACAGCCCCGCCCACACAUCCACGCGGCGGCUGCUGCCAUAACUUCACCGGAGUCGCCUUCUCCUUCCGCGCCACGUCACCGGUGCCGGCCAGGCUCUGAAUCUUCUGCUGCUGCCGCCGAUACGAUGCUGGAGCUGGCAUCGACAUGCUUGUGAGGGCCACUUCUUCCGUGCUGUUACUGUGCUGCUGGUUCUGGGUGCUGCUGAUCAGGGGCAAGCUCGUGAAGGUAACUAUGCCUGCAAGAUUGGGAUUUUACUUGUAAUUCGUUCAAGAUCUACCUAUGAACGUCUUGCUCACACCAUUCUCUUCAUUAAUUUCUGCAGUGCACCUGUGUUGGAGGAGUUUCCUCCGAGAGUUCCAAUGGCAGAGCUGGUGGUCACCAUGGCGCUCCGGCCACUGGUCGCCAUGCUCAGGGACAAGGCGUCCAGCUAUCUCCUUGACCAGUACAAUGUGAUGGAGGGAAUGGAGAAGCAGCACAUGAUUCUGAAACGCAGACUUCCUAUCGUCCUGGACGUCAUCACUGACGCCGAGGAGCAGGCGACAGCCAACAGAGAAGGGGCGAAAGCCUGGCUCCAGGAGCUCAAGAGAGUAGCCUAUGAGGCAAAUGAAGUCUUCGAUGAAUUCAAAUAUGAAGCACUUCGCCGUGAAGCCAAGAAGAAUGGACACUACAAAAAGCUUGGAUUUGAUGUGAUAAAACUCUUCCCCACUCACAACCGUGUUGUCUUCGUUCAGAGAAUGGGUAGCAAGCUUUGCAGGAUUCUGGAGGAUAUCAAUGUCCUCAUUGCAGAGAUGCAUGACUUUGGGCUGAGGCAGACAUUUUUGGUGUCUAAUCAGUUGAGGCAGACACCAGUGUCCAAGGAGUGGAGACAGACAGAUUACGUCAUCAUCGACCCACAAAAGAUUGCCAGCAGAUCCAGACAUGAAGAUAAGAAUAAUAUUGUUGGUAAACUACUUGGUGAAGCUAGCAAUGCAGAUCUCACAGUAGUUCCCAUCGUUGGAAUGGGGGGCCUUGGCAAGACCACAUUAGCGCAACUCAUAUACAAUGAACCUGAAAUUCAGAAGCAUUUUCCGUUGAAGCUCUGGGUCUGCGUCUCUGAUACCUUCGAUGUGAAUUCGGUGGCUAAGAGUAUAGUUGAAGCAUCCCCCAAGAAAAAUGAUGAUACAGACAAACCACCACUGGAUAGACUUCAGAAACUGGUCAGCGGGCAAAGGUAUCUCCUUGUAUUGGAUGAUGUCUGGAAUAGAGAGGUUCAUAAGUGGGAAAGGCUGAAGGUCUGUCUUCAGCAUGGCAGCGUGGGUAGUGCUGUGUUGACAACAACCCGUGAUAAACAAGUUGCUGAAAUUAUGGGUGCAACUAGAACCUACAAUCUCAAUGUUUUGAAGGAUGACUUCAUAAAGGAGAUUAUUUUGGAUAGAGCAUUCAGUUCAGAGAAUGAAAAGCCUCCCGAGCUACUCGAGAUGGUUGGUGAGAUUGUGAAGAGAUGCCGUGGCUCUCCUUUAGCUGCAACUGCACUGGAUCUGUACUUCGUACCAAGAUCAGCGUGGAAGAAUGGAAGGCUAUAUCAUCUAGAAGCAGUAUUUGCACUGAGGAAACUGGAAUUUUGCCAAUACUCAAGCUUAGCUACAACGAUUUGCCAGCACACAUGAAGCAGUGCUUUGCUUUCUGUGCCAUAUUCCCCAAGGAUUACAAGAUUAAUGUGCAGAGGCUUAUCCAACUAUGGAUCGCAAAUGGCUUUAUCCCUGAACACAAGGAAGAUAGUCUUGAAACCAUUGGACAACUUAUUUUUGAUGAGCUUGCUUCAAGGUCAUUCUUUCUGGAUAUAGAGAAGAGUAAAGAAGACUGGGAGUAUUAUUCCAGAAAUACAUGUAAAAUCCACGAUCUUAUGCAUGAUAUUGCAAUGUCUGUUAUGGAAAAGGAAUGUGUUGCUGUGACUAUGGAUACAAGUGAAAUUGAGUGGCUUGGAGAUACUGCUCGGCAUUUGUUUUUAUCAUGUAAAGGAACAGAAGGUAGUUUGAAUGAUUCUUUGGAGAAAAGAUCUCCUGCCAUUCAAACACUGAUAUGCCAAAGUCAUAUGCGAAGCUCAUUGAAGCAUCUGUCAAAAUAUAGCUCUUUGCACGCCUUGAAGCUCUGUAUUAGAGGCAAAGAAUCAUUUCUUCUGAAAUCAAUGUAUCUGCAUCACCUGAGGUACCUUGAUCUCUCAAACAGUUCUAUCAAAUCACUUCCUGAAGAUAUAAGUAUUCUAUAUAACCUUCAAAUGUUGGACCUUUCCUACUGUUGUUAUCUUUAUCGACUUCCAAUGCAAAUGAAGCAUAUGACUUUCCUCCGUCACCUCUACACUCAUGGAUGUCAGAAGUUGAAGAGCAUGCCUCCAGAACUAGGAAAACUCACUAACCUGCAGACGUUGACAUGGUUUGUGGCAGGAGUUCCUGGCCCUGAUUGCAGUGAUGUUGCAGAGCUGCAGCAUUUAAACCUUGGUGGUUAUCUAGAGCUACGUCAGAUAGAGAAUGUUAAAGAAGCAGAGGCAAAAGUGGCAAACCUUGGAAACAAGAAGGAUCUCAGAGAACUGUCAUUAAGAUGGACUGAGGUUGGCGACAGCAAGGUGCUCGACAAGUUCAAACCUCAUGGUGGGCUGCAGGUUCUGAAGAUAUAUUCCUAUGGAGGAGAGUGCAUGGGUAUGCUGCAAAACAUGGUUGAGAUCCAUCUUUUUCAUUGUGAAAGAUUGCAAAUUUUGUUCAGAUGCAGUGCAAUCUUCACUUUUCCAAAACUGAAGGUGCUUAUGCUAAUACAUCUGUUGGAUUUUGAGAGAUGGUGGGAAAUAGAUGAGAGGCAAGAAGAACAGACAAUAUUUCCUGUGCUUGAGAAGUUGUUUAUUAGUAAUUGUGGAAAGUUGGUAGCAUUACCUGAAGCACCAUUGCUGCAAGGACCUUGUGGUCAAGGUGGUUAUACAUUGGUUUGCUCAGCAUUUCCUGCCCUAAAGGUGCUCAAAAUGAAAAACUUGGAGAGCUUUCAGAGAUGGGCUGCAGUGGAAGAGACUCAAGGAGAACACAUACUGUUUCCUUGUCUGGAGGAACUAUCAAUUGAGAAAUGCCCAAAGUUGACGGCGUUACCUGAAGCACCAUUGCUUCAAGAACCAUGUAUUGAAGGUGGUUACAGAUUGGUACGCUCAGCGUUUCCUGCCUUAAAGGUGCUCAAAAUGGAAAACUUGGAGCGGUUUCAAAGAUGGGGUGUGGUCGAAGGGACAUUGUUUCCUCAGCUUGAGAAACUAUCAGUUCAGAAGUGCCCCAAGAUGAUAGAUUUACCAGAGGCACCAAAACUCAGUGUCUUAAAAAUUAAAGAUGGUAGGCAAGAGAUCUCCGAUUUUGCAGAUAGAUAUUUUUCUUCAUUGACCAAACUGAUAUUGAAUCUAGAAAACACAGAAACAACAUCAGAGGUUGAGUGCACUUCAAUUGUAUCUGUGGACAGCAAGGAGAAAUGGAACGAGAAAUCCCCUCUUACAGUGAUGGAGCUAAGAUGCUGCAACUCAUUCUUUGGACCAGGUGCACUAGAGCCGUGGGACUAUUUUGUACACCUUGAAAAGUUGGAAAUUGAUAGAUGUGAUGUGCUUGUCCACUGGCCAGAGAAAGUGUUCCAAAGCUUGGUAUCCUUGAGGACAUUAGUGAUUACAAGCUGCGAAAAUCUGACUGGAUAUGCACAAGCUCCUCUUGAGCCAUUGGCAUCCGAAAGGAGUCAGCACCUGAGAGUUCUGGAGUCUCUUUGCUUAGAAAACUGCCCAAGUUUAGUAGAGAUGUUCAACGUCCCGACAUCUCUCAAGAAAAUGUAUAUUAAUGGGUGCAUUAAGCUUGAGUCCAUAUUCGGCAAGCAGCAGGGCAUGGCUGAGUUAGUCCAAGGAUCUUCUAGCAGUGAGGCAAUCAUGCCUGCAGCUGUAUCAGAGUUGUCAUCCUCACCCAUGAAUCACUUUUGUCCAUGCCUAGAAUAUCUACAGUUAUCUGAUUGUGGAAGCUUACCAGCGGUUCUACAUCUGCCUCUGUCCUUAAAGACCUUAGAAAUUUAUAACUGCAGUAGUAUUCAAGUCCUAUCAUGCCAGCUGGGUGGGCUCCAGAAACCAAAAGUCACUACCUCCAUAAGCAGAAGUCCUGUCAUGCCAGAGCCACCACCACCAGCAGCAGCUGCUGCAAGAGAGCAUUUACUUCCUCCCCAUCUCGAAUCUCUAGUAAUACUGAACUGUGCUGGCAUGUUGGGUGGGACUCUCCGUCUGCGUGCACCCCUCAAGAGACUGCGCAUUAUUGGCAACAGUGGGUUGACAUCGCUGGAGUGUCUGUCAGGAGAGCACCCCCCAUUGCUGGAAGUCCUUGAUCUUCAAAAGUGCAGUACCCUAGCUUCCCUGCCGAAUGAGCCGCAAGUAUACAUGUCUCUCUGGAAUCUUGAAAUUAGAGGCUGCCCUGCUAUAAAGAAGCUCCCUAGAUGCCUGCAGCAGCAACUGGGCAGCAUUGAUGACGAGUACAAAGAACUAGAUGCCCAUUAUGAAGGUAUGCUUGGAGCACGUCCUUCUAUCUUUGCCACAUUUAAUAAACAGAUGCAGUCAUCCAUUCCAUUAAAUCUACCACGCCAGCAUGUCUGUACAAGUUUGUUCUCCAUUAUUUUACUUUCGAAUGUUACAUUAGUUUGUAUGUGUUUGUUCUGACGCCAUUUGCAAUAUGUGCAGUGAUGGCACUUAAACCGAAGACAUGGAAGGAGAUGCCAAGGCUAGUCCGUGAGCGGAGGAAGGCCGCUCGAGAAGCCAAGGAGCGCCAGCAAUCCGCCAUGCAGGAGUAAACAGGUUGGAAACCAUGUAGAAAGGGCAUGGAUUCCAAUUGCUCUGAACAAUGUACAAGAUUAUGUCGUGACUGUAAUCAAUCGGCUUUGUUGAGCUUUGGCCUCUACCUAGUUCAGAUAUUUGUAAUGCGAAUCAAAUGAAUCUGCCCGGUUCAGUAGAAGUUAGGAUAAUAUACUCACAUGUGUGUCUGUGAGCUAUCUAUCGUAUCUAUCUGUUUUUGCUUUGCUUAGUUAACUGCGAAGACACUAGCCUUUAAUUGUUCAAUAAAGUUUUUCAACUGUGGCUUUUAUCUGUCGAUUUUCGUGGUUGACAGGCCUAAUCCCUGAUUGUUGCUCUUCUCUGCUCUGCUCUGCUAGGGGAAUGAGCUGUUAUUGCUUCUGCAACUUAACUGUGCCGCAGUCCGCUCUCCGUCGAGAACUGUCAGGGCCUGCGGUGUAGGGCGGCUGCUGCUUGGCGUCGAGUGGAGCAUAUCUGAAUCAACAUCCUAGGCUGAGACCAUCUCAUCUUGAUCUGGUUUGCUGUUGUCCAGUCAAGCGAGGAAACACAGGGAAGAAACAACAUAGAAAGGGCAUGGUAGUUUAUUUUAUUUUGCUUCAGAAACUGUACCAAUUUAUGUCAUGAUUGUUACCUGCUCCGUUAAACUCUGACCUUGAUCUUGUUAUUAAAGAUUCAGACACUUGCCUCGUUUAGUAGAAGCUGGGGUACUUGUAAUGUGUGCCAUAUAUAUUUCUAGUUUCAGCCAUUUCCAUAUCAAGUACAAGCUCGGAAAGGCUUAGGUGGUCUGUGAACUUUCUGGCCCUGCUUGCUUGACGCAAGUUUUACAGACAUAUAAAACAUAAGUUUAUAUAUAUAUAAUAUACAGUUAAGCAGCAGUUUCCUCGCAUGUAAGAUGGUUAAGUAGCAGCCGCAGGUAUCAGUCAGUCCGGUACUUGUUGAAUGGGAUCGACAGUUGAAUUGCUCUGCUCUGCUGCAAAACUCUGUGUUUGCCUGUGGAGGAAUGAAUAUUUCAGUUUCAGAAUUUGUGAGCUACUCCUAUUUAGUUUCUAGUCUGGUUGUGGUACUAUCUAGUUUCAGCACUGUUUAUUUAGUUUAGAAGAAAUUUACUGUUGACCUUUUUAACGUGUUUACAACACGUGCUAUUUGAAAUAUAAUUCUUUUUUUACCUGUUUCGAUACUUGUACAGAUCAAGUAGUACAAGUUGGGAGGAAAAAACCUCAGGUCCGUGAACUGUUUGGUCCUGUCUGUCUGUACAAAAUCAAGUUUGUUCGCUGUAGCCAGUAUAGUGUUGUAGAUAUCUGAAUAACUUGGUGUCUGCUUACGAGAGCAGAGGACGUGGAUGGAUGUUUGCUGCCGGCUGAUGCUGCAGGAACCGAAAGAGCCUUCUCAGUAUGCACUUCAAUGAAGAAGCAACGGACAGAUGUUCAGAUACAUCCGUUUGAGCUGACCGCUAUUUCUGGACGGAGGGAGUAUUAUGUAAGAUUUUGUGUACUUUCCCUUUAUUACUUUUGGUGCAGCUUCAGUUGAUGGUUUGCAUGCUCUUCUUAAGGAUUUACAUUCUCUUAGUGUCUUUGUUUCGUAUGUUUCUUUAGAGCCUCCUGUAGUUAAUCAGGCACUUCUCUGCUUUUAUAGACUAGUGUUAUUAUUGGUUUAUUAUUCAUGUUACUUAGGAAUUAGGGUCAAACAAGCACCUCCUGCUCUGCUGGUAGCUAGCUUAAUUCCCAGGUUUGGUAUAUAUCUAUGUUGUGAUGCAUACUCAUGUUUGUGAGCUAGUAUAUAUCUAUUUUCAGUGUCGUUUAAUGGUUCAGAGAGUGGGCUGUAACUUGUUCAGAUACUUUGUGUUAAACUGUAGAAUUGACCUGCUGCAGUAAUUUUGACAGCUGAGGUGGGAUGAGCUGCAUAUCAUUCUCUGAUUGGGAGUAACAGGUUGUUGUUGUUUGGUUCUGAUGUUGCUAAGCUGUGGUGGUGGUCACAAUUAUCUUCCUAAUCCGGCAA
rnacentral:lncRNA from 1 species